GAGUCGAAAACUUCUCAAAUGAAGGAUAAAUUAUUCUAUAUAAAAUAGAGAUAUGUUUUAUCCUUUUUCGUUAUCUAACACAAUUUACAAUUCACUUUCCAUCAAUACCAAAAACUCCCAAAAUAUAAUUCAUAAUUACAUUAUAUUAUUCCGUCCAUUUUAAAAAAGAAUGAUUUUCUUUUCUUGUUAGUUUGUUUAAAAAAGAAUGAUCACUUUCUUUUUUUGGUAACAACUUUUCACGUGGUAUGUUUAAGAGCAAAAGAUUAAAGGACAAUUUUAUCCAUUUGACAUAAUUUUAAUUUAAAACCACAUAAGCAAAAGUCUUCUUUAUUUUCUUAAACUUCGUGUCAAGUCAAACUAGAUCAUUCUAUAUAAAAACAGAGAGAGUAUAUGUUUUUUCACCCAAUGAUGACCAUUAAGUUUGACGUUUGCUCUAUUUUAAUCCUUCUAUUUAUAAAAAUGUUUUUUUUACCCAAAUUCCUCUUAUUAAUUUCUUAUAAGAAUACAAAAAAUAAAGAAAUAAUUUUGUCAAUGACUUAUAAAAAUAUAGAGAUAUCUAAAGAGUAAAUACACGGUUGAUAGAAAUAUUGGAUUCUCACGCAACUUUAUAAAUUGAAAAGCAUAAUAUGUAGGAACAAUAUAUCAAAAAUAUCAAAAUUCUUUAAAUUAUAACACAUUUUUUAUGUGUUCUAUAUAUGACAAAAUGAUCAUAAAUACAAGGACAUUACAUUCAGGGACCAUAGCUUUUUUACUUUUGGUAUCAUUUUUUUUUUGUUUUCUUAUAUUUCCUUCCAUCCAUCACUAUAAAAAUUCAAAAAUUCACCCAUGAAAUUAUUAUUAAUUUUUCAUGAAAUAAUUCAUAGUGUAUAUAUAUAUAAAUUAUAUAACUUAUAAAUAAGCAAUUCAUACCAAUUUUUAACGUGUUUUAAAAUCGUGUGGGCAUAAACCUAAAGCGAAUAACAUCACUAGCAAGCCGAGCCAUUACCACUUUCAUAUACAAAUAUAUAUACGAAUGUAGUCGUGUAAGACAUCAAUACACUCUCUGUUUUAGAUGAUAUUUUAGCUAUUCAAGAUGCAAACAGUUUAAAGAAUAUGUUUUUUGUUAUAUUGAAAUGAGAAAAAUUGUAUUAUAUAAUAAUAUUUUUUGAACAUUGAAAAAAAAGGCAACAGGCCAAGAUUAGUAAAUUAAAUAACAUGAUUUUUUACUUAAAUAGCAUUUAUUUUGGAGUGAAGAUUUACUUAAAUAGCGUUUAUUUUGGAGUGAAGAACUAACAACGUGAUUUUUACUUAAAUAGCAUUUACUUUGGAGUGAAAAAAAUAAUGUAAUUUGAAUCUCAAUAAGUGAAAAUCAUAACAUAAAGAGUACGUAAAUGCAUGGAUGGUUGAAAAAAAAAAUAAUUAAGGAUUAAUAUAUUAAUAUCAAGUAUUUAUAAUUAUAAAUCACAUUUUUUGUGUGUUCUAUAUGCUUAACAGGAUGACUCACGAAUAAAAACAUUUUAUAGGGGACCAUAGUUUUUUCUUUUCUAAUAUCCCUUUCUUUUUCUGUUUUUCUUCUUCUUUUUUUCCUUUUAUUUGUCCUUUUUUAUUGGUUAAGUGUGAAUAACAUAUAUCAUUAAAAUAUUAAAUUCGCGUAAAUUUAGAAAACAAUUUAAAAUCCUUGAAACCAUCGAUUUAAUGAAUGUGUGAUAGGUAGGAUUUGAAUCGCAAUAGUCAAAUUAGUCCCCCCCCCCCCCCCCCAUUACACCCCAAAAAAUAAAAAUAAAAAGUGAGAAUGCAUUAUAUUAUACAAAUAAGAAGGUUGAGGGGCCAUAAUAAACAAAAAUAUCAUUAUAGGUGUGAAAAGAUAAAUAUGUAUUUAUAUCUUUAAUUAAAAAUGUCAGAUUUGAUUAUUGAAUAUGAAAUAAAAACUAAAAAAUUAAAAAAAACUUUUCAAUAUAAACUUUUUAUCAAUUAAACUCAAAUAUCAAAUAUCAAAUGAAAAACUAAAAAAGAUAAACAAAAAUAAUGAUACACAAUUGAGAAGAAUACAAAACCUAGCUAGCCUUGUAUAUUUUAUUAUCCGUGAAUUCAAUUUUUACUGUGUCACUUCAUAUCCCGUGUGUAAAUUUCAUCGUCUCCCUUUAUAGAGACCAUAACACCUCUAGUUUUGCUAGUAAAUAUUUUUAAAUUUCAUUUUAUAUUGUUUUUUUCCUUGUCAUAAUUUCUAUAAUAUUUCACAUUAUUUUAUUCUAUAAGAUAAAAGAUACUUUUCAAAAAAUUUAUCAAAUAUUUUGAGAAUAUAUCAUUAAUUAUUGAUAACUGAAUUACUCGAUACCUACCAUAAAGUUUAUUGUAAAAUUGGCCUUACCCCUUACUAACUCCCUAUAAAUAUCCAUGUGUAACCAAUGAGUCUUACACAUCACACAAUUAUUUGAAAGAUAAAUAAUUAAAAGCAAUGGAGGGAAAGAAUAUGCUCAAGUUAUCUCAUGUGCUUGCUUUCUUGCUUCUUGCAUCAUGUAUGUAAUUAGCCCUUAAUUCUCUUUUGUGGUCCGAUUAAUUUAAAUUUAUACUGAUUAGCAAGACUUAUUUAACCGGCAAGCCUCCUUAACAUGAUUCUUUUUUAUUUUGAAGGAUCGAAUUUAAAAUUUCUAGUUAAGAUUGAGAGAGAUCUUAACCAUCUUAUCACAAUUUUAUUAGUUUUGGUGUACAGGGGCGGAAUCAGUUCGGGACUUUGACGGAAAAUUAUACUAUUACUUAUACAUAGUUAAAAUUAUUUUUCAUGUAUAUAUAAUAUUUGUUAAAUUUUACACUGUUUUACUUAUUAAUGGUUAAUUUGAUUGCAAUUAGUUUUAAAGUAAAAGAAAAGAAAUUGCAAUCACAAAUAAAAUAUAAAGAAACAUAACUUUAUUGAUAAAUAGUGCAGGUACAAUUUUAUUCUUCCCUUAAUUCUACUCUCCUAAGAUUUAUCCAUGAUUCGAUGGCCGUUAGUGGUGUAUUUCUCAAACUAGAAUGAUUUAAAUUUGACCUCUAUACGAAUACUCCAUGAACUUACGGAAUAUUCGAGGUGCCUUUUUAAGGGAAUUUAGUACCUAUGAACUAGGGUAGGGUUUAGGGUUGAGUAACCUCCGAGAAUUCUAAUUGCAACUGAAUACACCUUCCGGAGUCCCACUUCAAAUUGAACACGUCUUGUAGAGUCCCACAAAAUUUCAAUUUCUACAAUGUUUUCUUCGUUGUUGUUUUUUUAACUUGUGUUUGAUGCACUUGAGCUAGCCGAGAGUCUUUUAUAAACAGUUUCUCUACCUUCACGACGUAGUGAUAAGGUUUGCGCACAUUCUACCCUCCCUAGAUUUCACUUAGUGAGAUCUUACUAGGUAUAUUAUUGUUGCAUAAUAUGACGAACCCCCUUCGACUAGUUCAUGUGUUUACUUCUUCAAUUUUAAACACUUUUAGUGAAACUACGGACUCCGUCAAUCCUCUUGCAUGCAUAUAUAUUCCACUAGUAUAUGUUAUCUCUCAAAUGAAUAAUUAAGUAAUUAAUUUGGUAAAUUAUUUAUUUUAAUUACAGUUUUUCAAUCACUGAUGGCAAGAGAUUUGAGUGAUGGCAUAGAAGUACUGGAAAUUCUGGAAAAUGAAAUCCAAAAUGUAAUUUGCCCAGGUAAUAAAAUUCCUCUUAUAUUUUUUAAAUUUCUUCUUCUUAUAGUUUCGAAGACGGGUAAAUUUCACAAAUGGACACAUAAUUAUGAUUUUCUUUCACUAAAUGUAACAUAAUUAUAAUUUCUCUCAAAAAAUAUAUAUAAUAUUUUUCACCUUACUAACAAAGUAAAAAAAUUACUUUAUUCCUAAAAAUUAAAAUUUCUUAGAAUGAAAUUUACAUUUUGCUAAAUUGAUAAGUACUUUAAAGACUAAAGAGCAUGGCGAUUCGAGUUAUAUUAUAUUACGCUGUUAAUAUGGGCUAGCCUACACUAUCCGGGUUAAUCCAUACAUGCUUUGACAUUUUACGGGGCAGGCCGGACUAGCCCAUUUUUUGUUUGGGUCAGAAAAUAGUGGACACAACCCAUAAGUAUGUGGGCUACAUGCUUGUCGGACCAGUUCACUUUUUUAAAAAUUAUAUAUUUUUUUUAAAUUAUUAAUUUACUCCUCAAGAGUUCCGUGUGUAAAAAGGCAUUACGGACCAUAUUAUAAUCCUCGAAAUGCCAUAACUCUCUUUCUGAAUGUCUCGACUUUUUUUUAAAUUAUAAAUUAUAAUUUAAAAUAAUUAUCAUAAAUAUCGACAAAACUAUAUUACAUUAUGUUAAUGUUACUACUUGUUAAUCAAAUUCACAAAUAAAGUUGUCUUUAUAAAAUAUUUAUUAAGUUAAGUUAUCAUUUUUUUAAAAAAAUACAUUAAAUUUUUUUAAGUAUAAAUAUCUAAAUAGAAAUAAUAACCUAAUUGUUUUGAGUUUGGACCCUCUUUAAUUUUAAAUGUUAAUAUUAUAUUAUAUUUUUAAUUAAAUUUUAUUGGCCUACGGGCCGGUCCUAUCGAUAUUUCUCAAGCCCCUCAAAUCAACAGGAUUAUUCAGGCCGAGCUAAAAAACUCUUUUCUUAAAUGGGCUCCAAAAAUCUUAGCCCAACCCUACUAAAUCCCGGGUUAGGCCAGACCAGCUCAACGGGCCUAGCCCAUAUUGACGACUCUACUCCCUCUAUUCACUUGUAUUUCUCUUCUGUGGACCUUGCACGAUUCUUAAGAAAUAAUAACUGAUAUGAGAAUUUUAUCAUGAUGUCAUUAUAUUUAUUUAUAUUUGUAAUUAUUUUAGGUAAGCUUUUUUUUUUAUAUAAUUAUUUUAGGUAAGCAAUCAUGGCCUGAACUUGUUGGGAAGUCAGCAGAAUAUGCUAAGAAAAUAAUUCAGAAGGAAAAUUCCAUAGUUCAAGAUAUUAGGGUUUUAUAUCCUGGUAUGUUUGGGCUAGGUAAUUAUGUUUGUGGUAGAGUUUUUCUGGUUGUUGACUGGAAGGUGUAACGACCUGUUUAGUCGUUUUGAGCAGCAGAUUUUAUUUCUGGAAAAACUGACUGAGAUGACAGAUCCCACGACGGACCUUCAUGGGCACGAAGGACCGUCGAGGGGGUCUCGUUCCAAAACACUUAGAAUUCUGAAAUUUGGGUACUGAAAUCGACUCUCUGAACUUCGUGACGAAGUGGCAGGACGGACCGUCACAGGCAUGACGAGUCGUCACAGACUCUUCAGUAAAUUUCAGUCUCUGAACUUUGUGACGGAAGUAGCCGGACGGACCGUCGCAGUCACGACGGCCCGUCGCAGGUUGCGUAAUUCCAGGCUGAGUCGGAUUUCUUUAAAUGUUUUAAGGGACGUUUUGGACUAUUCCUGCUUUAAUUAUAAAGUUAGUGGUUUAAUAUUAAUAACUCAAUUACUUGGGGGUUAAAAGAGAUAACCUUGAGUUAAUUAGUGGGUUACUAUUGCCAUCUAUUAUACUUAAUUAUAUGCUAAUUAGGGUAAAAGAAAGAGGGUUUGAAUAAGAAAAUAGAAAGAACAAAGAGGGAGAGAGGAUCGAACGAGAAAGAGGAGAAACGAGAAUAAGAACAAAGUUUUGGGAAAUUGCUUGCUUGAUCAAAAUUCUUCGGUGGAGGUAGGUUAUGGUUUUUAUACUAUUCGUAGUUAACUCUUAAUAGCGAAUGAUAUGUGUUGGGUUGCAUUGUAAAGUCUUCUACAUGCUUAAUUGUAUGCUUGCAUGAAUAUGAUUAUAUAAUUGUGAUGAAAUAAGCAUGAUAAAACUAUUGAAUUUCAAAUCUUGAAAACCCCUUGUUAAUGAUGAUGUCUUGGUAUAAAAGAAGGUUUGAUGAAACUAAAGUAAUGAGAUUGAUGAUGCCUUGGUAUAAAAGAAGGCUUGAUGAACAAAAGUGAUGAGAUUGAUGAUGCCUUGGUAUAAAAGAAGGCUUGAUGAAUUAAUAGAAUGAGAAUUAGGGGAUCGGGUGUCACGAACCGACACGUAGAAUUAGGGGAUCGGGUGUCACGAACCGACACGUAGAAUUAGGGGAUCGGAGUGUCACAUUCCGACACAUAGUAGGGGAGCGGAGUGUCACGUGCCGACACAAGAAGAAUAAAGAUAAUGAAUCUUGGAAUUAAGUUAAUAAAUUCGAAUGAAAAGAACCUAUUUCCCAAAUGAGUAUGGUAUUGAGGCUUGAGUCCACAUGUGUGAACUUGGCGGUACCUAUUAACGAUUAUAGUACUUGUUGUUGAUACAUGUUGAGUAAUGUAGUUGGUUUAUAUUAUUACUUGAUAUAUAUUGUUUUCUAUUUUGAGUUGGCCGAUGAUACCUACUCAGUACUUGUGUUUUGUACUGACCCCUACUUGUAUGUUUCUUUCUUUGUAUGUGGAGUGCAGCAAACAUACCGUCGUCUUCAACUCAACCGCAACUCUAGCCAGUCUUCAUUACUCCGGAUUUCAGGGUGAGCUAAUGCUUCUAGCUUGGACUAGAUCUUCCCCUUCAUGUCUUGAUGCCUUGAAGUUCCGGCAUGGACUAGCUUUUUAUGUAUUUUAGCUGCUUAGAUACUCUUAGUCUUAGUAAUUAGAAGAUAGAUGUUCUUGUGAUGAUGACUUCCAGAUUUUGGGGAUAUUAAUUGAUAAAUUUUAGAAGUUGUUAAUUGAUUUCAUUAAUGAGUUUAAGUCUUCCGCAUUGUUUUCUAUUUAUUAUAUUUGAAAUGUUGGGGUUUAGAUUGGUUGGUUCGCUCACACAGUGGGAUAAGUGUGGGUGCCACUCGCGGCUCGAUUUGGAUCGUGACAGAAGGCCAUUGUUAAAAUUACUCCUAGAAUGGGUUAAUUAAUUAUUCUAUGGGUUAAGAACAUUAUUAUGUUAUGAAAAAUAAAUAAAGUGGAGAUAUUAAGUAUAGACUCUUCAUGUACUCUAUUAUUUCAACACAAAUAAAACUAAUGUUCCUUAUUUUUAUUUGUAAUGCUAUAUAUAUAUAUAUAUAUAUAUAUAUAUAUAUAUAUAUAUAUAUAUAUAUAUAUAUAUAUAUAUUUACCCUUAUUUCCUUUUAUGUUAUAGUCUUUUCCAAUUUUGAUUUUCUUAUUGUGAACUAAUGAAUCGUUAAAGUUUAUAAAUGAGAUAAUUACGUAUAGUUAAACGUCAUAUGUUAUAGUGGGUAGAUGUCACAUUACUCAUUUGCGAAAUACUAAAAAAAAGUAUGAUGAAGCGUGUUGAAAAUAUAAUUAUGAGAAUAAAUAUACUUUUGAAUUAUCGUAAAUGGUAUGCAAAUACCCUCAGUCAUAUCUUUGUGACAUUGAUGUCCCUGCCGUCUAAACAAUAGAGCACAUAUAUCCUUUAUACUAACGGGCAUACAUGUGUCAUAACCUUAUCCACCGACCCUAUAUUUAUUAAAUAUCGGAUCGAUGGAUAAGAUUGCGUUACAUGUCCAUAUUUCAUCUUCCGUUAGAGUGAAGGGUAUAUAUGGUAUAGUUUUUGGACGAUAGGAGCAUUAAUGUCCCAAAAAUAUGAAGGAUAUAUGCAUAUCAUUUAUGUCAGUUUGGGGUAUAUUUAUCCUUUUCCCAUAUAAUUAUUAAGUAAAUAAUCAUAUCAGUCUCAUCUUUAAUAUUGAAAUGAAACUUGGGUAUGGAAAAAUUAUUUAUAGGAAGCUUUAACCCACGAAUGUGGCCUAUUCAAAUAUAAAUCCGAAUUAAUCAAGCUCUAAUGUGAAUACCAAACACCAUGUGAAAAUCCAUUUUUUUUUAAAUAUCAAUAGGCACAAUUUAACAAAUCCAAUUCCAGUGUGGCACAAAGAUAUAUAUUUUCAUUAUAAUUAACUAAAUAAAAAGUGUACAUUAUAAUCACUUAAGUUAUUCUAUAAAAUGAGCACAUAAUUAAACAUAAUUUAGUGACUGAUAAUAAUAUUAUAUAUUGCUUUAAUUACUGCAAUGGUAGAAAAACCAUACUUCAAUUACAUUCACAUUUACGUAUUUGAUUUGAACAAGUUUUAAUUUACCAAAUAAAUAAUUUCUUUGAUAUUGGAACCAAUACCAACGGGUUUCACAGUGUAAAUUUAAAAUUUGAGCAAAAGUUACUGAAUUAAUAGUAGUAGUAUAUUUUUAAAAAAAAGUUAAAGAAAACGAAAAUUAAUUAAAUUAAUUGAUAUUUUGACUGAUGUAUACAUUUAAAAAAAAAAUCAUCAUAUUGACAUGAGAAUAAUUGUAUUAUAUACGUAAUAUUUUUUAAACAUUGAAAAAAGGCCAAACUACACAACGUGAUAUUUACUUAAAUAAUGUCUAUUUUGGAGUGAAGAUAAUAUGAUUGUGAAUCAUAACAUAAAGAACAUGGAUGGUUGAAAGAUAACUCAGGAAUAAAAACAUUUUUAUAGGGGACCAUAGUUUUUAUUUUUAAUAUCCCUUAUUUUUCUUCUUCUUUUUUUGUUGAAGCGUAUAUUGUUUGAAUAAGGUAUGUCCUUAAAAUAUUAGAUUCACUUGAAUUCAGAAAACAAUUUAAAAUCGAUGGGACCAUAGAUUUAAUGAAUGUGUGGUAGGUAGGGUUCGAAUUGCGAUUUUCAAAUUAGUCCCUCCAUUAACACCCCAACAAAAAUAAAACGUGACAUUACGUUAGUACUUUUUUUUUUGGAACAAAUAAGAAGGUUGAGGGAUCGUAGUAAAUAAAAAAUAUCAUUAUAUAUGUAGAAAGAUAAAUAUUUUCAAAUUUGAGCAUUUAAUAUAAAUUUUUUUUAAAAAAACUUCUCAGUAUAAAUUUCUAUUAAUUAAACUCCAAAAUAGAUAUCAAAUACCGAAUGAAAAAAGUAAACAAAAAUAACGAUACACAAUUGAGAAGAACACAAAAUCUAGCUAGCCUUGCUAUAAAAUUGAAUUAUGUAUAGCGAGCCUUGGUAUUAAUGAGUGUCCCCCACGUAUGUAAUUAGCCCCUUAAUUCUCUUUUGAUCCAACUAAUUCAAACUUAUACUAAUUAGUAAAGCUUAUUUUAACCGGCAGGAUCGGAAUGAUUAUCCCUACCCAAUGGGUCUACAUCCAUCCCUGAAUGUCGUCGGAUACUAUUAACUUCCCAGUCAUUCUUGUAACUGUCACCUGUAACCCGUGCAGGUGUGUCCGCACCCCCCAGAGUGGACGAGAAAGAAAGGAUUUCUCGAAGCAACCCCCCAAGUUCCAAACCCAAGAGUCAAAUUUCCUAUAUGAGCAUUCGAUACAUGUAUCAGUCCGUGGAAGAAUGAAAGGGUCACCACUGCAAGGGGAAUUCAAGACUUUAGUUACGAAUGGAAAGAUCUUAUCACAUGUAUGUUGUUGUAUGGUAAUUUUAAAAACCCCUUCGACUAGCUCAUUUGUUUACUUCUUCAGAUUUUGAACCCUUUUAGUGAAACUACUGACUCCACCAAUGCUCGUGUAUAUAUAUUUUGCCCAGAUUAUUAAUUUCACAGAUUGUUUUACCAUAUUAAGCUGUAUGCAAAUAAUAACUCUAAAAAAAUCCAUAAAAACUAGUAUUACCAUCAAAAUGACAAUAGUGUUGUCAUUUAAUAACAUUUGCACAAAAAGGAGUUAACAUACUUCAGCUCUAAUGAAAUACCAACUCAUAUCAGGGAUGAUGGCAAAGCUAACGAAGUGCAAAAUCACUGCAAAUCUAAAGACCAGAGUGACACCUACAAGAACUUAAUGAGGGACCUAGACCAGUAAACAUACCAAUAUCACUCGGAUAAGUGGAAUGCACAUUCUGAUAGUGUUAUGAUCCCUUGUUCAACCUCUGAGAGCCUGAGUUGGACAUCAAAGUCCGUCCAGUUUCAUGCUCUUCGUGUAGCAAGUUGUUAAUUAUGUCAAGAUGUGGAAAUUCAUCAGUGAAUACAGUCUGGGGCUGGCACCUAGACGGGUAGGUUGGAAACUCCAAUGGAAUAUGAUCAGGGGUUCUGUUGUUUAAAGGCUUGUCCAUGUCAAAAUUCCAAUUUUCAUUUCGUACGGAAGGAUGAUCUCGUGAUGUAUUCCUACUGCUGUCACUCCAGAAAUAUUCCCGUUGCUUUCCAUUCUGCAUGGUAUUGUGAUUCACCAUUUCAUAUGAAUAGCUUGAUCGAAUAGAACUAGGUUGUAUUCUUUCCAAGGCCUGUUGUGAAUAUACGGAACCAGAUGUAGGCGAGGGUGGUUGAGUAUAAGGCUGCAAAGAGUCAACCAAUGAUCUAGGUGAACAGCUAUCACUGUAAUCAUGAUGAUACUGUUGUGUAGGAAGAGAAAUCAAGACUUGGUUUUGUAUACUGCCACUACUGCUAUUAUUUCUCGGUUGACUGAACCUAGAAUGUGACCCAACAUCAUCCAUCGGUUGGUAAUCGUCAAUCUCUUUCCUGUGAAAAUUUUGGUGGCAAUUACAAGCUGCACAUUUCAGGGCUCCUGGGGUCCCUUCUUCUCCACUAGGCAUGAAUUCUCCACAUCCAUCAAGAGCAUGUCCUCCCAUGCUUGCAGCAUGAUUCUUGAGACAUUCUCGGUAUCGGAUUGAGCUGGUAAUGUCACUUACUGAGGUUGUUGAUGGUGGUUGUAAUUGUGCUAUCCUGACAGUCAUAUUUGGUUUAUAUGAAUUCAGUUGGUUAUGCUGCUGAGCAAGACUCUGCUGAUUCAGGGCUUGGCUAGGCCUAGGAAAGGUGUUUCCACUGCCAGCUUGUUCGUUACUUCCAAAAAUAGGAAUUCCCACAAUUCCUUUCGGAUAAGACUGAGGAACAUAAAUACCUGAAGUUGUUAAACGAUCAGCACACAAUCGACCAGCUACACUUACUGAAUGAGCCAAUAAUGGUAAUGGUGGACAUAUUGAAGGAACACUCAAGCAUUGGGACACGGCAGGCACUUGUAGUGACAUGGACUUUUCAUCUGUAGCAGGGGCUAAAAGGCCAUUUAUAGAAGGAUGCAGCUUAGAGGUGUCUGUAUUCCAAUUAACAGAUUUUGCAUCACUUAAUCUGAAAUCAGGAUGAAUAUUCUGUUUCUGCAUAAGCAGAUCUUUUUAUCAGUCAAGCUCAAUGAUAAAAAAGAAUCAUAAAAAAGCAAUAGCUAGGAAAGCAGCAACCAUUGUCGAAAACCUCACAGAAAUUACACUAUGAUGCCAACAACGAAAAUAAGUCAAAAACCAAAAGUAGGUCUUCCCUGCUUUUUAUUUUGACUUAAAAGUCAUUUCAAUUUGACUCUUUAUUUUUGACUUAAAACUAUUUUUUCAAGACAAUACAAACGGGCUCUAUGGCUAAAGCUUUUCCGAUGGGAGCCACCGGUUAUGAAAGAGCUUCCCAUUAGAAGAGGUGCCAUGCUAAAAACGAUAGAUGUACUCAAACAGGGAUUUAAAGUACUCACUACUUCAUGGUGGAAAUCUGGAGACGACCAGGAAAUCUGCAUGAGGGCACCAGCAACAAUGAUCGCUUUCUUGUACAAAACAGUGUAGUAAUCCUCUUCAUUGGAGAAUAAAAUCAAUACUUGCCGAGAAGAACAAUUCCUAAUCUUUACUUGGCCACUCAGAGGGUUCUGUGCUUUGAAAUCAGCCCGAAUUUCUUUCAUUUUUGGCCUCUUAUAGGAGAAAUUCCCUAGCAAAGUGAGCUUAUAAUCGGAUACUAAGCUUUCACCAUAGCGUCUUGGAAAGGUUAAUGUUGGGUAUCCCAUAUAGGUCGAGUGUUGCACUUCGAUUGGAGGUCUUGAUUUCUGAUUCUCAUGGCGCUCGACAAUUGAAAGAGCAUAUAAUGGCUGACUAAGUGUUUCACAAGCCAAAUCAGCUGCUUCACUAGUUGGCUUACUUCCAUAAUUCCACUCUCUGAAAAGCAAAGCACCAGGAAUUAGAACCCUCAUAAACACAACAAAUAUGCAAAUCCGGAUGCCAAAAUGAAUGGCCGAAAAGGUUACCUGCUAUAUGACUUUAAAUUAUUGUGGUUUAAAUAAGUCCCCCUGAAAGGAACUAACUCUGUGGAACACAUCGAUGAACUUUCAUAUGUAACAGAAGGAAUUCGUCCAGUAAUUCUGUAUGGAGCAGAUGAAAGGCCACUAAAUUCACUGCAACUAAUUCCUACGGAAGAAGGUAGUUUAGAGGUUUCACACUUGAUAGGACUUGCAACUCUGUCCUCGGAAUCGGAAUGAGUUACUUCUGGGACACAAGCUACUGAAUCAGACUCCUCUGUCCCGUACUCAUUUCCACCACCAAUAUGUUCAUCUUUUUUGGUAUUCUCUAGCUCUACAACACCAAAUGCUUCUCUCUGCAUUGCGAGGUAACCAUGAAAAAUUACAUCACUACACUAUUUACUUUCUUCAGGAGGCAAAAAGAAUCAAGAAUUUUCACUAACCUUCUUGGAACUCAAACAGAAACUGUCAACUGAGAGCUUCAGCACAAACUAGCUGACAAAAGGCUACAACGUUAAAAUUUAUCCCAGAACAGCCAUUUUUCUCUUUACCACUCUUUCAUUUUGAUUCUUCAAUUUUUAUAUCUUUGUUUAUAGGCAGGUACCCAAGAAUGACAGAUAAUUAAACAACAUUUACUGCUUUUAUAUUGCAUUAACUUAUUCUGUAGAUAGAUUUCUAUAUUGCAUUACUACUACAUAUUUUCCCAAUGAUCAGCACAGUUCUGCAUAAACAAACCUUUUACAGUCAAGCUCAACGAUGAAACCUCCAAAGAAAGUAAAAGCUAGGCAGUACAAUAGCAAUAUAUGCUUUAUCUAAUACAUAAUAGAAACUACACAAAAAUGGUGCCAAUAACUAAAACCAAAACUUCAAUUUUCACUCCAAAGAUAGUGGAACAAUUGUAAAUACUAAAGCUCACACAUAAAAAGUUUUUUUGGUCCAUCAUCUCUUAUAAUUACAAUAUAACACUUCCAUGCGAAGGUUUAAUUGGUCUUCAAAUAAGGAAAAAGCGGCAAAGAGGGUUCAAAAAUUACUUUAGGUCAUAGGUUCUUAUCUCUACCUCUUGUCCAAACCCAACCUCUCACCACCCCCAUCCCACACACACCACCUCCCACCCAUUCUGGGGCAGAGCCAAGUAAGGUUGAGGGAUUCAUCUAAACCCUCGAAAAUUAUAUUGCUUAUACAUAACUAAAUCAUUUUUAUAGAUACAGAGUAGAUGUUGAACUGCAUUCAACUUCUUCGUGUGUUUACCAGCUCAUAUUUUGAACCCCUUGGUGGAAAUUCUGACUACGACAUGGCACUCAUUCCCUAUCCCUACCCCUACCCCUAACACAAACUCUCACUCCCCCAGGCCAUAGUGCCUCCACCUUGUCCACUCACCCCAUCCCCUACUCGCCCUUCCCAUGCCCCACUUCAUCGCCCUUUCUCCCACGACGCCACCUACUUUAUAGUGUUUUUCCAGAUUACAUAUAAAUAUUUUCAAUUUAUACCCGUCGAAUCAUCAAAUACCACCUGUUUUUAAUAUCACAAUUGAGUAAUCAAACAAACACUACCAAUAAAAUUAAAGCAGCAAGCGCAACAAAACUCACAAAUUGAUCAUGAAACUCCGGAGUCCACUGAAAAACCUCCAUGAUUGCACCAGCAACAACAACCCUCUCUUUCAACAAAACAGAUUGAUAAUCCUCUUCAGCAGUGAAAUCAAUAAACACAUGGUAAGAAUCAUAAGACCUAAUUUUCACUACCCCUUUAAGAGAGAGUUUCGCAUGGAAACUAGCACGAAUUUUAGUCAUCUUUGGUUUAGGUAUAAAGAAUUUUCCAACCAUUGUAAGUUUACAUACCGCCACCAUGCUAUUCCAAUCCCAAUACUUCUUUCGAAAGAUUACUGCUGGCACUCGCCUGUAGUUUAAAUACACAAUCUUUGAUUUUGGUUCUUCUUGAUUUUCAAUGUUGAAAUCUCUCUGGGGUGCCGCCAUUUGAAACUCUACUGUGCAGAAUUGAGUUUGCAGGGAAGACAAAACGUACAGCUCUAUAUAUAUAUGUACAAGUCAAUAUUACGUUUUGUUAUUUCUUUACUUAUCCAUUAUAGUAAAAUAUUGUUUAUUUUUAUACUAAUGUUAUUCUUUAUAUUAAAUACUAUUGAUAAAAUGAUAAAUAUAUUUUUGAACUAUCAUAAAUGUUAUGCAAAUAUCAUUUGUUAUAUAUUUGGGAUAUUAAUGCUUUCUACCGUCCAAAAACUAGAGUUAUACUUUUCACUCUAAUAGAAGACUAAAUAGGAGGACGUGACACAAUCUUAUCCAUUGAUUCAAUAUUUAAUAAAUAUCGACUCUCUGUAUAAGAUUAUGACAUAUGUAUGUCCGUUAGUAUAAGAGUAAAUAUGUUUUAGUUUUUUAGACGACAAAGACACUAAUAUCCUCUUUUUUUAAUAUAAUUUAAUAUCUAAUAUAUUUCUCAAAAUAUUAAAUUUAAUAUAUUCUCAGGGUAAUAUAAUAAUAUUAUAACAUUAGUUAUUAGAAUAGCUUCUUUGUCUAUAAAUUCAGCCAUAUCCAAAUUAGGUGAUUCACCUUCUGCAAAUAGUAAUAAUAAUAAUAAGAUAUUUGUAAUAGUUAAAAUAGAGUUUAAAGUUUUUUGUUAAUGAGGAUAUCUACGCGUGUACGUGUAUGGCUCAUAAAAAAGAAUUAAGCUUAGAUAUAAUGUAAUUAAGGAGACACCUAUACGGUAUAAUUAAGUAAAAAUUAUAUAACGCUUUUAAUAGCUUAAACUUUUAGAAGAAAGUUCUUAAUAAACCUCAUGCUUAGUACUUUUAACAUAUCAUCAUUACGAAAUGUUUAAGACAACAAGUUUUAAAUAUAUUAUUAUUGUUAUAUAUUUAGUGAGAUUUCACCUAGGUAUGUUCAGAAACAUCUGAUAGGCCUAGUCAUUAAACUGUGCUAUCACAUAACCAAAAAUCUCAGAUUCGAGCCCUGGUAUAUGAAAAAAUCUUUAGUAAAGAACACUUCCCCCGAAUGAGCCUACGCUGAGCGAAUUUAAAAUAAGGGAAACUAAAAAGAAAGAGAGAGGCAAAACUUUUAAAACAUCAUAUCCCCAGAGUGACAGGAAAAGCCACAUUUUGAAAGCUAAUCAAUAUAGAAAAAAACAACAAGGGCAGAAUCACUCUAUACAAAAUAUUUAACUUGCCAGAGGGUUACAACUUACAACCUCACACUCCACUAUCCCCAAUACCAAGUGAUUUCCUCUAGUAAAAACAUUAGUAUAACAGCCAACUAUGGCUUGUUGUCAAAGACCAUUUGGAGGCCUAUAUACUCUAUAGCCAUUUACACUACCAGAAGACAUGUUUGAGUAGUCAGGGGCGUUAUACCAGUUACUGGGAUCGUUUUCUGCAGUCCUUAUUCCACGAAAAGAUGAAUCAGAACUCAUCAUUUGCCACUGGUUUGGUGCUGAGCUAUCAAUCUGCCCACUUAUAAAUCGUGGAUUAGGCUGACGAAUCAUAUCGCUUGCACUGUCUAAAGGGCCUUCAUAAAACUUAUGCUGGAUGUCAUCAUGAUAACUCCGUGUUUGCUCAAACCUAUUGGAACUUGUUGAAGGACCUGAGUCAGUGGGCAUUCCAAUAUCACCGGGAAAAGAGGAACGCCGAUUCAGAUGAUGUGACCCAUUGCUAUAACUUUGAAAACCUGUGGUGGGCAUCGAAGUCAUCCUUCCAAUUCCUUGCUCAUCAUCCAGCAAGUCGUUAAUGAUAUCAAGAUGUGGAAAUUCAUCAGCCAGUGAACUCUGGGACUGGCGUCCAGACGUGCAGGCUGGAAGCUCAGAUGGGAUGCGAUCAUGGGUUCUACUUACAGGCUGGAAGACAUCAAAGUUUUGAAACUCGUUUAGUAUAGAAGGAUGAUCCCGAGAUAUACUCCUGCUAUUCCUCUGGGAACUCUGCCAUUGAACUCCAUUUUGCACGGUAUCGUGACUUAGUCCAUAUGAAUAACUUGGUCUGAUACGACUAGGUUCUGUUCUUUCUGAUCCCUGUGGUAAGAAUAACGGCCCAGAAAUCCGCGAAGGUGAUUGAGGGUAUGGCUGCGAACAGUUAACCAUUGAACUUGGAGAAUAGGGUUGACUAAAACCAGUUGCAUUUCCAGAAACAGGAUUACCCACAAUUGCAUUUCGAUAGGACUGAGGAACAUAACUGUGGGUUGCUGGUGAAGGGUCAGAGCCCAAUUGACCUGCUGCACUCACUGAACAGGCCAAUAAUGGUGAUGUUGGAACCAUGGGAACAACAGAGGCAGCAGGCCUAGGCCAUGUACUACAGGACCAUUCAAGGAUCUGGACAGGGCAGGAACUUGUGAUUUGGACUUCUCCGUAGUCGCAGAGGCAGUCACUUGAUGAGAUUGGAAGUUCUGAGGUGUAAUGGAUACUGAAUGCACUGAGGGCUUCUCCGCCACUUGUCGUUCUAUACCUUUACCAGGAUCAGCCUUCAACAACACAGCAGUUUCGGCUAAAUUAGCCAAAGUAGUUGGUUUAUAAGUCAACUUAGAACUGUCCAAAGACGAUCUUUUAACAGAGUUUGAAUCACUUGUGGCCAAGUCCUUCAACUCUGAUUUUGACUGAAUGGCAGAUGCUGCACCUUUUGAAGGGCUUCUAGGAUGAGAUAUGACAUGUGGCUUCUCCAAGGGAGGUCUCUCUGAAUCAGGCUCACUCAGUUUUCUCUGCUGUGAAACUAUUACUUCCUGCAUACAAGGAAGCGUGGCAUGAAAGUUAGAAUUCACUUAAAAACAACAUAAGCAGAAUUAUGGCAUUCACUGCAAAGAAGUUGCCUCUAAAAUCCAAAAUGACAAUUAACAGAGUAUAAUUGAGCAUAUGGAUUAUAGAAUCUAAUAAAAUCAAGCAUGGCACACUUACUAUAUCUCCUUUGUUUACAAGGUAAACAGCUUAGAGCAAAAGAACUAGUCAGUUCAUCAAUAUUUCAGUAUCUUUCAUCCUCUUUCUGUUAACUAUAUAAACAAACAUGAAGGAACGCUGAAAAGAGAGGGACAGACCACCCCAUCCCCACCCCACCCAUCCAAAAAAACAAAGAAGAAAAAGAUCCAUGAAUAUGCUUUCAAGUGUUACAACUUGCAUUCCUUAGUAAAGCUUUUUUACUAGGAUGAAAUCCAGUCAAUUCCGUGGAGUAAGAGAUGAAUGCAUAAGGGGAGAAAAGGACAAACCUUCUUCAGCACUUCCCGAUCGUGUGAAUGCGCUAUAGCCUGGGACUCGGAUCUAGUUGCCCUAUGACUUACAGUUGUAUUAGAUAGCUUCCUUGUAUCUGGAAGAGCAUCUAAUGGCUGCUUAUGUAUUUCACUAGCCCAGUCGGUCGUACUACUGGUUGACUUGCUUCUGUGGUUAACCAAUCUAAAGAGUUGAGGCACCAACAAUUGAAAACCAGAGACAUCAUAAAAGAUAUUUAUUGAUGCCCAAAAUUUUUAAGAAGGUUACCUGCUAGGUGAUUUCUGAUUUUUAUGGUUCAAAGAAGUCCCUCUGUAAGGCGCAUUCAUAGCGACUGAAGGAACUGAAUCUGUAGAACACGUUGACGAACUAUCAUCGAUAACAGGAGGACUUCUCCCUGAAAUACCAUUCUGUGCAGCGGAAAGGCCACUUAACCCACAGAAGCUAAUUUCUGUAGAAGGAUGCAUUUCAAAGGUAUCAGUAUCCCAGUUGACAGGACAUGCACCUCUGUCUUCAAAAUCAGGGUGGUUUACUUCUGGGACACAAUCAACUGAAUCAGAAACAUACGAACCAUUUUCCAGCAUAUCUGGUUUCUCCAGCGCUGCCUCUGGCUCCUCAGUCUCGUAAUCAUUUCCAUCUAGAAUACACCCAUCUCGUUCAGCCUUCUCUUGCUCAAUUAUACAAGUUUUUCCAUCCCUUCCCUUAUCCUUCUUUUUGCGAUUAUUCUUUUUUUGUUUACCCUGAAAUACAAGGUAAGAAUGAUAAAGUGUAUCUACAAUAUUCUACGCAAAGCACUUUCUUCAAGUAGUGAAAAGGAUAAAUAUGUUCACUAAACCUCAAUGGACAGUUAAGAGUUGCGCACAAACUAGUUGGCAAAAUCUACAACUUUUAAUCCGUCUCAGCACAUUCUUGUUAGUUUCUCCUUAGUCCUUUUUCAUUUUGUUUACUUUCUGUUAUUCCUUUCAUUUCUUUUUCCUGCUAUUAUAAUUUAUACACAUGUAUUCUUCUCACUUUCAUGGAGAACAUAGUCUUUCUUCAUAAGCAGCUUUAAUCAGACAAGCUCGAUGAUGAUAUCUCUAAAGAAAACAAAAUUUAGGUGGUGCAAGGGAAGAAUAUACAACUACAUUAAUGAUGUCAAUAAUUGAAAGAAAAGACUUCCCUUUCAAACUAAAGAUAAAUACUUGAGCUAACACAAAAGAGGUCCUUUUCAGCAUUACCUAUAACCACAAUUGGUGCAUAAAAAGAACUCCAAACAAAGGAUAACUUUGCUUCUCGUCCCCUAAAGUUAAAUAGCUGAUAACAGAAACUCAAACUUUAAUACCCAAAGCCCAGCGUGUCUUAGCUGGCAAGUAAUUUUUAAUUUUCCAUACCAUGCAAGGACUCAGCAAUGUGUACCAGGUAACAAAGACAAUGUAAAAGAUAUAGGAGUCUUUUUAACACUGAUCUGGUAGCCUCACUUAAACAGAUGUCCGGCAUAUUAAAAAUAAAAUAUAGUUCCGAUAUCUUACCUGUGUAAUCAAAUACUAUAAACAUAUGCAAAAGGACAUGUACCUGCUUUCUCUUCGACUUCUUUUCCUUGUCAGAUGCUUUUUUAGCUUUCUGCUCAGUUUCAGCAAGCCAAGCAGCCUCCUCUUCAAGGAUGAGCUCCUCUUGCCUCUUUAAAGCAACAGCUUCCUGAUACGAAACCUCUAUUUUACUACAGAAGGUAAUUGUGUUUUAUCAGUAUAAUCUGGUCAUUGUUAACCAUCAAAAAUCUUGAGAUAAGGUACAACAUCAUUCCACAUAAAUGCAGCAACUGCUUCCGAAUUUGAGGUUAGAGAAUCUAUUUAGACUUUCUAACAUUAAAUGACGAGAAUAGAUUAACUAGAUAAGCCGAGGAUAGACAUUUCAAUAGCAACAGUGAUGAUGGUUACCUGAAAAUAUGUGUAAGGACAAAUAUUUCAAUGGUUCGACGACCUAGUUCAGUUAGGCGCCUCUCAUCACGCUCAAUGGAAUAUUUGUUAAAGUCCUCUCCAGAAGCACCAUCCUAAAAUUAAGAACAGUAUAAUAAGUAAAAAGGAAUGGAUAGAUAUACACUACGAAGAAAAGAACAAGUGCUCGUCUUUCUUUCCCUUAUUUUCCUCAAGAGAGAGGGAACGAGGAGUACGUGAUACGAAAAAGAAAUGGCAGCAAGACAAGUGAUCUGACUAGACUAAUUCUUAGUCAUAUACAUGAUUCUUUGAGUUAUCAUAGGCAUUGAAAUAGUUCAAAUAUCAUCCAUAACAACCGAAGUAUACUCACAAUCAUUAGCCUUGGUUCAUGAUCACUUCAUAAUUCCUUCUACCACUAGCCAAAAGCUCAAUCUCAUUCUUACUCACAUUCAGUAACUUAUCCACAAAAGCAGCUUCAGAUGUAACGGAACAUGCCAAUGAAUCAUAAGAUAUGUUUGUCCACAUAUAGGGAAUAUUACUGAAGCAUAUUUGUCUAUAAUAAAACCUUGAGAGAAGGACUAAUCUAGAUUUUGCUAAAACAAGGAAACAAAUCUGUGGGUGGCAAUAACAAGACACCCUAGUCAAAUAUAGAGAAGACAAAUAGAAGCUCGCUAGCAACAGUAUCAAUCGUGAGCCCCAUAGUUUCAGCAAUGAACGAAAACACAACUGCAGCAGGUGGUGCAAUUGAAGCCAUAAUUUUGUAGCAUUUCUUAAUAUGGCUUCAACCAUGGAAUUCUGUGAGUUACCUUUGUACGGUUAUGGAUACCUUUCUCGUCCUUUGGAGGCAGCGGUUCCAAGGCAGCCCUCUCAAGCAAUAGCAAGACGUCAUCCACCAAGACAAACAUGUCAUUGUCCAAACGAACAAUAGGAACCAGUUGUUCUUCUGCAUCCAAAUAUUUCCCCUUCCCUUUCUUUCCUUUAGUCUGGCCUUCAAUUGCCUUAAGCCCACUGUACAAAGAGUCCAUCACUAUAGUAGAUGUAACCUCUUUUUCAAUGAAGAAGUGUUUGACCACCACUUUCAAAAUCGGAUGUGAUUUCUCCUGGGUCAUUCGAUGCCUAGAAUUUUGGUCCAUUCCCAGCCAAAAAGCACAGAAACUGAAUUUCCAUGUCAAGUGAGAAGUCAGAAUGCUAUGUCAAAAUGCUAAAAAAUCACAAAUCCAAUGCAAACACAUAUUGCAUUACCUAUAUGAGGAUUAAGGGGAACGAAUAUGUCAUUCAAUAUAAAAUAUUACCCAUAUUCAUAACCACAACUGAAGUAUCUAAAUAAGACACGACAAAACAUAGAUAUUAGAAGCUAGAUAACUAUCUACACUAACAGUCUCUAAAACAAGAUUCAAAUUGAGGAAGUGAUGACAAGUACAUAGGUCAUCAAGGAUGUUGGAUCAUUCUUGUAAUUUACCUCUUUUUACAAGACUGGUAUAAAUAGUCUUUAACUCCUCAUAUUAGGGUGAGCUAAGUUUGAAGAUAGAGAAAUAAUCUUUGUGUGAAUUUAUAGGAGGAUUUGUUCUAGUAAUUAACGUGUUUUAUUUGCUAAAUAUCCUUUCUUUAUUCUAAAUCUCUCCCCCCUCUCUUCCUAUUUCUUAUGCGUAUACUUGUAAACGUGUAUUGCUUGUUUGAUUGUAGCUCAACUUAUUGUUCUUGCAUCUAGAAUCACAUCAAGAACCAGAUAAACAAUUGAGAAACUUUUUUACACCUUACCUCGACCAUCUAGCUUUAUCCUCUGUCAACUUUCCAAGUUUUCCUCGACGCACUUCCAUGAAACGGCGGCAGAUCUGUUCAACAUUGGUUAAAUAUACUCUAACAAGCUCCCUCCUAUAUUGACAGUCAAGACAACGGAAGGGCCGAUCAGCUCUCUCCCUACAAACAAAGAGCAUAGUCAGAAUGGGGUCAGGAUCAUCAUUUGAAAAAUCCAUCACGACAUCCAUGGAAUAGCGAAGUAUACUCAAUAGUCAAUACUAUAGAAGACAGAUUAUUCUAAAGAAAGGAGUACUGUAUGCUCAAGAAUAAUGGGGGAAUGAUGGAUAAACUGAAUAAAAAGUUAAUCUGAAAACUUAAAAGAUAGACAAAACCUUACAAAAUAAUGUUGUCUUUGACUCUUCGUAUAAAAAGACCAACAUGUCUACUAGAUCUACCUAGGUGCAAGUGGCUACGGGGUUCAAACUCAUAAUAUACAAAGUAGCGACAUUUCUACACAUCAUCAUGUCCAUAUUAAGAAACAAGAACAAUGUUUAACAUGACCCAUCCAGACAUAGAACAAACAGGUUCCAAAAAUCAUUGAUCUCCCAACUUUUCUUUUCAUUUCAUGGUUGACCAACAAAUAGCUAUGAAAUCAGCAUGUUUGAAACUCCUAUUCUGCGUCUCAUUCUUCCCGACAUAUACAAAUCCUAGUAAUACCAAUGAAACUAUCUAUGUGAGGAAAAGAUAAUGAGUUGUAAAGUUAAUGGGCUAUAAUCAUAAAUUUUGAUACAAGAAUGUGUUUCAGUUCCAUUUGAACCAUACAUGCUAUAAGAGGAAGAUAUUGAAAACAAAAAAUCCAUUGUGUUGUGUCAAACACCUGAUAGAAAAUCUAUGCCAGUGUGUCCAUGUCAAACAUCUUUGGCAUGUUAAGAUCCAUGUUGACCUCUUUCCGUCUGAUACAAUUUUUAUAUGUGAAAACCUAUGUGAAUGAAAAGUUGAACCAACUAGUCCUUUUAGAGCUUCCAAGCACGGAGAGGAAUCACAUUAACUUAAGAUUCCAUGUAGGUUAGCGGAUUAAAAAUAAAUAUCAAGUGCUGAAAAACACUUUAAAGUUGUGAAAUCAAUUAUAUAAACAAAUACUUACAUAUUUGGAUAGAAGUGUUGAAACUGAUAAUAAAUCAUUAAUGUAUUUGGUGAAACAAGUGUUGAUACACACUUCUCUAUUAAAAGUUAUUAAAAUGUCAUAAAAGUGAUUUCCAAUGAAUUUAUUUGGAAUAGGAUGAAUGGAAGAAAAAAGUAGAGAGAAAAUAAUUAAAAGCUUAGGCAAACUAAAAGUGCCUAUAAGUUGAAAAGUCAAGUUGGGGUUGACCAACUUAUGGCUUUUGACUAAUUUGGGCAUAUGAGCACUUUUGGACUUUGGUGUUCACAAAUAGACCAGCAAAUGGUGGUGGAAAUUCAUGCUAAUAGGCUAUAGCUAACCAUGCCAUAGGUAAUGUAAGAUGCAUAAACUGAUGUAAAAAUGAAAUAUAGACAAAUUAAAAUGAUAAAAUACCUAAUAACUUGAACUUGAGCUUUAAUUAUGAGGGUAUCAGCAUCAAUAAACCCUUCUAAAACUUUUGAAAGCUCCAUAAACUUUUUCCAACCCCAAUCAUGCUCGUUCUUCCAGAAUCGAUGUAGUGUAUCUGCAGAAAUCUGCAAUUGUGUUAACAAGAACAUGCAAAGAUUUUUCAAGAUCCAUUGCAAAAGACCAAAUGUAGUUUACCCACCCGAAUACUUGGACUUCUUAGGAUCUUUGUUCACCACAGCAAUAGUGAAUUGGGCAAAAUGACUCCAACCUGCUCUUAUCAAAAGACAAGAAAAUAUCAACAUCACCUUUACAAUAACACUUUGAAGACAGUUUGGAGUGAAUUACCAACAUUAUCACACCUGGAAGGAGCUUGUCAUGAUUAGCCACACACAGAAACAAAGAGAGAUGAUUGCAGACAUCACAUCCUUGAGGGUAAAUUAAUAUAUACCUGCCACAAUCAGUUUAAUCACAUCAAACAUUUGUCAGUAAUUUUACAAUUCCUGAAAUGGUGAUUAUCAUUCAAUAAAUAGAGGAAUAAACAAGCAUACAAGAUUAUAGUAAGCGUGCAUUAAGGGUGUAAAAAUAUCAAAUUUGGUACAACCCAAACUACAAACUUCAUAAAAACAGUGUCCACGAUACCUCGACAUCAAUGAAAUGGAUAACAUAAUGAUCAAACUCCAGGAGUAGUCGGCCUAUUUUCUAAGAGUAAACUAACAGUGUUAGGAGUCAUGCAAUCUCUCUCUAAAUACAGGUAGUGCAGGGAUGCAGGGACAAGGCUCCUAACUUUUCUCAUGUCACCUACUAAGUAUGCACCAGGAAGUAAAACUAGAUUUAAUUCCUUAUGUUCAUCCCAUUUCAAAUAGGAUUGUAAAGAUGACUGCACAAGGUGCGCGUUCCUCUGCUUUUACUUCCAAACAAGAGCACCGCAAAACCCUUUCCUCUUCUCUUUUAUUACAUCCUACUCCUGGUUCCUUAUCUAGCCAAACCUAACAUGGUCCAAACCAAAAACAAAAUAUGCACAUAGAAACAACAUGCUCCGCAAUUUUUUUAUUACAUAGAUGAGUUAUGUGCUCAUCUGAUUUUAUUUUCGAAAGAGAGCACUGGGAAUAACCCUUUUCUCUUCUUUCUUGUGUCCUGGCUUUUCUUCUAAGCCAACGUAACAUGAUCCAAACUACUUAAAAGUACGCACAUACAUAACUACCCACAAACUUCUUAUUUCCUAACUCAAUCGGUAGAGUCCAAUUCCUCCCACUAUAAUUAACUUUAUCCAGGCAGGAAACCAUAGACAUAUCUAAAGCAUCAGCAGAUAGUUUUUGAAAUUGAUAGACACUGGGCAUGCAGAAUUUUCCUCAUUGGACAAUAGUCACAAUACAUAUCUCGUUCUACAAGAAGAUGAGAAUGCAUAAAAUCCUUUCCAUUCAAAAGGAAGGAUGAGAACACAUGCAAGGGCCACCAAACAAGUAUGUGUCAAAAUAAUUCUUCCCAAGGAUAUCAUACCAUUUGUAGCCUCCAACCUCAAAUGCAUUACUCCGAAGUUCUCUCUUGUUUAUUUGUGAAAACUUAUCAAUCUUCCAGGUAUAUUUCCCAUAAAGCUCGGAAGGUUUAGAUCCUAAGAACAACAAACGAGGAUAACUGAAUAAAUAAUACAAAGGGGCUUCCACAAUAAGCACAUAAACGCAUACAGAAGGACAGAGAUGGUGAAGUGUAAGGAAGAAACUUCUGAAGAAAUAUCAGUAGUAGUCUCACAGCCUAGAAGCACACGCAACUCACAAUCUCAGUUAUGCCAAUUAAGAAACACAUGCAUAACCGAAAUCAGGUUGAUAAACAGUUACGGAUAGUUACUUCUUCUUUUUAUCAACACUACAGCAUCAGCCCCCACCCCAAAAUGAAGAAAUCAAAUAUACAACGGAAUAAAGGAGCUGUACUAGGAAACUACUCUUCAACAAUAGUGUUAUUGAUCUCAUGAGAUCACAAUUGUGAAACAACAUAUUCCACCAUGAAGAAGAAGUUACUUCAGGUAGUAUCUGCUUCACAUUAUUGCUUAGGUCUGACUUCUGAGACAGCAGUAGCGGUACCAAUGGUCAUGAAACCUCCUACAACUUAUACAUUGAGACACUAGUCUUGUUCACUUUACAUUUACAAACUUGAAAGAGGACAUCAAAAAGAGGUUGGAAUGCAUUGUCAGCAGAGUUGGUGACAAUAUGAAAGUGUAUAGAUGUAAACUAGGGUUGACAGAGAAUUAUGGAGGUACGUGGGUUUGGUCUACUAUCAAAUAGCUGGCAGUUCUAGACAAGUUUUGAAAUGAGAUGGUGAAAUCUGUCCCAAAAACUAUUCUUGUUGAUACAACAUGAAUCCGAAGAACACAAUUUGAGAUGAGGACUCAUUAUAAAUAGCAAAAGCCUGCCAGUAGCAUAUUUCAAAACAAUAUAGAGCUAUAGACAUCCAUCAACAAGCUACUUUCUAGUUUCUUCAAGAAGAAAAUUUCUACAUUGAUUUAAAAACAAAACAACCACCACCUCAAUCCUGUAAUAAGAUUUAAAAUCUCACAUAUAUAAAGGAUUUUUACAACCAAAAAUCAAUCAAGUUUUCCAUCAAACAACAGAUUACCGAACACCCUGUCAAACUUAGAACCAGAUAGUUAAUUCACAUCACCGGGAAAUUCCCAUAAGGGCCACAAAUGAUAAGUAUAGCUUUGAAACAGAGCAAGCACUGAGAUAGUGUCGUCGAUUACAUUAUCUGGGAUCCCUCGAUACAAAAACAAAAAGAGAGGAUCCCCUAUGUAAAAUCCUAUUCCUUUAGAAAGCUGAUAUAGUCUAGCAUGCAAACCAAGUGAAAGGCCACCCACCAAUGACAGGUAUAGUUCAUAAGCAAUCAAUUUAAUUGAUAUUCUAAAGAGUUCAUCUUCAAAUGAGCAGUAUAGUAAAUCUGAAGAAAAAAAUAAAAUAAUUAAACCACUAUUAACAAGACUCAAACUCUUAAGUGUUCAUAUUCAGAGCUCUUACACCAAAAAAGAAAGGAGAUAUUAAUCCAAAAUAAGUAUACAAUGAUUCCACUCAAUCUUUGUCGAAAAGAAAAACAGUGGAUGCAGGUAAGUCCAUAAUUAAAGAAUUGCAGGCAACUGCCAAUCUAUCUAAUGAAUGAUGCAACUUCCCUCAACUAAGUACUAGUAUCCUGAAACUCAUUCCUCAAAUAUGCAACUUCAAGAAACCACCAGAACUUCAAAAGAUCUUAAAAGAAUAAAAAGUAUGGAGCAAACAUCAAAACUGGCAAGCAGCGUCUUUCAAGAAUCAAAAGAAGACUUCAAAAGAAAUAAAAAAAUAAAGCAUAGAAAAUGGCAAGCAGCAUACCCGCAUCUCCAUCGUCAUCACUAUCCCAGUAAGGAGGCGAAGUUGAUGGAAUCCCAUUUUCCACCUGCUCCAAAGACCUCCAUUCAGCCAACGCUUCACUAGAUUGGCAUCUCCGCUGCCCAUUUGAGAGUCCCUCCAAAGACCUUGCACUACCUGCUUCCUCAGAUGCACUUGAAGCCAUUCUCACCCCACAACUCCCACCAAACUUCUAAAAGCUUCGCCUUUUCCAUCCAAAAAAGAUUAAACCACAUUUAAUAUAAACACAAACAUCUUCACUUUCCCACUUUUACAGACUUAAACACAAGAGGUAAACCCAACACAAAAACAUGAACCAAUAUCCUUGGAUUGUAUACUCCAGUUUAUCCAUAUGCAUAUAUAAUAAAUUAAUAAUUCAAAGAAACAAGGAUUUCUUUCAUUAAAAAACAAUGCAAAAACACAAAUCGGUACAUAUUCCAAAUGAAAUGACAAUUCCAAUUCACAAUUAUUGCAAUUACUGAAAAAACACAUUAGGAUAACUCCCAAUAACCCUAAUUCAAACCAACUUCCACUAAAUCAAAAAGAACCCCAAAAACAAAAAUAGAAUUAUACUCCAAACCCAAUCAGCAAAUUCAUCAAAACACAAAAAAGAUACAUUUUUUACUAAUUUACCAAAACCCAAUUGGACCAAAACCCAUCAAAGCAAGUAGAAAAAUCAACAACCCAGAUAUCAAGAAGGAUCAAAAAACACGAAUUGCACAAAAUAGACCCUACAACACAAGAAAAAGUAAAGGGGAGCUAGAAUUAAGAAAAAGAAUUGGUUAAGCAUAAUAACUAGAUUAAUAAAAUGAAAACAACAAGAGUAGAUCGAAGAGCAGAAGCAAACCUGUAGCAAAGAACAAAGCUUUUGUCAAUGGUGAAAAAUGGAAGCUGUGUAGAGAGAGAGUUGAGAGGUGGAAGAAACCAGCUGAACAAAUGCAGAAAAAAGAUUUUAUAUAAAUAAAUAAAUAUAUAUAUAUAUAUAUAUAUAUAUAUUUAAUUCUUUUAUAAUUCAUAGAUUUAGUGCCAUCUAUUCUUACAUAUAUAUAAAAUAAAAAUAAAUGAAUAAAUAAAUAUUCUUUCGUUUUUCAGCUCAUUCUCAACAUAUUUAGGUUUUCAUUUCCUUUUUCUUCCCUUUUUCUUUUUUGGUUAUUUUCAAGAAUUUUCCUUUUAUAACAAUUUCAUUUUUUUUCUCUUUUUUGUCCAUGACAAUUUUUAGUGGUUUUCUUUACCAUAAUGCAUUCUAUUUAUUGUUAGUAUAUAUUUUUAUUUUUAUUUUUUGAGAAAAAAUAAUUAUAUUAAUUAAAUUUUGCGUAUAAAGGAAUGAUGAGCGACUCUAUUAAAAUACAUAUUUUUAUUGUAUUGUUAGACAUUAAAAAGGAGAUGAAUAUGUGAUAUCACUAUAUGUUGUCAUAAAAAGACUGAGCGUCAUUGUGGCUAUGCGUUGAAGCCUUGAAGAUUCUUCUUAGAGUUAUGGUACCUCUUUGAACCACUUGUGGUAGAUUGAUAACGGAAAAUAAGGAUAUAACAUAAUGAUAUUGUUUUAUAUAGGAUCUUACAAAAAUGUGCAAAUCAAUAUGCAAUAAUAUAUUAUUCCCGAUACACUAGAUGUUUGAUUACGUAAUUAAUAUACAUCACAAGAUAUUACAAUCGUCGGAGACAAGAAAAAUUGCAUUUAUAAGUUCUUUUGAUUUAAAAUUAUCUCUCAAUCGACUAUUAUCAUAUAUUUGCUAUUUCUCUUUGAUGCAUUUGGAAUGUUUUGUUCUUUUUUAAAAAUCAAACUCAACAAAGAAUAAAGUGAGAAGCCAGUGUGAAGUGAAUUAACAUGUGUCUUUGAAUUUUAUUAAAUAUAAUGAUAAAUAAUCAUAUCAAAAUAUAGUAUUUUUCUAAUAUAUCAUAAGGUGUUUUAUAUUCAAAGCUUUGAAUCUAAGGGUGUAAGAUAUAUUAUGAAUGAUUCAAUUCCAUCACAAUCAUUAUUAAUCCUUCAAGAUCUAUUUCAUGACUCAUAUAUUUUAUUUUUUAUAUUGAGAAAAGAUAUAAAGACACCAUCAAAGUUGUCCUGUAUUUGCAUUAAAAUACUUUAACUUUUAAAGUGUCCUAUCACCCACAGUAUUAUUUAAUUUUUUCUGUAAAUGGACCAUUUUGACCCAUUUCCUAGUCUGAGUUGUUACCACGCACAUGAGGCGCGUCAUGCCUUAUUUUUACUGUCAUGGACCAGUUUAAAGGUGUCAUGUGUCAUUAUUUUUCUUUAUUAUUAAUUAUUUUUUAAACUCAAAAUAAUCAUUGUUAGCCCUAAUUUUUCAAUUUCAUAGCUUUUUCCAUAGCAAAAUCAACGUUGAUACUCUUUGUUUGACCACUUCAUCAUCUUCUCUAAGAAAAUAAGACAUCACUAUUGGCGAGGAACUUCUGGAUCAAUGAAGAAUGUGAUUUUCUUGUUCAAUAAAUUCAAAGUAAACACUUCCAAGCUAUGGAUGCUCCUGUCUAAGCAUCACAACUGGCCAUAAUGGCUGAGAAAAAAAUUGUCUGCCACAAGUUGGCCAAUGGAACAUGAUGAACAAGAAAAUGGUUAAUGGAGGAACUGUUGUCAAUUGGAACUGCAUUAACUUUUCCUGCAAUGUGCAAGAAAGUGUUACGCAUGGGAUUUGUUCUAGGCAAAAUUUUGUGUCUCUUUACAAAAUUUUGCCCGAAAUCUCAGAGACACACCUAUACUAUACUAAGGUCCUAUUACCCCCUAAACUUAUUUUAUUAAUAAUUUUUUACCCCUUUUUAGCCUACGUGGCACUAUCUUGUGGGCCCAACGAUGAUUGACUUUUUUUUUUCAAACUAGUGCCACGUAGGCUAAAAAGGGGUAGAAAAUUACUUAUAAAAUAAGUUCAGGGGGUAAUAGGACCUUAGUAUAGUAUAAGUGUGUCUCUGGAAUUUCGAGCAUAGGUUGAGGGGGUGCUUGUGCAUUUUCCCGAGAAAAUAUAUAAAGUCCACCCUGAAUUAAUAUUUCAUUUGUAAAGAGACACUUAAAUUUUGCGGGGUCCUAACACCCUGAACAAUUUAGAAGUAAUAACAUUGCCUCAUAUUUCGUUAAAAUCAGUUGUGAGAAAAUAUUUGAUUUUUACGCCCCAAUCUCAAAUCGCCAUGUGUUAAAUGUCAUAAAUUAUAAAAGUAAAUAUGAAAAAAGAAUUUUUUUACUUCUUCCCUUUCUCUGACCUUCUUCAACAAAUAAGAAAUGACAAUUAACUCCAAUAAGAAACGGUAAACAAAAAUCAAUCUCUUAUUUUUAUGUUAUUAUCAUUGUAAUUUUAGAAAAACAAUUAUCAUUUUAUUCUAUUCUUUGACUAUACAAAUACCUUCUAUUAGCAGUUUAACACCAAGAUUGUUGAAGCAACCAUGACUAACCACCAUUAAUGUCUGUCAUUUUUGCCAGAAAAUGCUUAUUCGUCAGAUAAUAUGGUGACUAACAAUGACCUUCUUUCUCUUCAUUUUUUCUUUUCAUGACUUUUGUUAUCUUUUCAUCAUAUCCGUCAGAAAAUAUCAAAUGUCGACUAUGAUAAAUUGUACCAUCGCAAUGACGAAGAAGAUAUGUGAAGCAAAUGACAGGUCCAAAAGGAUGACUAAAUGAGUACUCACCACUUCACAGUAAAUCGAACUUCGAGAAAUACUACAGUGCUCGGCCAUAGACACUCCAACAAGUUUCAAAAGCUGUUAAUGGUGUUUAAAUUGAUUCGUGGAAGAUAAAUCUUUAUUUUAAAAAAAAAUUCAAUUUGAAAUGCCACACGACUUUUUUAUAUUGGUUAGAGAUUGUUUUUUAAACUACUCACGCUCUCUUGCUAUGUGAGAACACAACAGGUGCAAAAAUAAGUGAAAUUACGUAUCAAAUAUCAAAUUUGAAAGUAGUUUAAUGAGGCAAUAGAAAGUUAGAAACUUCAUAAAAUUCAAGUAUCUUUUUACAAAACGGGUCUAACUUUAAUGGAAUAAUGAUAUAUUUUCUCUUAAUAAUGAAAAAGUAAUAUAAUAAAAAAAACAUAACAAUCUUCUAAAUAUAUUCAUUUAAAACAUCAAGAAAAUAAUUUACAAGUUAUAACACCUUAUUUACGUGAAAUUUAAGUUAAUUUCUACCUAAAGCAAAAAUCACAAACUCUUAAUUAAUCUUAAAGGAAUGUUUAUAUUUAUAGAAUAGUAACAAUUACUUCUCUAAAAUUGACAUCUUUAAUGAAAAAUACCAUUUAAUUGGAAAAAGAAAAUCUUUUGUCAUUUUUAUAUAUCAGAAAUAAAAAGUGUACUUGAUCCAUAAUAUUUUGAGAAAAUCCAAAAAUUACCCUCUUAAACAUUAAACCGAAUUUUUAUUUAGCCCUAAUAUACCUUCAGACGAUUCUUAAUUGGGUGGCGGCGGCGGCGGCAAAUCGACGGUACUAUUGAGCAUACUGUCAAACAAUUUUAUGAUGAAAAUUUCGACUCUUUCACGCAAUUCUCUGCAAAAAUGUUACUUCAUUCUAAGAAGAGAAGGUUCAGAUUCGUGUUUCUCUCGCCGGAACAACUCGCCGGCAAAUGGAAAGUUAUGGCUGCAAUUUGCAUUCGAGGUGGAAUGAUGCAAAGCAUAGAGGAUUCGUUUAUUGUGAGGUAUAAGACAUGAUUUUCAGUAUAAAAUGUUAUAUUAUUUUAUUCUAUGUUUGAUCGGAGGUAUUACGUAUAUAGUUUGGAAUAUGCAGCAAUACACUUUCAUUUCAUUUAUAUUUGAUGCUGUUACAUAUAUUAGUUGGUGUAAAUAUUUUUCUAAGAAACAAUUUUCUUUAAAUGAGAAAAAUUAUUUUGUUAAUAGAAAUAUAACAAAAACAAGUUUCAUAAGUAAACAUUUCAAGUUCGGUAUCUUCUACUCAACCAACCAACCCUCGAUAAUCUCAUCCAACAAACAAUUUUGAUCAAUUCAAAAUGUUUAUAACCAAAAUCAAAGAGAAUUAAAAAGUACAACAAGGUGGAGGAUGAAAAAACAUGAACAAAUUAAACCAUAUACAUUGGAAUAUGCAAUCAAUUUAGGAAUCCAAAUAAAACUUCACUUAUAUAUAUUCAAUGCGGGUACAUAUACUAAUUAAAUCUAAUAUAAGUAGUCAAAAGGUUAGUCAUUGAGAAAAAAUCCUAAAACAAAAGUUAUAAUUCUCAUAUUGUCCUUUUAUAUAUAGAGGCUUCCAUAUAUUUAUUAGAAAAAUUGAUGAUAAUCACUAAUGACCUGAUGAAUUGAGGUUGUCACGUGUUAUUAAAGGUAUAAUAUACUUAUGUAUUAGGUAAACCACUAAUGUAUAAUAUUUUGACUUUAACUUUAUGGAGUUAUUUGGUCAGGAACAAUUUAUCUCAUGAUUAAAUUAAACUACAUACCUUGGAAUAUGCAUCAAUUUAGGGAUCGCAAUAAAGUUUCAUUCAUAUAUGUUCGAUGCGGUUAAAUAUACUAGUGGAAUCUAAUAUAAAUAGCCAAAAGGUUAACCAUUAAGAAGAAACCCUAAAACAAAAGUUGUAAUUUUUAUAUUUUCCUUUUUAUACGUAUUGGCCAAAGCCCAAUGUAUCUAUUAAAAAAAUUGAGAAUAAUCAUUCCUGACCCAAUAAAUUGAGGUUGUCACAUGUCAUUAAGUGCCUAAUAUGUAUGCAUAUUUAUUAAGCGUUUAAUAACACGGGACAAUCUCAAUUUAUUGGGUCAUGAGCGAUUAUUCUCAAAUUCCCCAAUAGAUUUAUUGGACUUGAGCCUCUAUGUAUUAAAAAGAUAAUAUGAUAAUUAUAACUUUUAUUUUAGGUUUUUUUUGUCAAUGGUUAACCUUUUGACAACUUAUAUUAGAUUCAACUAAUAUAUGUACUUGCAGCGAGUAUAUACAAAUGAAACUUUAUUGGGAUCCCUAAAUUGGUUACAUCUCCUAAGAUAUGUAGUUUUAUUUAAUCCGACAAUAAGUUUUUCCAAUCAAACGACCCUUGAAGGUUGAUGUUGAAAUACUAUAGAUUGGUGCUUUACCAAAUAGAUAAGCCUACAUAUUAGACAUUUAAUAACACGUGACAACCUCAGUUUGUUGGGUCAUGAGUGAUUAUGCUCAACUUCUCAAAUAAAUAUAUUGGGCUUGGGCCUCUAUGUAUAAAACAGACAAUAUGGUAAUUAGAACUUCUAUUUUAGGGUUUCAUCUAAAUGGUUAACCUUUUAGUUACUUAUAUUAGAUUCAACUAGUAUAUAUAUCUGCGCCGAAUAUAUAUUAGUUAAAGUUAUUUGGGAUCCUUAAAUUGAUUGCAUAUUCUAAGGUAUGUAAUUUAAUUUGUUCAUGUAUUUUCAUCCCCUUAUCUUUUUGUUAUCUCUUUGAUUUUGGUUAAGACCAUUUUGGAUUGGUCAAGAUUGUUUGUUGGGGUGUGGGGGUUGGAGGCGUUGGUUAGCUGAAGUAGGGAUAUUGAACUUGAAAUGCUUACUUAUGGAUUUUGUUUUUGCUUCUUUUAUUUCUAUUAAGAAAAUAAUUUUCCUCGUUUUAUGUAUCUUAAUUCUUAGAGAAAAUGUUUCCACCAACUAAACAUGUGUAAAUUUUUAAAUUUGUACCAACAUACACCUUUGAGAUGGAUGUAUGGGUCAUACAAGAACGGAUAAAAUUAGAAAUAAAGAUAUUUAGGAUGAGAGUGAUUUUUGUGGUAGACAUCUAUGAGUAUAUAGACUGAAAUGGUUUAGACAUGUGAAAAAUAAAUGCUUCAAUGAGGAAGUGCUAGAGUUGAUUAUGUUCGGUAAGGAUAUGACACAUUUUGCAGCUUAUUAAGGACAUUGCUCUAGAUAGUAAGACAUAGAAGUUGAGAAUUAGGGUAGAAAAUUGGUAGGUAAUCGAACAUAAUGGUGUCCAUUAUUAAGGACAUAACCCUAGAUAGUAAGAUUUUAUUAUAUUUUACUCAACCUGAUGGUCUAUUAGAAACAAUCUACAAGGUAGGAGUAAGACUUGCCACACCAUGCUUCUCCAAAUCCCACAUGUGGACUAUAUUAGGUAUGUUGUUAUUCUUGUGUGGGGAAGAGAAAUAGAGGGCUAGUAAAAAUUGAUGAAAUAAUCUUCUAUGCCUACUUAUAAUUUGAAAAAAAUGCUAUAGUUAGGAUCUCCCCGGUUACUUUUGGUGACUACGAAAAAUGUCACAUGACUAAAUAACAUUUGUAAUAAACUACAAAACCAAAUUUCUCUUCAAGAUCGAACUUACACUUAUUUGUCGAAUACUUUAUUGAUACUACUAGACUAAAAGUUGUGGUGAUUCCAUUCCAAGUAUAUCGUGCAUCCAUUUGGUAAUGAUGUCAAAGUUUUGCUUUUUAAUCUUCUUAAUGUUAUUUAACUCUUUUUUUAUUUAGUGGUCCAAACAAGGAGGUAUGUUUAAUAGAAAUAAAUUCUGAUGACUAUGUAUGUUACGGUAGAUAAUCAAUCCAUAGCUAACAAGGUAAGUAAAUUUUCUGUAAAUGUAGAAUAUCUUAGGUAUCCUAUAUAAUAUUCUGUGUAAUUUUCCUUGUUGGGUUGCAAUGAAUCUAAAUGUGUGCGAAUGUAGACAUGUGUACUUGUUAAAUAGCAACCAUGUUUCAUUAGUUACUUCUAUCCCUUAAAUAUAUAUAAUGUCUUUAGAAUGAACUUGUUGAUAUAGGGAUGCAUCCAUGUGUGUGAGAUUAAGGAAGUGAUUGAGAAUCAUGAUGUUUCGGGUUCAUUUACCAGUUGAGACAAAAACAUUAGGUGAUUUCUUCAUGUCUAUCCUAGCUUUGGUGAACAAAGUUACUCGGUACAUGUUGUCAAUGGGAGAGGUAAUAGAUAUCCAUAGAAUUAGUUGAGGUGUGAGCAAACUGACUUGGAUGCCACAGUUUUAGAACAAUGAACUUGUUGAAGAGAUCGACACAGAUUAAUCGUCAAGGUUUGUUUCUCAGAAAAGUAUGUAGGCUUUUGAUCUCCUUAUGCUUUCAAGUAAUCACCAAAGGGCAUGGUUACCAAGGGUGUGGUUUGAUUCGAAGUGAACGAAGACAUUAUUCAUUUUAAGCUGAAUCUUCGUCACUUUCAAACUAAAGACCUUGGUAAGUUGGAUUACAUUCUAGGUAUUAAGGUGACACUAUCUAGGAUUGAAAUUUUCAUUUCACAAAGGAAGUAUAUAUUGGACAAAUUGGAAGAAUAGAGCUUGUAUGUGAAACAACUUCUCCAAAAGAUUAGGUAUGGAAAAGAUGCACCAUAAAAUUGAUAUGGGACAAUCAAGCUUCAAUACAUAUUACUUUGAACCUAAUUUUUCAUGAAUUAAUGAAGCAUAUUGAAGUAAAUUGUCAUUUUAUUUGACAAAAGACUGGAUCGAGGUGCAUCAGUGAUUUCUCUGAGUUAACCUAGAACCAGAUGACCAAGAUCAAGAUCUUGAAGCAAAAACCAGGGCAAAAUAUGUUAAUUUUAGAAAGGAAUAAUCCAUAAAUGUACCCUUUAACUUGGUCUCAAUUGAUAUCUAUUCUCUCCAACUUUGGGUGUGCAUAAAUAGAUACUUAAACUUGGCUGACGUAUUUUACAUGCCAUAAUACACGUUGGACACAAAUUGCCACGUAGGAUGCAUGUCUUCUUAUGCACACCCAUAGUUGGAGGGCAUAGAUGCUAGUUGAAGCCAAAUUAAAGGGCACAUUUAUGUUGACAAAUAUAACUAGGAAUGAAUUGUUAAAAAUGAGAUGACAGGUGAGAAUUUGAACUAGUAGUAUGUAAUGGUGAUGAUGACUGACAAUUAAUAAUUGUGAUGGAUGAUAGUGAUAACUUAUGGUUGGUGACAAUGGAUAACCAUAAUUGACGAUAUAUAAUGAUGACUGAUGGUGGUGAUUAUUGGUAGCGAAGGGUGGUUGUUGCGGUAUAGGCAAUUGUUUUUGAUGAUUGUAAUGGUUUCUAAUGGUGAUGACAAUGGAUUGUGGUGAUUGUCAGUAUGGUGGUUAUGGACAGAAGUGGUUGAUGGCAGUGACUGAGGGUGGUGGUUGAUAAUAAUGGGGUAGCAACGGCGUCCAUGAGGGUGGUUAGAUGUGGAAGUAGAAUAUUGGUGAAAUGCACUAUUUACAUUAAUCAUUCAAAUUUAUUUAGACCUAUCAAAUGAUUGAAAUAAAAAGCAUACUUAUCGAUCAAAAUUUGAUUGAUUUAGACUCAUACCUAAAAUCAAAGACACUUGGGGGCUGUUUGAUAGGAUGUAUUAGAGAAUCUAAUAAAACUAUUAGUCAUGGUAUGUUAAGUCCUUUACUUGGUAAGAUUUUCAUGUACCUCCUAUUCAACAUUAUAGGCUGUAUAACUUAUACAUAGCAAAUCAGGGUAUUAGCAAUACAAGAGCAAUUAAUACAUGAAUAAGCAUGGUUAAAUGCAAAACUCUCCUUAAUACACCAAAACCACGCAGUGAAUAGGAAAUUAUUCCAGUAUAACUAAUCUCAACAUUAUAAUACACAUUCAGUUUUAAAAAAAAACAUUACUUGUACACCUUAUUCAAUAUUGUUCUUAUACACUCCCAAACGACGCCUUAAUGAUUGAGAUCUUGAUUCAUGAAUUAUAAUCCCGUGCUCAGUCAACAUUGACAUUAUCUGGUUCUUAUUAUCAAUAUUUGUAUAUCGAUAAUACAACUAUGAUUGUCUAAAUUUACGUACAAUUUUGCAGAAUCAGUGUUUGAUAGAGCUGCUUGUUUAGUAAAGAUAUCAUGGGCCAGAAGUAUCAAUUACCUUUCAAGGAAGGGCAAACAGCUGAAGCAAGGUGUUUGGAGGAGGGAUAUCGUGGAGCGUGGUUUCGGUGUAAGGUACAAAAAUACUUGAGGAGUAUAGCAUGAGCUUCUGUCUUGCAAAUUAUAUUAUUUGGAUUGUAAGCAUAUAGAGCAGUUUCAUUUUAAAUGUUGAAAAAUAUUUAUUAGUUGUAUCUAGUCCCUUUUGAACAAGUUGAUGGUAACUUUGAUGUACUUUUCUUGCUCUCUUUACCAAUUAAUUUGCCCUAAGAGAAGAGUAUAUUUAUUUCUUGUCCAACUUUGUGCUUAAUACUCACAUGGUUCUCUAACAAUGCUCUUAACUACUUUUUUAGUAGAUAGACAUAUUCUGUUUGAAUUGUUUCAGAAUAUGCUAUCCUUAUGACUUGAAUAGAGGUGCAGUGAGUGUUCUUAAACUUGUACUGAAACACUUUUGGUACCAACUGUAACUACUCUGCAUCUACUUGAUGCCAUGCUAAUAUAACAUCUUCAUUAAAGAAACAGUUGUGGUACCAAAGGGUUUCAUCUUCUGGACUUGCUCUGUGCUUUCUAUCAUGCAUAAUGCUUUAGUUUGUUUGGUGUUAGUCAAUAGUUCGGAGGCAGUAGGUGGUUGUGGGGAGUACAAUAUAAGGUACAAACUUUAAUUAGUGGGGUAUUUUGGUGGAUUCUAGGGGGGUGGGGUGGUUGUUGGCUGGAUAGCUUGGUCACGAUCCAUUUGUCUCAAGUUAUUCAUCCAUUUGUUUUAGUUUAAUUGUUUUCUUUACUUAUUUUAUGUCCUCUCGCUGUUUCAGAAAAAAGAAUCAAAGGAGAACUCUUUUAUGUCUUUGUGUGUGUUCUCCACUCUUUCAAAGCUUUGCUGUGAACUGCAUAUGCUUGGCUUCUAUUUGUUGAGGGUACUGAUUUCUGUAAGUAAGAAUAGAAAAAAGUUGUAAACGUACGGUUAUGGUUGCUCAGUAAUAUCCUGAAUUUGUAUGAGAUUCACAAGUUCUUAGAGCAUUGACUGCUUCACUCCUAACUGCUUAAGUUUCAGUUUGUAAAACUUCUGCCAUAACAACUAUGUUGAACCAUUUGGUGGUUCUCCUCAAAUUAAAGUCAUUGUAUAAGAACUUACCCUUUUGGACUAAGACAGUUUGUAACAUUUGUAAUCAAUGUUUCAUCAGCCUGCUGUUACUUGUUGGGCUGAUGGGGGUUAACCAUAAUAUAGGAUUUUAGUUUGUUUUUUUUUCAUUUCAUUUUAGAGAUUUCAACUCUUUUCCAUAUUUUGCAUUUAAAUAAUUGUUUUUUGCUGGUUAUCAAUAAAAAUAAAUUGCUUUUUGCUAGACGAAAGACUUUUUAUUGAUUAAAGUAGACUUUUGAUGCAGUUACACUUUUCUUGUAUAUAUAUAUAAUAUCAGAUACAGGAGAUAAGCCUCAGAGGAGGACAUUGGAGCGCCUUAUUGCAAUACUUAGACUAUCCAGAUGAAAGUAUGUUCUCUGAUAUAUUCUGGUUAAUUUAUUGUUCUUGCUAAUUAACAGAAUGCCUUGUGCCUUGCAAUUUCGAUGCUUAAAUUCAUGGGUGCAUUUUUUUCUAUUUAAUUCACAGGAUAAUUUACUUUCUUGAUAUCUGAAUUUUAUAUGACAAUGCAUGGAGAUUAUAUGCAGAGACUACCAUCUAAUGUAGUUACUAAAUACAAUAUCCUACCCAGUCAAUCCCACAAGCGGGUUCUGCAGUUGUAGUUGCUAAAUACAUGUACAAAAUAUUGUUGUGAAAAGUUACCUAAGAUACUUACAUCUCAAGGCUGUAGCAGUUGUAAAUUCUUAUCACUCAUUUGAAAACCUGACAUAUUUGGCAGUAUCAGAAGUAGACAUAAACACAUUUUAUAUGUCGAAGUUGUCUCGACUCUUUCCCUGGGCAGAAUUGGGGAGUUGGAGCUAGACACAGAUCCUCUUGAUGUUCGUUCCAACCAAGGCUAAAAAAAGUUAAUAAAUAUGUGAUCACAGAGAAAUUGUUUAAUGUAGUAGUAGUAGUUCUUUUAUUCAUGUUUUUGAUUCUUGAGAGCUGGUUUAUUGAUCUAGAGUAAGUGAGCCGAAACAGUACCUCCUAAUCUUUUAUGUACAUUUUAGUGUUUGUUAGGGAGAAUGUCACUGUGCUGCUAGCCCUAUUGCCUUCUGUCAUUGAACAACUUCAGCUAGUUACCUUCUUUUCUGUUAAUGUCAUUGGGAUCAAUGGAGUUUUGCUCUUUACAACUUGUUCUUUAAUGCUUCCAUUCUUGGUCAAUAGAUGCUGAUUUUUAUGUCAAUGAGCAUGUACACUGGUGUGUUUCACUCACCCGGAAAUUCUGAAUUACAAAUCCUAAUUCUCAUCUUCAUUGCCUCCUACUUCAAGCUUUCACAAAUUUUGUUAUAUGAUAUUAUAUUCUCAUAAUUAUCUCCAGUUCCAGCAUUUUAUUUACCUAUUCCCUAGUUGUGGUUACAGUAACUUGCAACUCGAAAAUUCAGCUAGUUUUGAAUAACUACCAUCAUGAUAUAACAAAUGGAGAAAGUUAGCUGUAACUGGUCAUUUCUGCUUUAUUGAGUUCAGUGGUAAAUGCUGAGCAUUUAGUAUGGGUUAACCUCAUAUGUCAUGACAAGUUACUCUUCAGAGUUUUCUUGAUUUGUGAAUUGAGAAACUUGUGUAUUUGGAUAUACUGUUGCUUUCAGACUAUAUCCUAGUAAUUGUUACUCGUCGUUGUGAUUGUCAUUAUAGAAUGGGCAUGGACAGAGCUAUAUCAGAUGGGGCAACUGAUGCUGCGGCCUGAGUAUCCUCCAGUCCACUUGAAAAACAAAGUGUCUGAUGUCAGCUCAAAUUCGGAUGCAACUCUUGUUUCUGAUGGUACUUGGAGGGAGGGCGAUUUGGUUGACUGGUUGUGCGAUGACUGUUAUUGGUCCGGUCAAGUGACGAAGUUACUAGACAAUGGUAAAGCUAAGGUAAUAAUAUUGUUUAUGUUUCAUACAUGCUGAUUAAUUUGUUGUGUUUUUACUGCUGAUAUCCAGUUAUCUGCAUUAGGAAUCUGCUAGUUGUCCUUUAGAAAUAAAUUACUGUAAAAAGUUGUUAAGGAUAUUGUAGGUAUACAAGGUAUUUACUGUUAUGGUGUAUUUACAGUAUCGUUAACAUUGUAUUGGAAUGAAUUGAACUUGGAUAGCUUUAUUUGGGAUUGAAAUUUGAAAGUUGGUCGAUUGAUUGAUUAUUUGAGAUCCUCAGGCAAAAUAAUUACUUUCUGGGGACUGUCAUGAUGCCCUUUUACUUUAGAUUUAUUUCUUCAAAUCGAUGUGAUAAUUAAAAGCAACUUUAGUUGUGCACUUAAAUUUUUUUCCUUGAGGAUCCAUCCUCUACUCACCAUACCUGACAGCUUUUGUAUCUUUGCUAAUGAUUUGUUUGAUAAUACUUCAUGUUUUUUUCUUUUUAGAUUGAGUUGUUGCCACCUCCAUUGGGUGAAGGUAAAACUUAUGACGCCUUUGUCAAGGAUUUGCGUCCAUCCUUGGAUUGGUCUCCAGAGCGUGGUUGGGUUAUGCCUGCAUCACAGGUUCUGUGUCCUUAAACUUUUAUUCAAAUUGAUAUGACGUUGAGGCAUAGUUGAGUGAUGAUUGUUUAUUGAAGAAUGGGCGUUUUUCUGUGCACGGUUGCUUCUUUUUGGUCAGGGAAUAUUUUCAAGAAAAGCAUUCAAUCAUUUUAACCAUUUACUCUUUAUACCAUUCCGUUACUUGACAUAUAUUCUGCUGUAUACUUCUUCCUCUGGUGCUUAUUUUUCUUUCGUAUACUUGUCUUGUCUUUUUACCACUGCAGGUUGGUGAAAGUUCUCGUCAGUAUCCUAAUCUACUUAAACUUGUUAGUCAUGGUAACAAUAAUGUGAUGCAAACUUCUUAAUUGAUUGUCAAAGAACUUAUUGCUGUACCCACAGGGGUAAAAAGAAUGUAGCUCUUGUAAUACAUGGAUUAAUAACAUUAAAAUCCAAAACUUAGCCUCAUAUUAGUAGACAAACUUUAUUUUGUGCACUAAUUGCUAUAAAUCAGUCUAAACAUCCAAAAAGAAAUAAUCCCUACAUUACUCAUCUCUGCACAACUCGUCUCUAAACCAAAAUGGCUUGUAAUUGUAGGGCAAGCUAUAGUUAAAGGGAAAAGGGGCAGACCGGCAAGAACUGGAUCUUCCUGAAGAACUUGCUUAGAAAUACUCGCUUGUAGUGAAACCAUCACUACAAGUUCGUAUUUCUUUUCUGCACAACAAUUCUUUGUUCGACGUUCAGCUGGAGAAUGCCUUUUGAGGAGCCACUUGCUGUACUCCGUUACUUUUUGCAUCUCCAUUACAUCAAACUUUUGCGAUUACUCAUUGAAUCAUAGAGGUGAUAUACUGUCCUUCUCGUUCGAUAUUCAUGCAGACUUCUUUCCUGAAUCUUUUCGGUCAUUAUCAAAGCUGUGUUAAUUCUGGAUGAAAUUUCCAACUUAAUGUCUGUUGUUGACUGAUAAAAUUGAUGUUAUGUACUAGAUGUAUUUUUUAGUACUUGCUAUGUUGGAUGUUUGCCCCAAUUGCAUUGUUCCAGUAAAGAUGAAACUUCAAAAAUUUCCUAGUUUCUGCGAUAUUAUAAAUCUUAUUAGAUUUUAGUGCGUCUUUUGCGAUGUAUGUGUCAAAAUUAGGUGUAAUUGGUGCGUCUGUAGCUGCUACUCUCCUAUGUGUCUUAUAUCUCAUAUAUGUAAUUACAUUAGAUAUAUACAAGUACAUGUAUCUAGAUUCUAGCGUGUAAAGAGUGUGAUUUGAAUGCAUAUGAAAUACAUGGAUAAAUCUCCCUUUUAUGGUUGCUUGCCUCUCAUUUUAAUUGUAUUUGGUAGAACAAAAUAUAUCUAUAGACUAUCUAACUUGAGUAAGAUGAUACAAGGGAGAAUUAAUCAAUCAACACAACUGAACUUGUAAUUUUUAUGGAAGAAAUGUAUAUAUAUAUAGGAAAAAAUUUAUCUGCACUGAAUGUUUAUAUAGUGCAUGUUUAUAUCAAGCUGAUGCGAAAUGUAUUAUUAUGUAAUCUAAUGAAGUAAGAUCAAUUAUAAAUUUAAACACGUGACAUGCAUGUAUUGACUUGGUGUAAACAUACAGAUAACUUUUAUCUAUUAUUAUUAUUAUUAUUAUUAUUAUUAUUAUUAUUUCAUUUCAUUAUUUAAAAUGUGAUGGUUCAAGGGACUAAUGGAAUAUACUAGCUGGGAUUUUUUAACUUUUAAAUUAAAAAUAAACGAUCUUUAAUUAAUAAUAGUAGUAAAACUUAUCCUAUGCUUACGUUUAGACAAAUAAUGGGAUUAAUUAGCAUUGUAGUCAUUAUCUUUAAUGGUAUUAAUAAUUAAAUACUCAUAGACGACAUGAUUAAGAAUCUUAGGAUUACAUGGCUUUCAAUUUGGGAUGGAAAAUAAUAAAUAAUAUUUUAGUCGUUUUCGUUAAUACAAGGUCAAAAUAUCAUUUUCAUAUAUAUAUAUAUAUAUAUAUAUAUAUAUAUAUAAUAAUAAUAAUAAUAAUAAUAAUAAUAAAAACACCCUACUACAUAUAUAAUUCAAUUUUAGAAUUAUAAUAAUGUAUCCCAUAUAAUUUUACAGUGAAGUCUGAGGAUGAUGAUGUGUACGUAAACUAAUUAAUAAUUCAAUCUUAAUAAAGAAUGUUUUUUUAUAGACUUCCAAUUAAAUUGAAAAUUGACACGUUCAUAUGUUUUUUUGCCGUUCUUUUGUUGUUGUCUUUUAAAAAUAGAAAGAUGACAUGUUAACAACGUCAACACAUAAUUUAUCGUCAUCCAAAAAUUACUUAUUUCAUCUUUAAAAAAAUAUUAGCUACGUAUCAUAAGGAGCGUAUUACGACAUAAUAUAAUUAAAUAUAUAUUCUAUUUUAAACAUUUACUUUUUUAUGAAAUUGAGUGCUCAAUAAAUCUAAUCAUAAUAAAUAUUGAAUAUUAUUGGUGUAAUGAAAAACAAAAAGAAGUAUCACAAAACAACUCGUUUAUACAUUUUAUGAGUAAUCUUACUUUGAUAUUUUUCACCAGGAUGCCGUUUCACCAACAUUUAACAUUAUUUAUUAUCACUACCAAUAAAACAAAAUACUUGUCAUUUGUUUUUAGGUGGUCAAAUAUGAAUUCGACAGAUUUGAGUAAAUUUUAAUCCAUGUUAUAUAUAUAUAUAUAUAUUAAGAAAUUUAAUUGAUGUAUACAAAAUAUGACCCUUAACUUAGUGUCAGUUGACAACUAUAAUCCUUAAAUUUAGAUGUGCACAAGUAAACAGUUGAAGUCGUAUAAAAUUGAAUAAGUAGAUACAUGUGUUCUAUAUGUCAUGAUACACGUAGGACGCCACACAAGACACAAAAAUUCCAUUAGGGUGCCACGUAGGACGAAUGUGUCAAUUUGUUCAAUUUUAAACAAGUUUAAGUGUCUACAUGUGCACAUCUAUAGUUAAAGGUCAUAAUUACCAACUGACGACAAGUUAAGAAUUAUAUUUAUGUAUUAUACUUAAAUUGUAAUUCCAAAUCCAGUUAUAAAUACUAAUAAUAAUGAAAAAAAUUGACGGACAGGGUCGGGCCAAAAAAAUCGACCCUAUCCAUCAAUAUUAUUUUUCGUUAAUUAUUAAUAUUACAAUAAUCAAUAGACAUGAUCAAUUUUUGAAGUGAAAAAAUUGCAAAUUUAAAGAGUAUAAAUAAAAAUUAUGGAAAUAUUUUAUCAAAGAGCACGUGUGAUCGAAUAAUAGGAUUGUUCAAAUAAAGUCAUGAAAAAUAUCUAGGUUUGAUUUCAAGUACCUAUAUUUUUUGUUUAUAUCUUCUUUAAGAAUAGACCUUAUCCAUCGAUUUUGAAAUUAACUGUCCCUCAAUUUUAAUCAAUCCUAUUUAUUGAUUUCACAAAACAUACUUAGGCAAAAUCGAUGAUAGUACAAUAUAAAUCCGUUGAUUUAACAUCAAUUUUCCUUCACUACCAACUCUAUCCGUCGAUUUUGACCCAUUUUUUAAAUAUAUUUUUAUAGUAUAUAGUUCUUGUUUUUAGCCUAGACCCUCUUUCUUAAAGUCCUAUAUAUAGGAGGAGCAAUAUAUACCAUCACCAUAAAUUAAAACCAACUCAAAAUCAAAGUGAAAAAAAAAAAUUGGUCAUGGGUGCACCUUAUCUAAAUACAUGCACAUUACAACAACCUCGUGCAAUUUUUAGUAGAAUCCAUAUUUUGUUACAUUUUUCAGCCAUAUUAGGGUUACUAUACUAUAGAAUAAAAAAUUUAUUCCAAGGAGAUAAUAAUGUAUCAAUUAUUUCAUGGGGUCUUAUUACAAUUUCUGAGGUUAUUUUCACUCUAAUAUGGUUAGUUACACAAUCCUUCCGUUGGCGCCCGGUAGCUCGGUCCGUCAUGCCGGGAAAUCUUCCGGCUGAUACUGAGUUACCGGGGAUCGACGUGUUUAUAUGCACGGCUGAUCCUACUAAGGAACCAGUUCUUGAGGUUAUGAACACGGUUUUAUCGGCUAUGUCACUCGAUUAUCCAUCGGAAAAACUCUCCGUUUAUCUCUCCGAUGACGGUGGCGCCACCGUGACGUUGUAUGCUAUGAAGGAGGCAUGUGGAUUUGCUAGGGUUUGGGUGCCUUUUUGUAGAAAGUAUGGAGUGAAGACUAUUUGUCCCGAUGCAUUUUUCUCUUCUUUCGGUGAUGAUGAACGUUUGAUCCUCAGAGGAAAUGAAUUCGAGAGUGAAGAGGAAAAUAUUAAGGUAAUUUUUUUUAACCGUUUUAAUUUGGAUGAUAAAAUGUUUCGAUAUUACCGUACAGAAAUGGACGCUGAGUCUGAAUCAAUCCGAAAAGUUAACACACGAGGUAAGAUUGAUCAAAAUCACAUAUAGUCAAAACUUCUUUAUUAUAAUAUCGUUUGUCAUGAUUAUCUUUUGGUUGCUAUGAUGGAAUGUUAUUGAUCUAGAGAACAUAUAAUAUUUAUCAAAACAUGAAAACUCAAUUGCACAGAAAAUAUAUUGUUGUUAUAGUGAAUUAAUAUGUUAUUAUAGAGGAUGACGGUAAAUAAACCAAUUUCCAUAAUUGAUUGGGGGAUUUUAACACCCUUUAAGUUUUUAGAACUAAAUAUCUAGAUCGUGAAUAACAUAACAUGAAAGUAUAACAUCAAGUAAAUCAAAAAUUAGGAUAGACUUGACUCUGAUACCAUUAAAAAAAAUGAAACUUCCGACUAAUCCAUAUCUAACACUCCAUCACAAUCUUUCUCUCUACUCUUGAAGUGAUUUAGACAUAAAACACAUUUUAAUUUGAGCAUAUUAAUUAAUUAUUUAAAUUGAGCAACAUUAAUUAACACACUAGGAUAAAAAAUAAACAUAUUCUUACAAUAGUCACCUUGAAUUCUUCUUGUUCUACAAAAUCUUAACGGACUAAUUUAAGAACAAUAAUAUGGUACCAUCUUUAACAACUACCUCCAAAAUUAUAAACCUUUUUCUUUCUCUUUCAAAUUUAAUGACAUUAUCAAUAAUUACUUUAUUCUUACUAUUUUUUUUGAUCCACCUUGUGGUGACAUAGGGUUUGACAUAGAUCCCUAUUAUAUUUUUUGCAACUUUUUUUUGAAAUAUAUUCAAAACUUUAAUUUAAUUGAAAUUGUUAUAACAAAUCUGAACUUUGGAAAGAAUUUGUUACUUCAUGUAUUAUUUAAUAGUGUAUUUUAAAGGUAUAUAUGUGAACACGUGGACAUCAUAGAUAUUACAUCAUUAUAAAUAGUAAAGUGUCCAUGUGAGCAUAUAUAUUCCUUUAAAAUACACUAUUAAAUAGUGCAGACGGAUAAUAAGUCAUGAUCAGAAUUUGAGAUUGUUACAGCAAUUUCGGUCAAAGUUAGGUAAUAUUUCGAACCCUUUUCCCUAUUUUCAUACUAUUAAAUAGUUAAACUAUCAUUAAAAAGAUCUAAUAUCAUGUUAAAUCAAUAUUUUGAAUCUAACUCACGCUCUUAAAAAUCGGUUGUAGAGAGAAGAAUUACGCAAGCCUCGUAAGAAGUCGAGCUCUCACUAACCAUCAAAACUUUUAUUAUUCUUUAACAUUAUCGACCCAAAAAUCAAUAUAGUUAAAUAAUUUAUAUUUAUAAUUGUGAUUUCAACAAUAACUUUGUCCAAGGUUGAACAUUUUUAUUAUUAUUAUUUUAUAAAGGGUAAUAUGGACUUUAUUAUUAUUAUUCAUAUAUAAGAAAGUGAAAUAUUACUAAUUUAAUUGUGCAGGCGGCAUACGAAGUAUUCAAGAAAAAUAUAGAGAAAGCCAGUAGCGUUGAAGGGUCCGUCAGAAUGGAUCGACCUCCAUAUAUUGAGGUUUCUCCGUUCACUUUUAUUUAUCUCGUUUAUCGAUACUAUUAAAAAUAGAAAUUUUAAAAAAUACGAUUUUUUAAAAUCUCAAUUCACUAGAAAAAAAUGCAUGGGGAUAAAUAAAUUCUUAAAAGACUAUAAAUAGCCGCUAGAUAUAAUAUUUUUUUUUAUUGAUUCAAUUAAAAUAUAUGCGGAAAUAGUCACUACAUAUUUUUAGUAUAAAAUUUAAAUAACAAAUAGUACUUCCUCUGUUCAGUUUUAUUUGUCAUGUUGUGCUUUUCGUAGGUCAAUUUGACUUAUUUUCAAAGUUAAAUUAGAUUAUAUUUAUUCAAUUUUAAACAAAAAAUUUAGAAUUCAAAAACUAUACGAAAAGUACUAUAGUUGCAAUUUUUUUACAUAUCAAUAUGAUGAAAAAAUAUAUCUUAAAUGUUAGUUAAAGUUUGUAUAAUUUGACUCUAAAAAUGAAAAAUAUGACAAUUAAUAGUGGACACAUAGAGUAAUUUUUUAGACGUAAUACGAGAGUCAAACUGUAUAGACUUUAACCAAUAUUUUAAGAUAUUCAUUUUCAUCAUAUUAAUAAGACGAAGAUUGAAACUUAUAGAAUUUUUUUUUUCCAUUUAAAUUUUUUGAUUUGUUAGCACAAAUGAGAAAAUUUUAGGGUUACAAAAUGUAAUUAAGGUGAGAUUAAGAAUAAUAAUCAAAUAUUUAUGAGGUGCAGGUGAUACAUGAUAAUAAGGAAAGCAAAUUGCCACAAUUAGUUUAUAUGUCACGUGAGAGGAGACCAUCGAGCCCUCAUCGUUUCAAGGCUGGAGCCUUAAAUGCUCUCGUAAGUAAUAUUAUUCUGCACGAAGUAUCUCACGUUCACAUAAUAUUCGAUUAUUAAAAUUGAAAUUUGGAAGAAAACUUUUAAUAGCAUAAUUGGUUGAGUUUACAUUUCAUCAACUUUAACACUAGUUUUCUAGUAUCAAGAUUAAUCACAAAUAGUUAUAUAAAAAAAAAGUCUAGGAAAUUAAAAUGAAAUAUAUUUUUUAUAUUAUCAGAUCAUCUAAGAAAGUCAAUCAGAUAUAUAAAGUUUGAUAAGCUGCAAAACAUACUAACAAUGUAAUGACAGAGAUCUUUUAAUCAAAGGUUUUGAUUUUGAAUCAGCCUUGGUCGGGGCACCUUUCCUGUUAAAACGAGACAUACAUAACAUGAAUUUAAAUUAUUUUAGUCAGUAUAUACGUUCGGGAUAACACAUAAAGUAGUUACUAACCUAGCUACUUUCCUAUAUUUAAAAAUCACGAACAAUCACUACUAGAAAUCGAUCAAUUUUUUGAACAAUCACUUAUGGUUAUUAUUAUUUUGUGGUCAUGACAUGCAGCUUAGGGUUUCAGGGGUAAUGAGCAAUGCACCAUAUAUGCUUGUUUUGGAUUGUGACAUGUAUUGCAAUGACCCUUCUUCAGCCAAGCAAGCAAUGUGUUUUCAUCUUGAUCAUAAUAUUUCUACUACUCUUUCCUAUGUACAAUUCCCUCAAACAUUUUAUAAUGUUAGUAAAAAUGACAUCUAUGAUGCUCAAUCAAGAUCAGCAUAUCAGGUACCUACACGUCCUCUCACUACAACAAACAAAAAUGAUCAUUAGCGGCAUUUAAUAUGUAUUUUUAGCGCCAAUUGUCAUUCUUUGUAUAUGUCCCUAGCCUUUAGCAACAUUGGUUCUAAUGACACUUAACUAAUGCCGAUAAAGACUUUAGCACUCUUUAUUAGUGUCAAUAUUUAAUGCCGUUAAAAAUUGCUUUUGUUGCGGUGUCUUAAUAUAUGUUGCAAUAAUUGUAUUCUAUAUAUUUCUAUUUUUUCCACUUCAUUACAUAUGUACAAUUUUCGGGCGUCUACACGGUCGGGUCGGGCCAAACCUGAUAUACAUAUGUAUUUGUAUAUCUGGAGAGCGAGAUUGGAGAUGGGGGUGAGCGAGAUUGGGAGAGGAAGGAGAGAGGGAGAGAGUGGAGAGAGUUGAAUUGUAUAUGUAUAUCUAUCAUAUAAUUGUAUAUAUGUAAAUGGUAUACAUACGUAUUUGUAAAUCUGGCAAGUGAUAUUGAAGAGGGAGGAGAGAGGCGAGCGAGAGAGACUAACUGUUUAUGUAUAUGUAUAUAAAAGAGGAGAGAGACGAGAGAGGAAGAGAGAAGAGAGGCGACGUAAUUACAACUAAAUUUAAGUUGUGAGACGUAAUUAAGUCAAACUAUAGCUAUGUUAACUCAUUAAGUAGUAUAUGUUUGCUUAUCCGUGUAAUAGAUGAUCUGAUUGUAUAAAUAUUUUUGAAAUCAUCAGUACAUACUCCUUAAAAUCUCAUUUCUCUCUCUCUUUUUUUUUUUCUUUUAAUUAUAGAAUAAGUAUCAAGGGAUGGAUGGAGUAGGAGGGACUGUUUGUGCAGGCACAGGCUAUUAUUUGAAGAAAGAAGCAUUAUAUAGUACUCCAAUUAACCAAGAUAAUAUGACUACACUUUUUCAAAAAGCUCAAUUAGAAUACAAGUGGGAAUCUCAAUUGUAUCAAUCAGGUUUAUCUUAUUAAUUUACACAUAAUUGUGUAGUUUAUUUUGUUUAAGCAUAUAAUUCUAUGAACAUUUUAUAUAUUUAUUAAUUAAAAAUAUGUAUAUUUGGUUUAUAGAGGAGUCACUUCAAGAGGCAGAAGAAAAGUUUGGUGCUUCUAGAAAGUUCAUUAACUCUUUGAAUCAUCAAAGAAAUGGAAGGGAAAAUGUUCUAUGUGAUGAGAUGAUUGAUGAAGCUAAAGCUCUUGCUUCUUGCACUUUUGAAGAAAAUACAAGAUGGGGUAAAGAAGUAAGUAUCAUCCUAUUACUAUACUAGUCCAUAUAUAUUUUUAGGCACGUUAAAUAAGCGGGUUGAACUGAAUUAAAACGGCUAAAAUGAGUUAAGUCAUUAACUCAUUCAAGAUUAAAAUAAGCCGAAUUAACUCAUUCAAGAUUAAAAUGAGCUGAGUCAAGAUGGAAUACAUAAUAAAUCAUAAUCGAACCUGAUGACUCUUUUUAUGUUUAAUUAUAUCAAAUAAAACUAACAAAAUUCCUUUUUUAUGAUCGUUUAUAACAGGUAUCAAAUAAUAAUAAUAAUUGCUUAGCCCAAUUUUUGGUAUGACUAAAUUGAGUGGGUCAAAAGAGAUAAAUUAGAUGUGUGAUAUAUUUAUGACCUUAUUUUGACACUUGUGUUAAAUUAUGUGAUUAUUUCGUCUAAAAGCUUAAACUGUUGUUUUCAGAUAGGGUACUCAUACAAUAGUUUACUAGAGAGCUCAUACACAGGCUAUCUCUUGCAUUCUAAGGGGUGGAAAUCAGUAUAUCUUUACCCAAAGAGGCCAUGUUUUCUUGGUUGUAGCACCAUUGAUAUGAAAGAUGCUUUGGUCCAACUCAUGAAGUGGGCUUCUGGGCUAGUACAAGUUGGACUUUCAAAAUACAGCCCAUUUACUUAUGGGCUCAUGUCAAAAAUGCCUUUAGUCCAAAACAUGUGUUAUGGAUACUUCAUGUUCUCACAUUUCCUCUCCAUUCCUUGCUUCCUCUAUGGCAUUGUUCCACCUUUGUGCUUCUUGAGUGGCACUCCACUGUUUCCCAAGGUAAAAACUUAAUUUUAUCACUCACACAUAAGUAUCUUUCAAAGUAUAAUAUUAUUAAAAAUUCCGAUUUUGCAAGUCGAAAUGGACAUAUGAGUGAUUGAUUACUAAAGAAAGAAAGGUCAAUCUUCAAAAGGCUUGAUGGGACGAAUUUCCUCAAACUAUAGUGGUGAUUAAUGAAAUUACUAGUUUAUUUUUUUGUUUAACCAUCUGGUAUCCGAAACUUAACGGUGCGGCUUAAGUUAGUUUAUGUUACAUACGGCCCACUAAAGAGGAAGCAUCCCCUACUAUAAAUUUCUUAAGACUCGAAUUCAAGACCUUUAAUUAAAAUGAAUUUUAUCUAUACCACUACAUCCUUGUUGGUAUACUAAUUGUAAAUUAAAUAAGAGUUAGUGUCAGUCGUGUGUGAGACACAAAAUAAUGAUUUUUUUUUUGAAAAAUUCAUGUACAUAACUUAUUCAAUUGUCUUUAUUUAUUAUUUACAGGUGACAAGCCCAUGGUUUGCUUUAUUCACAACCAUAUUCUUAUCAUCUCUAUCUCAACAUUUAUAUGAAGUCAUGUCUAGUGGUGGCAACUUAAGAACAUGGUGGAAUGAACAAAGAAUUUGGAUAAUAAAAACAGUCACAGCUUGCUUAUUUGGAUGCUUAGAUGUUUUAAUGAAGUGGUUAGGUGUUGCAAAGGCAAAUUUCAGGUUAACAAACAAAGCUAUAGAUGAAGAGAAAUUAAGGAAACAUGAAAAGGGUAAAUUUGAUUUCCAAGGUGCUAAGUUAUUUAUGGUUCCUUUGACAUUUUUAGUGGUGUUUAAUGUGAUAUGUUUCAUAUUUGGAAUGAAAAGAUUGGUCUUAGAGAGGAACUUUGAGGAGAUGUUUGGACAAGGUUUCCUUUCUUUUUAUGUUUUAGUUCUUAGUUAUCCUAUAUUAGAGGGUUUAGUAGUAUCAAAGAAACAAAAGUAAAAAAAUGUUUUCUUGAAAUUUGUGUAUAUCAUGUAUAAAUAAUGUUGUGACAUCAAUAUAAAUGUUUUUGCUUUCAGUUUGUUGCAUUAUUAAUUCACCUUUCAUCUUGAUUCAUAAUCAAGAAAAACGGGAACUAAAGCACAUAUUUUUAUUUUUUUUUAAAGAAUUUUGAAAGAUAUCAAUCUUUCGUUAUGUAAAAAGAUAUCUCUUUUUUUUUAAUCUCCAAAAAUUAAGAGAGAAAAUAGUCUACUUGGAUGGAUGGUUUAAUUUUUAAAAAUUACAAAAUCUACUAUUGAAAAGAUUACCUGUGGUGAUCUGGUUGUGUAAUUUUAUUUUAUUUUACACUACUUAUAUAUGUAAGUUAAAGUUAAUGGGAUCUAUUGAUCGAUAUGUCUUGUCUUAGCCCACUAGUAUCUUUCUCUUUGGGAGAUAAUAGAUAAAUCAUAUUGCAAUAAUCAUGUGACACGUUUAUUAUGGAGAUGUGAUAAUUAUGUAAAUUUAUUCAAAUAUUGUAUUCAUCAAAAUAAUACAGUACGAGAUAAUUCAAUACAACGAAACCAUACAUAAGCUUCAACUUAUCAACACAAAAGCUUCAACCCUUUUUUAACUCCUUCAUCAAUAGCUUUCUCCCCUUUGAAUUUUAUCUUUUCACUCAAUUCCAUUGCCUUCAAAUUAACUUGUUUCCUAGUGUUAUCCUCUACCACUUUCUUUAUUCCUUUUGCCACCUCUUCUUUCAUUAUUUCUCCAUUUUCACCUCUCAAAAUCUCCACCCCUAUGCCAAGUUCCUCCACUAAUCUUGAAUUCAAUGGUUGAUCAUGAUUCAUAGGCAUGGCUAUUAAUGGUAUGCCAAAACUCAUGCUUUCUAACAUCGAAUUCCAUCCACAAUGAGUUACAAAACCUCCAAUACUUGAAUGGUUCAAAAUUAGACUUUGUACUUUCAAGAAAACCUUGUGGAACCAUUUCUUCAAUUGUUUUGUUCACCCCUUUAGGAAAUUUGAUUGUCCAAAUAAAAUUAACUUUGCUUAGCUCAAGCCCUUUUGCUAUCUCUUCAAUUUCUUGCUUUGACAAGAAGCUUUCACUUCCAAAUGAUACAUAAACACAUGAUAAUUGAUCCUUCUUGUCUAGCCAAGAUUGAAUUGUCCCCCAAUCCUCCUCCUCAUCUAUCAUCGCCUCGCGAAUUAAUGGUCCAAUUGGUAUCAACUCUUUCUUUCCUAUUGUAGAAACAUAAUCUAUAUACUUCCCCUCAGUCUCCCUACAAGUGUUCAACAAAACAAUGUUGUGAGAUUGUUCAAAAGACUCAAGGAUUAUGUAUGCAAAAGCUUUCUCAUCGCGUGGUUUUAUUGGUUGUAUGCCUAAUUUCUUGAUCUCAUGGUCAUGAAGGUAUAUGGAAGAAAAUGGAAAAGAUGUAAGGCUUGAACUCCCAUGAAGAAAUUGGUGGUAAAUGUAGGCAAGACCAGAAGUUGAAGAAACAUAAAACAUAAUAGCAUGAAUACUGUAUGAUGAAGCCAUAGUUGCUACCCAUGGUUGGAACCCAUCAUAUAUAAUCAAGUUAGGUUUUAGGGUUUCAAUUAUGCUUGGAAAUUUGGAAGAAGCCAUUUGAAAGGCUUGAAUAAGAGUGGAGUUGAGAUGGGGAGGGAGGUCUUUAGUUGUAUGGUAAUGAGGUGGUAACUCAUGCAAAUAAGGCAAGUGAAAUUCAACAAGUUGUAUGGAUUGAUUAUAAUUAGUUGAGUUUUUAUCUAGGGUUUCCUUGAUAGAUUUGAGAAUAAUUGGUGUUGAGAGAAAAUAUAUGUGAAAAUUCAUUUUUGAUAAUUUCUUGGCUAGUGCCAAAAAAGGAUUUACAUGGCCAAAACCUAACCAUGGAAAUAAUAGAAUACUAGGACUAUUUUCCUUAAUUCUCUCCAUGAGUGGAAUAAUUAUGCAAAAUUUUAUAAAGUAUAUAUUAUAGUUUUAUAGGAUAGAAAAAGUUAGCAAUAUGGACUUUUCAUUUAGUUUUUGAUGAUCUUUACUAGUCGACUGUCAUUUAAACUUAUGGCUACAUUUACCUGCCUAUUUCGAACCAAAUCAUUAUACUUGUAUUACAAAGACGGAGCCAAUUAAGGUCAAGGAGCUACUAACUUAAGACUCUUGGAUACUUGUAAUUUUAACCACAAAACAGAAAAGUUAAAUCUGUCUUGGACAAAAUUUUGCAAUGAAUACAACAAUUUUUCGAAUCAAAUUAAACGUAUAGUGACAUAUGAUUUAUUUACGCUUAAUGUAAAUUUUAGAGUAUCCGGCGAAUCUUAGUAGCUCAGACAAUUCAUGCCUUGUUAUUACUCUAUUUUGCUCUGUUAUUACUUUGUUGUUUAAAAAGUAUGUCCUGUUUCAAAUGUAGGAAAGUGUUGGGUUUGGGCCUUUUUCCCUUUCUAUGUGGAUGAAUAAAUGUCCAAAGUUUUGGGUCUUUCGUCCUUUUCUUUGUAGAUAAAAUUAGCCCAAAUUUGACAAGUUCAUUUUUGCCUAGGUCUUAUUUUGAAGAGAAUCACAAGAGUCUAAGAGAAGUCAUAUAGAGAGAAAAGUGAGAAAGUGCAGAUUUUUGCACAAGUCAUAUCAAUCAUUUUUAAAUCGUGAUUCUCGCUUCGUUUCUUGUCAGAUUGAGCUGAUUUUGGAUAGCGUGUUUUUUUUUUAGUUUAAUCUUUGAUUGGGAACUAAGAGAGAGUGACUUGGGGUCCUGUAGAUCCAGAUUUUAGCUCGUGAACAGUAGCUUGCGGUUUGGGUAUUUUAGCUCAUCUUAUUUCUCUAGUUUUUUGGUGCUAUCUUGUAGUUGUAUUGCUCACUGUUUGGCACUUUGUUGGUGAUCAUUUUGGAGGAAACUUUUGUAACUCUUGUUUAUUGUAGUGGAGCUUUGGUCUUGUGGUUUUUACUCUUCACACCGAAGAGGUUUUCCACGUUAAAUUUGGCGUCUCUUGUGUUGAUUUAUUUUUCUUGCUUGUUUGAUUAGUUUGCUGCCCAAACUGUUUUAUUCUUGCAUUAUUUUCUCUUGGUUCAAAUAGAAGGAAAAGUUUUGACUUGCGUUUCUUCCGCUGUCGCCUUUGUCGUGCACAUAUUUAUUUUGUGCUUGCCUUUGCCAACAAAUGGUAUCAGAGCAUUGAGUUGUUGUUGAUAUCUGUUUGAAUGACUAUCUAUUUGAAUGAUGGAGUCAAAUAUGAGCAAGAUGGUUUGUUUGAAUUGUAGUAAUUAUCAUACUUCAUAAAAUUGAUAAGUGAAGUCUGAAAAACAUGAUGUGUACCAAUUUUAUCUUACCUUUUUAAAGUAGAAUUUUUUUAAUAGAUCCCCGACAUAAUAAACUUGAAAAAUAUAUAAUUAUUAAUCCGAUGUUUCGGAUAUUCUAAUACCUUGCUCGUUCAAAAUUUAAUAAUAAUUUACUCAUUUGAUAAGAUUGUAUAAGAAUUGAACAAGUUUAAAUAGUUUUUCAUAAAUUACAAAAUUAUUAUAUUCAUGAAAAAAAAAACAAUUUUAAAAGGGAAACUUUUGCAAACAUGCACGAAAAAUGACUUAAUUAGGCUCCAUUGUUAUAGUUUGUUAAUUACAAUUUGUAGCCACAUGUUAGAGGGAGGAGAGAGGUGGACGAGAUGGGAGAGGGAGGAGAGAGGCUAGCGAGAGCGGGCAUAAAAUGGAGAGGGGCGAAUUAUAUUUGUAUAUAUGUCGAAUUCUAUAUGUAUAUCUUUUAGAUAAUUAUAUAUAUGUAACUGGAAUGCAUUUGUAGAUCUGGCGAGCCUGUAAUGACCCGGAAGGUCAUUUUUGAAAAUUUUAUUAAAUUACCAUUUUUAUCCUUACCUGAAUUAAUUUUGACCAGUCGGUAAAGUUGGUUCGAGAGGUUUAGAGCUAUUCGUUGGCCUCAAUUAUUUAAUUGACAGAUAUAUUUAUUUUAAAUAAUUAAUUUAGUUUGUGACUAAUGGAAUAAGUACAUAAAACCCCAUAUCUUGUGACCCAUUAUUUAUUAAAAUAAAUUGAGGAUUUAUCACUUUUAGUACAUAAAUUUAAUUUAGAAAAAAAAGGAAAGGAAAAAUAAGAACUUACCUACAGGUAGAGUUACGACGGCCAGCGUAAUUCGUUCAGGUAAUUUUUUUUAUUGGAAUUUCUUUUUAUUUAUGUUACGGUUGUGGGUGCUUGCAGGAUUUAAACCCUUGCCAGUGGCUUCACAUGCCUCUUAUUGCAAAGGUUUAAACCAGCUCACCCAAAACUACUUUUGUUCUAUGAGUGCUCAUUUAAAUUAUAAUAACAUAUAUAUCAUAUUUUCUAUAUAUAUAUAUAUAUAUAUACAAAAAAUUUCAAAAAUCAAUAGAUGCUCAAGCACCCGCGUCUUGCUUACUGGGUCCGCCCCUAUUAGUAAUGAUGGCAACCAAUUAGUAAUGUACAUUAUUAGCAGAGAUGUAUUAGCAAGUAAGGUUCUGAUAGGAUGAAAAUUAUCGUAUUAAAAUUAUAAAUUUAGAUUGAAUUAAGAUUAAUUUUUAAAAAAAUAAUAUUAUGUAAUAUAUGAUUGUUGUAAUGGUCAGUUAGUAGGUAGUUAGUAGGUAAUGAAUGAGUGUGUGAGGUUUCAGAAUUAGGAUUUGAUAGAAGGGAUUUAUUUAUGAAAUUUUGGUAGUAUAUGAAUGGUUCGUAAGUUGGCUUAUUCUUCUUAUAAUUAUGAUUUAUGUUAGAAAUAUUAAGAUAAAUAAUUAAAGUAUUGAUGAUAUAUUGGGAAAUUUAAACUUAAUUUUAGACUUGCAUUUUGAAGAAAAUUGAAAGAGUUGACGUAUUAUUGAUAUCAAGAUUUAGGAACUUGAUUAUAGGUAUGUGUGAAUUUUGUAUCUAAGCUAGACAUAUGAGUGCUACUAGUUCUGAAAUCUUAUUGUGAUUAUGUACUUGAAUAGAUUGCAUUUAUCUGGGAGCCCAACAAAAGGGCAAGAUUCAUGUCCCGGAGUGAUUGUUCGACAAUUUGAGGCAAGUGAAUUUCUAAAUUCUUAUUAAGUGUAUGAAAUUCUUGUAUUUCCUUGUGGUAUAUGUUUGAGAGUUAUGGAAAUUGGUGAAUGAUUGAUUUGUCCAUAUUGAUUAAUUCUAAUGAUACAAAGGGAUAAUACAAAGAAAGUAAUGUGAUAAUUUGUUGGUGUGUGGUGUUUGAGAAUGAUUUGAAAGUUUAUUACUUAUUUGUUGAUGUUGUAUCAUGGUUUUAUUGUUGUGUAUUGUGCCUUGUUAUGAAAAUGGUCAUCUCCUUAUUAUUUGCAUAAACAUGACAUUUGCAUUAUUCUGUGACAAGUGUUAUGUGCAUUGAGAAAGAAUAAAAAAUUAAAGAGGAUGUACCAUUUCGAGGGACGUAUCGGGUGCUGCAAUGGAUACUAUAUUUUGAGGGAUGUAUCGCACGCUAUGGAUACUAUAUAUGGAGGGACGUAUUGUGCGCGAUGAUUACUAUUAUCGAGGAUAGUAUCACACACAACGAUGGAUGCAUGGACAUAUAUGUCCCCCAUGGAUCCCGGACGGAGAGACAACGGGUGUGUAUCCCCAGGUCAAACAUGCAUCAUUAUAUUUGACAUUGUAUUUCAUCGCAUUGCACACUUUUAUCAUUAAUGAACUUGAUCUUGUGUCGUUGAUUUUGUGAGUGCCUUUUUAUGGAAGUUGUGAUUGAUGAACAAGAAGCUUGUUGUUGAGGAUAUACAAUUUUUAGAGUGUAUUUGUUGAGUUGUGUGUUGUGUAAACCGUGAACUCUUAGGUUGGGUUGGUUGUAUGCAAGUUGUAGUUGUGGAGGUUUGAUUGGAGUGGUAGGAGUACCCAAAUUCUGUUCCCUUAACUUGUAUUUAGAGGUUUGCUUGUUGAGUAUAGUGUGACUUGGUGCUCACCCCAUGCUUUUACAAUAUUUUGUUGAUAAUGAGCCCGAAUCUUCGUGAUACCUUAUAUUCUCUUCAUUUCCGAGCCUUCUUGGAGAUUUGUAAGGUAGUUGUUUGUCAUUUCAGCAGACCUUCUUACUCUUGUUUAUGAUCUUGUUCUACUCUAGAAACAAUGUCAUAUGAGACUUAUAUUUUCUUUAGAUUUUACAUGUGACAACCAGAUUUUGGGGGUAUUUUUAAAUUUUAUUAUAAAAUUUCCUCAUUUAUUGUAAUGGUUGAGUUUUAGGUUGAGUUGUCUAGGUGGGAUAAGAUGAAUGUCAUCACGUCCAUUUUUGGGUCGUGACAGAGCCAGUUUUGAAGAGGGAGGAGAGAAGCGAGCAAGAUUCGAAGAGUGUGGGAGAGAGGGGAAUAGUAUUUCUAUAUUUGUCAUAUAUUUGUAUAUGUAUAAAUUUAUAUUUGUAUAUGUAUAACAAAGGAGAGAAGCGAGAGAAAGAAAGAGAGAGUAAUGCCAUUUAAUUAUAGCUAAAAAGAGGUUGAUAGUGAUAAUUAAUUCAAACAAUGGCCAUGUUAGCUAAUUAAAUAACAUAAUAUUUAACACUUGUCCGCAUAAUUUCGACCUAAUUUAUUUUAAGUUCAAAUUACUUGAAAAAUAGUGAAGUGAUGAUAUGACAUAUUCCUAUAGUCUAAUAGAAGUAGUAAAUGUCACGUGGUGAUAUUUAAGGGUGUCAAAAUGGGCGGGUUGAAUUUAAAAUUGGAAAUAUUAAAAUGGGUUGAAUAGAAAUCGGGUUGGGUCUUGACCCGCCCAAGUUUACUUCGGGCUCAAAUGGAUUGGGCUCAAAUGGGCUAAAAAAAAGGGUUGGGUCUUGACACGCCCAAUUUGACCCGAUUAAUUUCAAUAAUUUAACUAUUGAUAUUUAACUUUUAUAAUCACAAUUUGAAUUUUCCGCUCAAAAUUUUUUUGUUAAAAAAGUAACAAAUGGAUAGAUAAAUCAUAAAAGAUGUUAAAUAGAUAAUAAUUCAUGUAUUCAAUACAAGAAAAUAUCUUAAUAAAAAGUUUUAAAACGAGUUGAAAUUGGAGAUUGUAUUAGACUCAAUUUAGAAUUCUUUUCAAAUGGGCUAAGCUUUAAUUGGUUGAGAUUGAACCCAAUUCAAAUUAUUUUGAGCCCAAACCCUUAAAAUUCUAGGCGGGUUACCUUUGUUUGGAUUCAUUUUUGACAUCCCUAGUGAUAUUGUUCACGUAAUUAAGUUUUGUGGAAGUGAGAGAGUCCAAUUUUGAUUGCAUUUAUCUGGGAGCCCAACAAAAGGGCAAGAUUCAUGUCCCGGAGUGAUUGUUCGACAAUUUGAGGCAAGUGAAUUUCUAAAUUCUUAUUAAGUGUAUGAAAUUUGUGUAUUUCCUUGUGGUAUAUGUUUGAGAGUUAUGGAAAUUGGUGAAUGAUUGAUUUGUCCAUAUUGAUUAAUUCUAAUGAUACAAAGGGAUAAUACAAAGAAAUUAAUGUGAUAAAUUGUUGGUGUGUGGUGUUUGAGAAUGAUUUGAAAGUUUAUUACUUAUUUGUUGAUGUUGUAUCAUGGUUUUAUUGUUGUGUAUUGUGCCUUGUUAUGAAAAUGGUCAUCUCCUUAUUAUUUGCAUAAACAUGGCAUUUGCAUUAUUCUGUGACAAGUGUUAUGUGCAUUGAGAAAGAAUAAAAAAUUAAAGAGGAUGUACCAUUUCGAGGGACGUAUCGAGUGCCGCAAUGGAUACUAUAUUUUGAGGAAUGUAUCGCACGCUGCUAUGGAUACUAUAUAUGGAGGGACGUAUUAUGCACGAUGAUUACUAUUAUCGAGGAUUGUAUCAAACACAACGAUGGAUGCAUGGACAUAUAUGUCCCCCAUGGAUCCCGGACGGAGAGACAGCAGGUGUGUAUCACCAGGUCAAACAUGUAUCACUAUACUAUUGUUAUUUAAGGGUGUCAAAUGGGCAGGUUGAGUUUAAAAUUGGAAAUAUUAAAAUGGGUUGAAUAGAAAUCGGGUUGGGUCUUGACCCGCCCAAGUUUACUUCGGGCUCAAAUGGAUUGGGCUCAAAUGGGCUAAAAAAAGGGGUUGGGUCUUGAUACGCCCAAUUUGACCCGAUUAAUUUCAAUAAUUUAACUAUUGAUAUUUAACUUUUAUAAUCACAAUUUGAAUUUUUCGCUCAAAAUUUUUUUGUUAAAAAAGUAACAAAUGGAUAGAUAAAUCAUAAAAGAUAUUAAAUAGAUAAUAAUUCAUGCAUUCAAUACAAGAAAAUAUCUUAAUAAAAAGUUUUAAAACGGGUUGAAAUUGGAGAUUGUAUUAGGCUCAAUUUAGAAUUCUUUUCAAAUGGGCUAAGCUUUAAUUGGUUGAGAUUGAACGUAAUUCAAAUUAUUCUGAGCCCAAACCCUUAAAAUUCUAGGCGGGUUAUCUUUGUUUGAAUUCAUUUUUGACAUCCCUAAUGAUAUUGUUCACGUAAUUAAGUUUUGUGGAAGUGAGAGAGUCCAAUUUUGAUAAGAAAAGAGUCAGAAAACGUAAUAUUUUAAAAGUCUAAAUCUUUCUACAAAUAAGAGCAAAUUUAUUUAUUUUUUAAUCCAAUAAAUAUUAAUGGAGGACAAAUUCAAUUCACUUGGUUGUAAAAUAAACUUAAACCAAUAACCAAAGAACUAAUAAAUCCUGAAGUGGAAUUAUUAAGGAUAAAUGUACAUAGACAAUGAAGAAAUAAUAGGUUCGAUGAAUUAAUAAUAAUUAAGGAUGUUACAAUCAUCAUGUGCCAAGUAUAUACACAAUAUUCUAUGGGAUUUAUAAUUUCGUUACUUCACUUAACUUUUGCGUAAAUAAAACGAAUUAUCUGAUAUUUUAUAAUAAAACAGUUAAUUAAGAACCAUCAUUUUUAACAACAUAGAUAUAUUAUUUCUAAUAGUUUAAUGAUACUUUUAAAUCUUUUAAAUUUUAUGUUUCUUUUAGAAAAUAAAAAUUCAAAAAAUUAAAUAUAUUUACAAAAACUACAAUCAAACACAACUUCAUAUAUUAAAAGCAAAAUAUAUUUUGAAAAUUUCAAGUGUCCUAACAAAUAAGACAAGAGGAAAAUGUACGAUGAGAGACAUAAAGAGAACUAAUAAUUGAGGAGUCCUAUAAUAUAUAAUAAAGUUUAUUAGUAAACUUAAUUAUUAAGGACUCCUAAAAUAUAUGAUAGGAGAAAAUGAAUGGUGAGAGAUAUUGGAAAACUUAAUAAUUAAGGAUUUUAAAAUAUAUGGUAAAAGAUAGGCAAAGUAUCCAUUAUCCCCUUUUAACUUGAAGUCUACUAGGCGCAUGUGAAAGUUGAUUUUUUGUCACGUCAUAUAGCUAUAACGUAAAAAAAGAAAGUAAAAUUUUUAAUUUUUUUUAAUAUAUGACAUAUUUUAAACGAAAUAUAGGACAAAAUGUAAAUGAAUAGUAAAGGAAACAAAGAUUAAUACUUACUUUGUAAGAAUUUAAGAUAAAUUUAAAAUUUAAUAGAUCAACUUUACGUCUAGAAAGACCCAUAUCUAGAAGGAAUUUCACGAAAUCGGCCCUUAUUCAAAAAUAACUUUUAAAUAAUGAAUUUUAAAUUUUAAGAAAUAAUAUCCAAUGAAUAAAUGACAUGUAGCAUUUUACCUAAAUAUUUCAACUAUUUUAAUCCAAUAUUAAUUUGUUUUAUUCCCAACAAUAGAAAGUCUUGUGCAGACAUUUAAUCUGACUUUUCCAGUACUAAAUAUUAAUUUUCUGAAGAUUUUCGGGUUUAGUCCACAAGUUUUAGUGAGAAGUUUUGCUCAAAAUUUUAGGUGAGAAGGUUUGAUAUUUAUCUUUUGUUAAAUUAAUUUAUCUAGGUGACUAUUAUUUAUUUAAGUAGAAAUUCAUAUCAUUACUUUUGCCAACUUGUAGUCAUAAUAGGAGUAGGUGUAUAUGAUGAAGGAAUAAACAAGUUCAGUGAAGUGAUUAAAAUAAAAUAUAAUUUAGGUGUACAUCAAAUAAAAACCUUAAAGUUUAGAAAGGCACCGAAUAAUUUUGCAUAGAAGAUAUUAGUAAAUUUAUAAAAAUAAAAGAAAUGUAGUUGUCAAGUUGUCUUCUUUUUUUUGGAUAAAAAUAGCAGUUGGCUUAUGUCAUUCUUUUACAACCUCCAUGCCACUUGUCCAAUUGUUGACACUUAACUAAUUAGUUUGAUUCAUGUAUGAAUACUAAAUAAUUUUUUAGGACUGACUCAAAUAUUUUUAUAUUAUCAUAGUAAUAUUUAUCUAAUUUUUAGGACCACUUAUUACUAAAUAAUAAAUUAACUACUACUAUAUUAUUGUUGUGAAACAACAACGUUUUGGUUGUUAUGAUGAAACGUACACUAUAUCAGUAUGAAAAAUUCAAAACGAUUAGUAUAAAUUAUAUUGAAAAUUUGAUAUUUUUCUAUUCUUAAUCAGACGUAUUGGGUUUCAUAUUUUAAAAAGGGACUAAACUUAGAAGAGAAGUUUGUUUGAAACUACUUUUGUCUCUUUCUUGUUCCCAUUUCUCUCUUAGAUUUCAAAAAGUGAACUACUUUAUCUCUUUCUUUGUUCACAUUUUAUUUUAUUCUAUUAUAAAUAUGGCAUCCUCAUAUUGAGAUUUUUAGAAAUUAUUCUAAUCAUUCACAGUGCAAAAGAAGAUGGAAAGCCCUAGAGUUGAGGAGAGUUAUGACAAAAUGAGUGAAUUAAAAGCGUUUGAUGAUACUAAGGCCGGUGUUAAAGGACUUGUUGAUUCUGGAAUUACUAAAGUACCUCAAAUAUUCGUUCUACCGCCAAAAGACAGGGCUAAAAAAUGUGAAACACAUUUCGUUUUUCCAGUGAUAGACCUUCAAGGUAUCGAUGAGGAUCCGAUUAAGCAUAAGGAGAUAGUGGACAAAGUUCGAGAUGCAUCGGAGAAAUGGGGUUUUUUCCAAGUGGUUAAUCAUGGGAUUCCAACAUCCGUCUUGGACAGAACGUUGCAAGGAACACGACAGUUCUUUGAGCAAGAUAACGAGGUUAAGAAACAGUAUUACACUCGAGAUACUGCGAAAAAAGUGGUUUAUACUAGCAAUCUUGAUUUGUAUAAAUCUUCUGUUCCAGCUGCAAGUUGGAGAGACACGAUUUUCUGUUACAUGGCUCCGAAUCCUCCCAGUCUACAAGAAUUUCCAACUCCAUGCGGGUAAGUAUUUUCAUUUCUUAGUCUGGAGAUUCUUUAGUAGCUCAGUGGCAGAGGCGGACCCUCCGCCGGGUGCUCGAGCACCCAUUAAUUUCGUUACGGAAUAUAUAUAUAUCUACGUAGAAAUUAAUAUGUAUUUGUAUAAAAUUAACAUAGAGCACCCAAUGAAUAAACGAUUUAGUUGGCCCAAUGGCUCCUGGAUGAAUACUCUGUUAACACAUAUUUUUUAUAUUUUCAGUUUAAAUUUCUAGAUCCGCCACUGCUCAGUUGAUUGACUAUCUAAAGACAGCAAAAAUUCCUAGAUCUGUCGCUGCUCAGUUGAUUGAGUAUCUAAAUACAGCAAAUUCUUAGAUCCGCCAUUGCUUAGUUGAUUGACUAUCUAAAGACGUCUGAUUUUAUAUAAAAAUAUGUCAUGUUUCAAUGCAGGGAGUCAUUAAUAGACUUCUCCAAGGAUGUGAAGAAACUGGGAUUCACUUUACUUGAAUUAUUGUCUGAAGGUCUCGGUCUCGAUCGUAGUUAUCUCAAAGAUUAUAUGGAUUGUUUUCAUCUUUUCUGUUCUUGCAACUACUACCCACCAUGUCCUCAGCCAGAACUCACCAUGGGCACCAUUCAACAUACCGAUAUUGGUUUUGUAACGAUCCUUCUACAAGAUGAUAUGGGAGGGCUCCAAGUUCUUCACCAGAAUCAUUGGGUUGAUGUUCCUCCUACACCCGGUUCUCUAGUGGUGAAUAUUGGAGAUUUUCUGCAGGUUAGUAGUCGAUAUUAUAUACAAAGUUUAUCGCGCAACACAUUUAGAAAAUCUUUUUUUUAAUUAUUUUUUGCAGCUCUUGUCAAAUGACAAGUACUUAAGUGUCGAGCACAGAGCAAUCUCAAACAAUGUUGGAUCAAGAAUGUCAAUCACGUGCUUCUUCGGUGAAAGUCCAUAUCAAUCUUCCAAGCUUUAUGGACCGAUAACUGAAUUGUUAUCAGAAGAUAAUCCUCCAAAAUAUCGCGCAACCACAGUGAAAGACCACACUAGUUACCUCCAUAACAGAGGCCUAGAUGGAACUUCUGCAUUGUCCCGUUACAAGAUCUAAGAAUAAGAAUAAUAAUGUUAUCUAUUAUUACUAUUUAUACUUCUGCAGAUUGUACCUUUGAAUUUGAAGCAAAUGUUUGAGUUAAAUACUUUCACGUUUCUAAGCAAUGUAAUAUAAUUUAUAAAGUAUGUGCUUGCUAUAUAUUGUUGUUUAAAACAUUAAAUAAUAUUACAUAAAUAUAAACACCAUAAUAUAAGGAUGUUUAGCAUUGUGGGAAAAUGAAGGAUUAAUAAGUCAUAUUAGUAUUUCUCUAUGUCACAUAAAUGUGCCUUCAACUCAAUUUCCGCUGAUAUUUAUCUUCUUUUAUUUUAAGUAGACGCUUAAACUAUUGUAUAAAAUUGAAUGAGUAGACAUACUCGUCCUAUAUUACAGUUCUCGUGAAAUAAACUCGAUUCUCGAAAUGAUUUGUGUUAUGUUAUGCGGGAUGCAUAUUAUGUUGUAACACUCGCAACUAGAAAGAAAUAGAAAAAAGUUUAAAAUCCAAAAAUAAUUACUUUUGGGAAGUAUAAGGAAAUUUGGAAAAUUUUAUGUUAAAAGUGAGUUUUUGGUCAACUUAAAACGACCAUAACUCCUAGCUCAUGAUGAGUAGGUGUAGUUCCAUAUAUGAUUGAAAAUCUCUUGAAAUGAUCUUUCGAACACUGUCAAGUUUGCAUAAUUCCGAAUUCGUAUUAACGAGUUAUGUCUUUUGGAAGUUUGGGUGUUUUAUCAAGGAAGUCCAAUCAAAAUUUGGGAAGGGAAAAUUUGUUUUUUCCUUAUCUAAUUUAGGGAAUAAUUGGGGCUAAAGAAGACUUCUUUCAGUUUAGAAAGAUUUAGAAUUCAUGCUAGGGCUUGGUGAAGAGAGGAAAGAAAAGAAAAGAGGAGAAAUCAAGAAAAUUCAGAGAACAUUUAAUCUUUUCCUGUGAAAUUUGUCGGGAGUGAUUCCUAAAAAGGUAUGUGAGAUCACAUGGCAUUGGGUUAGUUCAACCACGCACCAACCAUGUUUCAAUUAGGCGAAUUUGAGUUUUGAAUGUUAAGAUAUUGAGUUCUUAAAGAACAUUGUUGAAAGUUUCAUUGAGUUCUUGAUGGUUGUGUUGUUGAAGUUUCUUGAUGGUUUGAAUCAUGUUUUCUGGUGUAAUUUCGGGUUGAAUAUAUUGUAAAUUGAUAGUAAUAAUGAUCUAAGUGUUUGGGGAAAGAACCAUAGAAGUUUAGAGGGUUUGGAGAUGAAAAACAAAGGACAAAAGUCGGAGACGCCUGGGGAGGGCCCUAGCACAUCGCGCCUCUCAGAGCCCCAAAAGAGGCUCAAUGAAGUUUGACCUCUGGGAUGUGGCGCCAGCUAGAGCUCCCCACCCAACUCUAUGAUGUUUCAGGAUGGUGCUCCACACCUCUCAGCGCUCCAACGACGUCAGUUCUCCUGAUUUUUUCCCCUUCUUUCCGUACUAGUUCCUUAGUGAUGUACCUAUGUUUCUUAGUUGAUUCCAACACUCUAAGGUACAUCUAUACAUCAUGAAAUUAUCCACAAACAUGAGAUCACGAACCUUGAAUCUAUAAUCCAAUUCAAGAAAAGUUAAGAUAAAAGUCAAAGAAGUUAAGAGUCAAGUCUAAAAGUUAAGAAGCAAGUCAAAGAAAAGUUCUUAAAAGUUUUCAAGAGUCUUUAGCAAUGUUUUAACCUUGUUUUUAAGACUAAAGUUUCAAGUUAAGUAAAAAGUAAAAAGUUGAGUUCAUUCUCAAAAAGCUAUAGAGAACUAAGUAUUCCCAAAGAAUUUAUUAAUGUUUUCACAUUUAAAAUAAGAGGAAACUAUUUCCAAAAGAUUUUUGAGCAAGAAAAGGACAUUGAUUCAAAGAGAGUUUUAAGCUAAGUGUUGAGUAAUUAUCUCAACAUUAAUAAAGAAGUUGUUUUAAUAAUACAUGAGCUAAGUAUAUUUUUUGGAGUAGUAUUGAGCACCGAUAUUAGAAUGCGAGUUCAUAAUAACUCAAGUCUCCAUAAACCAUGUAGCCAUCAUGAAUAUUAAAGAAUCAUACUUUUUUUAUUAUCACUUAAGUUAAGCUAGUGGAUCCACUAAAUUAAGUAAUUCUACUCAACAGUAAAAUAUAGGACAGUUCUGGCAGCGUGGGCAAGACGACGUAUUACCACUAGACUUAUAAUGAUGGUUGUCAGUUAGAGAAUCUCCCACAGAAACUAUGUUACUUCGUUAUAUAAGUAAAGUUGAGUUUGUUAUCGCAUUUUCUUUAAUGAACUAAGUUGAUUCAACUGUUUAUAAGCUAUAUGUAUAUUGCAUAUGUCUUAUUUCUUCAUAUUGAGUUAAGUUAUUCCUGAGUUGAUAAGAGCCGAGGUAAGUGUUUCCUUCAUAUCCUUUUCAAGCUCAAGUUGUGUUUAACAAUCCAACUCGCAUACUCGUACAUUCAAUGUGCUAAUUCCAGUUGGUCUACCUCAUCUUAUGAUCCAGACGCAUGUAACUAGGAUCGGCAUCCGGCACACCGUUGAUCCAUUGAGUAACUCAGAGUCAGUUGGUGAGCCUCCUUACAUUCCGGAGGACAUAUUUUAUCUCUUAUUUUAUAGUUUUCAGUUGUUAGGAUUAUUGUGGGUCCUGUCCCAACAUCUCUCUUUGUUUUAGAGGCUUCAUAGACAGAUACCAUUAGUUCUUUUGUCUUAUUCAUUUCAGUUGUAUACGUUUAAGACUUGAGUUACUGUUUGGCUAAGUUAUUAUCUUCUCUUGUGUUUAUGUCUUUCAUUGUGUAAGUAAGUCAGACUAACGGUCCGCUCGAGGCCAACAAUGACCUUCGAGAAUCAGCAAUGCGCAGGGUGUAGGCUCGGAGCGUGACAAUCAAGUAGGAUAUGUGUGAUUACUUGUUCACACUCAAUAUUGGACACUAAUCGAUGUCAAUCAAAUCUAAGUUAAAGGACAUAUUUAUGUGUUAUGCCCAUUUUUCAGAGUUUCAAGAUAAACAUUAUUUUUUGGGUAGGUGAUGAUACACUAGAGUCUUAGUAACUACUAUAACUCUUUUGUCAUAACAUGUCGUUUAUUUAUAAAAGGAACAUGCAAAGAACACACAGUAUAAUAAUAUAUAUACCUCAUAAAAUUGAUAAGUGAAGUCUGGAAAAGAUGAUGUGUAUCAAUUUUAUCUUACCUUCUUAAAGUAGAAAGAUUAUUUUUAAUAGAUCCUCGACAUAAUAAACUUAAAAAAUAUAUGAUUAUUAAUAUGACGUUUAGGAUAUUCUAAUACCUUGAUCGUUCAAAAUUUAAUAAUAAUUUACUCAUUUGAUAAGAUUGUAUAAGAAUUGAACAAGUUUUAAUAGUUUUUCAUAAAUUGUGAAAUUAUUAUGUUCAUGAAACAAAACUUUAGAAGGGGAAAUUUCCCAAACAUACACUAAAAACAACUUAAUUAGGCUCCAUAUUUAUAGUAUAUUAAUUAGGAUUCGUAGCUACAUGUUAGAGGGAGGGGAGAGGCUAGCGAGAGCGGGCAUAAAAUGGAAAGGGGCGAAUUGUAUUUGUAUAUAUGUCAAAUUCUAUAUGUAUAUCUUUUAGAUAAUGGUAUAUAUGUAACUGGAAUAGAUAUGCAUUUGCUGAUCUAGCGAGCUAGAUUUGAAGAGGGAGGAGAGAAGCGAGCAAGAUUCAGAGAGAGGCGGAUUGUAUUUCUAUAUUUGUCAAAUAAUUGUAUAUGUAUAAUUUGUAUUUGUAUAUGUAUAUGAAAGGAGAGAGGUGAUAGAGAAGAAGAGAGGAGAAAUGCCCAUGUAAUUAUAGUUAAAAUGAGGUUGAUAGUGAUAAUUAAUUCAAACAAUAGCCAUGUUAUCCAAUUAAAUAGCAUAAGUUUACUUAUCCGCAUAAUUGCACUUAUUUUUUUUUUAGUUCAAAUUACUUGAAAAUUAUUGAAGUGAUGAUGUGACAUAUUCCUAUAUAAUUUGAUAGAAGUAGUAAAUGUCACAGGGUGAUAAUAUGACUCGUGGUGAUAUUGUUCACGUAAUUAAGCUUUGUGGAAGUAAGAGAGUCCCAUUUUGAUAAGAAAAGUCAGAAAACGUAAUAUUUUAAAAGUCUAAAUCUUUUUUUAAAAAAGAGCAAUUUUUUUUAUCCAAUAAAUAUUAAUGGUAAAAAUUGUAGUUGAAUUCAUUUCACUUAGUUGUAAAAUAAACUUAAACGAAUAACCGAUGAACUAAUAACGCAAAAGUUAAAUCAAGUAACGAAAUGAAGAAAUAAUGGGUUCGAUGGAUUAAUAAUAAUUAAGCAUGCCACAAUCAUCAUGCGGCAAGUAUAUACACAAUAUUUUAUGGGAUCUAUAAUUUCGUUAUUUGAUUUAACUUUUUGUAUAAAUGAAACGGAUUAUCUGACAUGUUUUAAUAAAACAGUUAAUUAAGAACAUAUUAUUUUUAUGUGAAAAUAGUCAACUCAAAAAGAUGUAAUAAAAAUCAUGAAAUGUACCUCUACAAGAUUUAUUCUCAAAUUUACUAAAUUCAAUGAACUUUGCGACAAAAGAUUAUAAACCUUUAUAAUUUAAGAAAUUAUAAAUUCUAAUUUUUCAGCAGCACACAAACCUUUCGAGGUAUGUGUUUCCAAGUCUUUGAGUUGCCCACAACUUAAAGACUAUAAUUCUACUUCUACUAAUUGAGACAACGUAUCUUUGACCGUUUUGACUGACAUGUUUCAUUUUUCUUUGUUAAUUAUCAAAAUUACAUAAAUUCGAACAAUAUAUAUGUAUAAUUAAUCAUCAUGUGGCCAAUGUUCAUUAUUCCAACUAAUAUAUAUUUGUGUUAAGUAGGGAUCGUAAAAGGGAAAAUGUCAAUGUUUCUCUAUUUUCAGGAGUCAGACUCGAGAUCUUUGAAAAAGGUGUGAGGAAUAUAAUUUCAUUCAUCUCAUUACACUCAUGCGUUGGUAAAUUUUAGCUUUGAAAUGUCUAGUUUACAUCCAAAAUAAUUUAAGCUAUGUAUAUAUUUUUCAGUAUUUCGAUUGAGAGGUAUAAUCCUCUCAUUUACACAAUGCAAUAACACAAUAUGAUCUUAAGAAACCUAACACAAUAUGAUCUUAAGAAACCUAUCUCUAGAUUACAACAUUCAAUACAAUUUGUAUGCUAAAUUCUCUUAUUUCAAUCUUUAUUGGUAUCUAAUUACUUAUGGUAUCCAAAUUCAAUCCAAUUCAUCAUCAUCAUUCUCUUAUAAAUCAAUAUAAUAGCUUCAACAACUUUUUAACCCCUUCAUCAAUAGCUUUCAAUUUUAUCUUCUCACUCAAUUGCAUUGCCUUCAAAUGAAUUUGUUUCCUAGGCUUCUCCUCUAUCACUUUCCUUAUUCCUUUUGCCACCUCUUCUUUCAUUAUUUUCCCAUUUUCACCUCUCAAAAUCUCCACCCCUAUGCCAAGUUCCUCCACUAAUCUUGAAUUCAAUGGUUGAUCAUGAUUCAUAGGCAUGGCUAUUAUUGGUAUGCCAAAACUCAUGCUUUCUAAAAUCGAGUUCCAUCCACAAUGAGUUAUAAAACCUCCAAUGCUUGAAUGGUUCAAAAUUAGACUUUGUGGUGCCCAUCCUUCAAUAACCAUCCCUUUUCCCUUUGUACUUUCAAGAAAACCUUGUGGAACCAUUUCUUCAAUUGUUUUGUUCACCCCUUUAGGAAAUUUGAUUGUCCAAAUAAAAUUAACUUUGCUUAGCUCAAGCCCUUUUGCUAUCUCUUCAAUUUCUUGCUUUGACAAGAAGCUUUCACUUCCAAAUGAUACAUAAACACAUGAUAAUUGAUCCUUCUUGUCUAGCCAAGAUUGAAUUGUCCCCCAAUCCUCCUCCUCAUCUAUCAUCGCCUCGCGAAUUAAUGGUCCAAUUGGUAUCAACUCUUUCUUUCCUAUUGUAGAAACAUAAUCUAUAUACUUCCCCUCAGUCUCCCUACAAGUGUUCAACAAAACAAUGUUGUGAGAUUGUUCAAAAGACUCAAGGAUUAUGUAUGCAAAAGCUUUCUCAUCGCGUGGUUUUAUUGGUUGUAUGCCUAAUUUCUUGAUCUCAUGGUCAUGAAGGUAUAUGGAAGAAAAUGGAAAAGAUGUAAGGCUUGAACUCCCAUGAAGAAAUUGGUGGUAAAUGUAGGCAAGACCAGAAGUUGAAGAAACAUAAAACAUAAUAGCAUGAAUACUGUAUGAUGAAGCCAUAGUUGCUACCCAUGGUUGGAACCCAUCAUAUAUAAUCAAGUUAGGUUUUAGGGUUUCAAUUAUGCUUGGAAAUUUGGAAGAAGCCAUUUGAAAGGCUUGAAUAAGGUUUAGGUACCAUCUUUAACAACUACCUCCAAAAUUAUAAACCUUUUUCUUUCUCUUUCAAAUUUAAUGACAUUAUCAAUAAUUACUUUAUUCUUACUAUUUUUUUUGAUCCACCUUGUGGUGACAUAGGGUUUGACAUAGAUCCCUAUUAUAUUUUUUGCAACUUUUUUUUGAAAUAUAUUCAAAACUUUAAUUUAAUUGAAAUUGUUAUAACAAAUCUGAACUUUGGAAAGAAUUUGUUACUUCAUGUAUUAUUUAAUAGUGUAUUUUAAAGGUAUAUAUGUGAACACGUGGACAUCAUAGAUAUUACAUCAUUAUAAAUAGUAAAGUGUCCAUGUGAGCAUAUAUAUUCCUUUAAAAUACACUAUUAAAUAGUGCAGACGGAUAAUAAGUCAUGAUCAGAAUUUGAGAUUGUUACAGCAAUUUCGGUCAAAGUUAGGUAAUAUUUCGAACCCUUUUCCCUAUUUUCAUACUAUUAAAUAGUUAAACUAUCAUUAAAAAGAUCUAAUAUCAUGUUAAAUCAAUAUUUUGAAUCUAACUCACGCUCUUAAAAAUCGGUUGUAGAGAGAAGAAUUACGCAAGCCUCGUAAGAAGUCGAGCUCUCACUAACCAUCAAAACUUUUAUUAUUCUUUAACAUUAUCGACCCAAAAAUCAAUAUAGUUAAAUAAUUUAUAUUUAUAAUUGUGAUUUCAACAAUAACUUUGUCCAAGGUUGAACAUUUUUAUUAUUAUUAUUUUAUAAAGGGUAAUAUGGACUUUAUUAUUAUUAUUCAUAUAUAAGAAAGUGAAAUAUUACUAAUUUAAUUGUGCAGGCGGCAUACGAAGUAUUCAAGAAAAAUAUAGAGAAAGCCAGUAGCGUUGAAGGGUCCGUCAGAAUGGAUCGACCUCCAUAUAUUGAGGUUUCUCCGUUCACUUUUAUUUAUCUCGUUUAUCGAUACUAUUAAAAAUAGAAAUUUUAAAAAAUACGAUUUUUUAAAAUCUCAAUUCACUAGAAAAAAAUGCAUGGGGAUAAAUAAAUUCUUAAAAGACUAUAAAUAGCCGCUAGAUAUAAUAUUUUUUUUUAUUGAUUCAAUUAAAAUAUAUGCGGAAAUAGUCACUACAUAUUUUUAGUAUAAAAUUUAAAUAACAAAUAGUACUUCCUCUGUUCAGUUUUAUUUGUCAUGUUGUGCUUUUCGUAGGUCAAUUUGACUUAUUUUCAAAGUUAAAUUAGAUUAUAUUUAUUCAAUUUUAAACAAAAAAUUUAGAAUUCAAAAACUAUACGAAAAGUACUAUAGUUGCAAUUUUUUUACAUAUCAAUAUGAUGAAAAAAUAUAUCUUAAAUGUUAGUUAAAGUUUGUAUAAUUUGACUCUAAAAAUGAAAAAUAUGACAAUUAAUAGUGGACACAUAGAGUAAUUUUUUAGACGUAAUACGAGAGUCAAACUGUAUAGACUUUAACCAAUAUUUUAAGAUAUUCAUUUUCAUCAUAUUAAUAAGACGAAGAUUGAAACUUAUAGAAUUUUUUUUUUCCAUUUAAAUUUUUUGAUUUGUUAGCACAAAUGAGAAAAUUUUAGGGUUACAAAAUGUAAUUAAGGUGAGAUUAAGAAUAAUAAUCAAAUAUUUAUGAGGUGCAGGUGAUACAUGAUAAUAAGGAAAGCAAAUUGCCACAAUUAGUUUAUAUGUCACGUGAGAGGAGACCAUCGAGCCCUCAUCGUUUCAAGGCUGGAGCCUUAAAUGCUCUCGUAAGUAAUAUUAUUCUGCACGAAGUAUCUCACGUUCACAUAAUAUUCGAUUAUUAAAAUUGAAAUUUGGAAGAAAACUUUUAAUAGCAUAAUUGGUUGAGUUUACAUUUCAUCAACUUUAACACUAGUUUUCUAGUAUCAAGAUUAAUCACAAAUAGUUAUAUAAAAAAAAAGUCUAGGAAAUUAAAAUGAAAUAUAUUUUUUAUAUUAUCAGAUCAUCUAAGAAAGUCAAUCAGAUAUAUAAAGUUUGAUAAGCUGCAAAACAUACUAACAAUGUAAUGACAGAGAUCUUUUAAUCAAAGGUUUUGAUUUUGAAUCAGCCUUGGUCGGGGCACCUUUCCUGUUAAAACGAGACAUACAUAACAUGAAUUUAAAUUAUUUUAGUCAGUAUAUACGUUCGGGAUAACACAUAAAGUAGUUACUAACCUAGCUACUUUCCUAUAUUUAAAAAUCACGAACAAUCACUACUAGAAAUCGAUCAAUUUUUUGAACAAUCACUUAUGGUUAUUAUUAUUUUGUGGUCAUGACAUGCAGCUUAGGGUUUCAGGGGUAAUGAGCAAUGCACCAUAUAUGCUUGUUUUGGAUUGUGACAUGUAUUGCAAUGACCCUUCUUCAGCCAAGCAAGCAAUGUGUUUUCAUCUUGAUCAUAAUAUUUCUACUACUCUUUCCUAUGUACAAUUCCCUCAAACAUUUUAUAAUGUUAGUAAAAAUGACAUCUAUGAUGCUCAAUCAAGAUCAGCAUAUCAGGUACCUACACGUCCUCUCACUACAACAAACAAAAAUGAUCAUUAGCGGCAUUUAAUAUGUAUUUUUAGCGCCAAUUGUCAUUCUUUGUAUAUGUCCCUAGCCUUUAGCAACAUUGGUUCUAAUGACACUUAACUAAUGCCGAUAAAGACUUUAGCACUCUUUAUUAGUGUCAAUAUUUAAUGCCGUUAAAAAUUGCUUUUGUUGCGGUGUCUUAAUAUAUGUUGCAAUAAUUGUAUUCUAUAUAUUUCUAUUUUUUCCACUUCAUUACAUAUGUACAAUUUUCGGGCGUCUACACGGUCGGGUCGGGCCAAACCUGAUAUACAUAUGUAUUUGUAUAUCUGGAGAGCGAGAUUGGAGAUGGGGGUGAGCGAGAUUGGGAGAGGAAGGAGAGAGGGAGAGAGUGGAGAGAGUUGAAUUGUAUAUGUAUAUCUAUCAUAUAAUUGUAUAUAUGUAAAUGGUAUACAUACGUAUUUGUAAAUCUGGCAAGUGAUAUUGAAGAGGGAGGAGAGAGGCGAGCGAGAGAGACUAACUGUUUAUGUAUAUGUAUAUAAAAGAGGAGAGAGACGAGAGAGGAAGAGAGAAGAGAGGCGACGUAAUUACAACUAAAUUUAAGUUGUGAGACGUAAUUAAGUCAAACUAUAGCUAUGUUAACUCAUUAAGUAGUAUAUGUUUGCUUAUCCGUGUAAUAGAUGAUCUGAUUGUAUAAAUAUUUUUGAAAUCAUCAGUACAUACUCCUUAAAAUCUCAUUUCUCUCUCUCUUUUUUUUUUUCUUUUAAUUAUAGAAUAAGUAUCAAGGGAUGGAUGGAGUAGGAGGGACUGUUUGUGCAGGCACAGGCUAUUAUUUGAAGAAAGAAGCAUUAUAUAGUACUCCAAUUAACCAAGAUAAUAUGACUACACUUUUUCAAAAAGCUCAAUUAGAAUACAAGUGGGAAUCUCAAUUGUAUCAAUCAGGUUUAUCUUAUUAAUUUACACAUAAUUGUGUAGUUUAUUUUGUUUAAGCAUAUAAUUCUAUGAACAUUUUAUAUAUUUAUUAAUUAAAAAUAUGUAUAUUUGGUUUAUAGAGGAGUCACUUCAAGAGGCAGAAGAAAAGUUUGGUGCUUCUAGAAAGUUCAUUAACUCUUUGAAUCAUCAAAGAAAUGGAAGGGAAAAUGUUCUAUGUGAUGAGAUGAUUGAUGAAGCUAAAGCUCUUGCUUCUUGCACUUUUGAAGAAAAUACAAGAUGGGGUAAAGAAGUAAGUAUCAUCCUAUUACUAUACUAGUCCAUAUAUAUUUUUAGGCACGUUAAAUAAGCGGGUUGAACUGAAUUAAAACGGCUAAAAUGAGUUAAGUCAUUAACUCAUUCAAGAUUAAAAUAAGCCGAAUUAACUCAUUCAAGAUUAAAAUGAGCUGAGUCAAGAUGGAAUACAUAAUAAAUCAUAAUCGAACCUGAUGACUCUUUUUAUGUUUAAUUAUAUCAAAUAAAACUAACAAAAUUCCUUUUUUAUGAUCGUUUAUAACAGGUAUCAAAUAAUAAUAAUAAUUGCUUAGCCCAAUUUUUGGUAUGACUAAAUUGAGUGGGUCAAAAGAGAUAAAUUAGAUGUGUGAUAUAUUUAUGACCUUAUUUUGACACUUGUGUUAAAUUAUGUGAUUAUUUCGUCUAAAAGCUUAAACUGUUGUUUUCAGAUAGGGUACUCAUACAAUAGUUUACUAGAGAGCUCAUACACAGGCUAUCUCUUGCAUUCUAAGGGGUGGAAAUCAGUAUAUCUUUACCCAAAGAGGCCAUGUUUUCUUGGUUGUAGCACCAUUGAUAUGAAAGAUGCUUUGGUCCAACUCAUGAAGUGGGCUUCUGGGCUAGUACAAGUUGGACUUUCAAAAUACAGCCCAUUUACUUAUGGGCUCAUGUCAAAAAUGCCUUUAGUCCAAAACAUGUGUUAUGGAUACUUCAUGUUCUCACAUUUCCUCUCCAUUCCUUGCUUCCUCUAUGGCAUUGUUCCACCUUUGUGCUUCUUGAGUGGCACUCCACUGUUUCCCAAGGUAAAAACUUAAUUUUAUCACUCACACAUAAGUAUCUUUCAAAGUAUAAUAUUAUUAAAAAUUCCGAUUUUGCAAGUCGAAAUGGACAUAUGAGUGAUUGAUUACUAAAGAAAGAAAGGUCAAUCUUCAAAAGGCUUGAUGGGACGAAUUUCCUCAAACUAUAGUGGUGAUUAAUGAAAUUACUAGUUUAUUUUUUUGUUUAACCAUCUGGUAUCCGAAACUUAACGGUGCGGCUUAAGUUAGUUUAUGUUACAUACGGCCCACUAAAGAGGAAGCAUCCCCUACUAUAAAUUUCUUAAGACUCGAAUUCAAGACCUUUAAUUAAAAUGAAUUUUAUCUAUACCACUACAUCCUUGUUGGUAUACUAAUUGUAAAUUAAAUAAGAGUUAGUGUCAGUCGUGUGUGAGACACAAAAUAAUGAUUUUUUUUUUGAAAAAUUCAUGUACAUAACUUAUUCAAUUGUCUUUAUUUAUUAUUUACAGGUGACAAGCCCAUGGUUUGCUUUAUUCACAACCAUAUUCUUAUCAUCUCUAUCUCAACAUUUAUAUGAAGUCAUGUCUAGUGGUGGCAACUUAAGAACAUGGUGGAAUGAACAAAGAAUUUGGAUAAUAAAAACAGUCACAGCUUGCUUAUUUGGAUGCUUAGAUGUUUUAAUGAAGUGGUUAGGUGUUGCAAAGGCAAAUUUCAGGUUAACAAACAAAGCUAUAGAUGAAGAGAAAUUAAGGAAACAUGAAAAGGGUAAAUUUGAUUUCCAAGGUGCUAAGUUAUUUAUGGUUCCUUUGACAUUUUUAGUGGUGUUUAAUGUGAUAUGUUUCAUAUUUGGAAUGAAAAGAUUGGUCUUAGAGAGGAACUUUGAGGAGAUGUUUGGACAAGGUUUCCUUUCUUUUUAUGUUUUAGUUCUUAGUUAUCCUAUAUUAGAGGGUUUAGUAGUAUCAAAGAAACAAAAGUAAAAAAAUGUUUUCUUGAAAUUUGUGUAUAUCAUGUAUAAAUAAUGUUGUGACAUCAAUAUAAAUGUUUUUGCUUUCAGUUUGUUGCAUUAUUAAUUCACCUUUCAUCUUGAUUCAUAAUCAAGAAAAACGGGAACUAAAGCACAUAUUUUUAUUUUUUUUUAAAGAAUUUUGAAAGAUAUCAAUCUUUCGUUAUGUAAAAAGAUAUCUCUUUUUUUUUAAUCUCCAAAAAUUAAGAGAGAAAAUAGUCUACUUGGAUGGAUGGUUUAAUUUUUAAAAAUUACAAAAUCUACUAUUGAAAAGAUUACCUGUGGUGAUCUGGUUGUGUAAUUUUAUUUUAUUUUACACUACUUAUAUAUGUAAGUUAAAGUUAAUGGGAUCUAUUGAUCGAUAUGUCUUGUCUUAGCCCACUAGUAUCUUUCUCUUUGGGAGAUAAUAGAUAAAUCAUAUUGCAAUAAUCAUGUGACACGUUUAUUAUGGAGAUGUGAUAAUUAUGUAAAUUUAUUCAAAUAUUGUAUUCAUCAAAAUAAUACAGUACGAGAUAAUUCAAUACAACGAAACCAUACAUAAGCUUCAACUUAUCAACACAAAAGCUUCAACCCUUUUUUAACUCCUUCAUCAAUAGCUUUCUCCCCUUUGAAUUUUAUCUUUUCACUCAAUUCCAUUGCCUUCAAAUUAACUUGUUUCCUAGUGUUAUCCUCUACCACUUUCUUUAUUCCUUUUGCCACCUCUUCUUUCAUUAUUUCUCCAUUUUCACCUCUCAAAAUCUCCACCCCUAUGCCAAGUUCCUCCACUAAUCUUGAAUUCAAUGGUUGAUCAUGAUUCAUAGGCAUGGCUAUUAAUGGUAUGCCAAAACUCAUGCUUUCUAACAUCGAAUUCCAUCCACAAUGAGUUACAAAACCUCCAAUACUUGAAUGGUUCAAAAUUAGACUUUGUACUUUCAAGAAAACCUUGUGGAACCAUUUCUUCAAUUGUUUUGUUCACCCCUUUAGGAAAUUUGAUUGUCCAAAUAAAAUUAACUUUGCUUAGCUCAAGCCCUUUUGCUAUCUCUUCAAUUUCUUGCUUUGACAAGAAGCUUUCACUUCCAAAUGAUACAUAAACACAUGAUAAUUGAUCCUUCUUGUCUAGCCAAGAUUGAAUUGUCCCCCAAUCCUCCUCCUCAUCUAUCAUCGCCUCGCGAAUUAAUGGUCCAAUUGGUAUCAACUCUUUCUUUCCUAUUGUAGAAACAUAAUCUAUAUACUUCCCCUCAGUCUCCCUACAAGUGUUCAACAAAACAAUGUUGUGAGAUUGUUCAAAAGACUCAAGGAUUAUGUAUGCAAAAGCUUUCUCAUCGCGUGGUUUUAUUGGUUGUAUGCCUAAUUUCUUGAUCUCAUGGUCAUGAAGGUAUAUGGAAGAAAAUGGAAAAGAUGUAAGGCUUGAACUCCCAUGAAGAAAUUGGUGGUAAAUGUAGGCAAGACCAGAAGUUGAAGAAACAUAAAACAUAAUAGCAUGAAUACUGUAUGAUGAAGCCAUAGUUGCUACCCAUGGUUGGAACCCAUCAUAUAUAAUCAAGUUAGGUUUUAGGGUUUCAAUUAUGCUUGGAAAUUUGGAAGAAGCCAUUUGAAAGGCUUGAAUAAGAGUGGAGUUGAGAUGGGGAGGGAGGUCUUUAGUUGUAUGGUAAUGAGGUGGUAACUCAUGCAAAUAAGGCAAGUGAAAUUCAACAAGUUGUAUGGAUUGAUUAUAAUUAGUUGAGUUUUUAUCUAGGGUUUCCUUGAUAGAUUUGAGAAUAAUUGGUGUUGAGAGAAAAUAUAUGUGAAAAUUCAUUUUUGAUAAUUUCUUGGCUAGUGCCAAAAAAGGAUUUACAUGGCCAAAACCUAACCAUGGAAAUAAUAGAAUACUAGGACUAUUUUCCUUAAUUCUCUCCAUGAGUGGAAUAAUUAUGCAAAAUUUUAUAAAGUAUAUAUUAUAGUUUUAUAGGAUAGAAAAAGUUAGCAAUAUGGACUUUUCAUUUAGUUUUUGAUGAUCUUUACUAGUCGACUGUCAUUUACGUACACGAAUUAAUCUCAUCUUUUAAUGGACGGUUAUCUAUUUAUAAUACUUUAGUAAUAAUUAAUUAAUUAUGAUAGUUUAAUUAUCAAAAUUAUCAACGAUAAUUAUAUUUUGAUACUCUUUUAUUAAUGUCUAGAAGUGUAUAGCAACAUUAUCGGAUCUAAUUGCAUUAAACUAAAGUCAGUAAUAAUUUUAACAUUUUUUAAUAAUGUACAUAUUUAUUGUUGAUAGAUCGAUAUUAUUUUUGUUACAAUGAAACUAUAGUUAUCGUUUCACUCAUCUUCAUAUUUUUAUAUGGUUAGCGUAAUAAAAGUUGUAAUUAAAACAAAAACAGGAAAUUUUGAAUGUUCACUAAGAGCAUCUUUUUUCCGUUUAAUUAACGUAGAAUAAAAAAUGAUUAAAGUAAUUAUGUAUGGUAACCAACAGGCAAAAUAAAUCAAUAUUAUUAGAUAUGGUGGAUCUUUUGGAUUUUGACAGAUUUAAUGUGUACUAAAAUAAAAUUUUAAAAACAUGGCACAAUUAUAGAAAUAAAUAUUCAAAAAAAUAUAAUCUAAUUAUAUCGAUGUGAUUUCACUAAUUAAAUGAAGAUAUCAUCAUCGGAUAGCAAAUCAGAGACUAAAAACACAACAGCUACAGUAAGAAAAAAAAGUGCAAUAUUUUGUGAAUGGUCAGAUAAAUCAUCUUCCUCGUAAAUUUAUAUUGUAUAUGUAAAAGUUAUAUAAAAUAUAAAAUUUAAAAUUACUUCUCGUAUAUAUUUUAUAAAUCGUAAAUAUUAUUAACGAAAUUUUUAAUUUUAUCACCAGACAUACUACAUAAAAAAAUUUAGAUUUGUCGUUAUGAGAAAAUAUUUAUGGUCACUUAGUAUUAAAUAUAGUAUCUAGCUGUAUAUUAAAAAAAGUGAUUGCUUUUUCAUAUAGUCAAAUAGUAGGUUCAAUAAUAGAGAUGACUUUUACUUUUGGCGUUUAAAAUGAUAAAUUUAUAUUAGGAAUAAUUAACCUCGUACAUGAAAAUUAUAUAAAUUAUAGAUGAUAGUAUUUUUAUUAUUAUUAUAUUUUCUAAAACGUGGUACAUGAUGUCUAACCUCUUUGAAGAAACAUAAGUUGGUGGACACACCAAUGAAUUUUCUACAUUUAUAAUUUGUUUAUAUAAUAUUUGUAAUAUUGACAUUAGAAUUCCAUUAAAAAAAAUUCCCUACAUUUUAAUAAUUAACUUACAAAACUCUAACUAAUUUUUGAAUAUUAUUUAGAUAUAUGUUAGUUUGCAUUAUUACAAUUCUUAUAAGAUUUUGGUGCGUUUAGAUACAUCUAGAUACACGUAUCACAAGAUACAAGAAAUCAAAGUUAGGUAUAAUUGUUCUAGUUACACUGUAUAUUUACAUGUAUGCAUAGACAAUUUCACUCGUCUCCCUAUCAUCUCACUUGUCACUCUCAUAUCUCGCUUGCAUAUCUGGCAUCCCAGAUACAUGUGAAUCACAAAAAAUAUAUUGUGUGAACCUAGUGUGCUUCCGUGCACCUGAGAUUAUGGACAAAUCUUGCUCGCCUCCCUCUUGUUUUUGCUCGCCUCCCUCCUGUUUUUACUCGCCUUUCUCCCUAUUCCAGUGUAUCUAGUAGCAAAAUUACUAGGUGUAUCUGACUUGAAAACCAACGAUAAAAUUAUUAAUUAAUUAAUAAUUAGAUAAAAUAUAAAUAUUCAAAUUAUAGAUAGAACUAAUAAAUAUAAUGGAAAUAUUUGUGUAAGUAGUAGUUUUUCCUAUUUUAAGGCCAAUUUCCCCUGGGCUUUAACAUUAACAAUAUUGUUUGGGCUUACUUGGCCCAAACAAAACUCAUGGCUCCAUUUACCAAGCCCAUUUCAAAUCAAAUCAUAUGUAGCUGCCUAAAGGGAUCAAUCCACAGAACUACACACAAAUAAUAGUAAAGAUUGAGAUGGAACUGUAAAUAUUGUUUCAUUUUUAAUCAGAUAUCUUUCGUUCAAGCCCUUUUAUUAAUAUUUUAUUUGUUUAUAAAGGAGCUUUCUCAUCCUAAAAAAAAAUACUACUCGUAACUAUGUAAGCAGGAGCGGAUCCACAUUGAAAGUUUUGACUGUUUGAGUAUUCAUUAAUCUCGCAUCUAAGUAUAUAUAUUUAUAUAAGAAGCAGUUGCUUUGUAUAGUGGUCGAUUGUUGGUGCUCAAAGUUAUACAUUGCAUCUGUUGUGGCUAAGUUCGAUUCCCUUUUACUGAUUAAGUCUUCUUGGAGCACCCACAUUCUUAAAUUCCUGGAUCCGCGACGACGUAAACAAAAUUAUGCUCGUAACAUUUAUUUUUUUUAAAAAAAAAAACAUGUGGUGAGUUGUACUAAAAACAGAAGUGUCAUCAUUACUAGGAAACAAACAAAUAAAUACUUACAAAAUACAAAGGAGAAAAUGAAGGGAAUGAGUGGGCUUUUUGAUAGUUCCCAUGUCUUCCAAUGUUUCCUUAAAUUCUAUUCAAUCCAUUCCUCCUAACAGAGAGUGAUGUUUCAUCAGCAACCAAAUACCUAAAAGAGAGAAUAUUUUAAAGCCUUAUGGAAUGAUACUAAUUUUUUUUUUUUUGGAAAACUUAUCUACUUACCUAAGUGUUUCUAUCAUAAAUAUUAUUCGUAAUGAUCUUACUAAUUAAUACUUUCAUGUCAGAUUCAUUACUUCCUCACAUUUCAAGUCAGAUAUAUGUAUUUUCUUUUUAUGUUAGAUACAUUUUAAAAUACAUAGGAAUAGAGAUAAGCAAGAAAAGAAAGUAAUGAGCAAGAGAGGAAAAGAGACGAUUGAGAUAGGAGAGGUGGGGGAGAGAGUCAGUAUAUCCCACGCACAUGUGAAUCAUUUGAGAUAACAAAUAUAUUCUAAAUACAGGAAAAGACGUGAGCGGUCAAGCUAAGAAGGUGAUGAGCGAAAAAAGGGAAAAAGAUAGGAGAGAAGCAAGCGAAAGAGUCAUGAUAUUUCAUAUACAUGUGAAUUUCACUAGAUGUGUAUUGUAACAGAAAUAUCUAAUACAUUCCAGAUACACUCUGAAAUACAUAUACAUAAAAAAAAAAGCGAGUGAGAAAGCUAAAUCAGUAUAUCUUAAUCUUCAAUACAUAUAAAUCACACUUAAAUACAACAUAUUUAACUUAUAUUAAUAAACUAAUUGAUCGAACAACACGAACUAUAUUAACUUUUUUUUGGUAUGUGCAUGAAACCAUAACACUAUUGUGAGAGUUGGAAUCAGUGUUCAGUAAGGAUAUCUUUCUUGACCAUCUUUUUUGUCACACAUAAACAUAGUAAGUAUUUAUUAACAUACUAAAACCCUUUAAUAGAAGAGACUGCAAAAGCCAAAAAAAAAAAAUUUUGCCAAAAUUAAUUAAAUAACUCUGCAAUUACGGCUGUGAAUUAUAAUUUUGAAUAACUAUAGUUGAAUGGCCCUAAUUGGCCACCAGUCAUUCAAAUAAAUCUAGAGGUAAACAUAGUACGAUCUUUUGUAUAGUUUGAGUGACUCUGAAAAAGAAGUCCUUUUUCUUUGUUUUAAAUGGAAACAAAAUCUUUGGAAUAAAAUUUAAUUCUCACAUUAUAUUAUAUUUCUACAUAGAUAUUUUCUUUUAUUUACUUUGGAAUUGUAAAUCAAAGGGCGACAUGACAAACUAAUAGUACUUAUUACUCAUCAUUACAUGCAUGCACUAAUUCCUAAUUAGUAUUUCUCUGUUUAAAUUUUAUAUGAAAUUAGUUUAAUUUGGCUCGAAAUAUCUAAAAAAAAAACUUUUAAAAUUUGUACUUAAAAUAAGUAAAAAUUUGUGCAAGUUAUAUUAAGAAUAAUAUAGAUAAUUUAAUGUUAAACUGUUACUUAAUUUAGAAAUAUAUCAUUUUUAGGAUGAACCAAAAAAACAUGAGUGAUAUAAAUUGAACAAAAGAAAGUACUAACAAUGACCAAUUACUUUCUAUUCGAUUCAUAUGAUUCAGUUUGACGGGAUACGAAAAUUUAAUAAAGGGAAGAAUAAUUAAUAUAUCUUUGAUAUAAAAUAAGUCAGGAUGGACAUAAUUUUUUAUUCUAAACAACAAAAAAAAUUUCACGAAAAUUUAAUAAAGGGAAGAAUAAUUAAUAUAUCUUUGAUAUAAAAUAAGUCAGGAUGGACAUAAUUUUUUAUUCUAAACAACAAAAAAAUUUUCAUGUUGAUAUUAUUUAGUUAUGAAUUAUAAGAAAAUUCAAUUACGUAGGGGUAUUUUAGCAAUAAAUUAACUAGAGAUUUCAAAUAAUGUUCGUAGUUAAUUUCAUUUUUUUUUUGGAUUUUUAUGUAGAUAUAAUUAAUUGAUUUCAUCAAGCGUAAAAUGAAAAGUUAAAAUGCUCCGAUCCUCUAGGUUAUAGCCCGAUUAAUCUAACACUAUAUAUUUUUUUUUUCUUCAAAAAUGAUCCAGUGUAAUUUUCAUCAGUCAUAAGGUCUGAAGGUCAAAGUAUACCGUAUAUACAAAUUUUACAUCUAUCAUUAUAGAAUCGAUAUAUUAUUUUCGAGAGACCCUUGACUCAAAAAAAAUAUCUAAUAACAAUUGAAUUUUAAAUUUCUCAUUUUUAUUUUAUAAGAUAAUUUAAAACGAUACAGAAUCUAUAUUUAUUUUAACCCUAAAUUCUUAAAUUUUUUUAAAAAAUAAUCAAUUUCAUCUCUUGUCAAAUAUUAUCACAUAAAUUGGAUACCGACUAUGAAUUAGAAUAUAAAGAGUACUAGUCAUGAUUAUUAAGAUGAAGAAUAUUGACAAGUAGCUUUUAUGUAUUAGAACCAAGGUUUAUUGCAUAUCUCUUUAAACAAAUAAAAGCCUUUUACUUUGAGUUAUCGUCUUUCUCUAUCAGUUGUUAAGCAUAUACUAUCUUUUUUAGAUUAAAAAUCAGUCUUUGGUGGUUUCUAUUUUAAGAAUAUAUUAAAUCUACUUUUUGAAAAAUAAUAAUAAUAAGAAUCCAACUGUCAAAAAUAAUGAUUACAUAAAGGAAAAUUAGAAUGAGAAAAAUGACAUAUAUUGACAUGCAUCAAUUCUUAGGUUUUCAAAUUUAACAAAAUGUUUUGACUUUGUUUGUGUAAUGUGUUAGAAAAGAAAACUUUAAUAUAAUUAGAUGGAAUCCUAUAAUCGAUGGACGUGAACUAUAUAUUAAAACUCCUAUUUUCAAAUAAUUAAGUUGCAUAAUAUGUGAAUUAUGAUAAAACGGUUGAUUUUUUUACUUGUAAUCAGCAGAGGCGGAAUCAGGUAGGAUUAAGGAUGUCAUUCCAAACCCAUUGUAGUGAAAAUUAUGUUGUUUUACAAAGUUAUUUUUUCUUUUAUGUACGUAUAUUAUAGAGAUGUUGGAUCUUCUUGGACUUCUAGGUAUACAUACUACAUCUUUAUAUUUUGAACCCUAAAUUAAUGAUAAUUCCGAUUCCAUCAUUGUUCAUCAGAGGCCUCUAGUUCAAGUCCCUAGAAAUGAAGAAAUCCUGUUGAAAGCGUCACCUCUAAAAAUGAGUUUUAUAAUACUUGAUUCCUGAUUUAAUCGAACUUCAAUAUCAUACGACUUUAAUUUACAACCUCACUUAUAGAGUUCUUUUAAAAAACUAAAAUCCAUAAAAAUAUUCAAAAUUGUUGUUUUGAAAUGUUGAAUUGAGCAUUGGAAAUGUAAAUAAAAAAAGAUGACAUAAGGUUUAAACUGUAUUUAUUGUAAAUCAGAGGAACAUCCUCUGAUUCUAUUUCCUAGAAUAAGCAAAAGGCUAAAAUUGGCAGUAUAAAGCCAGAUAGGAUAUAUUUCUUCUCAAGAAUUAAGCUAUACAUAUAUAGGGCAAAAAAUUAUCACAUAAUAUAAUAAAUUUUAGCACAUGAUAGGAACUUAGUUGGCAUUUUUUAAUAUAUAUUACAACUAGUAUUCGUUACAUAUAACUUACGUAUAAAUAUUACCUAAGUCCAAUUAAUCUAAAUGUAUAUAGUUUAAAAGUAAAAUUGACCUAUUUUUGAAUAGUUUAAGAGCAAAAUUGGUGUAUUUUCCAUUGGGAAGAGUAUUUUUGAGCUAUUUGACUAAUUGGAGCAUUGGAGGAUAUUUUUGAGCCAACAAUGUAAUGACAAGGGUGUUUUUUUACCUAUUUGAAAUAGUUUGAGGGUAUUUUUUUUUGAUCAUUUUCGCUUUUCCAGUUACAAAGGAUACGUAUAUUAAUAAUUAAUAUCGAUUUAUAGCUAUUAGAAUUAGUAUAAGUGGGAGAUGGCCUUUUGUGGCUUAACAAAAAGAGUUUCUCCUUUGUUUGUGUUCUAACUUUUUGGAAAAACCUAAUCGGUAUAUUCUCCCAAUCUAAAAUAAAUAAUAAAUAUUUGUGUGAUUAAAUCAUGUCAUUAUAAAGAUAAAAUGAGAAGUUUUAAGUUAAAUUCUUAUUAAAUUAAGAAACAUGUCAUUCUUUUUUUUGAACCGACUAAAAAAUAAUGUGAAUAAAUUGAGAUAGAAGAAUCAUAACUAAAAAAAUCAUACUCAAAUCUUGCAAAUUAAUUAUGAAUAAGUUCAAAAAUUAUAUAUAAGAAAUCACAACAUCUCGCUAUUUAUAUGUAAAUAUUUUUGCACUGUCGAUACAUAAAACUUAAACUCUUUAAUCCUAAAUAAUGUCACCAAUGGUUCAAUUCUACACCCUCCACCCCUUCAACCCCCCCCCCCCACCCAACCCUACUAGCUUUUUGUCUCUCACAAAUACAAGCACAAUAUCCCAAAUGUAAGCUCUAUAUCAUCAUCACCUAUGCCCUGCUAGUAACUCUCUCAUUUAACCCUAUAUAUCUUCCCUUAUCACUUCCCUCCAAACAAAGAGAAAAAAAAACACUAAAAUAUAAGAGAAAAAUUAAUUUUGUUCCUAGUUGUCUUUAUAGGCCAUGGAAAAAAAUAGUAGCAAGUACUUCAACAAACACCAAACCAUGAAGAAUGUUAAAGAAUAUUCAUGGGAUAAUAAUUAUGUAGAUCAUCAAGGUGGUGAUUUAGUUGGAGGGUUUUUAUGGCCACCAAGAUCUUACACAUGUAGCUUUUGUAAAAGAGAAUUUAAAUCAGCUCAAGCUCUUGGUGGUCAUAUGAAUGUUCAUAGAAGAGAUAGAGCAAGGCUUAGACUUCAAUCACCAACAAUUCUUGAAUCAAACCCUAACCCUAAUUCAAAUCCUAACCCUAACCCUAGUUUUGUUUCAUCACCAUCUUCUCCUUCAACAAAACUAUUCCCUCCUUUUGUUUCAACAUUACCUCCAUUAUUAUCUCCUAAUUCAUUUUCUUCUUCAACCGCAGCGGGCGGAGGCUCUCAUGAGAUGAAAAAUGGAGAUUUGACAAAAAUGGGAAGUGCAAAAUUUGAGGAAAAUGGAAAGGAAUGUAGUGAAGUGGUGAAGAGGAGUGAAUUUUUGAGAUUGGAUUUGGGAAUUGGUUUGAUUAGUGAAUCAAAAGAUGAUUUGGAUUUGGAUUUGGAGCUUAGACUUGGUUACAUUUAGACUAGUUGUUGCCUUUUUUAAUUACUAGUUCAAGAAGAAGGAAAUAAAAGAAAGUCUAACAAAAAGUGCACUAUUUUAGUUGAGAUUGAAGAUGGAAAUUAGAAGAUGUGAUUGCCAUGAAGACAGCUAAGAUGAUAUUGUUGUUUUAUUUUAGAUUAUUAAUUACUAUUGUCUCCUUCAAUAUAUAAUUUCUAUGUUAUGUAUGUAUUGUAACUCUUAGUAGAUCUUCUAAAAUUGAUCAUGUCUUCUAAGUACAAUAUUGUUAUUGAUGUUCUUUAGUUUGUUUUUCUUCUACUUUUAUCUUUUUUAGAAUGUCAAUAUGGAGUAUAAUUUAAGCUUUUGAAUCUAAAGUUUGAAAUUUCUCGAGAAGCUAAUCAUAGGUUGUUCUCUUCUAUCACGUUUCUUUUUCUCUCCUCUAUUUUUUUUUAAUUUCUUGUAGUUUUGAAAUCAUGAUCAGUUGAGUGAGUUUGAUUAAUAUGUUUAUACUUAGUCCAUGUAUGUUAUUGCUAUAUUAUUUUAUGUGUUCCUUAAUGAGUUGAGAAAUGCAUAUAUGAUCUAAUACCAAAAAUUAGGGUAUUAGAAAGACAUAGUUAAGAUAUAGUGUUCAUAGUCUACUUAGACACAUAAGAGGAAGCUUAUUGGAGCAACAAUAAAGUUGUUCUUAUUUGACGACUAAAGAUUAUUACCAGUUCAAGUCGUGGAAUCAAUUACUUCUGCUUGUAUUAGGAUACACUAUACCUCCUUGGAGUGCGGACCUUAUAACGUGAACGAGAUACUUUGUACAUUGAACAUGCUUAGAGAUGACUUAUUUAUGUCAUCUUCAUCAAACCUUUUAACAAAGAUGGUUGAUACAGUGCUUUACUUUCUAGUAUUUUGGAAUUAAUAAAAUUUACAUUAGACAAAGCAAGUAAAUGAACUCCUAGAUCUACACUAAGUACAAACUUUGAGAAAGGACAAUCAUUUUCAUUUUUAUGGCCUUGCAAGCAUGUAAAAAUGCAUUGGUGCACAUGGAAAAAUGUUGCAUUUAUCAGGAAAGUGAAUCGACAUGAAGUACCAUUAAAUUACAAGAAAAGUUCAUGCUAACUUUUAAAGCCUUCGUGAUUGAAUCAGCGGUGGAGACAGAAUUUUGUUAAAAAGUUUAAAAUAUAAAAAGCAAAUACGCGAAGAAGUUAAUAAAAAAUUCAAUAUCUAGUAUAUAUACACACAACUUUUAACCAUUUAUAACUAAUAUAAUUUUAUGACAAAGAGGUUCAUAUACCUACCUCCACCUUAAGAUUUAAAUUAUAUAUUUAUAGGUGAACCACUUCAAAAUAUGAGACUUUAUAAUUUCAAUAAUAGAAUAUGUUUAUGUACAAUAAUUCAUAAACUUUAAUAUGUGAGGAAGUAUCAAAACAUUAUACAAAUAUGUAUGUAUGUUAUUUCAAAGUAUAAGUUGGAUGUAUGUAUGACCAACUGCAUGUGUCGAUAGUAAUUGCUAAGGUUUUUCGAUACACAAAUACAUGUUAUAUGUAUACAUAUGCAAUAAAAUUACAUAAUUUCGUUGUAAUAUAUCGAUCGAGAUCACUAGUUCAAGUAAUUUUUUUAUUUUGUAAAAAGUUUAAACUAAGGGUGUUGUUAUGUCACUUAAUAAAGUUUUUAUUGUACUUUAGAGUUAAGCAUUAUAUACCAACAGUACAUAUCAUAUCUACUGUACUAAGUAACUUCCUCUGGGCAAUGAAUAUAGUUGACUGAAAAAUAAAGACAAUAAACACAUAAAAAGGUACUAACAAGUUUUUGCAUAUAAAGUCUUGUUGCCUUUUUAUCAUAUUGGAGACUGUAAAGCUAAAAUGUUUUUAUGCCAGAUAAAUAUAAAUAUACUAUAUAGCUUCCAACAUUUAAUGAAGUCUCUGAAUUAUCAAUAUGGGUUGUGGUGCAGUUGGUGUGAUUAUUUCAUUCUUAAUAAAAGAUUUCUGGUACGAGUCUGAAUAUGAAGAAAAAUCAUAUUGAGAAAUCACCUUUGAAUAGGCUCCGCAGUGUGCGAUGCAAAUUUAAUUGAGAAUUUAAUAAAUAUUCCGGAUCCCGGAUGAAAAACAAAAAAAAAUAAUGUCUCUGAGCUUUACAAAAAAUCAUGUAGCUUAUAUAAGGACCAACUGAAUGAAUAUGUUGUACUUUUGAUAUUUCCUUAACCAUUGUGAAAACUUAAAUUUUCAAGAAUUGACAAUUCUAUCUGAUGAAGUACUAGAAUAGAAGUUAGUAUGUGUCAUGCAUUAUUGCCUCAUGUCUUUUUUUACAUUUUUUAGAACAGAGUUUCAAUUAGCGUUUGAUCAUAAUUUUUUAAUAAAAUAUUAAAAUUUAUCUUCAAAUAUAUUUUAUAUUUUAUUUUUUUUAAGUAAUUCUCAACUUCUAAAAAAGUUGGGCCCAUUUUUGAGAGAAUUUCACCUUGAUUCACAAAACUGUAAAUUUCAUAAAUCACAAUUAUAAAAUCUCAUAUUUUAAACAUCAACCUCAAUAUCUAUAGAGCUAAAUUCCAUGACAUGAUGCCUAAAAGAUAUUUACUAUAUAAAAGGGUCUUGAAUAAGUAUUCAAUAAAUUUCUUGAUAAAUAUUACAAAAAAAAAAAAAGGUUAAAAUAUACGAAAUAGAACAAAAAUAACCCCAGUUAAUUUAUUGGUCUAAAAAUAUUCUUGUCAUCAUCAAUAAUUAGUGCUCAUAUUUAUAUCCGGCCUAUAUUUUUGAUAUAACACUUUAAUAUAUCUUUUAACUAAAUCUUGAUAGAUAAAUAUACCAUCCAACUUUAAAUAUAUACAAAUAAACACUUAAAUUUAUACAAAAACUAAACAAACGGACACGUACAUUUUAUUAUUACAUUUUUUUGAUCAAUUUUAAUAAAAAUUCUACCUUCGUCAUUAAUUAGCGUUGCCAUUGAAUAAGAAGUGGUACUUGGUAGGUAGUGUAUAUUAAAUCACAUAUAUAUUAGUAUAUGUAUAUAAGAGAAUAAAAGAAUAGUGGAAAGUAUACAAGUGCUUCUUUGUACUAGUAAUUAAGGAAAGUUGUUUACUUGUUUAUAAUGUUACUGACCAAAACAGCUCUCAUUCUCUAUUUUAAGUAAUGUCAUGAUGCCCUUUCACACACAGAGGUUGUCGGGAACAUGCAAACUAUCAGAUUUUGGGAAGAAGUGUCUAAUGACAAAACUAUAAAUCAUUGACAAUACCACACCCCAGUAGGUGUGGUUUACGUUGUUUAGACAUGCAAUAUGAAAUUAAUUUAAUAUGGUGUUAGAAUUUUGGUCGGAUAUGUUGUUUGAAUUUCUUAACUUGUAACUUUUUUUUUUCUUGGCUCAAUAAUAUACCACUAGAGGACUUUUUUUGGUGGCAUACCCUCGGUUUAAUAAUUUCAGAUAUAACUCGCAUUUAAAGACUUGAUGAUUCACUUAUUUUGAAAUUCUAUAACUUAUACUAAAUAUCAUAUUUUGCUACGUCAUUUACUGCAUCAAAAUGAUCUAUAGCGGCAAUUGAUUAACGAUAAUAGUUUAUUUGUUGCUAAAUAUAUGUUUUUAGCGAUAAUUAGCUUAGUACUCUUUGUACAUGUCUUUGAAGCCUUUAGCGAUAUUAGAUCUAAUGACAAUUAACUAAUUUCAAUACAAACUAUUUUAGGAGUCUUUAUUACUCCCUUCAUUUAAAAAAAGAUGAUUUAGUUUGACUUGAAACGAAGUUUAAGAAAAGAAAGAAGACUUUUUAAUCUUGUGGUUCUAAAUUAAAGUUAAGUCCAAUGUACCAAAAUAUCCUUCAAUCUUGUGGUCUUAAACAUACUACUUGGAAAGUUAAAGUUAAAAUGUUGCCAAAAAAGAAAAGGAGUUAUUCUUUUAAAACAAACUAAAAAAGAAAUAGAAACAUUCUUUUUUAAACGGAGGAAGUAAUAUGCAUAUUUGUUGCUGCAAAAGUUAUUUUUGUUAUAGUAAUUUAUUGAUGCGAUCGAUGAGAGUCAUCUUGGUUAAGGAUGUUAACGAAGAUGCAUGUAUUCUUUCUAUUAACUAAGUUGUUAAUAUUUUCUUUUAAGCAGAAAAAGAAAGAUAAAGGGAACAUCUAUGAAUAUUGUGUCUAAUAGUUGAUCAGAGUGAUCCAUCAUUAUCUUGUAAUGACGCAUAUUAAUUAUCAUAACCUUGUUUAUCAAAAUAAAAAUGUGUACAAUAGAGAUGAUAUUCAAUAACAAGUUAUUGUAAGUGUUGAUAAAAACUAAUUAUGUGUCUAUGCUAGAUCUAAAAGAGUAUCAAUUGACUGAGAAAAUUUACUAUAAUAUGAAGUUGCUAAGGACAGUAAUACAAAAAUCUAAUUUCAACCAAACUAGAAGAGAUGCUACUAUAUAUAGGCCAAGCAAUGGACAAAAUUAAAAAUUAUGGAUCGAAAGUUGGUUCAUUAAAUAUGGGCGGUUAGUAAUUAGCAUGAUGCUCAAGUUAAUUCAAAUUAAUUAAGUUAUAAUUAUGUGUAUGCAUUAUUCAACCAUCUAGAUUUUAUAUAUAUAUAUAUAUAUAUAUAUAUAUAGGGGCGGAGCCACCUUGGUAUAAGGGGGUUCAUUUAAACCCCUUCGAUGGAAAAUUAUACUAUUUAUACAUGAUUAAAAUAAUAUUUAUGUAUAUAUAGUAGAUGUCGAAUCCCCUUCAACUAUUCUGUGUGUCUAUUUCUAUGAAUUUUGAAUCGUCUUAUUAAAAAUUCUGGCUCUGUUACUGUGUAUAUGUGUGUGUGUGUGUGAAGUGUAUAGUUAAUAUAUACUUUAUAUCAAAUAUUGAGAAAAAAGUCUGAAUAAUAUUUCAACUUUGGUCGAAAUUGUUGUUACGAUAUCAAACUUUCGAAAAAAACUUUUACCCCUUACUAUCUAAUAGUGUAUUUAAAGGUAUAUAUGUGUCUACUUAGACAUCAUAAAUAUUGCAUCAUUUUAUAUAAUAAUGUGUGCACAUGGACACUUAUAUACCUUUAAAGUACACUAUUAAAUAGUGCAAGGGUAAAAGGUCCUCCAUAAAGUGAUAUCGUAACAUCAAUUUCUGUCAAAGUUAAAAAAAAAAUCAAGACUCUUUUCCCUCAAAUAUUUCAUAUAUAUAUAUAUAUAUACAUAUUAGUUUUAGUUCCUUAUUUACUUUAAAUAUAUUUUUUAUAUUUCAAAUUCAAAUAUUAAACAUUUUUUUUUCACUAGCUUAGCUUGGCCUAGUCCAACUUUGGUCAAGCUCUAAAGGUCAAACAAACUUAUUUACGUCAGGCUAAAAAUAUUUGAUUUUAAAUACACGUGAAAAUCUUAGCUUAAUCUUAUCAAAUAAAGAGUUAGGAUCGAACCAGUUCAGUUGAACAAUUUGAGGCUUAUAACUCAGUCAAUCUUAAUUUCUCGAUAGAAUGUUUUACUAACUAUAAUAACAAUAACCAUUCAGUAUAAACCCGUAAGUAUGAUCCGGAGAUUCUUUGAUGCGGUGCAAGACAAGAAAGGCAAGUGAUGGUCAAAGAAAAGUCUAGGUAUAGGUAUUGAAUGGAAGUGAUGAAUGAUGAGUCCAAAACAAAUUGAAUGCUAAAUGGCACAUUCAAAUAUGUGAGUUAAUAGCCUUGACAAUGAUCUCUGAAGACAGUACAUCACUUGAAUUAUUCUGACCCUUUAAACGUCAUGUCUCUUGUGUUCUUUCAUCAUACCAUGUCUUGCUAUUCUAAACAAAAAGUCCAACAACAAAACUUUAAAAAUUCUCUUUUGGAAUUAUUUUAUUUUAUUGUUAUGAGCUCAAAUAAUUUUUAUAUAUUUACAUAUAAGAAAUAGAAAGAGAAACAAAGAGCAUUCUCACACGAAGGUCAUCAAGGGUUAGGGUUGGUCAAAAUAUUUCGAAUGUUAGUGGUUCGAGCUCGCUUAUCUCAAAGGUCAUAUAGGGUUGAUCAAAAUGUUUUGAUCCAAUCAUUUAUCUAGACUUAGAUAAACAAGUUUCUUGAAAAUUGAAUAUGAUUUUCUCAGAUCAAAAUAGCGAUUCCAACAAGACAAGUUCCAUAUAUAAGCGGACAUUGGACAUCCUAAUCUGGUUGUUGACUCCUUCGCGAGUCGCAACCAUUUGCGUAGAUUAUAUGUAAAUAAUAUUUUAGAUAUUAUUUUUGAUUAACAGAUUACUUAAAAAUGACUUAUAUUAAAAUGUAAGAGUUUGUUAUACAUGAGGUAAAUAAAAAUUCUUUUAUUUUUGAAAAUAAACUAUAACAUUUUCUUAUACAACAAAAAGAACAUUUAUAUAAUAUUUACUUUUAGUUUUUUUUUUUUUAAUCCAGUAGUUUAAUGUGGUAGUUUUCGAUCCCUUUCAUUUUCAUCACGAGGUGGGAUAUUCAGGCUCGAAAAUCUAUGCUAAAUUUUGUACUAUAUAUUAUAGUGACACUCUGAAAAUGAAAAGGUAUGGGAAAAGGUAGAGCAAUUCAUCAACAUCUUCUUUAAUUUACUUCAACCAAAUAAUUCACCCUACCAAGCAUAGCUUUCACUAACAAAACAACAUGCUAUGAUAAGUAAACAAUUUUGCCAUAAUAAUAAUAUAAUUAUCGUUCUAUUAAAUGUAGUGAUAACAGUAAAUAUGAAUAUGUAUAAUUAGUACUUUAUGCAAAUGUUGCUAAGGGCUUUAAUGACUCCAAAUAUAAUGAUAUUAGUCCAAUUAUUGUUAACUAUUAUUACGAUUAUAAAUAUUUCUAUUGAAAAAAGUCUAUUUCGACUAAAUGUCUUUUUUGUUGUGGUAAUGCAUUAAAAGAAAAAAUAUUUUAAAAAAGAUUCAAUUUUUGGAAAAAUAAUUUAUAUUGUUUGGUCGGAGUGAAAAGUAAUUUCGAAAAAACAAUUGUUUAUUAAAGUUUAAUAAUAAUGUUGGUAAGUUAAAUAGUGUUUUACUGAAAUUUUUUAUUGUUAAAUAUUUGAUCAUAAUAAAUGGUUGGUGUGAUAAAAAGAGCAAAAAGAUCUGCCCAAAAAGUGAAGAGAACUUAUUUUUUCCUAUUUGAUAUUAAAUACUUUUCACCAACAAGGAUCGUGGUUAAGUCGUAAAUACUCUUUCAUUCUUAAUACGAGGCUUCGAGUUUGAUUCUCUCUAAGUAUGGAGUUGUCUUUGUCAGAGAAUACUUUAUCUCCGCCCCAAUGUGGGACUCCACACACGAAUUUAAAUUUAAUCGGGCUCCCAUGUAGAUAUAAGACACUAGGUGGGAAACCAAAAAAAUAUUAUAUACUUUUCAUCAUUAUCGAAUAUAGAGAGAAAAAAUUACACAAAUACAACUUUUUAAAAUGAAAAUUUUAAAAAGCUAAAUUAGUUUCUAAAUUGGCAAUUUUAUAUAAAAUGUAUGGGCUCUCCGACUGCAAAAAACUUGUUAAAAUUUGGAAAGCCCAAUUCAACACUUAAUUGGCCCAAACUAUAAUAAGUUGGGCUUCAAACAAUUUGGGCCCAAAUGUUGAUAUAUGGGCUUCAAACUAUAUCCAAUUUUGGAAUCACCAUUUAAGUCAGUGCGUAAAUAUUUGCAAAUUCGGAAUAACUAUAGACAUGCGGUGUUUGAAGUUACAAUAUGCAAAUCGUAGAAUUCCAGAUAAAUAUACCUGAAGUUAAGACAUAUUCGUUUGACAUAAUACUCAUAUGAUAGAAUUCAUAAACGUUUUGAUGAACUUAAGAUAGAAUCGCUCGAAGUUUAAACAAUAUAAAACUUUUGACAUUUAUCUUAAAUACCACGUAUCUAAAGUUAUUUCAAAAUGAGCGGACUUCGAAAAGAACAACUAAAGGGCUUGGUCAAUUCAAUAAGAUGCAUUAGAAACUCCACUCGUGUAACUUUCAUUAAUUCUUAAACUUCGAUUUGUCCUCUAAAUAUUUAAAUCUUUGUAAUCUUAACUGGAUUUGCAUUUUUGACUAAUUUUGCCGUCUGCUAACACUAAUUUCGUUAUUAAGACAUUGUCAUAUAAUAAUAAUAUUUGAUUAUUUCAAUCCUUAAUCAAACGCGUCAUUGGCCGAUUGAUUAAUCAUUAAUUUAUAGCACAGCUAUGGAGGCGCAACAAGACAUGUUAUAAUCAACAUUAUUUUUCCGACUCAGAGUCUUGUUUAAAUUGACUUAUUUUAAUAUGGUUAAAAUAAUUUUUUAGGAAUAUAUAUCAUAGAUGUCUAAUCUCCUUUGAUUAUUUCGUGUGUCUAUUUUUUCAGAUUUUGAACCUCCUUAUUGAAUUUUCUGGCUCCGCCAUUGCUAAUGACAACUUCAUUAUUAUAAUUAAAAUUAGUAGAAAUUAAGGAUGAAAUUCCAAGAUUUUGUGAGACUCUUGAGAAUCUUAUGUACUUCUUUGGCGGAGGACAAUUCGAAGAGAUCACCAUUAAACAAAUUCAUUAUAUGAAAAUUAAUAUUUUUAAUACAAAUUAAGUUGACAACAAAAUUAUCCUCAAUACCAAAUUUGACGCAGUAACAUGAAAAAACAAAGUAAUGAUCGUUUGAACUGCACUAAUAUUAAUUAUUAGAUAUUAGAAGAGGUGUGACAAAGUAGAAUUUGUAUACAAAUGAUAUUUGGUAUAUAUUAAAUUCAUAAUUACAUAUUUUAUAUGUCAAUGAUGAAUUAAAUGAAUAUAUUUUGAUCAUGUUUUGUCAUAAAAAAUAUUUCUCCAUAAAAGUACACAAAUAAAAAUUACAUAGUAAUUGUAAAAGUAAAUAUUGUUUGCCGUCAUUUCAAUUUAUUUAUCAUAUUUUCAUUUAACAUGAAUUUUAGAAAACAAAUUUUGCAGUCUAAAAUUAAAAUGUUCAAAUAUUAUAACCUUAAACAUAAUAUGUAAAAAUUAAAAAUUACCUAAAAAAAUAAAUAUUUUUUUUUGACAAACUACAAAAAAAAAUAGAGCAAACAAAUUAGAACAUUCUAAUUUAACAUAUAAUAGUACUCCACUUAUCAGAUUAGUCUAAUCUCUUGAAACUUAGAGAUCAAAAAGACAAAACAAAUAAAUAAAUUAUGGCGUAAGAAAAUUACUAAACUUAAUAAAUUUAGUCACUGCUGCACGUGUGGCUGUAUUCCCACGUAUAGAGAUUUGGGACAUGGACUACAUGGAAAUAUACAGUACAGAUUAACAAUAAAUAAAAAUAUUUUUAAUUUCUAAACCGACUUAACAGAAAGUUUAAAAUAAACAAAUUAAAAUAGAGUGAAUAAAAAUUUUAAAUUUUGUAUAAUUAAGUGACAUUAAUAACAUUUACAAAUCACAAUUUAUAUCUUGGAAUAAAACUUCAGAAGAAAAAAUACUUAUGAAAUUUGUGAUUUAAAAAGGUUAAAAACCUAAAUCAUCUCAUUUUGGCUAAAUCAAAAUUAAAAAACAAAUCAAGAUCCAUUUUUUUUUUAUAAAUAAAAUAGUGUGACAUUUUUUUUUAAUUUUUUGCUGGGGGUGUGGGGGGGGGGGGGACAAAUUGAUAUACGAGACAAAUAAAAUAAUUAAUAAAAUAAUAAAAUACAUUCAUUCUAAGUGUUUACAUUUAUAAAUAAAGAGUAUUUCGAUCGGUAUAUCAAAGUCUCGCUAUAUAUAGAGUCUAGAAAAGAGUCUGAUCACAAAACCUACCUAUAUAGUCAGUUGCGCAUCUAGGAUUUCUUGAACAUGGGUAUACCAAGUAAAAUGUAUUGACGUGAGAAUCCUUAAUUCUCAAGGUUAAAAGCUCAACAUUUAAUCAUGUAGACCAUUUAGAUUUUUUGUAGUACGGAUGCUAAAAUAUAUAUAUAUAUAAUAUCCGAUUUUACGACGAGAGCACGGGUGCCAAUGCCCUAUUUUUUUCUCUAAAUUUGCUAUUAUACACAGUUUUACCUUACAUUUCAUUCCGAAGCUGUUUUCAUAAAUAAAUAAUAAUUGAAAGAAAGCAAGUAUAUAUGAAGCCGGCAGGCUAGUAAAACUAGUCCAAAUUUCAACUAAAAAUACAAUAAAUAAAGAAAAAAAACCUUUACCUAAAAACUAAACAAAAAUUUAUCUAUUGUCCUUGUCAUUGUCCUUAUAAAAUGAUCAUUUCAACUAUACUAAAGUAAUACCAAAACUACUUCGAUUUGCAAUCCCUAAAAGAAAAAAAAAGUGCAAUUUUUAAAAACACCAAGAGAAAGGGUUUCAUUUUCGAGUCUGUUUUUGAUUUUUACGACCUUGAAGAAAAAAAAACAAUUCCAGGCUACCAUAAUUUCAUCCAUCAUCAAAUGGCAUCGGAAAAAAUCAACAACUAUUCCGAUAGCUCAAGUGAAGACACAACGAUCGAUCGCGAAUCGGAGAAAUUCAACGAUGGUAUAGGGCGUUCCUAUGAGUGUAAUUUUUGUAAAAGAGGGUUUACAAAUGCUCAAGCUUUAGGAGGUCACAUGAAUAUUCAUAGAAAAGACAAGUUGAAAGCCAAGCAAAAUAAUCAAGAAUCUUCAACAAAAUUAUCCAAGGAAGCUAAUUAUGUCUUUGAUAAUUCAAGGUAUAAUAAUAAUAAUAAUUAUGCACCUAUUUCAAGUCAUGAUGAAUUACAACAUCAUGAUCACUAUUCUAGGGCACAAAUGAAUAGUUAUCAAUUUCAUUUUCAAUUACCUCAAAACCCUAAUCAUAACCAACAUAUUUAUAAUCAACACCACGAUGGAUCGCGUACGAGGCAUGAAAAUUAUUAUGAUGGUAAUAACCUUAGUUUGAGAAUUGGACCUACACUUAUUGAUGAUGAUGAUGAAGAAGGAGAAGGCAAGAAAGAUGUGGAUGAAAGUGAACUCGAUUUGGAGCUUCGUCUUGGUUAUAGUAAUCAUUAAUUAAUUGUCGUUAGAGAUCAAUUUUUAUUUCUAUACUUAGUAGUUUGAAGAAAUGGUCAUGGUGUACAAAGAUCAAGUGGAAAAGUGGUUACUCAUUGAAGUGCUUGAUUCAGAAGGCAAAAGGGGAAAAUAGGGCACCAAUUGGUGAGUAAAAUGUUUAAGUUUGUUCAUUAGAAAAACUUCAAUAUCUAUCUCAAGAAAUAUGUGCAUAUAUUUACACACAUUAAGUGAAAAUCUUUUUACUUUUUUAGUGUGUAGGUAUAUGAACAUUGUUUGCAAGUUGUACUUUUGUUCUUCUAUUGUUAUAUAUAUGGAUUAUUAAAGAAACAUUUGUGCCUCAACAUGUUGUAUAUUGUUUUGAUAUGAUUCCUUCACUUUUCGAUAUGUUUUUCCUGGAGGUCUGUUGAAACAACAUCUCUGCCUAUCGAGAUAUAUAGAAGUAAGGUCUGCGAACAUUCUAGUUUAGGUUAUUGUUGUUGUUGUUGUUAUGGCUCAAUGUUUUUGUGUUUGAUACAUAUGUGGUUUAUUCUUCUAGUUUUUGUGCCAUUAACUUCAAAAUAGGUAAACAAGAAGGAUUAUUUUAUCUAAUCCACAAAUUUUGUGUCAUUUUCCCUCAAUUUAAUCUUCACAUGCCAAGAAAUGAUGAUGGUCAGCUAGUGCAAUAAUGUCUAAAAAUUGAGUGAUCAUCAAUGAGUUAUUAAUUUUCCUAGGCUUAUGCCAUUGAUAGCACCAUGUAAAUUUAGGAAUUGCUUUUAAUUCUUAGCUAAAUGGAGCAAUCUUCUAUAUAAGUUAAGCCAAGCCAAGCAAAAGAUCCAUCAUGGAAUUAAUUACUUGUUGAACAUUUGGAAGUUAAAAUAUAGUAUGAAAAUAGUUUGAGUGUUCAAUAUUUGUACUCAUUUCUCUUUGAUCAUCUCCAUGGACAUUAAUGAUGAUCAUUUGAGUAUUCCUACCAUUGGUUAUUGAUGUGAGACUUGUUCUCCUUGUAUGAUUUUGGAAAGCUCUUACCUAAUCAACUGGCUAGCCUUUUGGGUUGAUGCAAAUUUAAUUAGGAUUAAUUUUUUUAUAUGAUAUCAAAGUUAGACUCGUCCCAAUUCUUUAUUUAUUUGAUGUUGGGUGUGUAUAUUAAUUAUAUUAUCACGUUUUUAUAUGAUUUUAGACAACCUCACCUCAUGAGUUAAUUUCUGGAGUUGACUUAAUCAGAACCAAGUUCUAUUUUUUUCACAUGGUAUUUUCAUCUCAAUUUUUGCCCAAUUGAAUGUCUCCCCCCCCCCCCCAAUGCUCCAAUUGACAUGUCUAUGUGGGGUGGGGUUUGGGAGUUGAGUUUCCCAUCGAUUACGUAAGGUUCUAUCGAAAACAACUUAUUUAUCUUUGUAAUAAAGAUAAGGUCUACGUAUAUACAGAUUUUUCAAAAUUUCAUUAUUGAGAUCAUACUGAAUAUGUUGUUGUUAUUUGAUUUAAUUGUCCUAUAUGAUCUUGGACAAUUCUAGACUUAUGAGCUAACUUUUUCUUAGGAAAAAAAAAUAGGAAGUAAUCUUAUGGACUUUAUUAUAUAUUAAUAUAUUAGUACAUGAGCUAAAAACACAACUUGAUCACAAAUGUCAUUGUUUUGGCAUAUGCUUUGUUGAUUUAUUGAAGCUUCUAAAAUGAGUAUUAUACAUGCUUAAUCCAAACAGAAUGGUCAUAAUCAAGUAGCAAAAAUAUUUUAUUUAUGGAUUGCCAGUUCCUAGCAAAAUCAUAUAGGAUACUACAAAUGCUGAUUAAUUUCACUUUUUUUUAAUUAACUUCUAAAUUCCACCUUAGGAAAUUAUGAAUUAACAAGGUUAUUAGCUUAGUGUUUUCCCCAUAAAUGAUCAAUAUAUCUAUACGUAUUACUCUAAGAAUCCUAGGAAACAAGACUAGGAACAACUACUCAUGACCAAUUGUUGGAUGACAUCAAAUAUGAUAUUUCAAUACAGAAUUAUAAUUGAGAUAAUUUGAUUUCUAGAAUAAUUUGUUUCUUCUUUUAUCCACCUAUUUAUGCUUCAUAACCAUAUUAAAAGAAUUCAACUUCAAUUAAUGAAUGUCGUGGUGGAUUGGUUAGAAUUCUUCCUUUCUUAAUUAUAGUUCUUCAGUUUGAGCUCUUGGAAAUUAAAAUCAAAUAGACCCUAUAACGUUGUGAUUUGAAUUAAAAUCAAACUUUAUUGCAAAUAUUAUAUACCAAACGAAAAAAUAAAGUAUUCCAUAGGGUAUCGAUGAACAAGAAGCUAUAUCUUUAACAUAGUUUGCAUCAUAGGCAAGUAGAUACCUUUUUUUUUUUCCUUUUGGAGUCACCCAACUUCCAAAACUAAAUGUGUGGUACAGGAAUAUUAUCCAUCACACAAAAAUGUAUACAUAGGAGGAGCUAAGGACUAGGGGGAAAGUAGAUAUUUCACUUUCAAACAUUGAGAUGUUUUCUAUGUAAUUUUAAUUUUUUAAGAGGUUGAUAUAUUUCUAUUAAACUCUAGAGUAGUUUGAAUUUUCUUGAUUCUUCUUCCUUAGUACUAUGUACAAGUGACCUACAUUUGGUGCUAAUUUGUUUUUGUUUUCUUUUGUGUGUAUUGGUCAAGAAACCUACUCCUUAGUAAUGCUCAAAAAUGAUGCCUUGCUUUUGCAACAUGAUAAAAUCUUGUGCUAAAGACUAACUAAUCAUCAUUUAUUGGCUUCAUUUGGCCUAAAAAGAUAAGUAUACAAGUAAUUAAUUGACUAGCUAGGAGGAAUUGACAUUUCUUGUAUGCACAUCUCCGAUAUUUAUUUUAUUGAUCAAGUUAUUUAGAUAAUCAUUAUAUAUCUCUGCUACAUAUGAAUGAAAAUGAAUUUAUUUAUAUAAUCUUGAGUGGGGCGGCUAAAGAAAAACUAAUAUGCUUGUUUAUUAUUUCAGCUCAUUUUAAUCUGUAUAUAAAUUGAACUUAUAUAUUCAAUACAAUGUGAAUAAAUGUGAAGUCCAAAUUGACUUGAAAUAUCUUAUCAAAUAUAUAACUCAGAGGAUCUCUAAGUUAUACAUACUUACUUCAUCAAUUAGUUUUUAGGUUGCAUAUACUAUAUACCUAACUAAAUUAAGUUAAUUUUUUAAUCAUAAUAUUACCAUUCAAUUAGUUAAGUUAAUAUUGAUUCUUGAUUAACUUCCCUCAUACUAUAGUAUCUCAUAUUGUAUCUUUUUUUAAAAUCAUCUUUUUAUUUUUUUUGUUAACUCAUAUCAAAUCAAAGUAUAUAUAAAUAAAAGGGAAAAUACCUAAGUACCCCCUCAACCUAUGCCCGAAAUUCCAAAGACACACUUAUACUAUACUAAGGUUCUAUUACCCCCUGAACUUAUUUUAUAUGCAAUUUUCUACCCCUUUUUAGCCUACGUGGCACUAGUUCGAAAAAAAAAAGUCAACUAUUGUUGGGUCCACAAGAUAGUGCAACGUAAACUAAAAAGGGGUAAAAAAUUAUUAAUAAAAUAAGUUCAGGAGGGUAAUAGGACCUUAGUAUAGUAUAAGUGUCUCUGAGAUUUCGGGCAUAGAUUGAGGGGGUACUUGGACAUUAUACCUAAAUAAAACAUAAAAAUGGAAGAUUGUUCGCUUUGAAUUUAAUGGCUAAAUGUGAAAAAGAAGCAUGUGGAUGUGUCUAUUCCAUUUACGAGCUUAAUUACAAACGCAUUAUUAGAAAAUAAGUACAUGAUUCUAUUUGUUAAAAAAUCUCUAAUGGCACAAAUCUACUCGUUACUUUAUCGAUUACACUUUCGUCAGAGGUUUAGGGAAGAUCAAAGAGAGGUUUAGGAAAGAUCAAAGAUAGGUUUAGGGAAGAUCAAAGAGAGGUUCAGAGAAAAUCGAGAAGCUUCUUUCAGAAGUUUACAUUUGAAGGUCGAUAUUAUCUAGGUAACAUAAUAAUUAUCUAGGUGGCAAAUUAUUUAUCUAGGUGGUAAAUUAUUUAUCUACGUGUCAUGCGCGUGUAGACACGAUCAUAUUGAGUGGACGAAAAAGGUGUACGUGUAGGAUGAAUAAGCAAGUUCAGGGGGUAAUUAACACCAAAUAAAGUUUAGGUGUACAUUGUAUAAAAAGGUUCAAGUUCAGGAGGGUAAUGAAUACUUUUGCCCAAAAACUAUAAUAGCCUUAUAUAAAAUUAUAUUAACAUUUAAAAGCUAAUUGCCUAAAUGGGAGAAAUUGACAAUAUAUCCACUUUUCAGUUAUUGAGUAAGCAAUUAUUAAUGUUCUAUGCGUUUGAUCCUUAAUUAAAUCGAGAGAUAUUCCUAUAUACGUUAAUUGGUCAUUCCCUACGUUAAAAUAUAUUAAGAUCAAUACGGAUAAAUUUUUUUAUAGAAUAGAAUUCAGUGUAUUUUUUAAAAUAAUAAGAAGUGUUCAACUUCACUUUAUAAUAUUGUUAUUAAUAAAAGUGAGGAUUAAUUUAAACUGAUAAGAUAUUAGUCAUUUGCUUGUGAUACAUUAUCUUAGAUUUUAAUGUAAAAACUUUAGUUAUUAAUAUGUAGUUUGAAUUUCAAAAUACUAAAAUAUUUCAAGAAAUGAGUGCCUUUAAUUACUAUUCUUUUUUACUAGCUUUAUCCAACCACCACAUUAUUUUAUUACUAAAUAAAUGAGAAAAUUAUAUAACAAUAUUAUACAAAUUUGUAGUCAAGAUCCUUCAUAUAAACUAGCAUAUUGUUCACUUUGAUAUAAGACUCUUGACCAUUAUUCAUUUUUGUUCCUUUUCUCAUUUAGGAGUAAUAUAUGAACUGAAUAUUCGAUCUAAAUUAAUUCUUGAUGGGAAAAACUAAGUAUUUUUCAUAUUGAUAUGAUCUUAUAACCCCAUUAAUGACGUGAACUAGAAAAAAUGUCUUAUUAAAAUAAGUUUUACAAGUGACGUUUAUACACUUUUUCUCUCUAAUGUCAUAUGUUAAGUGUGAACACAAAUAAGGCCCAAAAGAAACAAAAACAAGGCCUUAAUGGUGUAUGGACUUGACUUCUAUACUCAUGUAUUCAGCCCAAUUUAUGGCUGACCCUGCCACUUUCAUGCAUUAAUAAAUUGAAAUUUCGUCUUGACAUGAUAUAUUAUAAUAUUCGCUAAAACUUCAUACUUCAAAUGCCAAAAGUAUAGCAUUGAGGUUAGGAAAAUCAAUUUUCGAUUAUACUUGUACAUAAAAAUACACUUUCUGAAGAAUUAGUGAUGAUUUUACAUAUAACAUGAGAAAUUUGGUUAGGACUUCGCGUUUGAUAUUUACAACCAAAAACAUUUGAAAAAGAAAAAAUAAAGAGAAAAGUAUAAUAUUUCUUAGAAAUUGAGAUACAAUUUAUUUUUUUUGGCUAGCCACCAAGCAAUUGACCCUAGCUAGUAUACUCUCUUUGAGUUGGGCCAAAAGAAAUACCAACAUUAAAAAACAUUUGAUGGUUGUUGCCAAAGCUAUUCUAGGACUAAACAAAAGUCCUAUAUUAAUGUACAUUUGUGUUCCUAAAGCAUAUACUAUUAUGCAACAUUAUGGGACACAUCUAGAACAUCUUUUUAUUGAAACUUGGUACUCUCUCCGUUCGACAUUGUUUGUCAUGGUUUUUAUUUUUAGAGUCAAACUAUAAAAACUUUGACUAACAUUUUAAGAUGCAUCUUUUCAUCAUAUUAAUAUGAAAAAAUUGUAAUUUAUAGUACUUUUUUCAUAUUGUUUUAGAAUAUCUCAUUUUUUUUAUUUAAAAUAUCGAAUUAAUGUGAUCUAAUUUACCUUCGAAAAUUAGUCAAAUUGACUUUCGAUAAGCGCAACUGACAAACAUUUUUGGACGGAGGGUGUUAGAUUUUAUUUGUCCUAAAUUUCUUACCAUAAAUAGGUUUUCCUUUUAGGAAAAAGUUUUGGAUUGACUAAUCUUUUUUUUAGUAGGAAAAGGUUUGAGACUCUAUAAAUAGAGACAUGUUCCUUCUAACUUAAUCAGCAUUCACAAUUAGUCUUAAGGGCUUUGAGAGUUUUGGUUAGGGGGUAAAUUUAUGGGUCACAAGCUUGAUACUUUAUCACUUGUGUAAAUCUCCCAUGUAUUCCAAGUGAAUUGGUUGAGGUUGUUUCCCUCUGUAUUUUGUACUCUCAUAUUGAUAGUGGAUUGCUCAUCUCCUUUGUGGACGUAGGUCGAUUAACUGAACCACGUUAAAUCUUUGUGUCUUUUGGUAUAUUUCUCGUUGUCUUCUUACUCGUGAUCUUUCGAGGUUUGCUUUGCUAAUUUUCGAGUUUACACCUGCUUAUUUUCGAUCCUAACAACGGGAGUACCAUAUACUCAUUAAUCUCCAUUCAUUUGAAUUUGAAUGAGAUUGGUACCUAAUGAUAAAUAUAAAUCAAUAUGUUUGGAUGUAGAUAGAUGUUUAUAAAAAAAUUACAAUAAAUAAUUAGCUACAUGUGUGAAGUGCUAACGAAAUCGAUUCUCAGAUAAUUUCAAAAUAUUGAUUUGAUAAAAAAAAAUAUUAUUCUCUCGAAUAUAUAAAAAAUUUCAUGUUGCAUCACAUAUACUCCGUUGUCUCAUAUUAGUUAUCGAAUUUCCUUUUUACAUGUUCUUUAAGGAAUCAUGAAGAAGAAGAAGAGGCAAUUCCACAAAUUAAUGCUUCAAGAAACUCUAAACCUUUCAAAUAAAACAAGAAUUAAUCAUAAGGGUGAAAUGAAACAUAAAUUAUUAACUUUAUCUAACUUUGUAAAUUGAUAAGUAUUAAAAUAAAUAUUUAUAUUUAUUUAUAGUAUGAAUAAAACAAUUAGUAUGAAAUAGGAUUUGCUGAUCGUAAAGUGACUAGAAAAAAUACCACAAAAAGGGAAAUAAAGUGAAAAUUGACUUUCUCUAAUCUAAUCAUGUUGGAUGUCUACUAAAAUUUGAGCAAUAACUCUGUUAAAAAAAACACUAAAUCUUUACUCCAUUUAUGCAAUAAUAAUUUUAGGCCCUACCCCCCCCCCCCCCGCUCUUAGGGGUGGAGGUAAUAGCAAGUAUAAUUAUAUUAAAAAAUUAUAACAAAAUACAAAAAUAGAUACAUUAGUCAAUUUCUAGUGAUAUACGUUACUAUUUGAUUGACGUGACACCUCUAAACUCUUAUAUAAAUCCUUCUCUAACGUACUACUUAAGCUAACCGAAAGUUCACAAUUUUUGUUAUAUAUAUUUCAACCAGCUGGUUGGAUUAUAAGAAACAACAAUAGAAACAUCACUUUUGAUUUUUAUGUGCCAAAUGUUUAGUAAUACGUAAAAACAACGUUUGUCCUUGUUUGUUUUUUUAGUAAAUAGCGUAACAUAAUUGACUUUCGAAAGAGGUGUUUUUUUAUGUUUUUUUCUUUCUACAAAUGCAUGAAUCUUUAAUUUACCCUCUUUCAUCCAUUCUAUCAUUAUUAACUCUAGCACUAUUAAAAUUUUUUAUUAUAUAAUAUCAUAAUACUUUUCAUCUCUCAAUUAUUGUUAAAUUUUGAGAUCAAUUCUUAUGAUAUAUGCUUGAAAAUAUUAAAUUUUUAAUUGAUUGAACGGUGUGUUCUUGAAUAUUCUUCGCUUUUGAAUAUUCACAUUUAAUUAGGGAUAAUACUCAAUUACCCCUAGCUUAUACCCAAAAUUCCUACGACACACCUUAUCUUUGAUGAGGUCCUAUUACCUCUCCAAAUUUUUCUUUAAGUAAUUUAUUACCCCUUGCAUGCCUACGUGGCAAUAAUAAUCUGCAAGGUCGAUUUGUUUGUUGAACACGCGUCGGGACCCACUGUUUCAGCUUUCGAUAAAGUUACUUUACACUUCCCAAGUUUGAAAAGCUGGUGUUUACUCUUUUCCAAAUUAAUUUUACCAAAAAGUAGAUGAAGUAGAAAGAGAGAAAGUGUUGCAUGUGUGGACGGGAUCGAUUUCAAAGGUUAGAAAUUAGAUUUCCAACUGAAAUUUGAUUUUCGUUGUUGGAUUUUGGGAGUUAAUUUUUUGUUGCAGUGUAACAUUGAAUCGUUCUCAUCCAUACACAACUUAUUCAACUCGGAUUUUGUCAUAACUCUAACUUUAUAAACAUUGUAAAAAAAAUAAGAAUUAAUAAUCGACAUAAAAAGAUGUAACGAAUAUAUUAAAUUUUACUUUACCUUUUCAAAUCAAGGAGCUAUUUAACUUGAAUGAUAAUGGAUGGAGCUUCUUCAAAAAUGAAGAACCAUGAACAUGGGGUUAUUUUUUGAAAAGAGGAAGAAGAUGCUUUUGAGAGAAACAAUAAAAUUUAUUUUUGAAUUUUUUUUCAAAUUGCUUUGACACGUGGCUAACUUUUAUUGGUCGUUGUUAGUUGAAAUCUGCACUCACGCGUCUUACAUGGGUGAAAUCACAACUAUUGCCACGUGGGCACGCAAGGGGUAAUAAAUUACUUUAAAAAAAAAGAUGAAGGGAGUACUAGGACCUCAUCAAAGAUAAGGUGUGUCGUUGGAAUUUUGGGUAUAGCCUAGGGGGUAAUUGAGUAUUAUCCCCAUUUAAUUAUAAUUAUUUAUUAUUUCAUCAUUUAAUUAUUCAUGUGGUAAAGUUAAAUUUGUGGCGGUACUAUACGUUUAGUGAUAUAAAACUUAAUAAAUACUCAAUGACUUAUGGACUAAAUAUGCUAUUACUUCUUUUGUGCAUUAACAACGUGUCAAUUUUUAUUGUACAAUAAAAUUAAUGUCUAAUAAUAAAUAGGCAACUCUUGCAAUCAAGUCUAAUAUGAUGAAUCGAAAAAAGAAAAGUUAGGGUAAAAUCAAAAUUUGUUAUAAUCGGUUAAGUUACCACCAAGAGUGUAACAAAAAUAUUAGAUUAUUUUAAUUUUUUUACUAAGUUUUUAUUGUUAACGAAAUUAACAAGAUCAAUUAAUAAGUCGCAUAAGCAAAAUGAAUAUUGAUAGAAAAAAGAAAUACAAUUAGAAGACGGCUUAAAAUUUGGAUUUUUAUUAAAAUUGGGCAGAUUCAAUGAAUAUAGAUUUUUAGAAAAUAUUUGCUUAAUUAAUUGAAGGUAUAUCUUGGUCAGCCAAUAGAACUAAUGGGAAAAAAAUAUCUUUUUCGAUUUAUAUUAUAUGAUGUUUUUUCUUUUUAUAUUUAUUUCAAAAUAAAUAAUUCUUUAUAUAAUUAAGUAGGUAGAAAAUUUUAUUUUUGUUAUAAAAUCAAGCUCAUAAGAAUAUAAUCAUAAAGAGAAGUAGAUAGAAGAAGGGGAAUUUUCUUCUUAUUCAAGUGUAUAUUACAAUGGUGAAUGAUAUCUCUAUUUAUAGGUAGAGAAAUCAACCAAAAGGUCACCAUGUUUAAUGUCACAUUAGUAGAUACAUUUUUAUCCCAAAAAGAUUCAUCACCUUGGGAAUACAUAUCCAUGAUAAGGAUAAGUUUAUGAUAAACUUAAUGGACAAUCCAUUUAAUUCAAUGUAUUUAUAACACUCCCCUUGGAUGUCCACAGAUAAUGUGCCUCGUUAAAACCUUACUAGAAAAAACCCUGUGGGAAAAAAUUCUAGUGAAAGAAAAAGAGUACACAUAUCUUUUGAUACGCACUAUUUGUUGCCUCAUUAAAAACCUUGCCAGAAAAAUUCAAUGGGAAAAAACCUCGGUCAAGGAAAAAGAGUGCAACGCGUAUUAUACUCCCCCUGAUUAGAACAUUACUUAAUUUAUUGUGAUGAUGUCUCAAUCUUCGUACAUUGUGGUUGAUAUAUUCUUUUUCAAAGAAAAACACACAUUUCUUGAAUAUGGUGCGUCAUUUAUCUCAACCAAACGCACUUUUCGACUUGCUUCAUGGGGGAUUUUUAUUUCUGCAUAGCAACAUUUGCUUCAUUGAUCGCCAAAAUAUUAUUGUGCUUCCACAUGUAAACACAUAGCGUGCUUGAGAUAGAACUUUAUACGGAUCAGAUAAGUAUUCUGCAUCUGCGUAACCAAUUAAUUGUCUUGGAUUCCUCGGAUUAGAAUAAACUCAUAACUAUGAUCCUUCGAGGAUAUUCAAUCAUGUGCUCAACACCAUUUCAAUGUCCUUUUAUCGGAGAGAAAGUGAAUCUUGCCAGUAAAUUUACUACAAAAUAAAUAUCUGGUCAAAUAUUGUUAGUAAGAUGCACUAGUGCCCUGAUUGCACCAAGAUAGAGUUUCAUCACCAAGAAACUCUUCAUCCUUCUUUUGAGAUCAAACUGAAUCAUCAUUUAUGUCAAGUGAUCUCAUAAUUAUUGGGGUACUCAAUGAAUGCGAUUUAUCCAUAUAAAAUUGCAUCAAAACUUUUCAGUGUAUGUGCACUGUUAGACAAAUAUUUCAUUUGUCAAAUUAUCAAUCUGUAGGUCAAGACAAAAUUUUGUCUUACCAAAAUCUUUUCAUAAAAAUACAAGGACAAUUAGGGUCAUUCUUUUGUACCCUUUUUCUUCCUUGACUAUUUCAAUCCAUAUAAGGACUCUUGAAGCUUUAUUGAAAAAGUUUCUUUCAAACUCUUAUAUGCUUCAGACACCUCGAUUGUUUCAAGGAUUAUCAUAUAACCUUCAUUGUCUAGCUAGACAUUACAAUUAUUCAUUACAUGCAUUCAAGUUUUUCAUAUGUUGCCAUAUCAAAACAAAUCUCAUUGCAUCCACCAAAGGAGAAAACAUCUCCAAUAAUGUCAGGAUUUUUGCGAUAAAUCUUUAUGCCCCAAGGCACAAAUCGUAUUUGAUAUCUUACGGUUAUACUAUCACAUAAUAAUUUAUUUGUACCCCACUGACAUUAUACCUUGAUUUAUGGACUACCAGUCCAAAAUGUCACUUUUCUAAGUGAAACAAAAUAUACUUGAAUUGUGCAUUUUUACUUAGUCAACCAUUUAUCUGUCCACACUAUAUGACAGAUUUGAAUUCAAGAUCCUCGUCACAAUUUAUAUUAUUGAGCGCUACCUCAUAUCAAAGAUACCGUCGACGGUUAUUUGAUAUCGAUUCCAACAAGACAUAACUUAUCGAGAUCUCUUCAUUUUUCAUUAUUUCAGGUACCUGAACCUUUUUCAAGAUUUUAUGAAGUGUUUAUGUAAAUGUGCUCUUUUAUAGCACUUGCCUCAUUAUCAUGACCAUAUUGAUCAUUUGCUCCUUCCUUCUUCAAGGAAUUUUAUAUUUGAAAUCGAUUGGUCUAUUACGCUUUCGGCGUAUCAUAGACUCUGUCCUUCAAGGACUUCAAUUGGAGCAUUUGCAGCUGAAUUAUAUCAUAGGGUCAAUGCAUUCAUCUGGCAACUGAUUUGCAACAUUAUGCAACUGAAUUAUCCCUUGAACUUUAAGUUCAUAUAUUUAUUUAACGAGGAUCCAGAUAAUUCAUAUUAACCUCACACAUAAUUUUCAGCUGUCAAUCUUCUCUCCCCCUAAUGUUAGAAAAUCUAAUAUUAAUUCCAACCUUAUUUGGAAGCUCAUCUUUGUGCGUGGUGGAGCAAUUAAAAUCAUAACCGCACAUUCAACAUUUUAGAUGAAAAUUAUAUGAUUCCUGACCAUGAACCAAUUUCAAUGGGGAAACCUUGUUGGUUUGAUGCAUACAUGUGUUGCUACAUGUUAAAUAAAAUUAUCUCAUACCAAAUCUUAUUUGGGAGUUUUGUACUCAUAACCAUGAUUUAGCUAUAAUUGGAGGCAUACAAUUUCUGCUAAAUCAACCAGCAUUAUCAAUAUAAUUUCAUAGUUUGGAACUGUGCUCUUAAUUUUAACAAUUCGAGCAAACAACCUUACAAAAACCAAUUUGUAAGUUGACAACAAAAUACAUGUGACCAUCGCAUAGAUGCAUCAAUCAUAUAGUUGCAAAUGAUCCACAUGACAGGUGAAUGAGCCCAUAUUCACCCUUUUAUAUGUUCAAAAAAUUUUAGGGAUUACAAUCCCAACCUUAGCUGGUACAAUGAUCAUUUUAUCAAGAGAACAAGCAACACAAGAGAAUUCUUGAAGAAUCUUUAUUUCUUCAUCAUAUAAAUCACCUGAAUUCUCAAUCACGUUUGCAUCACAUUUAAUCGGAAUGGUCAACCAGUCAUGUCAACUGAUCUUUAUUUUAGCACACUUAUAAUUUACUUUUACAUGUGAUUUCAUCAGCAUGUACAUGUUUGUAUGGAACAAACAAGAGAAAAAGUGGAUAAGCUUUUACAUAAACAUUUACAACCCUCUUAGGUUGUAAUGAUUUAUAGUCUCAAUAUUUAAUUUUAAUUCAUUCGAAACUUAAAAAGUUUCUUUUGAGACUUACUACAACCCCAAUAUUAUUCCUCUGAUAAUAGCACAACUCGUUAGAGCUUGCAAUUAAUUUUGUGUACUAUCACAUAUUGCAUGACACCAUCCCUAUGGUGAGCAUCUCCUUCAAGGAGGAAAUUAUAUUAUUAUUGUCAUGGUCAAAAUUAUUAUGAGCAAGACGUCUUUCUUGCUUUACUUUUGUUGUACCAUAGGUACACCAUCAAUGAAAAAUUUUAUUGCCACACAAUAAUGACCACAACCCUUAUAGGCAAGAACUAUUUCUUUCUUUUGCCCUUUUGGUAGUUUACAAUAAACAUACUAUAGUGACAUAUAAAACGUACAAUACAAUUAGUCAUUUCUGCCAAAUAAAAUUUAUUUCCUCUCAAAUCUCCCGUAGAGAUGAGAAGUGACAUAUAUAAUUUUUUCUCAAACCUUCCAUAGAGGUGAGUUGUGGCAUAUAUCCAACCCAUAAUGAUUUUAUCACAUUUGGACUCAUUCUCUUAUAGAAUAGUCGAACAUUGACGAUACUCAUCACAAGUCACAUUCUCUUCAAGGAAUGGACUAAUUAUUUAUACGUACUUCAUAAAUUUGCAUUAUAAGCACAUUCUCAUGGCUUUAAAAUUCAUCAUAUUUCCAUGACACACCUCAACAUCACUUUGAAAGAUCAAGUGUACCAUCACUUUAUCUUCUUGUAUCAUGAUAGAGGAUUUAUAAACUUGUCAAAUUAUUGGGUUGAUAACAUUCACAAAUCUAAUGACCUUUCAUACCAUUUUGAUAAUAAAAAUUGCCUUCACAUUUUGAAGGACUAUUUGAAGAACUCAUAGUGUUCUUCCUUUUAUCAUUACCACAAUUAUGACAAUUAUAAUUUUGUCCCUCCACGCCCUUAUUCAUAUAAUUAAUUAUUUGUCAUCUUUCAGACUAAUCAUUCACCGCAACCAUAUUCAUAUGAUUGAAUGGAGCAAGUCAACAAGCGGAUUUCAGAGUUAUCACAUGUUGCUACCACAUUCUUUUCAAGGAAUGGAGCAAAUUCAAUAUGAUGAAUUUCAAGAAUUUUUAUCAAAAUAUAUUAUUUUUGUCUUAAUCAUCAUUUUAUCACCAUAGUGGUGCAUUGAGACUCAAACUCAAUGUCUUAUCCAUAUAAGGCGUGUUACGCCAUAAUUCUAUGGGACUUGAACCCAAUCAUGGUGCAUCAAAACUCUAAUUGAUGUCUUACCCUUUUGGUGCGAUAGAAUUUGAAUCUAUCGUCUUAUUCUCAAAUAUUUUUCAUUAUGGUGCAUCCGGACUUUAACCUGAUGUCUAACCCUUUUGGCGCGAUGAAACUUGAAUCUACCGUCUUAUCCUCAAAUAUUUUUCAUUAUGGUACAUCCGGACUUUAACCUGAUGUCUUACCCUUUUGGUGCGAUGAAACUUGAAUCCAUCGUCUUACCCUUAACCAACGGUAUAAUAGACCGAAGUACAACAUGACUCACCCUUUGAGUCUUUCAAAACAAUCAAAAUAACAUUCAAACUCAUGCUAUUAAAAUUUUAUAGCUUCUUCUAUUUAGAAGUUUUGUAUAGCAUGUCAUAUUCAACCAAUAGUUGUAUAUGUUUUCGGUCUUGAUAAUUGUUAGUGACUAAACACUAUUUUAUUUUAAAUCAUAAAAUAUUUUAGAAAAUACAUACCUGAUUUUAUGCAUAUAAUAUUUUGAUCUUCAUAACGAGAUCAACCAAAAUAUGAGCUAAAGAAAAACAAGAACUCACUCUCAAUUAGAUAGAGACUCGUGCUGAUAACGUGUUAUAAAAUCAAGCUCAUAAGAAUAUAAUCAUAAAGAGAAGUAGAUAGAAGAAGGGGAAUUUUCUUCUUAUUCAAGUGUAUAUUACAAUGGUGAAUGAUAUCUCUAUUUAUAGGUAGAGAAAUCAACCAAAAGGUCACCAUGUUUAAUGUCACAUUAGUAGAUACAUUUUUAUCCCAAAAAGAUUCAUCACCUUGGGAAUACAUAUCCAUGAUAAGGAUAAGUUUAUGAUAAACUUAAUGGACAAUCCAUUUAAUUCAAUGUAUUUAUAACAAUUUUAAAUAUAUUCUUACUUAGAUAAGUGAAUUUUUAUAUAACCAACAAAUCAACAAAUCAUAUUAAAUAAGUACUAUUUUUAAUAAUGGGUAAAUUAAUGAAAGUAUUUUUUUACGAUGUUCGAUAUACACGUUGAAGUCCGAUCAAAUAUGAAUUUGCGUCCGUAUAAGGGAGAUUUGAACCCUACAUAUCAGAUGAAAGAUGAAGUACUUAUUAUUCUAUUACCAUCCACGCUAAUUGAUAAAAAUGUUGCUUAUCAAGUGUGAGUUGAUAUCUUAAGGCGUGUGUCGAAGUCACUAUUAUUAAGUUCGUAAUUAGAUAAUUCUUUAGACAAUUAAAACAUGUGUUUUCCGUACAUUUUACUAAUUAGGCUAUUAGUACCUUCAAAAAGGAAUUGAAAUUAAACAAAUCCCUAAAAAUACGGUCUUUGAGUCAAAAAUUAGGUACAAAACUUGAAAAGUUGAUCAAAUCAUGUUAUUUAUAAUUAAUAGAAAAAACUCAAUAAUAAGAGUCUCACAUGGAAAUAUUCAAUUGCCUCCAAAGUGAACAGAAAUAAAAAGGUUUGAGUAUCUUACUUUAAUACGUGUCACUUUAAGCGUUUGGCGAGGCAAAAUUAUAAUAUUAAGUAUUUAAUUAAACUGGAGGUAGGUGAGGGAGAUCGAACUUUUUCCAGUAAGAUAAAGUUCAGUUAGUCAAUCAAUUAAUAACUUAAAUUCACUACGAUAUUGAACAUAAAUUUUUUACUUAUUUUCUUUUUAUAUUAAAAAAAUAUUAAAUAUAUACCUAUUUAACUAAUUAUAAAUUUAGUAAUUAAAUCAAGCUAUAUGAAUACAAUGCAAAUUGAGAAUCCAUAAUUUGAAAUUUUAGUUCCAUCUCUACUAAUCACGAUCUCCUAAUAUUUUGUCAUGACAAAAAACAAAAAAUAGUAAAUUUUAAAGGACACCAUGGCAAAAAUAAAUAAACGUGAAAUAUAUAUAGAGAGGUAAAUUAUAUUGAAUACCAAAGAAUUUAGUAUUAGUUAUAUUUAUAUAUACUUCUAAUAAGUAUUAUUUAUUUUAUUUAACAUAAUACGAUGCUACAACAAGACUGAUUCACGUGUUAUCUUAUUCUAAACUAUCAUAAAAAAACAAUAAUUAAAAUGGUGUUGAAUAUCCUAAUCUAUUUGAUACCUACUUUACUCCCCUAACCUACUCUAAAUGCCAACGUGCAAAAAAAUGUUUUUACAGAUACAUAAGACCUAUAUAAUAAUUAAUAAAAAUCGUUCAAUAUGAAAUAUUUCGUAUUUAUUCAAAAUUUGAAAAGAAAUUUUACUUUAAAAAGAUUGAUAUGAACGAUUUAUUAUAAUAUAAGUAUAUAAUAUAUAUAGCUAUUUUCACGACUUAAACUCAUGAGCUAUGAUCACGCGAGUAAAAUAAAUUUUAUCAUUAUUCCAACUUCCAACGAUAAUUUAUGACUCCAUAAAUAGAUUGUGGGAAGCUAAAAUGAUUUGAGUAAAUUGUAUUUAUAUGAAUAUGAUAUUUAUUUUUAUGGGGCCUAUUGAGAGAUUUGGUGAUUCAAAGGUGAAGCUAACGUUUAUUUUUCUUCCUUAAUUUAAGUACAAGAAAUCUCUAGAUGUAGUUUAAUUAAAAUGAAGUUGUGUGUUGCUAUAUUUUUUUUUCAAUAAAAAAUGGAUAAAUUAAAAAAAAAAGUUUCAAUAAAUAAUAAAUUUAAAUCACCGCAAAGAAUUGAGUGAUUAGCUUGAUACUCAAAAUUAUGAACGAUAGUUAUUUGCACUUGAUCUUUAUAUCAAAUUCUGUAAUUCGUAAGUGGUAAAAUUGAGUAAAAAUAUAUAUCUAUACUCAUAAUCAACUAAAAGUUUAUAUAUUGAUUUAAUCUUUUAACAUUUGAUUAAUGUAAAGUUGGCUAGGGCAAAAAUGUUGUGUACAUGCCCCCACCCCCCUCCACCCACCAAAAAAUAUCUUGAAACAAUGACUAGGUGUCAAUUUAUUCAAUGCCAUUAAGUCAUCCAAUUAAACUACAUUAAGCAACCAAACUAAAUUUAAAACCACAUAUUGAAUAAUAAGUUGAUUAAAGAAUAAUAUGUCUACUCUAUGUAUAGAUUUAAUUUAUGAUUCGUCUCAUCAAUCAAUUUAGUUUAUCGCCAAAAGAGUUGUGGUAAAAUUUAUGAGAUUUAUUCAGAUUUAAGAUAGGGGGAUGAAAAAAUUAAUUUAAGUAUUUUUAUAUAUAAUACGAAUUAAGUGAUGCGAUUUCAAAUUAAUAACAAUUUUAUAAAAAUAAAAAUUAAAUUUAUUCACUUUGGACACGUGGCUUAUUUUUUUGGGAUUAGUGUUGUUCCAGGCCCAGCAUAAUUCUAUGUUUAGUCACUAUACUUUUCAUUAAUCAACUUCUUAUACUAAAUGAUGACAUUUUGAUAGGAUAAGAUUAUGGAAAAUGUCAAUUAGGGGUACAAGGUUUGGCCAUUUUUUCUAACUGAAUUAAUUGCAUUACUUUAUAUUCUCAUGCAAUGUAUCUAACUAAAAUUUGACUUAGUCAUAUAAUAAUAUUAAAAAUAUACACCUAAACUCCUAUCCAUGAUUACAUUAAUGAACAUUUUAAACAUUUUAUUUCUAACCAACCACACCUUUGCUAGUUGAUUUAAUUUGUUUUUUUGUUUUGGGGGGCUAUUUAACAAAAAAAUCAUUAUUUUAUGGGGCCAACAUGAGUGCACCAUUGUAGACAAAGAAAACUUUCCUAGUCAUGAUAUAUAAUUUUUAGAAGUUUCAAAAGUUUUCUUAGAUGAAUUCAAUGUUGAUGAAGUCAUAUCAAUCAAAUUAAUGUGUAUAUCAUAGGUAAUUAGUUGAUUGCUUAGAAAAAUUGAAUUCAAUGAAAAGGUAUUAUAGUUUGUUCGAUCAAGUUUUUAGACCGUAAAAAUGUUAUUUAUUUAUUAUUGAAAAAAUAUUUAUGAGAUGUCUGAACAAGUUCAAAUUGCAUUAGUGAUAUCCUACAUUAACAUCAUAUGUCCUUCCGACUAAUACACCUCAUUUUUAGACCCAUCUCACACCUUACUUUCUCACCCUUGAUCAACUCCUAUAAUUUCUAUCAAAAUUAUAUACAAAUAACUUAAAUAUAAUAUUUUUUUUGUUUAUCUAUCGGUCAUUAAGAAAGUAACUUUUUUAAAAAUCUACUAAUACUCGUCUUUUACACUUAAAAAUACAAUUCAUAUAGCAAUACACAAACACUUGUACUUAAUUGUCUAAAAAAUACGUUCAUACGUGGUAUUGCCUAUAAGUCAUUCAAAUGAAAUAUAGUGAUAAUUAAAUUGUGAAGUUGUGUUUCAGCGAGAACAAUUAUAAUUGAAGUAAGAAUAAGACUUCAUUUGAAUUCGUAAAUAAAUGACAUCCACUUUAUAAAUGUCUUUUCUUUCUCAAUAUGAUUUCUUUUCUUUCUCAAUAUGAUUUCCUUCAUAUUUAAUUUACUUACGGUAAAUAAGAUAGGGGCGAGGCACCGACCAUGCUUAUCUUAUGAUUUGGAAUUAAAAGAAAAUGACUUUCAAAAUUCUUCUAUAUUAUCUCUGAAUCUCAUUUUAUGGGUGUAAAAUAAAAUUUUUUAAUAUAAAUUUAUAAAGAACUACAAUUAAUUAAUUGAUACUACAUUUUAAAUACUUUUAGAUAUAUAUAAAAAUAAAUCGAAUUUCUUCAUUUGUUUCACCCAACCAAAUGAAUCUUCACAACUAAAACUAGCUAAUUAAUGUGAAAAGUUAGAGAGUUAUAGACGGAACGUAACUUUAGCUAAUUGACAAAUCUAUGUUCUACAAAACCGUUCAAGGAACAAAAAUAUAAAAUAAAGAUGGUGCCAAAAUAAUUAUAGUCACAAUAGUUUUUCUUAAAAUAGAAUUUUUUUUGUCCAUCUUCGUUUUUUAUGUUUUCAUUGGGUUGGAAAAAAUGGCAAAAAAAAAUUAAAAUAUUGUUAUUCAUAUUAUUUAAUUCUUAAAAGUAACACGUAAUAAGUAUUUUGAGAUAGAAAAAAUAAUAUAUCUGAAUUAAUUUUGUUUGACAAGUAAAUGUUAAUCAGGCCUAGGCAUUAGCAUGUGCUUAAGUUUAUUAGCAUAUACGUGUAAUAACAAAUACAUUAGUGUUUAUAAAUUAAAAAAGAAAAAAAAAGAAAAAGUAAAAUGGUAUGUCUUGGUUGAUAAAAAAUAUUAUUAUAUUGAUAUUCUUUUAAAAAACGGAUAAAAAUAAAAAUCAUUUCGAAAUGGAGGAAGUAUUUGCUAUCUAAUUUGAGAAUAAUGAUCCCUCUAUGAUAUUUACCACUUUUACUAAUAUAAUAAAAAUAAAAAAGAAAGAAUUUUUUAUUUUCCAAGGUUGUAAGAUAAUUAAAUAUUAGAAAUUUAAUUGGUAAAUGAAGACAAUUUCUUUAUUGGAUUAAUGGUCAAAGUCUUUUUCAUCUUUUAAUUUGUUUCAUUCACAAAAGCUGCGGGGGGGGGGGGGGGGUGGAAAGAGAGUACCAGCUCUAUAUUUUGGUUUUAAAAAUAACAAAAAAGUCCCUUGUAUUAGGAGAAAAUUCAUAGUAGUCAUCUUUUUAUGUAUACAUAGAGCAAUUUUGAUCCUUUAAAUUUGUUACAAGUGAUCAUCUUAAUUCCAUUAAAGAUUUAACAAACUUUAUUAAUGGUAAAAAAUAUUCUUUGUACUUUGUUCAAGUUGUGGAUUUUCAUUAGCGUUAAAUUUGUUAUUGUUCUUUUGAUUCUACGGAAAAUUAUACACUCUGAAAAAUUCUUAAGAUAUGAUCAAGUCUUUAUAUAUUUUGGUGACUAAUUUAGGGUAAAAUAUUAACGAGGGUAAUAAUUUGACUAUUUUAUCCUCUUAAAAUAAAUAUUGAGUCAAAUUAUAUAUGAUUCUCAAAUAAUAUGGUAGUAUAAAAAGAAUCCAUUUUUAUUCUGGAAGCGGAAUAACGGGUUGCGACGGCGCGUGGCUAAGGAAUGAAUGGGGCUGAUCUUUUAUAAUCAUAUCUACCUCUCAGUCAACUAAUUGGAUUUAGGUCAAUCACUAAAAAAUCAUUGAUAAUACUAUAAUAAUAUUGUCAUAUUUCGAGCCUAUACCCUGGAUGUGAUCGACAUUCGAGAAUCAUUGCUGGUCCCAAGCAAAUUCUUUGGCUGGCUUAACUAUUGGUGAAAGACUUACUCAACAUAAGAUGAACUCAAAAGUCAACUUUAACUCAAAUAUCUCAAAAUAAUAAACUCAGAAAUUCAAAAAUAUAUCAGAACAUUCAACUGGCCAAAAGAAGGCAACUCGAGUCUCAAACAUUAACAAUGGAAAUGAAGAAUGACUCAUGAACUACUAAUGUGUAUCUAUGAAGCCUCUAAUACUAUAAGAGAUGUUGGGAGAAAACCCUUAAUCAUCCUAACAAAGUUGAAAUAAUAUAAAUAAAUAAGAGAUCCUCCGAAAGCAAGGAGGCUCACUAAACAACUCAACAACUGCAAGUGGUAUGAUAUCAUAUAUGUGCAUCAGGAAAUGAAAUGAUGCAGGCCAAAUGACAUUAGUACAUUGAAUGUACGUGCAUGAAAGGGGAUCAUUGAACCUAACAUAAAAGCUUGAACUUGAAAAGAAGGAAACAUACUCACCUCAACUCUACUAAAAUCAACCUCAACUCAACUCAAUCAAUAUAAAAACAACAAUAAAGAUGAAGUUGAUAUAAAGCACUUAAAACAGCAGAUAAUAACUCAAUGUAUUUUUAAAAUAUUAUAACAACUUUUAUUUGUAUGUAAAGAUGCAAAAUAACUCAAAUUGAGAGAUUCUCUAACCGACAAUCAUCACUAUGAGUUAUGUGAUAAUAUAACGGCUCGACCACGCGGCCAGAACUGUCACUUGCCGGAGUAUAAGACAUCCUCAACUAAGUGGAUCCACUAAGCUAUGCUUGAAAAGCAAUAAGGAAUUGUCUAAAAAGUACUACCUUUCUAGCCACGUUAGCCACAUGGUUUAUGAGGACUUUGAGUUGUAUGAACUCGUUUAUGUCGAUGCUUAAUACUAUUCUUAAUAAUAUAACUCAACUCAUAUGUUUGAAAAUAUUUCCUCAUCCUCAAGCUUUGUGAUUAUUACUCAAAAGGUUCUCUUAAAUGAGAUUAUACUUAAAAACUCCUCAUGAACUCAUUUGGAAAUCGAUGUUUCCUCUUCUUUUAAAUGUAAAAACAUUUUCUCUUUAAAAUACUUAGUUUAAAUAUAUUCAUUUUAAAAAAAUGAAACUCAACUCUUAUCAUCCUCAUACUCAAGUACUCAAGUCUUAAAACAAAUUUUAAAAGUUUGGUAAAGACUUUUCAAUUGACUCAAAAGAAUUCACUCAAACUCUACUCUUGUAUCUACUAUGAAUUUGAAUUAUGAAUUCAAGAGUUAGGUUUCAUGAUAUGAAAGAUCUCGUAAUGAUUAAUGUAGUUUAAAGUAAUUAGAAUCACAAAGAAGUGAAAAUACACUUCAAAAGAACUUGGACGAUACAAACGAUGGAAAAAGGAUGGGGCAGGCGAUUCUGGCGCACUGAGCGACGGGGCGCCACCUCUAAACUUCAGAGGCAACUUUCAGGCGCACUGUUGGCGCGGCGCUCUAGUCCAUUGCCUAGAAAACUUGACGAAUUUUUUUUCACAUUUUCUGACUCUAAUUCGCCUAGAAUCAAAUGGUUUCUUACAAACACCCUUAAAUCGUUUACCCAUCUUAAUUACACAAAAAUCUACUCGAAAACGCUCAAGAAUAAUACACAUUAACAAGAUCCCCGCCUUAAGAACCCAACCAAACAUUGUAAUUUCGGAAUGAACAACAACACCUCAAAAUUUUCAUCAAGAACCUCAAUAUAUUCAAUCUCAUCGAGGAAUUUACAAGUGAAACUCAUGAUUGACGUGUGAGUGAAAAAACCCAGCACUGUAAAAUCUUAGCUACCUCACUAAGAUUGAAUCCUUGGCAAAAACCCCCUUGAAAAUUGCAAGAAAUCCUUAAGUGAUUGAAUAUUUUCCUUUUUUCUCUUUUCUUGAACUCCUCUAAAAUCCGAAGAGUAUUUAGGAUUGUGAAAACUGACCCGAAUCAAUUUAGACCCCUAAAAUAUUACUAAAAAUGUUUAGACCCGAACUUAUAGGAGGCAUAUGAGUUCAGAUUUUUGGCUAUGAAUUCAACCUUGUUUUUUAGGUCUUAAGGUAGCUGAUGAUUUAUAUGACGUUUCGGCUUAGCUCAUCAACCAAAUGAGUAUAAGUCAAUGUCGGAUGUUGAUUCGCGCCUUUUGCCAAACCACUUCACCUGACAUAUGUUGAUUUACAUCUUUUGUCAAGCUAUCUCAUGUGCCGGAUUUUGAUUUGUACCUUUUGUCAAUCCACUUCACUUGUCGCAUGUUGAUUCAUAGCUUUUGCAAAGUCAUCUCACAUGUCGUUUGUUGAUUCACGUCUGUCAAGCCAUUUUACGUGUUGGAUGUUGAUUGACGUGUUUUGUCAGCCACAACAUCAGAGAUCAGUCAAAUAUUCAUGUGUCACGCAUUGAUGCUUUUUUUUUUGGCAAAUCACUAUAUUUGGAAGUCGGAUAAUUUUUCUUCUUGGAAAAGAGAUUCACGUGUCCAACAUUGGUUCGCUUUUUGGGCAAGCCACUAUAUUUAAGCUCUUAAAAAGUCUUAUCGUGAUUCACGUGUCAUACUCAUUUUCUUUCCAAGCCACUAUUUGAAUAUCAAAAAUUUAAUUAUUUUUGUAAAAAAAAAGAUUCACGUGUCAGAUAUUGAUUCGCUCUUUGAGCCAAGCCGCUAUAUUUAAUACUCAUAACUUUUUUUUAAAAAAAGAUUCACGUGUCAAAUACUGAUACACUUUUUUUGCCAAGCGACUACGUAUCAGAGCUAGAAAAUAUCUUCUUUUUCGAAGAUUUUACGUAUCGAAAGUUGAUUCGAUUUCCUUGCUAAAGUUAUUAUAUUUAUGAGUAGCACACUUUAAUUUUAAGAGAAAUUAUCAAUAUUAGCUAUUCAGUAGAUAGCACUAUGAAAGUUAUUGAAGUGUGCAAUAAAUUACAUUUUUAGUUAAGGUAUCAAAUUAAAAUAAAAAUACAAUUUAAGGGACCACAUAUAUGAAUUUCAGCCUCUAUAAAAUGAUGAAACUUAGAGGGACCGUUUGGUAUGCUUGAUAAUAUGAAGUAUUCCAUAGUUAAGUUUAAGCUUAGAAUUAUAUUCUAUUUGAUUAACAAGGUAAAUUCAUAUAGUUAAUCAAAUACGAUAUAAAUUUAGUUAGACUUAAUCUUAAAAUAUCUCUAUCUUAUUCCAUUUGACUUGUGAUUAAUUUACACCACUUCUCAUGUCUAAAGAUUAUAAUCUUAGCACUAUCAUUUUGAAAUAAUUUAAUUUGUGUAUCAAACUAGAGUAUUAAAUAGAACUAAGUAGAUUAAUGAUAAUUUUCUUAAAAUAAUAAUUUGUAGUUAAAAGAUUUGCUUCUAAUUAAUUUUAAAGUAUACUUUAUAGGGAGGUUGAAGAGGACAUUUAAGAGUAGAAUUGUGUCUAAGUUCUCUUCAUAUAAGGUUUGUAGGACCCACUCAACCCCCACCCCCUACCUCCCCACCCCCCAAACAUAGAUUUUCCUGUCUUUUCUACCUCUUUUUUUGCUUACAUUUUUCUGCUCUCUGUAUAAAGUCACUCUCUUUUUCUCUCUAUGAAACAACACUGCUUCAACAGUUCUACUUUUUCUUCAUAAGAGAAAUUUCUGUUCUUGAAAUUAAAGUUGCAUUGGAGCUCAGAAGAGAAAGUAAAAGGUAAUAAAAUGAAAAGGGUGUUUAAUUCUUGAAGAAUCAAUGAAGUUCUCUUUGUCUUUUCUGUUUUGGGUGUAAAAAUCUCAUCUUUUUUGCCCUUUUGGGUGUAAAAAUCCUAUCUUUUUUCUUUUUUUGAGUGUAAAAAUCUAAUCUUUUUCACUUUUUGAAAUGUUUUAGCUUGUAUACAAGGAAGGUGGUGUAUUGAAAUGGGAAAAAAAAAUAUCAGUUUUUACUUGAAGAAAAUUUUUAAUUAGUUGAUUGAAAUCCGGGUUGUAAUGUGGUACCCGGAUUUUUUAUAUAUUGAUCAUUGGAUCCUUUCAUCUUGUUGUAGGUACAUUGGGUUUUGUUUUUUUUUUUAUUGAGUAGUUAAGUAUUUGGAGCUUUUGUUGGAAAAAAAUGUUUUUUUGUUCUUUUUUUUUUUUAGUUGUUUUGAUAAUACGAAUGCUGGAAAAGAGGAUGACUCAAAAGACCUUUGUAAAUGUUUAUUUGCCUUUUUUUUUUUUUUUGGUUUAUGUUUCUCAGAUAAUGAAAGAUGAGUUUUUUUUUUCUUUCUUCUUUCAGGUAAAUUUAGCUCACCGUAACUUCUUUUCUUUAUUUAAACUUUUUUUUUCGAGUCGAGUUCUAUCAAAAACAAUCUUUUUAGUUUUUGAGGUGAGGUAAAGUCUGAAUAUAUUCUAUCGAUUUCAUUUACUAUUUGUGAAAUUACAUUGGUUAUGUUCUUGUAUAUGAGUUUUAGUUCUAUUAGUAUUUAUUUGUUUAUGUUAAAGUUUCUUGUUAAUGGGGUUUAGCUUUGAUUUUUAAGUUUUUUUGGUUUUUCUUUGUUUUGUAGUUAAAUUGGUUGAGGUGGACAGUGGAUUUCUCAGUCCUCUUGUACUAAGUUAUAUUUAUUAGUGGUUGGUUAUAUUUAGUCUUGUGGAAGUCAAAAUUUUGAUAUUGAAAUAAAUAGUUGCCUUUUAAGUUGUGGCCUUGUGGGGCUUAGUUGGUAGAUGACACUUUUUAAGCCUCUUCCUUUCCCCAGCUCAUACUUGUAGUAGUAUUCCUCGGUUUCAUUUUAUGUGUCACUCAGUUAGUUCGUGAAAAAAUGUGUUAUUAUUUUUGGUACUCAUCAUUUUGUAACAGUUAUCACAUUAGUUGGUUAUUGUUAUUAUUCCAUUUUCUCUAUGUUAUUAUGCUUUCCCUAUUGUUUUCUAUGCCCUUUUUUAACUUUUAUAUUUUUCUUUUAGCUGCUCUGAUGUGUGUGUUUUUCGAAAAUAAUCUUUCUACUUCCUCCUGGUAGGUGUUUCUAUGUCCUCUUUACUUUUGUAUUGUGUGUGUCUUUUAGAAACAACCUCUCUACCUCCUCGAGGUAAGGGUAAAGUAUGUUUACACUCUAUCGUCUCGACUACACUAGGUUUGUUUUGUAGGUUCUUCCUUUUGGUUAUUAACCAACUUAUGUUAAUUGCAAGUGGAUGUUGGUGCAUGCAUUUGUGUAUUUGUAAUAUUUUAUAAUGAUGGUAGUGUCCUUUUUUUAAUAAAUUGUAGAUUCUUGUGUAUUUGGUCCAGUUACUGAGCAUAUAUGGUUUGAUUGAUCAGGGUUGUACUUGUACAUUAAGCAGCAUUGGUGUAAACAAGAGUAGUUCUAUUGGAUGCAAUGAUGAAGAAAGUAGUAUCAUGGUUGUUGUUUUUAUCGAUCGUUGCUUCCUUAUGGGUUGUUGAUGGUUAUAUUGAAUGUCCUUGUGAUGAUAGUGAUGCAUUUUUUAGCAUGGAAACAAUGUUAUUUGUUCAAAAAGCCGGUGAUCUCGGUAUAGCAGUGGCCUAUUUUUCCAUCCCAAUCGAGAUCAUCUACUUCGUUUCCUGUUCUAGUUUUCCGUUCAAAUGGGUGCUCUUUCAAUUCGGAGCAUUCAUUGUACUUUGUGGUUUAACACAUUUUCUCACCUUCUUGACUCAUUUUGGCAAAUACACAUUUCACCUUAUUCUUGCCCUUAUUGUUUGCAAACUACUCACUGCAUUAGUCUCGAUGCUCACCGCUAUAACACUUAUGAAUCUCAUCCCUUUGCUGCUUAAAGCCAAGGCAAGGGAGUUUAUGCUGAGACGAAAGAAUCGUGAGCUUGAUCGAGAAGUUGAAAAAAUAAAACAACUAGAGGAACUUGGACUGCAUGUUAGGAUGCUUACCAAUGAGAUCCGCAAGUCAAUUGAUCGUCAUACAAUACUCUACACAACUCUUGUUGGGCUGUCGAAGUUAUUGAGUUUGCAGAAUUGUGUUAUAUGGAUGCCUAAUGAGAACAGAACCGAGAUGAAACUGACUCAUGAUACUACAAGGGAGAAUGUUUCCAGUGUGUAUAAUGUGCCUAUCCCGAUCAGUGAUCGAGAAGUAAAAGAGAUCAAGGGGAGUGAUGAUGUAAAGAUACUUGGUGCAGACUCCCGACUUGCUGCUGCAAGCAGUAGAGGGAGUUGUGAGCCAGAAUCUGUGGCUGCUAUUAGGAUUCCAAUGCUGACGGUCUCGAAUUUCAGAGGUGAAACUCGUGAGAUUGUCUCGCAAUGUUAUGCUAUCCUUGUUUUGGUUCAACCUUGUGGACAUGGUAGGUUUUGGCUUAACCAGGAAGUUGAGAUAGUCAGGGCUGCAGCCGAUCAAGUUGCUGUGGCGUUGUCCCAUGCUGCAGUGGUUGAAGAAUCCGAGUAUAUCAAAGACAGGUUGAUGGAACAGAAUCAAGCACUGCAGAAAGCAAGAGAGGAAGCUCUUAGAGCAAGUCAAGCUAGGAGUUCAUUUCAGACGGUUAUGAGCCAUCGAUUGAGAAGACCAAUGCACUCAAUUUUGGGUCUGCUCUCGAUGUUGCAGGAACAGAAGUUACGAGAUGAACAACAGCUUCUUGUGCAUUCUAUAAUCAAAUCCAGCAAUGUUGUCUCCACCCUGAUGGAUGAUGUGAUAGUUACUUCAACCAAGGAGAACGUAAAAUUCCCAUUGGAAAUGAAGCAUUUUCAGCUGCAUUCCUUGAUACGAGAAGCUGCUUGUACCGCCAAAUCUUUGUGUAUGUAUAAGGGUUACAACAUCACCAUUGAGGUCGAAAAAUCAUUUCCUAAUAAAGUCAUGGGAGACGAAAGAAGAUUUUUUCAAGUUUUGCUUCAUAUAAUUGGAAAUCUUUUGAAUGGCAUCCACGGAGGACAUCUUACCUUCAAAGUUCUCUCAGCAAGUGAAAACGAUGUUAGUUGGAAAACACCGAGAUCAAACUCAUCCAAUGACAUUGUCUAUAUCAAGUUCGAGAUUUGCACAAAAUUUAAUCGAUCUCAGUCAGAGAUCACCCCUGCUCCUCCAACAUACGACACUGAGGAGAUUGAGGAGAGUUUAAGCUUUGCUGUUUGCAGGAAGUUGGUUCAUGUAAGCUUUUUAUUUUCGUGUUUUUUAGUACUUCUUGAAUUUUAUAUCCUUAUCUUAGUUAGCUAUAUCAAUUUUAUGUCCUUAUCUGGUGUGUGAAAAAUGUUGAAACAGUUGAUGCAAGGAGACAUCUUUAUAAUCCGAAAUUUAGCAGAUUUUGAUCAAGGCAUGGCUGUGAUUGUCGGAUUCCAAAGGCAGCCGUUAAUUCCCUUAGGCAUGUCCGAAUAUGUGGAGUCUUCUAAUCCCACAUAUCCACAUCCUGUUUUACGUGGUGUGGAGGUUCUGUUAGCUGACUAUGAUGAUUCGAAUAGAGCUGUAACAAAGAAGAUGCUCGAGAAAUUGGGAUGCAUCGUUACUUUAGUUUCAUCUGGAUAUGAAUGCCUCGGUGCUGUUGGCCCCGUUGUGUCCUCGUUACAAAUUAUACUUUUGGAUCUUCAUCUGCCUGAUUUAGAUGGCUUUGAAGUUACCAUGAGACUUCGAAAGCAUAGAAGACAGACCUGGCCUUUGAUCAUCGGUUUAGCUGCAAUUACUGAUGAAGAUAUCAGAAAAUGCCUCAAGAUCGGAAUGAAUGGUAUCAUCUGUAAACCAUUGCUCUUAUCAGGACUCGCCGAUGAGCUUCAGAAGGUUCUGCUUCAUGCAAACAGAGGAAUGCCAUGACGGUAACGUUUACAAUAGACUAUAGUAAGUGAGGAAGUCUUUUUAAGGUACAAAUAUGGUAGAUGUAAAAAUAGAAAAAAUAUAAAAAAAAGCUUCAGCUUUACUUAUGUUAAGUACACACCUUGACUGUUAAAUAGUAUAUAGAUACUUUUAUCUUCUUUAUGUUCAUAGAAAAUCUUAGGGGUUUACAUCAAUUUGCUACUACUAAUUGCGGUAAAGUUGUCUCCGUUUGACCUAUAAGUCACAGGUUCGAGCUGUGAAAACAGUCACUAAUGCUUGCCUAAGGUCUACAUCACACUCCUUGGGGUGUGACCUGGCCUUUUCCGAGGUUUGAGCCGUGAAAACAGUUACUAAUGCUUGCCUACAGUCUACAUCACACACCCCUUAGGGUGCGACUUGGCCUUUCCCGAGGUUCUAGUUUAGUACAUCACACCUCUUCCGAUGCAACCUGGCCUUUCUCGAGGUUCGAACCGUGAAAACAGUCUUACCUACGAUUUACAUGGGCCCAAUCCGACCUUUCCUGGACCAUGUUACGGCGAGAUGCUUUGUGCAUUGAGCUACGUUUAUUUUUGUUUUGUGUGGUUUAUUUUGGAUAACCUUCUUAUUCUGGCUUCAUAUAUUAUUUAAUUAAUGUUCUGCUUGAUCCUAGUGAUCAUAUAAUAUAAUAUAGAUAUAGAUAUAUAUAUCCUACAAUAUUCUCUGCAAUAAUAAUUGACCAUAUCCAGAUAUAUUUUCUUCAUUCAGACAAACCAAACCAAUUUUCAACUCACCUUCACCCAUGGCACGUGCAUUGCAUGUGCUCCCAUUCCUAAUAUGUGUUUACUGAAGUGACUAAACUAUUUCGCGAUCAUUUUAUUAAAUCGUAUAUAUUUACAUUUCUAUGUAUAAAAGCGGAGACAGAUAUUGUUUCAAAGAGUUUAUCUGAUUUUCCUUCGUUAGAAAGUUAUGCAUAGCAUAUAUAUAAAGUUAAUUUCCAUUUUUUUUAGUUUUGUAUAUUUAAUAUGAAGAUAAUGAAUUUAGCUGACCAGACAAAAUCGCUCGGAAAAGACAUGAGUAGUGGGAAGGGUAUGUGGAGAAUAAAUAGGUCAAAGAUGCAAUCAUAUUAUACCCUUUCUAUUUACAUACAUUUUUUUUAGGAAAGCGUGCAUGAACUUUAGAAGUUACGUACACACACUCUUUCUAUAAAAACUUUAUAGUAUAUUUAUUUAUUCUUCAUGUUUCUAUCAGUGGCCCAUAAAUACCAAAUGGUCUAUUUAUUCCUUUUCAUUCUUCCACUAUAUAUAUAGUUCUUCCUUUUAUAUAUAUAUGGUGACAAAAAAAUGACACUGAUUCUUUAAAAGUUUUGAACAAAGAACAAACAAAAAGAAAUUAAGAAAUUGACCUAAUAAUAAAAAUUGUAGUAUCUCAUUAUAUUAUUUAUGAAUGUAAAAUGUUUCGUAGGAGGGUUCAUCGAAAUUAAAUAUUUCAAUUUUCACAAGAUAAGAGUACUGAAUAUAUUGUUGUUGUUGAAAUGAUGAGGGUCACUAUAACGUGCUUUCAAAGCAAAGUGAGAUAAUGUAGGUUACUUCUUUUUGUGGAAAUUCAUGAAGAUAGAAAAAUAGACGUCUUUCUUUUGUUAUUCCAUUUUUCUUGUCUAUCUCAAUUCUAUAAUAUGAAUUACAACAUAAAUAUUAAAUAAUAUUCCCAUUAUUAUAUCUUUUUAUUCAAGAUUGGAAUUUUUUUACAACAAUUAAAGAAUUCUAAUUUUUUCACGAGAAGUAUAGUUUGGAAAACUAUUUGGACAUGGAAUAUGGAAUUGUUAUAGCUUUUCGGAAUUCAAGUUGAACUCCAAAAAAUAUUUUCUUAAUUUUCACUUGAAACACUCACGAAAAAUCAAUAUUCAUGUCCAAACACAAUUCAAAUCUCUAGAUCGAUAUCAUUUAAAAAAAAAAAUUUACGAAUUUUACAAUUUUAUUUUCAAACGUUUCAUUUAUAAUUGAAUCUGCUCAAACAUUUUUAAGGGAGCAUAUUUAUUUAUUUUCUUAAUUCCUUUCAUAGUCUUUAAUUAAUUAUCUUCCUUUUCGAUGAAUUUGUUUCACAAAUGUUGUUGUCAAUCAAAUCAUGUCUCAGUGGUGCUAUUAGAUGGUGAAUUUUGGAACAAUUAGGUGUUAAUUAAUUAAUAUAGAUACAUUGUCCAUAUUUGUGUCGAACAUCAAAGUCAGAGACAGAUCUAGGAUUUAAAGGUUGGGGGUGUUAUAACAUUCAAGUAAGAUAAAAGGAUUGGUUAUUUUAGUUUUGGUUACAAUUUAGGUUAUUAAUUUUAUUUUAUUUUAUAAACAAAUCGAUCAAAUAUAUCUAUAGUAAUAUUUUCUUUUAGAUAUUAUGUGAUCAGAGAUAACUAAACAAUUCAAUUUUUAUUUUCUUUUUGUAAUUAAAUGUCUUAUUUGCUGAAAUUUUGAGAAAAAAAAGUCGCGUUAAAUUUAAGCUUGUAUAAACCAUCUAAUAAUGUUAACAUAAUAUAUUCAUUUUCCAUUGAUUUUAUGUGUUGUUGGAGAUAUAUAGUGAGAAAUAAUAAAAGUUAUAGUUUCAGCCUAUUCAUCUUAAUUAGCAAAAACGUCGGUGAAGAUCGAAAGAACCUUUAAUUUUUUUUUAAAAAAAAAUAUUUUUGAAACUUAUGUUUUUUCAAAAAACUAUUAUUUAAAUAUAUUCUUAAUAAUAUUCAUUUGACGCUCAUAAUUCAAUAUUCACUAAUUAAUAAAACAAAAUAAACACAUUACACUCAAAUCAAUAGACUAAUAAUUAGUGCGAGAGAAAGUAAAAAAUAAAAAUUAAUUAUGAAAAGGGGUCCAUUUGAAUUAAUAAAGAAUAGUAAAUAAAUAAGAAUGAAUGGAGAAAAAAAAGAAGAAGAAAAAGAGCAAGCAAAAAAAAAUUGAAUUUUGUUGCAAAUGUUUGAAUCUUGUUGACAAGGUGGCAGACCCUCUCCUUUGCCAAUUGAGUUAUUCUGAUGUAUAGUCACUAAGUGGCAAAAAUAAUAUAUAUUUAAUUAUUAUACAUAUAUACAUAUGUAUAUAAUAUUUUCUUCGAAAAUGCUGGAUGUCGUGGCACCUACACCCGUACUCCUAAAUCCGCCUCUGAUUAAAGUGAUGGAAUUCAUAUAAUUAGAUAAUUCAUCAACCACAAUUUUACUUUUAUAUAUAAAGUCAAAAAUACUUUUUUAUACACAUAAUCAUACAUUGAAUCAUAUUUUUAAAAUAUUUUUGAAAAAUAUAUACAAAGAAAUCAAGACGAAUCAAACAUAUAUUGUAUUGUAUGUAUAUAUAAAUAGUUAACUUUAUAUAUAGGGAUAAUGCCCAAAUAUCCCCUCAACCUAUGCCCGAAUUCUCAGAGACACACUUAUAUUAUACUAAGGUCCUAUUACCUCUCUGAACUUAUUUUAUUAAUAAUUUUUUACCCCUUUUUAGCCUACGUGACACUAUCUUGUGGGUCCAACGAUGGUUGAUUUUUUUUCAAACUAGUGCCACGUAGGCUAAAAAGGGGUAGAAAAUUACUUAUUAAAUAAGUUCAGGGGGGUGAUAGGACCUUAGUAUAGUAUAAGUGUGUCUUUGGGAUUUCGGGCAUAGGUUGAGGGGGUACUUGUGCAUUUUCCAGUAGAUAAAUUCUCAUAAUGAAAAGUUUGACUUUUUGUAUAUAUAAACGCACAUAUUUGAUAAUUUAAUUUACUAAAAGUAUUUAAAAUCGUUUCAUUUUAAAAUAUAUAAUUUCAAAAAUAUAAUAAAAUACCCAAUGAUGAAAUACUCUACAUGAUUAAAUUCGAUCCAAAUUAAAGUCUUGAAUUCAUCGCUACGAAAAUUAUUUCAUGCUAAGAAAAAACGAUAGAUGUAUAUUAUGAAUUUUAAACUAGCAGAUUGUGUAUUGAGUGAAUUGUUUUUUUGUUUCGGAAAAGGACAUAAAAUACCCUUGAAGUAUUGAAAAUGGUACAUAAUUACCCUUCAUCCACCUAUUGAAGUGCCCUUUUCACCCACCUAUUGACUCCAAAAUACCCUUGACAUCCACCUUUGGGUUCAAAAUUAACCACUUAUUUAACGGUUUGAUAUUUAAACUAUUUAUUAUUUUUUUAAAAUAGUUGGGGCUCGACGAUUAGAUUUAAUUUAAUUUAUUAAUAUCAUUUAUAAACCAACCAACUACCGACCAAUUACUAAUUAAACCUCAUACAAUUAAUAAACAAAUUAUAAUGUCAAAAUCGCCCCAAGCACUACUAAAACACGACGAAAUUACAGAUUCCUGAAAAAUGACAUCCAAAAUUAUUUAGUUCGAAUUAAAGCCCCAAUUAAAUUUAGGUUGAGCCGAUUAUUUAGGUGUAACGACCUGUUUAGUCGUUUUGAGCAGCAGAUUUUAUUUCUGGAAAAACAGGCUGAGACGACGGAACCCACGACGGAACGUCAUGGGCACGACGGACCGUCGAGGGUGUCUCGUCCCAAAACACUUAGAAAUUCUGAAAUUUGGGUGCUGAAAUCGACUCUCUGAACUCUGUGACGGACCUGCAGGACGGACCGUCACAGGCACGACGAACCGUCGUGAUCCACCGUUUCAAAACACUUCAACUCUUAAGAAUUUGGUACAGGGAACAAUUCUCUGAACGUCGUGACGGAAGUGCAGGACGGACCGUCGUAGGUACGACGGUCCGUCACAGACUCUUUAAGGAAAUCGAGUCUCUGACGAACCUGCAUGACGGACCGUCGCAGGCUCGACGGGCCGUCAUAGGUUGCGUAAUCCCAGUUGAAGUCGGAAUUCUGGUUAAGUUUUAAAGGGGCGUUUUGGACUAUUCCUGCUAUAAUUAUAUAUUUCGUGGGUCUAUAUUAAUAACUCAAUUUCUUGGGGGAUAAAAAAGGUAACCUUAAGUUAAUUAGUGAGCUAUUAUUGUCAUCUUUUAUUCUUAAUUAUAUACUAAUUAGGGUAAAAGAAAGAGGGUUUGAAUAAAGAAAAUAGAAAGAACAAGAGAAAGAGAGAAGGGAAUCGAUAGAGAGAGAGAAGAUCGAGAAGGGGAAAAACACAAAGCUUUGGGAAAAUUUGCUUGCUUGAUCACGAAUCUUCGGUGGAGGUAGGUUAUGGUUUCUCUUACGAUAUUCGUAGUAAACUCUUAAUAGAGAAUGAUAUGUAUUGAUAAUAUUGUAAACCCUGCUAUGUGCUUAAUUGUAUGCUUGCAUGAAUGUAAUUAUAUAAUUGUGAUUAUAUAAGCAUGAUGAAGUUAUUGAAUCCCAAAUCUUGCAAAAUCCUAAUCUCUUUGUUAAUAAUGAGGCCUUGGUAUAAAAGAAGGCGUGAUGAACUAAAAUAAUGGGAUUGAUGAUGCCUUGGUAAGAAAGAAGGCUUGAUGAAUUGAUGGAAGGAGAAUUAGGGGAUCUGGUGUCACGAACCGACACGUAGUAUUAGGGAAUCGGAUGUCACGAACCGACACGUAGAAUUAGUGGAUCGGGUGUCACGAACCGACACGUAGUAUUAGGGGAUCGGGUGUCACGAACCGACACGUAGAAUUAGGGGAUCGGGUGUCACGAACCGACACGUAGUAUUAGGGGAUCGGGUGCCACGAACCGACACGUAGUAUUAGGGGAUUGGGUGUCACGAAUCGACACGUAGAUUUAGGGGAUCGGGUGUCACGAACCGACACAUAGAUUUAGGGGAUCGGGUGUCACGAACCGACACAUAGAUUUAGGGGAUCGGAGUGUCACGUACCGACACAAGAGGAUUAAUGAAUAUUGAGGGAGCGGAGUGUCACGUACCGACACAAGAGAAAUAAAGAUAAUGAAUCUUGAAAGAUGUUAAUAUACUCAAUCUAAUGAACAUGAUUCCCAAAUGAGUAUGGUAUUGAGGUUUGAGUCCUCAUGUGUGAACUUGACGGUAAUUGUUAAUGAUAUAGUAUUUGUUGUUGCUACAUGUUGAGUAUCAUAGUGGAUUUUAUGAUAUUACUUGGUAUAUAUUGAUUUCUAUUUUGAGUUGGCCGAUGAUAUCUACUCAGUACCCGUGUUUUGUACUGACCCCUACUUUUAUGUUUUCUUCUUGUUUAUUUGUGGAGUGCAGCAAACGUGCCAUCGUCUUUAACUCAACAGUAAUUCAAGCCAGUCUUACUACAUCGAAAAUUCAGGGUGAGCUAAUGCUUCUAGCUUGGACUGGAUCUUCUUCUUCAAGUCUUGAUGCCUUGAACUUCCGGCAUGGACUAGCUUCUUAUGUAUUUUUAGCUUUUAGAAUACUCUUAGUUUAGUCAUUUGAUCGUAGAUGUUCUUGUGAUGAUGACUUCCAGAUUUUGGGGAAUAAUAGAUGUUGAAUUUUAGAAGUUAAUGAAUUGGUCUUUAUUUAAUGAGUUUAAGUCUUCCGCAUUACUUUCUGUUGAUAUUAUAUUGAAAUGUUAAGGUUAGAUUGGUUGGUUCGCUCACAUAGGAGGGUAAGUGUGGGUGUCAGUCGCAACCCGGUUUGGGUCGUGACAUUAGGACACUUUCAAUAGGAUUCUCUUUCAAGCUUGAAUUCCAAUUUUAUGAUUAAAGGUAAAGAAGUAGUACAUCCCAAAUUAAUUUAUGCACUUUUUAAAUAUAAUUUAUAAAAAGUUAUUAUGUGUUUUAAAUACUUUAAUGUAUUCUUUUUUUUAAAAAGUUAUUCAUUAAGUAACAUCAAUAAUUGAGAGGAAUGAAUAACUAAGAUGAAUAUAGUCAUACUUAUAAGUUUAUCGGUAAUUUUAUUUUAGACACUUAAAUUAUAACAUGUUUUCAUUGAAGAUUUGAAUGUAUGAUAAUGUACUUUUAUAGAUAUUUUCGCCUCAAAGUUUUAGAAACACGCAAUAAUUUUUUGUUGUUGCAUUAGUAAUGGGGUGGGUUUAUUAAAUGGGUGUGAUUUAAUUAGUAAUGGGUGGUAGAUUGAUUCAUAAAUUAUAUUAAUAAAUUAAAUUAUAACAAUCGUUGAGCGCCAUGUAUUAGAAAAAUUAUUUAAAUAGUUUAAAUAUAUAAUUGUUAAUAAGUGGUCAAUUUUGAAUCCAAAGGUGGAUGAGAAGGGUAUUUUGAAGGCAAUAGAUGGAUGAAAAUGAUAUUUUGGAGCCAAUAGGUGGAUGGAGAGUUAUUUUGUACCAUUUUUUAUACUUCACGAAUAUUUUAGGCCCUUUUCCAUUUUUGUUUUUAUAAAUAAAAAUAUAUCUAGGUUCAUUGGAAUUGAAAUGAGUGAUUAGUUUUUAACUCUUUCAAUAUGUGAUGCAAAUCCCAUAUAGCUCGUAUUAUCCGUUUUGAAUUUAAACUUAUUCAAAUUUAUUUUUAAACUACAUUACAUCUAUUUCAAAAUAAUAUAUAUUAUGGGAACUUGAGAUUUUUUCUUUUUUAUUACGUGUAAAUUAUUUUUAUAAUAUUUUUAAAAAUUUAUCAAUAUUUUUUAAUCUGUCCUCAUUAGUCCGCCCUCUAUCAACGUGGCACACCCUUAGCCUCGACUAUAUAUAUAUAUAUCUUAAUGUACUACUCAAUUUUCAAAAUUAAGAAUCGCCACUUGGUAUUAUAAAAAGGAAAAAAAUAUAAACUUAGCUUAGUCAUUAUUAUUUUGUGGCAUGAAUCAUGAAUUAUGUAAUACAAUGAGGUCAGUUGAAAUUUAGGAACAAAAGUUAUGUGCCAAGGGAUCUGUACUGAUAAAAAGUAUAGAAAAUAUUUCAGUCUUAUCAUGGAAAAUUAAUUAUAUGGAAUAUAAUUCCACUUGAAAGAGAGAGAAUUUUACUUGAGUGAAUAUUAAAGGUUAAUUUUAAUUAGAGAUUUUAAAUUAGACGAGAAGAAAAGUUAUUAUUUUAAUUUAAAGCUUGACAAUCAAUAAUUUUGGUCCAGUCUCAUAAAUUUAAUUUAAAAAUUAGUAACUUUAAUUAAUUAGAAUUUCAAUUCAUAAGCUUUAAAAUAUUAAUUUCGUCUCUUGAUUCGAAUAAUAAUAAUAGUGAAAUUAUUGUUUAUAGAAGACAUUUUAUUCUGAAAAUUAGUAUUUUAUGGCACUAGUUAAAAUGAAUUAGUUAGACUUCAAAAUAGAUAUUGAACUUCAGUGUACUAUUAAAAAACCACUAAAGUUAACUAUACAUAUGAUAUUCUUCUUUCAGUGAAUUAUUGUAUUUAUCUGAGUUAUCCACAACCAACACAAAUUACUCUAUUUUUUUAAUCCUAACGCUGUUCAUUUUUAUUAUUCUCAAAUGAUAAGAUUAUUCUCUUUUACCAAACAUAUAAAUCGAAACUAAAGCUCUUUUUGAAAAAGAGAUUCAUACCCUUGAGUCUAUUUUACGGUGCCUACUUGUUUAGUAUUGAUAAGUUAAAUUAUAAAUCAAUUGUCUUUGCUUUUUCUCCACGCACAAUUAAAUCACCUAUGUCGAAAGGUUAAAAAGGCUACUAUCACUUUAUUUUUUUAAAAAAAUAUAGAUUUAGUUGUUCAUCAAAUAUAAUAAGAUCAAAUUGAUAUUGAUUGUGGUUUAACAGUGAAAUUGUAUCAUUUUAAUAUAAAUUUUGGGUUCAAUCCCACUGUAUAGAAAAAAAAUUUUAAAAGUAUUACUCCGAAAAGAUCUUACAAUACAUGAUCUAAAUGAACUUCAUUAAAAGUUUGAGACCAUAAAUCUCGAACGUUGAGUAGGAACCAAAAUAAAGAAUAAAAAAAUAAGUCUCAUUAAAUAACAACAAUGUCUAUUUUAAUUCAUAAUACUUGUAAAUUAGAGUUUGGAAUUCGAUCCAUUUGCAAUGCUCUCCCCUUACUAAAAGAAGCCACUAUUUAUAUUUUACCAUUUGAAAAAUAUUCGAUAAAUAUUCUUCCCAAAUAUUUUUAUUAAAUUAAUUAGGAAAAAAUGUUCUAUAAGUAUUUUUAGCACUAUAGCGAGAAUCUAUUUCACGUAUUAUGCAUUUUUCAAUGAGCCAAUUUACAAUACGAACGAAAGUGAAAAGAUCAUAUUCUAAACUAUAAAUUUUUGAACAACUUUUACAUAUAGCAAACACAAAAUUUAUAUUUGUAUGUCAUAACAAAGUUUGCAUAAUUGCGCUCCAUAGUAAACAUAAAUGCAUAUUUUGUUGUACAUAUACAAAAAAAAUCAAUUGUAUAAUUUGUGUGUAUAUAAAACGAGAAAGAAAAAAAAUAAAAUAAAAUUGCGCAGAGGAAUAUUUGUAUUGUAUAAUUAUAAGUGUAUAGGACGAAGAUAUAUGUACUUGCAUGUGUAUAUACAAUUUUCUCUCGCUUUAUAUAAAACAUAAACACAAUUUAUACAUUUCGUUUCUAUUUGUAUAAGCGAAAGAGGCGAGGGUGACAGACGAGAUCUGGGAGAGUGGAAAGCGAGAUCUGAGAGAGUGGAGAAUGAAAAUAUAUGUAUAUAUAUAUAUAAUUUUUUCUCAUUUUAUACAAACACAUAUGCAUUUUAUAAAAGUGAAAGUUUGAGCGAAAAAAGUGACUGACAAACAAUUUACUACAAAAUACAAUUAAAUCAAAGGAUGAUUAUAUCAUUUUAUUUGAUUUAUUAGUUUGCCAUUAUAUAUAACUUUUUUUAUUGAUUUGCUAUUAAAAAAUAUUUAUUUUUAAUAGUAUCCGAACUAUGACUAUAAAGAAUAUUAGUUACUCAAUAUAAUAAUACUUUGACCUUUGCUCAUCUUAUAUUUUUUUCUUCAAUUUAUAUAAUUAAAGUUGACUUGCAUCAAGAUCUAGACACAGGUUAGUACUAGCUAUAUCCUAAUUAAAACAAAAAAAAGUGACUUUCUUUAUUUGUUUAUUUGCUAAAAUUGGUAAAAUAAAAAAAUGUCCAGAUUACCCUUUUCCCCAAAAGAAAGAAGUACAAGUUCAAAAAUUAAUACAUUAAAAAUAGGGGUAUAUAAGACAAAAAUAAUAAAGAAAAUAAGAUUUUAUUUUUUUUUUGCGAUCAAUCAUAACAAUUUGCAUUGAUAACUUACUUGUAUUUAGUUCAAUAUGGAUAAAAAUACACAUGUUUUAACUAAAAUUUAAAUAAUCUUAGUUAAAUAUUAAAAGAAUCAAAAUCGACAUUACCUAAUUAAUGAAGGACUUAAUAUUACAUUUAUCCGUUUGAACUAUGGACCUUGACCCGUCUAAAAAGCCCAAAUAAUUUUAGGGCUCCUUUCACCUUCUUUGAAUUGGGCUUUGGAUUAAUCAACCUAAAUUAAUCCGAAAAAUAAAAAUAAAUUAUGAUAUAAAAAAUGUGAAUAUUUUUAUGACAAUCAAUAAAAUAUGGUUUUUAUGUUUGAUAUAAUGUUGCUAUAUAAUUAAGGAAAACUUAUAUAAAUAUAUUAUAAUUAAAAAAUAUUUACUAUUAAUAGCAAUAAUAUUUUUUUUCACUUAAUCAAUUUUAGUACAUUUAUAAUACAGUUUUAAUAUAUAUUACAAAAAUUAAUUUAUUAUUCACAUAUAAUACAAGUUUUAUUGAUGAAUAAUACAUUUAUCACACGUUUUAAUACACUUAUAAUACAAUGUGUCAAUUUCUUACCAAACAAGUAUAAUAUAUUUUUAAAAACUAGUUAUAAUACAUAUAUAUAUUUGCAUAUAUAAUUCUCUUUCAAUACGUCUUUGCAGAUUAAGCUAUGUAUUACUAUAAAUGGUAAUAAAUAAAAGUAUCGUCAAAAUCAACAAUUAUUUAUUAAAAUGUAGUACUUUUCAAGUAAUUUUUUCCUAAUUAUUCUACCUCAUUACCCAAAGGCCCAAAUCUUUUGUAGUCAAUGGGCUUUUAUGUUAGUGACAAAUCAAUAAAAUGCUUUUUACCCAAAGGCCAAAAGUCGUGAUACAUAUAUCUGCAUGGGUAAAAUAUAGUAAUAUAUGUAUUUAGGAAUCAAAAUAUGAUUGGAAUUAUAUUAUUGAAAAUCUACAAAAUAAAAUAAAAUAAAGAGAAUUAUCUUCUAAGGUGGUGAGAUUUGUGUUCAUUACUCUAAAUUAAAGGGAUAAUUACUAAAUUAUUCAGCUAUAGAAUUUACAAAAUAUAUACCAAGUGUAUAAACGGUGUAUACUUUAUAUUCAAAUACAUAUACUAUUUUAAUUAAGUGAAUAUUUCAAUGUUUGCAACUUAUAUCUUUAUUUUCUUCCUUUUAUGGAUUUGAAAAAUAGAUAUAUGUAUAAAUGUUUAUAGUUGGUGAGAAUUUAAUCAUAGUAGCAUGAGUUGGCAUGAAGUUUGCAUCUCAUUAAAAACAAGGAUAUUAAUAUAUGAAUUAAUUAAAAAAAAUUGCGUGCUAUGCAUGGAUUAUAUUUAAUUUUAUUAUGUCAUAUACUAGUUGAAUUUAUGAAAACGAUUUGUCUCCUAAUUGAUGUUGACUUUGAAUUUGUAUGGAUAGUAAUUGGCUACUAUGAACCCUAUAAUCAAUAUAACUAUAAAUAUUAUAAUUACUAGCUAGUGGGGUGAAUUUAGGGUGGUGAAAGCGAGUUCUCAAAAUUUUGAUAAUUUUUUGUAUAAAUUUUAUAAUAUAUUGAAAAUUUUAUUAAAUAUAUAAGAAGUAUUUGUUGAAAAUUCAUUAAGAUUUUCUAGUUUUGAUCUAUGUAAUAUUUAGCUAAAUAUAGUUAAUUUUUAAUUAAUUAAAGUAUGUAUUUUCCAUCCGUUUAUUUAGGAAAUAUUUGAUAUCUUGAGAACUAUAUCACCCUCACAAUGUGAAGUAACAAUACAUAUUUAAUAUAUUAAUAAUUGAAGUUUAAAUGGUUUAGCCCUUACAAAUUGGUUAAUUCGAGGUUAUGUAUUAUGAUCUUGAUUAAUCCAAAUUCACGAUAUAAAAGAUCUAAAUAGAAAAACAUUUUUCACUAUAAUUUUUUUAUUCACAGUUCAAAUCAAAAAUAUCUAAUUAAAAAUAAAAGUAUCUUAUUCGCUUCACUAUAACUCUCACAUAUAUGUAUAGUUCUUACUUAAAAAUCAUUCAAAGGACUCUCAUAAGUAACUAUUUUAUAUUUUAUGAGGCACAACUUUCAUGUACAAAAAGUUAAAAUUGUCAUUUCAAGCAUCUUUAUUUAUAUAUAUAUAUAUAUAUAUAUAUAUAUAUAUAUAUAUAUAUAUAUAUCCUAUUUCUUGAAAAAGAAAAGUGUCUAAAAAUAUUCCUGUUUGUGUUUUAGAUGACAUGACUAUUAUAUUCCUUCAAUUUUAUUUUAUAUUACAUACGCUUAAACUCUCUAAUUUCAAGAAUCAAGGGAAACUUUUUAUAUGUGAUACCAAAUUUUUUUUUAAAUUUUAUGCAUAAUAAAUAUCGUUAUAUAAAAUAAACUAAAUGCAACAUAUUUUUAACACAGACUAAAUUUUUUUAUUUUUCAGAGUUCUUUUAAAUUAAACUUUGAAUUGCACAUCUUACUAUUUUUCUUCUCUUUUUAAGUAAAAGUGUCGAAUACCUAAAAUCACACCUAAUAUUUGUAUCAAACCACAAAGCUACUAGAAAUGUGUUUUAAUUAAGUUCUAACACUUAAUUUGUGAUUAAUUAAAGAUAAAAUAUCACUUUAGUAUUGCCACUUCUUGUUUUUUUGAUGUAUAAACAUCGAUCGAUCACAAUAAAUUUGCUUUUUUAUGAAACACAAAAUAUGUGACAUGUGUUUUCAAUUUAAUCAAAGUUUAACACUUAAUUUUGGUAAAUUGUGAUAUAUUCUUAUUUUAACUUUGUGGCAAAAGUUACUUGUAUUUUGUAAGAACAUUUCAAUAAAUUUUUUUUAUAUAAAUUAUACUUAUCGUGAUGAUUAUUAAGGGUGAACUGAGAUGAAUAAAAAGGGACAAAACUAUUAUAGUGGUUACAAAAAAUAAUUAAUUCGAAACUCAAUAAAUAUCAAAACAAAAAAAGAAUAUUAAUUCUGGGUUAUAAAAAUUUCAAACUCAUGUAUUGAAAGUUCAUAAUAUAUUUUCCUUUAAAUAAAUUUUAUAUGAAUUACAUUUAAAUUUAAUCGGAUAGCAAAUAAUAAUAAUGUAUGUUUAGAAAAUAAGACUGACGCGUUUACACCCCCUUCGUGUUACAUCUGCCACGUGGUACAAUCUUGACGGGUAUUUUGGUCAAUACCAAAAAAGUGACAAGGACGUGUUUGGUCCCACAUUAUUUGAACCACCCAUUAUAAUUCUUGCUUCUUGUUUUAUUAGCCAAAUCAAUGCCCCUAAUUAAAUACUCUUCGUUUAAAAAAUAAUAAUUUUAUGCUUUAAUUUGUUUCAAAAAGAAUUUUUUUUUUUUGUAAUAUUUUAAUUUUAAUUUUUUACGUGAUAUGUUUAAGACCACAAGAUUAAAGAGCAUUUUGAUAUAUUUGACAUAACUUUAAUUUAGAACCAAAAGAUUAAAAAGUCUUCUUUAUUUUCUUAAACUCCGUUUCAAAUCAAAUUAGAUCAUUCUUUUUGUAAUGAAGAAGAUAAUAAUUUUUUAUAUUAAUAUAAAAAAUGAUUAAAAUUAUUACUUCAUUCGUUAGAAGGGUUCUAACGAAAAAAUACUUUUAAUUUGAAGGGUUCUAAAGAAAAAAUAAUUAAUACGAUGUCGUUUCAUAAUAUUUAAAGUAAUUUCUGAGGUAUAAUUUUAGAUCUUCAAAAAUAAUUUGGGAGUAACUAAUUAAUACUAAGGAUAAGUUAUGAGAAAAUAACUAUUGUUUAUAUAUUAAAAACGACAAGUUAAAAAAAUAAAUUUCUUUUAUUUAAAUAUUCUAUAAGUGUGAGUGAAUUGAGGGAAGCUUUCUCCAUUCAAAAUAAAUGAUAUUUUUAAUUAGCUUGGGUUCAUCUCUUAUGAAAUGAUUCAUUUCGAGUAAAUCAAAUAUAUUUUUACUAACUUAAUUUUAUUUUAUAAGUAUGUUGAAAAAAUAUAGCUCGUUAGUAGUUUGUUAUAAAAUUAGUAAAUUAAAAUAUCACUGAUUUUCUUGUGUGAUAUUUUUGUAAUAACUUACAUUAAAAAAAAAAAGUCUUGAGCGAGUUUAUUUUCUAUAUUAUUAUGCUAAAUUCAUUAAUACUUAGCAUUUGGACAAUUGAAACAAAAUUCAUUCGAGUGAUAAUAUAGAUUGCUUGUCAAUCACAUCUCACUUCAUGAUUGAAUUUCGAAUGGUCACAUAGAAAAUUUUCAAUUUUAGUAAAAAGGAUGUACUAUACUAUUUAGGAACGAGACGUGAAACAAUAAAUUCAUUGAGAUUCAUCAAUUUUCUAUUUUUUUUCAUUUAAAAUAUCCAUAUUGAAAUCCAUUUUCAAAGUACUUUCUACAAAUAAAAAUUCAUGUAAAAAUAUAAAAUUAAAAUUUCUAAUUAAGUGAGAAACAAUCUCAUCGAUAAAGGGUCAUAUUCACGUACCACCAAAUAACAAGAAAUCCGAAAUGUGUCUCCUAAAAGCACAAAGAUAUUAGGUUAAAGUUAAAAACAUUUAGGACCCAUAGUAAUGACGUGUACUCCACGACAAAUACAAAAGUCCUUUUAGAUAUGUGCAUCAAAAUUGGAUUUUGAAAGAUCACAUAUAAAAGCUAAGCCAAGAACCAAUUCUUGUUUUUUUCUUGAAAAAUGGACAAAUGUUUAUGCCCCCACCACUAAUGAUAUUAAUGAAAUUUGGUGCACACAAUUAUUAAUGUAUUUGAAGGGGCUUAUAAAUUAUAAUGUAUGGUCUACAUUUCAUUAAUGCUAGUUUAAUGGAUUCCCUUUCAUAGUGAUGCACUUGUUUCAAAUUGGCUUCUUAGAGGUCUUAAAAGUAGCCAAAAGUAAAAGUCACCCCUCCAAUCAAUCAACUAGUCAUUUUAAUCCCUAAUUAGUCGAGAUCAAUUAUAUGAAUCUGAUAUCAAUUAUAGUAGGGGGUGAAUAUCUCUUUUCUUCCAAAUUCAUAACUUUUAGAUAAUCGCACAAUACAACACAAAUUCAAUUAUAUACACACACAAUCAUCUAGGAUUUAAAAUUUAUUCCGUGGCAACAAGGCCACAAUAUUAUUCCCAAUCUUUGUGAACACGGAUUGGAUUAUCCACUACAAAACAAAUUGAAAUCUAUCGUUAAGUAACUCAUAAUUAAAUAGUAUUUUUAUGAGAUUAUGUUAAAUAUAUUGUUGUUGUUUGGCUUACGACAAUUCUCUUUCUGUAUUCAGAUUUAAAAUCAAGAUCCUUUUAAUCGAUUGAGUACAUUGAAUUGAAAUUUAAUUAAAAAGUAGUUAGCACAAAGUUGCUAGUGGUGUGAUGCCAAUAGGAACAAAUGGAAGAACCAAUUUGUUCUAUAUUGGCCCCUUUGGUUUCGAAUUAAUUAACUAUUUUAGUGUAGAGUAGAGAGAAGGGUGAAUAAUAGUUGAAAUUAUUGAAUUUAAUAGGACCCCCACUAAUAUUGCGAGACUUUAGUGUUGGAAUGUUGUGACCAAGUUGCUAAGUAUAUUUUAUUAAGAUUAAAUUAAUUAAUUAACCUUGUUGACACGUGAACUCAUGUGAAGAGGGGACCUUUAUGUUUGUAAAUCUUUUUGUUAAAAUAAAAAAAACUUGGGAUAUAAUAUUUUGAGUGUUAGUAGCACUCCAUUUUGAAUAAUUAUGGAUAUGUUCAUAAGUAUUUAUUGACCAUAUAUGUUUAAUUUAGGCAUAUGAUUGUAUUUAGUAUGAAGAUUGGAACACAAAACUAUAACCAAAUAUCUAGUUAAUGGUGAAAUAGAAACAUGACUUUGGUUUAUUAAGUUGAAGUUAGGUCUAAUAGCCUUGUGUGAUUUCCGUGAAGAAUCGAUAGAUUUUUAGGUUAGUAAUGUGGGAGUUCGGACCCUAAAGGGUAUAAAAUAUUAAUAAAAAUUUUAAAACGGUGUAUAAAAUUUUAUAUUAAUCAAAACGGCGAAAUCGCUGAAACAACAUAAAAUUUUAUAUACUAUUUUGAAAUUUUUGUUAAUAUUUUAUACACUUUGGGCUUCGAAAUAGAGAGGAAGAAAGAUGAUGGUUUUAUUGUGUACAACAUACAAGUUCACGUCAGUGAUGGUAUCACAAAUUUAUGAUGUGAAUAUUAUUGAUAUAAAUGCAUUUUAUUAUUAAAAUACUCUUUUCGUUCGGAAUUGUUUGUUAUGUUACGCUUAUUGAAAGUCAAUUUGAUUAAUUUUCAAAGGUAAAUUAAAUCACAUUAAUUUGAUAUUUUAAACAAAAAAUUAGAUAUUCUAAAACUACAUAAAAAGUACUAUAAAUUACAAUCUUUUGCAUAUUAAUAUGAAAAAAUACAUCUUAAAAUGUUAGUCAACGUUUUUAUAGUUUGACUCUAAAAAUAGAAAUUAUAACAAAUAAUUCUGAACGAAAAGAUAAUAUGAAAAAUGCAUAUGUUAGUUGAUUUAAAUUGUGUUGGAAGAUAAGUACUGAUUCUUGUAACUUUCAUGGUCAUUAACUUUUUGUAAUUCAUAUGAGUUAUGACCACUAGUUUUUCUUUAUAACUUACACAAUAUUUAUCACAUUUAUCUAUCCAUAUUACUAGUCUUUUACUUAUAGAUUAUAAAAAAAACUUUUUCACAUGUAAAAAAAUCAUAUUUAUACCUUUAUAAAAAAAAACAGAUUCAUCUGUUGAACCACAUUAUAGUUAAUAAUAAAGCAACAAUAUUGGGCAUGAGUGUGGAUGGGACAAGAUGGCACCAAUAGAUAAAUAGUUGAAGCAAAUUAAAUAUUACAUACAACAACUUUUUUGGUAGGAACCCUUUUACAACUCAUAAUGUGCAAUAAUUAUUACCACAUGUGCACAUGAUACGCAAACUCAUUUUUAUGACAAUUUAAAUUUACAGUUUUUUUUGGUCAAGUGUUCGAUGUUUGAUUCAGAAUUCUCAAAUUGGUAAUAAAUAAUUAAAAAUAGAUAUUAAAUAUUAAAUUUUUAAAUAUUGCUUUGGUAAAUCGAUAAUUUAUAAAUUAAAUUUUGAUUGAAUAUGAUAUUUUGUAAUAUCAUAUCGAAGUUGUAGUUGAUUGUUAUUACAAAGUUAAUAUUAUUUUUCUAAUUAUUUUUAUUUUUGUAUUUGGAGGCACGAUAUUAUAGAAUAUUAAUAAGUAAAAAGACAUUAAAAAAACAAAUAGAUACAACUAAAAGACAUAUGUGUUUGAGUUGUUUAUGUUUAUUCUUUAACUUUCUCGUUAGACUUAUUAUACUAAUGAGCAAUGAACAUAUUAAUAUAUUGACCUUCAUUAAGUAAAUAAUCAAUAUUCAAAAAAUAUCAAAUACCAAAUUAUACUAAUAUUUUAUACUAAACCUAAAGCCAAGUACCAUAAAAUUAUCUUAUUGCAAUGAAGUAUUUUUUUUUUACAAUCAUCAAGUGGUGUCAUAUUUUAGGGUUUGGACUGUACAUUGCUUAUUUUAUAUAUAUAUAUAUCUUGGUAAUUUAUGUACAAAAUUAUAUAAAUUUAUUUUAUUUCAAGUCUUUGAUAUUUCUAAUUGUCUUUCGAAUUUACAUGUGUUAACCUAUGAAUACUUAAAAUGAUAGUUCCUCUUAAUCACCAUCUCCUAUUUAUACUAUCACUUAUAUGUUCAUUGCUAUACAUCCUUAAUUCAAAAAGUAUAUGUUGAUAUACUAUCGUUUCUAUGUUCAUCGCUAUACACUCAUGAAGAUAUAAUAUAUAUGUUGUACAACAAAUUUAAAAUUUUAAUGUUAUGAGUUUUAAUAUCAAAUUCUAUCAUAUCUAUUUGAUUGUUACAUUCGAAAUCUAUAAUAUAUUUAUUUGAUGAUUUUAAAAAAGAAUAUAUAUAUAAAAUUUGAAUCAAAAAAUUAUCGGAGAUGAACGAACCCUAUUAUACUAGCUAGGAGUUCCCUUAUGUUGUACCAUUUGACUAUAGAUAAUUUUCAUUUUAUCCUUCAAAAGUUUAUUCUCGAAAAUAGUUUGGACAUAGAAUUGUUGAAAUUUUUUAACAUUCAACGGAAAUUUUAUGACAGUUAAAAAACUUCAAAAAUCUAUUUCCAUAAUUUUUACUCUAAAGUCUAAAUCAUUCACAACUCUAAUUUUCAAAUAGUAUCAUUUUUAGUACAAAUCUCAUAUUUUUUAUAUGUCUAAACGUCCGCUAAGUGAAUAAAAAUUUUAUCAACAACUUUGUUGAAAAAAAAAUAGUAGCAUGUAAAUCUAGCUUGGUUAUCACAAUUUGUCAUCAGUAUUGCAUUUCUCUUUUUUAUUUAGGCGAAAAUAAGAUUAAAAUUUGGAAGGUUUUAAGUUUCCUUUUAAAGAAAGAGACAAAGUUUGGAAUUAUUUAUUAAUUUUUUAAUAUAAUAUAAAAUAUUUAAAAAAAUUAUUAAAUUUAUUUGAAUUCACGAACUUCACCAAGUUUUUGUCAGUCAGUGAUUCCAGUUAUAGUGUUCCUUGCAAGUGGGAUUCAAAAAGAACAAAUUGUCAACUCUGUCAUUUAGUAUUAUUUGUUGGGAAUAUAUAUAUAUAUAUAUAUAAGUAAUAAUUGAACAAUUUUUGAUUAGCUAUGUCAUAUCAUUGAAUGUAAGUGCAUGUAUUUACCCAAAACAUGUACACAGAAGCAACCAAGAAAUAUCUCUUAUACAAGAAGCUCUAUGUAACACGUCGAUUCUUACGAAUUCAGUAGCUCAUGUAUAAUAUAAAAUUUGUAAAAGAAAAGAAAAUUGAACUUUGUAAUUUAAAAUAAAUAUUGAUAUUUGUGUGAUUAUUUCAUUAAAGAUAAAAUAGAUAUUUAUAAAAUUAAUUUAAUAUAAAAAUGUAUCAUUUUGAGACUAACUAAAACGAAAAAUGAGUCAUAUAAAUUGAGACAAAGAGAGUACUAUUCUCUAUGUUUCAAUUCAUAUCAUACAAUUUAAAGUUUGAGAGACAAUUUUCUUAAAAUAAUUUUGACUGUAGAAUCAGAUAUGAAACUUAUAAGCAUUUGAAAACAACAUUUACAUAUUAGGUAUUAUUUAAAAUGUUUUAUAAGUUAUAAUAAUCGAUAAUUUAAAAUAUUUAAAACGCAUAUGGGAAGAUUCAUAUGGUUAAGGAAAACCUUAUUGACUCACAAAAUUGACGAAUAGAGUAUAAAUGAAUAUUUGAUUUAUUAUUAUAUAAUAUCUUAAAAUCGUUACAAGAAUCAAUAAAUUUUAAAUUGUGAUUUGUUGCUAGUUUUUUCUAUUUGAGUAAGGAAGCAAUCUUUGCUUAUUUUAUGUUUUAAAACACUCCCUUCCAAACAGUAACCAAUAAACUACUAAAAAUUUUAUAUUAUAAGUUAAAUAAAAACAAAACAAAACAAAAAAACAUGCAUGCAUAGCAAGAGCAUUUCCAAGAGAAUAUUUGAGUCAUAUCCAUUGCUAUAAUAUAAAUUAAUUGUUAUGAUGUAUCAAUUUUGAUCAAAUGCAUAUCUUAAUAGUAACAAUAAAAAAGGAUUAAUUUAUUAGUUUAAGUACAUUAGAUUUAACUUUAACACUCCUAGAUUUUGCUCACAAUAGAUUUCUUUAGUUCUAGUUUAUAUUUUCUUUAAAAUCAGAAAGAAAAUUAACAAAGUUUAGUACUUAUCCACAACAUCAACUGAGUAAACAAACUAAUAAAAAAACCCAUUAAUUUUUAUUAAGUAUAACAUGGAUUGGUCUUUCUUUAGUGCUUUGACAACUAUAAUGAUGAAGAUAAAAGAAAUAUAAGUGCAAGAGGGAAUAUUGAAUAUUUAAUUUUAAAAAAUAAGAACAUGAACAUUCAUUGUUUCAAGUCACAAAAUUUGAAGCACAACUGAGAAAAAGAAGACACAUACUCCUAUAAAUCUUCUAUAGUAAUUAAAUAAAUUAAACACUUUUUUUUAACACUAACUAAAAGAUAAAAGAUAGAGUAAAUUAUUGGAGAAAAAGGAAAUAAACCAUAUUUUAUUUCAACCAUAAUGGAAGCUACAAGAGAAAAUGUUUAUUUUACUUAGAAAAAGUAAUAUAGUUUUUCUCCUUCCUAUAACUAUAUAUACUUCUUCCAAAAAACAUUUUCCUACAAAACACAAACAUUAUAAACUUCUAUGUAUAAAAUCAAACAUUGGUAGAAAUUUACCUUAGUACAUAUAUGAUCUCUUUUAUUCUUCAAAUUUCACCUCUUUUUUUUCAAUCUCAAUAAGGUGGUCUAGGAUUUGUCCAAGCAUAUGCAUCAUGAUUCAAUUGUCCACCAUUUGGUAAUAUAUUUGGUGUAAAAUUAUAAAUAGGUAAUGAUGAUGGAUCAUGCAAUUCAUGUUGUUGAUGUUGUUGUGGCCUUCCAUCAUUUGAACCUAAGGUCGGAGGCGAAUUUCCAGUCAGUACUUGUGAUUGGCUGGGGUUGUCGCCUCCAACCUCUUCCUCUUCUUCUAGUGGCAACCUUUCAUAAGUUGCAUUAGAAAAAGUGGCAGCUAUAAUCAUUACUGGGCCCGCAGCAAUUAAUGGCCCAACAACACUACCACCAACCACUUGUCCUUGGCCUCCGGCCAAGUAAACAGUUAGCCCGGUCGAGCCAGGAGGGGCUGGACCGGGUAAAAAUGCUCCGGUCAAUGAUAAAAUCUCAAAUCUUCCUUGCAAAACAACAGCACCUGGAGAUGAUGGUUGUCUUAGGGUUACAUUAGCUACCGAGCCAUUCCCACUAAGUACACAAACGCCACGUUGGCGCCUCCUCGCGAAUUGUGCAAUACAAUCCGCGACAUCUGUCCCUCCUGCCACCUCCAUGAUGUGGCUACGGAGGGCAUUAGGGCUAUCCCGGGUCACAAAAAUUGGGGGUUUGGGCUUGUUCUUGGAUCCUGGUGGUCGACCUCUAGGUCUUCUAUUACCAACCUCAACCGCGCCUUCUUUAGGCUCAUGAUCACCAUUGUCUCUAUCAUUAUCUUCUUGAUUUUCACCACUACUCCCACUCUCAUUCACCGAAAGCUGCUUCGUCAGAAGCAUAGGUGGGCAAGAUCCUGGCUCAAGCCCGGACAUGCCCACCUGACCACCCCACCAAUUAGCCAUAAUUCCAAAAUUCACCAAGAAAAAAUUAGCUCAAAUUCAAGAUUUUUACUUAUUUCCUUAUUUUUGAACCUAAAAAAGUUGGACCUAUCUUGAAGAUAUAUAUAAAAACCCCUUUUUUUAAAUCUAUACUUGUUGUGAAGAUAAAAUUAGGGUUAUAUAAGGAAUAAAUUUCCUUUAAAGGAGAAUUAGAUGCACAAGAAGUUCAUGGAAUCAAGUAAAGAGAAAAACAAAGAUGAUAUGAUAGCUAGAAUUAGCAAAAUAUAUUUUUAUUUUUUAUAAAAAAUAAAGAACAAAAAAAGAAGAAAAAGAUGUAAAAAAAAGGUGAAGAUCUAAAUUAAGAAACAAAUGCAAAUUAUAGAAAAACAGAAACUCUGGACAGAAUCAAACCCAAAGGGAGAAAAAAAAAGAGAAUAAAGCACACAUAGAGAUUGAAAAAACUAAUAACAAAGUUUAUAUUACAUAGUAUAUUUUAUAUCAUAUGUCUUUUAUUAUAUUUUGGUUUUAGAAAAAAAAAAUACUAUUACAAAAAGUCUAAAGGAGAGAAUUAUGAGAAGGGGGUAAGUAAGAAAUGAUUUUAGAGAGUUGAUGGAUAAUUUUUCUUUAUAGAAGUUUCUUAUCAAGUAGUGGUGUUUUUUUAAAAUAAAAAAUAAAAAAUUAUUUUUUUAAAAAAAUGUGUAUUUAUUUGUAAAUAUAUAUAAAUUAGGGUUUCUUGAAGUCUCUGUCCAUAGAGUCCAAAUUUGUGGGGUCGUGUGCGCGUGGGCAGGUGGCAUUGUGGGAAGCACGUCGCUAUCUCUUGCCCCAACGUAUUCACACUCGGUAAAAAUUUAUCCGCAUCAAAUCAUAAUAUUAUUUAUCGUGAUAAUAUACCGUGAAAUUUCAUGAAUGAAUUUAGUAAGAAUAAAGUAUAUGCAAAUCUUAACAUUAUUUUGUUAAGAUUUUUUUUAGUCGCACCAUGAUUGAGUUUAUGCUAAACUAAUAGAUUUGUAAAAUGUAUAUAUAUAUAUAUAUAUAUAUAUAUAUAUAUAUAUAUAUAUAUAUAUAUAUAUAUAUAUAUAUAUAUCAUCCGGUUAUAAAUGAUGAUCAUAUGUUAUUUAUUUUAUUAAAUCAUUUAGUCAUGAUAGAUUAACAUGAUUUGGUAAAAACAUCAAUGCAUACUAUUAAAAAAUUAGUUUUUUUCAGGUGAAUAAAUGAGAUAUCUGUGCUAUAAAAUAUAAUUUUUCUAUCUAUUUCAUACAAAUUAAGUCACUGAAAAAUUUGAAAAUAGAUUCUACAAGAAAAUAUUGAGAAUAUGCAUUGAACAUUUUUUUUCAAAUGAAAAUACUUAUGUUUCUUUUUUACUUCAUAAUUAAGCUUCAUUAUAUAACUGAUAGUUUAUAAAUAAAUUUCAAUAUUAUAAAUGUUACAGAGAGAGUUACCUAUAGAUAUCAUUAAGAUGACCUAAAAUCUACUACAAAUUAAAAGUUCACAUAAUUUUGUAUGUAAGUUUAAAAAUUUUAACCUAUAUUUACUGAUAAUAUAAAAAUAUUUAUAGUAUUUGUGUGUUUAAUCUAUUAUGAUAAGUAACCUGUUUUAUUUUUAAGUAUUAAUUAAUUUCACUUAUUCUAUUAUGAAUAGUUACUCUUAAUUAUUUUCUAAUGACAACUAUGUAAGGUUUUAGUUAACGAAUUUGUCUUUAGCCUAUUAAAUUAUUGAUAUGUAAUCAUUGAUGUUAUAAAUAAUAAUGAGUUCUUUUAAUUAUUAAUUGAACAAAUAGUAUAAUUUUUUUGGGUAGCUAGGUAGUAUAAAAUAAUGUAUGGUUGAAUAUAUUUUUAAAAAAGGCAAAAUGCUCACAUCAACAUAAUAUAAAAUGGUACUAUUAUAAAAAUUAUAAAAACAUAUAUAUGUACUAAAUUGAGUUGUGAAAUUUAAUUGGUGAACUUUGCCAUAAUGGAUAAUAUUUUUUUUUAUAUUUAUUGGACAAAUUAAUUAAAAUAGCACGAGUGAAAAAUCUACAUAAAAUAAACCUAGUUGUUUUUCUUUAAGUUGUUAGAUUUUCAAUAUAAAUAGUGUUCCAUUAAUUUGGGACCUCCCAUGUGGCAUUUGUUACUAUGUUCAAAUCAUAUAUUUAGUGUGUAUAUUAGCCACAUAAUAUAAGUAUUUACAUGUCUAGUGAAACAACAAUUAAUGUUUGGUCAAAUAAUGAAAAUAAAUUGAUCAUUAUUUUCCUUUAUCGGAUUUUGAUAAAUAUCUUACUCUCUUCGUGAUCCUGUCUCAUUUUAUAUGUCAUAUUUUUUACUUUGUAUUUGCUUUAAAAAAUAAUGUAAUCUUACUCUUUCUUGUUUAAAUUUUUUGGAGUUCAAGUUUUCAAUCAAUGAUAUGAAUUAAUUUAUUCUGAUCACUUAAUUUAACCAAUAAACAUGAAUCAUUUACUUAGCUUUUCUAAAUUAGCCAAAUAUAAAUUUUUUAAACUAAUAACUUACUAGGGUAAAAAUGAACAACAUGAUAAUAUAUGCGUCAAUUUUAUAAAAUGACAAAUAUUAUAGAAUAAUUAUUUAUAUAAAAAGAUAACGCAUAAAAUGGGACUGACAGAAUCUUGGUUAACAAAUAAGUAACAUAAAAAGGCAUCAAUCUUGACUUUGACUUUAAUUAAGUUUUUCCAAUGUGGCAUUAAUUAUCCACACGUUUACUAGCCUUCAAAAUUGCCAGCAGAUUUGUGAAAUUAAUGCCAAUAUCCAUGUAGGUAAAUAAAAAUUAGUUUGAAAAUAUUUAUUAUAUAUAAAAGUAUUUAAUAUUGAAGUAAACAUUAUACAUACAAGUGAGAUUGUAAGUAUUAAACAUACUGUUUAUAAAUGUAUAUUACGACAUGAUACAUUGCACAUCAGAAUAAAUGUAUAUUACGACAUAUAAAGAGCUAUAGUUAUUAAUCUUUAAGAAAAUUUCUAAAAUAAAUUGAUUAUAUUUGAUAUAAAUAUCAUAUCUACACUAAUAUAUCAUAUCGAUAUAGAUAUUAUACCAAUUUUAAAGAAUCGGCGCAGUAUAAAUGUGUUAAAAACAACAAAGAUUCUCCUCGUGUUAUAUGCACCAAAUUGUUUUGUCUGAUUGAUGAUUUUUUAACAUAAAAAACACGUUUCUCAUUAUAUGUGGGAAAAAAAACAUUGUGGUGUCAAAUUGAUAGUGUCAAAUGCACAUGAAAGAAUUAAAACGUGGCAUUUUAUUAAUAGCUCAAUGUUUCACCAAUUUAUUUAUUUGUUACUUUUUUAAUUUCAAAUAUGAAAUAUUAUAAAUGGAAAAUUUGAAUAAUAAAUGAUAAAAUAAAUAUCAAUCUUACCUCAAUAAAACGUAAGAUAAGACAAGAUAAAAUAAUAUUGUUUUUAAAAAGUUUUAUGUUAUACUCGUUUGUUUUGAGUAAGUUCAUUGCUUAUUUGGUUACUCGAUUAUAAUAAUUAUAUAAUAAAAUUUCUUAUUAUUAUUUUGACGGGGAAAUUGUAUUCUUCGAAGUUUGAGUUAUUUAUCUCUACCCACCCCCCACAAAGAAAGUUAAAAAAAAAUAAAUUGAAGUGUAAAUCUCAAUGUGAAUCAAUCAAGCAAAAUAAUAUGAUAGGUUGUGGAGUAGACUAUAGUAGUGAGAAACGAACUUAGUUGUAAAAAUUAAUCCCAAACUUAUUAGAAAAUUGAAUAGGUAAAACCUACAGAGUAAAAGCACUUUUAACGUUUAAUUUUCAAAGUUUAAGAUGACAAGAUUAACAUAGUUGAAUGUCGUGGAAAAACAUCUCAACCUAACAUUUGUCACUUUGCCAAAAAUUUACAUUUGAAAAUGAUUUAUAUAUAAAAAUAUUAAAAGGAGUAUAUUUAAAUCUGAAUGCAUAUCUAAAUACUUAAAAUGUUGAUUUUAUAUCUGAAUUCUAAAUGAUAUGUUUUUUAAUAUAAAAAUAAAAAUUAGCAGUGAUUUUGCUUAAAGUCGUCAAAAUAAAUCACCACGUCAGUAGCGAUUUUACCGUUUUGAUUAGAAAGUGUUCUAAUAUUACCCUUUUAAAAUUUUUGUCAACUUUUUUUGCCCUUUAGGCUCCGAACUCGAUGGUUUGUAGUGGUGGAUUGAUAGUUGGUGCUACUGGCUAGUAAUACUGAUGAUGAUUUGUGAUGGUGGAGGUGGUUAGUGUUGUAAUGAUCAUGAUUGACGCAAAAAUGGUGAUUGUGAUGGUAAUUACGAUUGACUGCAAUAGUGGUAAUGAUUGAUAGUGAUGAUAAAUAUUACGUGACGAGUUAAUCACUAGAGUAUUAUUCUUAUCCAUCCUACCGAAUGAGCCUUUUUAGUUUUGUGGCUUGUUGAGUAAGGUAUCAUAAAUUAUAAGUCAAUUCGAAUAGUGAAUAAUUCAAUUUCGUGACGAUUAAUAACCAAACCAAAUGAAAGCUACUUUUAGAGGAAAUUUUCAAAGCACGAGAGAAGAUUAGUUUUAGGUCAAAUAUUCAAAAUCAUAUUGUAACUAAACAAAUAUUAUUAAUUGUUCAAUGAAGCCGGCACAAAGACAUUGGUAAAAAUAUUACCUGACUUUCAACAUUUUUCAGUUAAAAAAACAGUAGUUGUCAUCAGCAUAACAUUGAAAUAUAUGCUUAAUAUACACGUCUAUGAACCAAAAAAAAAAACAAUUCUUUUGUCAAGUUUAUACCACAUUGCUUUCUGUAUGAUUUUUCAAACAUAUGACUAAAGAUCUCUUCCGUUUCAAUGAUUUGACACAACAUGAAAUAUAAUAUUUACGAUGCCAGCUUUUACCGAUGAGAAUGGCGAAAGUGUGUUGUGGCCAACUAAUUUGGAUGAACAAUCUUAGUGAUCCUGACCCUCAAACCAUACAUGAAAUACAUGAGAAACCUGCAAGAAAAAAAAAACAAAUGGAGAUUAAGGACACUUCUGUGUUUCAUCUCGUCUCUUCGGUGUACUAAUUUAUGUUUCCAGGAAACAAUAAAAUGAUUCUUUAGUUCUCAAGAUGACGUAAACAUACAAAGCUAACAGGCCAGUCCGUAGAAAUAACAACUACUACUACUCUACUACACCUCAAUCCCAAAACUAGUUGAGAUCAGCUAUAUGAAUCCUUAGAAUCCAUGUCGCUUCAUUUAAACAAGUCUCAAGAUAUUUUCUUUUUGAAGUUUGCAUGAAUUUCAAUAGAUUGCAAGUCUUUCAAUAUGACUGACUUCCGUGUAACUUUUAGGUUUCCUUACUGCUUAAACAAAUUCAUUAACUAUAUUUCCAUACAUAUGACAAUGUAGGACUGACCGACCAAUCUCAAGGGGCCUUCUUUCAUCUUACUUUGUACGCUUGCUACUUGCACCUUUUGCUGAAUGUGAUCGUGUAUAAUCUUAUUUUACCACACAUACAUCUUAACAUACCCAUUUUCCAACACUCAUCUUGUGGAUGUGGUUGACAUCAUGAGCUCAACAUUAGCUCAUUUAUAGUAUUGUUAGUCCUACAACUGUUUUAUACAACUGAGGUUUCACUUUGAUAGGUUUCAUCUUAUCAAUAACACUCCAAUGAUACUUCUUGCAGCUAUCUUAUUUAAUUCUAUGUAGAAUCUUCAUCUAUUGUAUCGAUAUCCUGGAUGGUAUUUUUUAUAAGUAGAGAUAAAACACCUGACUGUAGAUAUUCGGCAUCAUAUUCCUGGUCUAAUCUCAUCUUAACUUCACAUUUCUGAUACUAGCUAAACCUGCAGUAUAUAUAUUCAUCUUACCUGCUGUAUAUAUAUCUAUCUUACUCCAACGUAUCCUAAAAUCAAUUUUCUUCAAAGUCUUUUUCCAUAACCAAAGUUUUUUACAAACAUUACCUCGUUAGUUUAUCAAUUCAUACAAUCUGGUCAGCAUAUCAUUCAUGCAUCAUGGAUGAAAAAUGGUUACACCCAGCUCUAAUACAUUGAUUUAAAUAGGUCUAAUUUCUAGCACAGGCUCGUAGAUAGCCAUCAAUUGCCUCAAUGAUAUCAUCAUGUCAGUAACUUCAUUUGGUUUGUUUUAACCAAUAGUCUCACUCUCAUUAGCAAUUUUGCAACAAAAAGUUAGUACCAAAAGAGAAAAGGUAACAGUGCAAGUUUACGUACUUCUCACUGCAGGGAUAUAUAUAAAAGCAAGUUUUUGCAUUUACUGUCUCGUAUAAAAAAUGUGAACUGCAGAAUCCAAGUAGAGAUGCUUACCUAAAUAUGUAGUAUAUUAGGAAAAAGGAAAGUACGAAGUAUCCAACAAGUUUGCACACUUUCUGAUUCGAUUUCUUCUCAAACACCUAAGAAAGUAAAUGAACUGUUAGACUAGCAUCUGAUAAAAGGAAAUUACGGGAAAAGAUAGCAUAUCCUAUAAGUAUGUCAGACACAACCCAAAACACACGCGACAUAAUAACAAUAUAUAUCACGUGUGCUUACCAUCUUGAACCGAUCCAUAGUUCCUGACAUGAUUCCUCUAGAUGAAUCCAUCUCAUUCCCCUAAUGGAAAUAAUCCAAAAAAAAAGAAGUUAACAAAGUGUACAAAAGAAAUUCCAAAAAUAGCUGCAUUACCGAAAAAGUUAACUAGUAGUGUACAAAAGAAGAUUCACAAAAUUAGCUGGCUUACCAUUCGGUCUAGCAUCUUGUUGUGGGUCUCCACCUCCUCAUGUAUAUCACCUGUUAACUGCCCAAGUGCUAAUAUAUUAUCAAUGCUUUAAAGAACAUUUAAAAUUACAUAGCAGAUAUGCUAGAACUCCAAAACUAAUAUCAAAAAUGCUUAAGAAUAUUACACAUGAUAUGACAACAGAAAGAGCAGCUUUUAUUUAUAAAGCUCUGAGCAUCAUGUCAUAAAUUUUUAAUGCACAUAUACAACUUCAGUAGGCAAAAGUUUUACAAGUGUAGCUUUCUCAGUGAAAGUAGCACCAGAAAUUUGAGCAUGAAUGAUUAGCCUCCAGAGGGUCAAUAACACUGGGCACACAUUGUUUCUCCAACUUCCUGAUUUUCAGUGUCACUUGUAUUUUUGGUGCAAGGAGAAACUACCAUGUUGUAUUGAUAGUUGGUAAAACUUGGUGGAAGAUAGUGUAUUACCCAAGCAAAGUCACAAGCACAUUUUGUACUUAUUUUUCAUCACUUGGUGUUUAUAAUGAAACUUUUUGACUAGUCAAGAAAAUAACAGUAACAUAAGGCAAUGUGGUCCAUAAGAUAUCAAUGAAGUCUACUGCUGCCAUGGACACAAGCAUGAUGUUGCAAGUUCAAUGACACUGUUAGUGAAAUUGUCAUCAUAUUGCAGUAAUAUGUCAACCAUCUGGGACCAUCCUUUGCUGACAUCUCACAUAAGGAUUGAGUGACAGCCCUUGAAGAUGAACGGAAUUGUUUUCUUUAGUAAAAUAUUAUAAGUUUGUAAUUAAUAAAAAUUCUAGGCACGGCCACUUUGGUCAAGUAGGUUAAAGAUAAGAUACCAUGCAUAUAGACCAUAUUGCUCUUCAAAAGUUCUAGCUCUUCUUUUUCUUUUUUCCGCAGCAAUAAUGUUCACCUUGAAGAGCUGUAGUGAUAAAUAAUACAACUGUUACGCUGCAGGUCCAAUGACAUCUAACUCAACGAGUUGUAGUGAUAACUAAUGAUCCUAAAAGUCAUCGCUUCAUUGCUUAAAGCGAUGAAGCGAGGGUUAGUGCUUCAAGAGUCAAUUCACCAGUUCAUUGAAGUAUGUGUUUCAACACUGAUGUGAAUUAAGUGGAGCACUAAUUUGUGCAUUACUUAUAAAAGUAUUUAAAGACAAAAAUAUUCUAUAAGUAAGCAAUUGCUACAUAGUUUUCCUUGUAUUACUAUUCAUCGCAUAACAAUACCUACAUUAUUAUUUCUCGCAUAACAAUCUCUUCAUUAUUACGCCUCGUACAAUCAAUCCUUACAGUAUAAGAAAAAUUGUUUGCAUUAUUAAUUUACUAUCCACACAUAACUAGUAUGUGAACCAAACUCAAAAGUAUUAACGUUUCGUGCUUUUUGAAAAUUCUACUUAAUUUCAAAGGUAAUGAAGCUUGGGCAGAAACCACGGCUACUCAACGGAGUAUAUGAUCUAAAACAAAGAGAGGGAGUAAUAUAGAAAAUAGACGGAAAGAAGAUAAAUGAAAUAUUGCAGAACUUACUUUCUUUAAAAAGCUGACUCUGUCCUGUAAGCUAUCAACAGCUUUGUCAUUGUCUCGUUCAUCAAGAUCACGGGGAUAGGAAGAUGAAGCCCUUAUACCACCUUCCUCAAUACUAUCGUAGUUAUCAAAGAGAGAAGCUCUAUGGGCUCGAUGAUCCCUGUGGACCAAGAAGUUCAAAUGCAAUUACUAAGGCCAUGAAACAAGAAUAACAGAGACUUCUGGAUAUUAUGUGUUUGUAGUCAGUAAAGUAACUACAUCUAUUUCUUUGCUAUGUAUCUCAUUUUACAAGAGACACCCAGCAAAAAGAGCAUUCACUUGGCACACAAAAAAUGAGAUCAUGAUAACUGAAAUGCAAUUUUUUCAUGUCUUCUAUGUUCCAACCCCAGUCUAAGCUUCAUCAUACGUCAAAAUACACCCUCAAGAUAUCCAAAUUAUUUCUCAAAGUUAUGCAUUAUGAAAUCUAUCUCAAUGCAUUUAAGCUGGCAUCUUAAUCCAUCAUAUUGUCACAAUCAUGAAUUAUUUUUCCAGGUAUUUAGCCAACAUCUCAACAUUGGUAGGCUGGUCGUAAGCAUGUAUUACACUAUUGUAAAUUGAUUUCCUCCUUAAGACUAGACAAGUUCUUGUUUGAACACUCUUUGAAAGAAGUAACUCAGCUACUCUCAAGUAUGUUCACACCAAGCUGUUCGACUAACUUCCCUAGCAAUGAUUUAACAUGAGCCAAGAAAGAACAGGGGCAUCUGGCUGUCUUUUAAGAAGCAGCAAAUCCAAAUUACAACAACUAUGUCAAACUGCAAAAGGUCAGAAGAAUGUGCCACUAAAUAGAUAAUCCCUCCAUCCCAAGGUUCCUCCUUUCCUUCUUUGAUGUCUGAACAUUGUUCCUUUUUCCACAGAUAGAAAUUUUCAUUCCAAAACUACCCAUAACUUUAAGGUAAAGGGCAUGAUUCUUGAAAGCCUUUUAUAUAUAAGGGCAAUUGUGGACUCGACAUGUAAACUUCCACUUCUUAAUUUUGUGAAAGAUUUAUAAGUGCCACUACUUGUGAUAUAUGGAAGAUACUAUGAGCUGAGUGCAAAUUCCACGUAAAUCUUUGAAUUUAAGAAAGAAAUAUGAUAUGCCAUUCACACUGACACCUGGCAGAAGGCUUGUGUCUCAUAGUAACUGCAUCAGCAGAGACGCCAUAUUAUGACAUAUUUUUAUGGUCUCAGCAAAACUCAACUUUCUUUAGAUGAAACCAAUUAAUACCUUACCAUUGAUAUAACACGCAGGCAACAAAAUUUAUCCUUAAAGUCUCUCAGAUCUAAAUAAACACAUGUGUUUUGCUUAGCUAUCCAACGGAAAAUAGAGAAGACAGAAAUAUUCACUACUUCCAUGAUUUAUAGAACUGGUAAUCAAAGAGUCCUGUAAACGGAAGUUUACCACAGGAACUGAGAUCAAGUUUAAGUCACUCAGCAGACCCAACAGAUGAUCUGAUCCGGAAUACUUGUUUGACAACUAUUUUGGUAAUAGUGGUAUCAUUAAAGCUACAAACCUUAAGACGAAAGAAACCCCUUCUCUGAUAACAUUAUUCAAAAAUUCCUUUCAACACAGUAGAAAUACAGGAACUAACUGCUGUUUCAUUUCACAAAUGUUGAAAUACCAAUCCGGAGAACAAAUUUUAGCAUUUCUUGUUGAUUAGAAAAGCUACUCCAAAUUGCAGACAGAAAAAUGGCAUCCAAAAUCACGCUCUAGAGUUUAGAGCAUUGGUUCAAAAAACUUAUCAAAAUAGCAUAAACCUCAAAGUGGAGAGUUCAGCUCACUUAACGUAUUUAACUUGUACAGUGUUUGAAUCUAACAUUCAGAUAUAUUUUAACAACCCAACCAUCCUAUGUCAACUUUUAUAUUAAAAAAAUAAAACUCUCUGGUGAUUAUUGAUUCUAUUAAUAAUCUUGAUGAGUUAAGUGAAAACCUUCAUAUUAUCAUUUCACCAAGUCAAGCACAAAUAGAAAGGGAGCCAGAAAUGCACCAGCUAUUUCUUUAACCUGAAAUGGACCAUUAAACAUUCUAUUCUUUCUUCAAGUUUAGUGGUUAUGAUAUCAUUUGCGAUCUUUCGUGCAAACUAACUCGCCUUGGACAAGGGACUUCAAAUCUUCACGGCAUAGCCCCAACAAAUCGAACUGACCAAAUUAGUUUGUCAUAUUGAGAUUCUUUUUUCUUUUAAUGUCAAUUAACUUGAAUGGAGAGUUAGAACAUCACUAGAUUUGCUAAAUCAAUAUUCCCAAUAGCAUUUGAGAAUGCUAAUUUCACGAGAUAACCCAGCAUUUGCCUACACAAUUUUGAACUAACCAUAUCCUUGAAAGGGGAAAAGAAAGAAGAACAAAAACUACUCUUUCUAUCUCAUUUUAUAUGACAUAGGAACUCUUUGGGAAGUCUUAACAUUCUUUUUAAUCAGUAUUGUCCGCUUAAGCCCUGAAGCAAGGCAUAAAACAUGUUGAGCGGUUCACCUCGUCAUCAAGGCUCUAAGACCUACUUUUCCUUACCGAUGAGCAUAAAUCCGAAGAUGAGACACCAAACAAUUGAUAAUUUCACUUUUAUCUUAGUUUUCUUUUCUCCACUUAUGCCUUUCUUCAAUAAAGCUAACCUUAGUUAGGCCUUAAGCUCCAAAGUCUUUCACCAUAUUUUUUCUCAGACACAGUACACAAUAUACUAUAACUCAUCUACUUUUGUUUAAAGUUAAUUAAUUAGGACAUCAAUAUCACAUUCACCAAAAAUUAGAUGCCUUGACUCUAUUCAUCAUUCUUAUUUGGCAGGAAAUAUUAUAAACUACAAUUGCACAACAAUGCAAAAACAGUCCAAAUGGCGAAUGCUUAUAACAGAGAAUCGUAGAGACUGACUGACCUCCGAUAACUCAUUGCAGAAACCGCCGGUCACAGUUCUCGCCGGUGAUCCGAUUGAAACUAUGUAUACACACGACAAUGGAAGAUUCUAGAAGCCGGAAUUAGAAGUCUAUGCAGCAAAUUGCAGAUCUGGAAAUUUUCAGAGUAUAAAAUUGAUACUUUUUUUGAGUGAUAAAUACAAAUCGAAUUGGAAAUGUUGGGAAAAGCACUAAAAAUUGAGUUACAAUGACGAUAGAAGAAUAUUGGACGUGUCGGUGAAUUAAAAAAAUAUAUAUAUAUAUACUACUACAUGUUAUUGUAUAAUAUACAUUUGAUAUAAAAAAUCAAGUGAAAAAUUGAUAAAAAUUAUUACCUAACAUUCUAUUACUGAUGAUAAAAAAAAUUGUUGUUUGUAUACCCAACUUAAAUUUAUUCAAAUAUUUUAUUUUAUAUAACAGCUUAAUUUUUUUCCUCUCGAGUAAAUGAAAUGAGUUUUUUUAGAUUUCUUAUAUGUAAAAAUAUAAUUAAUUUUAUAGGUGUGUAUAAGGAUUAUACGGCUCUGCCAAGAGAAUAUGAGUUUUAAUAAGAGGUCUUAAAUUCAAUUCAUAUGCCAAAAGAGAUAAAAGCACAAGUAUCUCAUAGACUAUAAUCGAAAUUUCAGAGACACAUUUUAAUUAAAUUAAGAUCUUGUUACCUCCCUGCAUUUAUUCUUUUUGUAGGAUUGUGCACAUUUUAUGACUCCACGCAAUUGAAGCGUGUGGGAGAUGUAUGAAUGUUACGUAAGUAAAAAAGGUGCACAAAAUUACAAAAAAAAAUAUGAAUUAGGAGAUAAUAUGACCUUAGUUUAGUUAAAAUGCAUCUCUAAAAUUUCGAUCAUAAUCUAAAAGGAUACUUGUAUAUGCUUAGAAGACAAUAAAGAGAUGUCUGCUGUUUUUAAACACAAAACAUUGGUCCUUUUUGUACUUGAUUCAUAACCAGCUCUAGAAAUUUAGAAUUCGAAUUUAAAGACUUAAAAGUACCCAUAUAUCAGUGUUGCAAGAGCAAUUUGUAAUAACAUAAAAGUGAACCAUCGGCAUAAAGUCUGCAUACAUCUCACCCUCGCAGAGACCCUACUCGUGAGAUCACACUGAGUAUGUCUUCGUUGUAAAGUGCAAACAUCAUACAGAAAUUUUCUGUGACAUAGAGCACCAUGGCUAAUCUUGGAAGAAACAUAACACAUUGGAUGAAUCAACAACUUUCUUCACUUCCAGAAAUGAAUCCAUUCAGUACUACUAUGAAUUUUGGAUCUAAAAAUACUUCGUUGAGUAUCUCAAUAUAACGAUACAAAUGGAACAGUAAUAAUCCGUUGAGUAUCUGAAUCAAAUGGAUAACAAAAGAAGAGAAAACAUAUACAGCAUACACAGCAAUUAAUUGGGAAGUGCAUAAAUAUAUACUCUUGGAAGUCCUUGCUUUUCAAUAACUUGCAAUGAAAUAUCUAAAAUGAUCAAACACCAGAGAACCAGACAUCUUGAAUGUAUGGAUCUCUGCUGUUGACAUCGUGUCGAACUAUAUUCUAAACUAUCAUACAAAUGCAUCAAAUUCAAAAAAAAAAAAAUAUUACCACACUAGUGUUGUUCCAAUGCGAUCAAGAAUGAAAAGAACCUCCGAAUUGCAGUUGCCACUCCAUACAAUCUUCAAAAUCAAUGCUGCUGGCGCAGUCCAAUAAAGCAUUUUGCUGUUGUUCAAACCGGCAUAUGUAGUUUAAUCCAAUAAGCAGCUCGCAUAUUACUGCCUCUAUCUUCUGACAAUCCGCGAAAUACAAUGUCUGAAGAAGGAGAACAUUAGUUCUCUUAACAAUCUGUUGCUGCUCAAAGUUCCGUUCGCUCUGCCACCUGAUCAUAUUAUGUGCUAAAGGUGCAAGCCAUUUGAGUAUCUCUUCAAGCCUUUCUUUCCAAUCAUGCGCAAGAGGCGCAUCAUAUAUGGCUAAACCUUUCAUAUAAGAUCUCAGACUAGCCUUCAAUGUCUUUCUUAAGCUUGUCGGUAACAUCUGAUAUAGAUCAUCCCUCCCCUCAUCACCAACCAGAUGUGGAUACUGGAGCAGCUUUUCUACUACGAUAAUCACAUUCGCGUAAUGCAAGGCUAAAGCAGAGCCUCCGACUGUUGUAGGAGGAGCAUACAAAGUUAUCCUACUUUUGGGACCAUGUUUUGCAGCAUCAGACACACAACUCUUAAGCUGUCUGGUAUCUCCGCUAAAACGGAUACUACCAGGGGACCUCUUCAUACCACUGGAAACACUACAACAUCCAGAUAUCUGACUACUUCUGUCAUCAGUCCCAACAUCAUUGUCGAAAUCCAUUUUUGAAGCAGAACUCAAGCUAAGACAUUCCAUGAAUAGUCUCCCAGGUCCCAUUCCACAAGCAAAAUUAAAAUUCUCAGUACCAAAUAAGCUCCCUUCAUUUCUUCCACCCUUAGUUUGGGUACUAUGGUUCAUGCUCCUUUUCCCCGAAACCCCUCCCUCAAUUGACCCCGAUCGAUAGCUUCCAUUGUUGUUCCUCAAAACAGGUUUCUUGAAAUCAGCAUCCAUAACUUCAGACUUGCUAUCUGCUACAAUUGAACCAGACUUCUCAUUGAAUCCUCGAUUACCUAAAAGAUCCCUCUUUACGAGAACAUUAUUGCCAAACACCGUACUAAUCCGAGCAUAUACAGUACACACAGUCCUAGCCAACAGCUCAACAACUUUAUCAUAAGUCUGAUUCCAGAGUGAAACAUCUUCUAAAUGCCUCACAUCUUGUUUCUGCCAAGCCAGUUUCUGCUCAAAUGCCUUUCUACUUUCCUCAUGCUGAUUCUGCUGAAAUUUCUUUGUUGCAACUUCCAAUUCAUUCAAAACAGCCAUCUCACAAUACAAACUAGCAGUAGAAUUCACAUACCUCUCCAUUUUCCUAACCAUCCCAUCCAUAUCUUUAACCAAAAAUCCCAAAUCCUUCACAUCAAUAACCCCAGAAAUAACAUCACCAUAAACAUGCUGAAACCCUUGUAAGGCAGAAAUUGUACAUUUUUUGCCAAGCCUAGACACUACACUAGCAACCCUAUUCAAAUCAUCAAGUUUUUCAACAAGUACUAAUUCAAGAAGCUUAUCUUCAUCAUCAGAAACUAAAGCCUUUACUCCUACAGACUUAAAGAUCUCAUUUUUAAGCUUAAGAAUCUCAGAAUCAGUCAAAGAUUUAUGAAGAUGAAUAAUCUUAGACAUCAUAUUAGCAACUUCAAAUGACAAUAUCCCUAUAAACAACUUCUCUUGUUGAGUUUGUUUCUUCAUAGAUAAUCUCUUUGAAUUUUCAAUAAGUAAUGAAUGUUUCUUGACAUUUGUACUUACCUGACUACCCAUCCUCAAACACCAAGGCUCAGCCACCAUUUUCUUGAAAUGGGGUUUCAACAGAUCUAACAAAAGAGUGAAAUCAAGAAGAGAAAUGCAAGAAAACAAGAAAAUUGAAGUUGGGUUGAAGUGUUUAAGGGUAAAAGAUUGGAUUUUGAGAAUGGGUUCAUUGAUUUUUUGUGCUGAAAAAAGUGGGAACAAUGUAGAUGAGUUUCAAGAAACACGCAUGGUGUGAAUGGUGAGAAAAAAAUGCAAUUGAUUUUGAUGCACUAAAGAAGAAGAAGAAGAUGAAUGGAAAAUGUUGUUGAGUAGUUACAGAGAAGACUAAAGACUUGUCUCUGCGUGUGAGAAUUUGUAAUGAUUUUUUUUCUUUUGAAAAGGCAAUGGGAGUUUUGAAGAGGAAGAAGAAGCCAAACCUCAAAGCUCACUAACCCACCCCCACUCAAAACCAACCCCCUCAUAACCCCCUACCCCUAUCAACUGUACCAUCAUUCCAAACAAACAAAGAAGUUUAAUGUCCGGCUAAAUCUGAAAUCACGUUCGAAAGAGAUUCAAAUUCGAAGACUAUGGUUAAAGAUCAAAAUCGCGUUUCAAAGAGAUUCAAAUUUAAAAUCUAUGAUUAAAGAUCAUCUAAAUCUUUAUUGAUAGUUAAAUACAUAAAUUAAUUAUUUAAAAGGUAUAAUCUUCUUUAAUUACGAUGAUCUUCUCUUAAUUUAUAUAAUAAACACUCGAGAAUAUAAAUAAAAAAGUAAUUUGACAUGAUUUGAAUUAUUGCGAAAUUUAACGAAGAAAUAAAAAUUUUAUAUUUUAAAAUGUAUAAAAUUUAUAAUAAAGAAAGUUUAAAUCUAUUGAUUUACAAAUUUCUUAAAUACUUAUUUGACUAUAAAAUAUAAAGUUCAUUUAUUUUUAAAUUUAAUAUUAUAUCUCUUGUUUAAAUGAAUCUUUUAAAACAAAAGUAAUAUAAUAUAAUCUUAUAAUACUAAAAAAGAGUUAUUAAAAUAAUAAAUAUUUAUCGCUUUGUUGAGAAAGGGGUAAAAAGCGUAAAUCCAAUAAUGUACUUCUAGUAUCUAUUGGUUUUCAUCUUAAGAAUAUACCAUUAAACUUAAACUUUUAUUGUAAAUUAAUUAUUAUUUUUUUCAAAUAUGAAAAAAAGUGUAUAAUAAACUUAAAUAGAAUAGAAACAAAGGUAAUCAAAUAUGAUUCUUUUUUUUUCUUUUUUGGUCGAAUCAAAUAUGAUUUUUUUUUCUUUUUUUGGCCGAAUCAAAUAUGAUUCAUAUGUUACCUUUGUAAGAAAUAUAAUUUAAUUUUUUUUCUUUUUCCUUUUAUGUGUGUAAAAUUUUUGACCAAAUUCAAUUCCUUAGCCUUAUCGUUCUUCAAAUUUUUUUACUACCAUAGUACUAUUUAGAAAAAAAUUAAUAAUAAUAUACCAUAAUUUUGAAACUGCCUUAGCUGUACACAUUAAUAGACGCAUGGAAAAAUUUAAUAUAGUGUUAUAAAAGUGGUUUUUCAUAUUUUCCAAAUAUAUGGGGAUAAGAAAGUUAAAAAAUACUCUCGCUGUUUUAUAUUAGCUUUUCACAUUACUUAAAAUAAUCUUUUCAGAUUAUUUGUUAAUAUAUAAAAUCAAGAUAUAAUUAAUUAUUUUAUUUUUAUAGUUAAUUAUUUAUGAAAGAUUAAAUAAAUUAGUAAAGUUUCUUGAGAAAAAAAUAAUAGUAAAAUUGUAAUUUUUAUUUAUGAUUUUAUAGUGUAUGUGUAAAAAAUAAAAUAAACAACAAAUAUAAGACGAAGAAAGCGUCGAAAAGAUAACUAUAGAUAGACAGUCUACUAUAAUGUUUUUAUUAUUUUUUUUUCCAAUGACAGUCGAACAAAAUUAGAUACAAAAGUAUGAUUAUUAUUUGCAGAUUUCAUAAUUUUUCCUUUAUCUUACUCUAUAAUACUGUUUUAUAUUUAGUUAGCAAAAAUUAGUGGAAAAAAUAUAAUUGUGCUCCAAAUUUGAGUGGUGAUUAUGAGGAAUGGAAAUUGUUGUUCUUUAUUUAUGGUCAAUUUAUUGUGAAUUACAUACCAGUAUCAAACAUUACUAUAAUUAUAUAGAUACAGCUAUAAAGAAUCUAGGGAGGAAAAAUAAGUACUUUUUAUUGAAGUUUAAUGCUCGUUCGAUAUUUUAUAUUCGUAUUGAAAUUCGAUUAAUUUAAAUUUAUAUUGCAUAGAAUUUUGAUAUUUUAUAUUUGUAUUGAGACUCGAUUAAUUUAAAUUUAUAUUGUAUAGAGCCUCAUUUCGAAGGAUAACAUUUCUUACUAAAUAUUCUUUUAUAUUAAAAAAAAAUGAUCUCAUCCAACAAAACUACAUUCUUUAAUGAUAUUUAGUUUAAAGAAAUAAUGUAAAAAAAGUGGGUAAAUAUUAAAUUGUAGUUAGGUUCGAUUUGCUUUAAAGGAAUACGUUUUAUUUUAAUUCAGUACUUCACACAGCUAACAGGAGUACAAGCUCUACACCAAAAACAUCGAAAUUAAUUAAUAUGUAUAAUUUAAUGGUCAUUAAAUAUUUAUUUUUAGAGACAAGUAAUUUUCUUUAUAAAUGUUCCUACAAUUUAUGGUGAUAUCUGAUCUAAUGAUAACGUUGGUAAAAAAUUUUUAUCAAUCUUUGUUAAUAUUUAUAUUUAUUAACAAAAAAUAUAUUUAUUAAAUGAAUAUAUAUAAUAAAAAAUAUAAUAUAUUUUAAGCGAUUAACUUAAAAAUAGUUAAAAAGAAGAGCGUGACAGUUUAAUUUCAUGUAUAAUUUUGCAAAGUCAAAGUAGGCACAAAUUUGAAGAAAGGAACAAAAUGUAAGUAAAAGUGUUGUAAAAAUCACAAUCAUUAUUUUAGAAAGUCAAAUAGGCACACUGCAUCACAAACCAAAGCCUGCUAUUUUUGCAGUGGCAAAUUAAAACAACUUUUAGAUAUUAACCCAAGAGGAUUUUUCAAGAAUUGUAAGUAUUCAAAAUUUAUAUAUCAAAUUAAUUUAUAAUAUGUGCCUGUAUGUAUUGAUUAUUAAUCAAAACUUUAAUCGUAAUUUAUAAAGUAUAAUUAUUAAGGUUAAAAUUUAAAUUGCUCUAAAUAUUGAUUGUGUUACGUUAUGUAUUUUGUCUUUUUUUUUUUUAAAUCCUUAGAGACAACUCAUAUACGAUUCAAAAAUCAAGUCUUGAGCAAAGUUUUGAUGUACACUUAUGGAGUAGGGAGGUGGGGGGAUCUAUCUCAAAAUAGACUAUUCUUUUUUUAAGGUCAAAUUGGUGCCCUAAUCGCAUAAUUAAAGACUCGAUAUAAAUUUCAUCUGUCAAAUCUUUAAAAAUCACUAAUGAUGAAUAGGGGCGAGCAUAAUAUGAAGUCGAAUAAGAUACAAACUAGCAGAAUAUAAAAAAGUAAGCAUACAAAGAAGUCAAGAAGAUUUAACAUCAUCUACAAUAUAUAAUAAAAUAAAAUUUAAUCUUAUAUAUAGUUAAUUUUUGUUCGUUCCAAAUGAACCUUUCGAUACUCUAGCUUCGCCCAUGGAGCUUGACGUGGUCAUUUCAAGUCUCUAGAGUAAAAUAUAAGUUGAGGCAAGAAAGAUCAAAUAUAGCCCUCUUUAGGAAGUAAAAAAAAGUGAAGACAUUGAAUAGAUGAUAAAGACGGAUUUUUAUUUUAUUUUCUCACUUAGUUAUUAUAUUCACGUUAAAGCCCUGUUAUUUUGGACUUAAGCCGCGUAGGCGCUCCAUUCUGGAGAAAUCACUCGAUUUUUUUAUAUUUAUAGCUCAAAUUUGAGAUCUCUAGUUAAGAGAUGAACAACUUCAUUCACUAUAUCACAUUCUUUGACGAUGAAAAAAGAUGGAAUAUUAUUAGUCAUAGAAUGAAAAGACUUAUAACAUCUCCAUCAAAUGUAGUUCUUUAUCUUUUAGAUGGGGCUAUUGAGUUGGAUUUGGUAAGUUAAUAGUUCAAUUUUACAAGGUGUAAAGACAAAAAUAUUGAGAUGAGAAACUUGACUAAACAAUUAUGUCAAAGAGAUAGAAAUAUAUAGUGGGAGUUGUUGAUAUUAUUAUUAUUUUUCAAUACAAAGACAAAAUCAUUAUUCAAAAACAAAGUAGACAAUGACAAAAAGAGAUAAACCUGCCCAACUAGCUAUCCACCUUGAGUAUAUUGUGGGUUUGGUUUAAAUGUCUUUUUAGAUACCUCAUAUUUUUCCACUUAUGCAUUUUAGUAUCACAAUUUUGCUGUUGUUUGUGUACUUCUUUCUUUUUGUUUUGUUCUUUUUGUCCCAUAAUUCUUUUUAGUCCACCACAAAUGUGAAUGAAAUGACUAUAGGAAAUAGUUUUAGAAUAUAUUAGAUCAAAAUAGAUGAAUGAAGCUUAUUAAAAAUAAUUUUUCCAUCUCAUAUAAACGAUAAUGAUCAAAUCAACAUAUAAUUCAUUCGCCUGAUCAUAUAUUUCACUUGUAGGACGUUCAGAGUCGAUAGGUGGUGGUUAUUGUUGUAGACAAUUGAAGCAUUAUCUCUUAGUAAGAGUAAAGGGGAUCAAGUGACAAAAUUGAUCCUUCGUAUUUGAGGUAAGUUAAAAAUAAUCUGAUAAAUAUAUUUUUCGAAUAAUUUUGAUCUUUUGAAUGUAAAUAUUUAGUUGAUCCAUGAGAAAAUUAUGCUCUAGUAUUUCAUAUUAUAUGCUUUUAACAAAAUUAGAAAUGGAUUAAUGUAUUCAUUAUUUAAAUUUUUAUCUGAUAUUUAAUAUUUAUUUUGAGCCAUAAUUGAUAUAAAUUUGUGUCAUAAUUUUUUUUUAUUAAAGGCCGAAACACUUUUAACAAUAAUGACUUUAUAUUCUGAACUUGAAUAUAAAAUUUAUGAUUAAAAUAAAAACGUAUUUUUCACUUUAUCCAUAAUCGAUAUAAUGGAUUAUAUAAUAUAAAGGAAAUUAUAUGUUGGACCAUAUAUAUAUUAAGACCCAAACCAUGUAAAGGUGAGUGAUCUUUUAAAAAGACUGUUUAACAUACCUUUAAAUCAAAUGAUGAUAAUCAAUCCAUAUGAUAUAUAAAAGUUUUAUAAAAAGAAGUGAAAAGUAGAAACAUAAAAAAUAAAAAAUAAAAGGUAGGCAAAAUCAUACUACUAAUUGAUUAGGUUAAUUCUUUGUUACAUUAAAAAGAUAAUAUAUAGUUGAUUGGUUGUUUCAUAAUGGUUAACUAAAUUGAUGACUUUUUGUUGUCAAUUUAGGGGUACAAUAUGUCAAAAAGUAGAAUCUAAGUUCUAAGUUUAAUUAAAUAAUUAAAGAACUAAAGCACCUUCUCCAUGAUAUUGACAAUUUUUUAUAUAUAAAAAACAUUAAAUUAAAAUUCUUAAUAUUUUAAAAGUUUGUGGGGCUAAUUUCAAUAGGCUUUUAAUAUUCUUCUAGAAAAACAAAAGUUAUUCGUUGAGAAAAUGGAAAAAAACGGUUAAGAAAAAAAAAAAGGAAGAAAAAAGUUUAACAUGUUUGUGGAGGGAAACUUGUUUAUUAUUUAUUCAUUCUAUAUUCUUUUUUUAUAAGAAAAAGAAAAGUAGAAAUUUAAUUUAGGUUUGUUUAGCAUGGAAGAAAAAAUAUGUUUUACAUUUUCUCAUGGUUAGAAAGAGGGGUAGCGGUUCGAUAAAUUCAGCGGCUUUAAGAUAAUAUUAAUGAAAGAUUUGAAAUGUUUGAGUAUCGUCUUUCAUUAAAUUAGAGAUCUCGUGUUUGAGUUUCAAAUUAUUUUUUUUUGGUGAGACAACUUCAGAUUUUCUUUUUAAUCGAUCUUAUAUGUCUUAAGAUAAAAUUAAUCAAAAAAUUAAUAGAAAUAUCAAACGUCGGAUAUAAAAAGUUUGGAGGCCUAAAGCUCUUGCCUUAUUGGGUUGUUCGUUUAGUCGACUCAAUUUGAAUUUAUUUUUUUUUUGUGUAAAAAUAACAUGUUUAUUACUAGAAAAAAUAAUUUAUAUAAAAUAGCAUUUCAAGUCUACUUGUCUUUUAUCACUUUCACCUAUGUCACUAACAAUUUGAUUGGCAUCCCAAAUUUUUUCUUUAAUGGCAUAUAAAUACUUCUAAAAUAAUAUUUUUUUAAUUUACUUAUCAGAUACCAAAAAAAAAAAGCAGAUAAAUAAUUCCUUUUCCAUUCUUAAAAAACAAAUUUUUGAGAAAAAUAUUUUCUAUUAAGGAUAUUUCAAAUCAUACUAAAUACAAGUUUAUUAAGAAAAUAAGAGGACAAAGAAAAUAUUAUUUUUUCGAGAGAUCUAUCUAGUUUUUGAUAGCUCAUUAUUUUGAGUUUACGUCGUAUAGAUUCAUUCAAAAAUAAGCAUAUCCUGUCAAAGAUUUUUUCAAAUUCAAAACUCCUAAUUAAGAAAAAAACAAUCUCAUCCGCUGCACCAUAUUUUUUAAUUUUCAAAAAAAAUACUUGUGCAAGUUAUUAUAAUGGUUGAAAUGGAAAUCCAGAGGAUUUGUUAUAACUUUCUUUUUGAUAGAUUAGAGGAAAUUAAAACCAAAUUUGUUUUAGGUAAACAAGAUUAGAAAAAAGAAGAGAAAGUUGUAGAAAAUGUUCAUAGAAAGGGUUAAAAAAAUAUUUCCUAUUGUUCACAAUAACUAUUUUAUGGUUUUGGCGAAUUCAUUUUAAAAGUCAUAAUUUAAUAAUAAGAAUAAUACUAUUAUUUGUCUGUCCUCAAAAUCAUUAACUAAGAAAUAUUGAAAGACUUUUUUAGAAAUUGUUUAGUCUUUUAUUAGAUGAGAUAUAAUAAAUUUAAAUAACUUUUAUGUUUAAAGUAAGUCAUUUUGAAUCAAAUUCAAUUAGCUUAAAAAUUACUUAUUUUAAUUCUAAAAAGUCACUUAUUUUAAAUAUAUUUUAUAAAGUUAAGAAGUAACUUAUUUUGAAUCGAAUGAAAUAUUUUAAAAAAUUAUUAACACAAUCGAUAUUUCACUAUAAUUUUAAAAUUUUCAAAAUAACUUUAUCUAACCUUUCCAUAAUCUAGGUAGUUUCCACCACAAAAAUUUAAAUUUUAAAAGGAAAAUAGUAGAAUUUGUGUUUUUUUUACUCAAAUAAUCAACGUAUAAAUGAAACAUUACUCUAUAAUUUAUUUAUUUUUCUUGGGAGAAGAUAAUGGAUUAGCUUGUUCAAGAAAUGAAGAGAUAAAAAAUAAAAAAUAAAGACUAGCUAAAAACAACUUUUUAUAUUGACAAAAAAAAAAAAAACUUUUGGAAUUGGAGUUCGUCAACCAAAGAAAAGUUUUAAAAUGUAGACUUUAGAGUUAUAAUUAAUUAAUUAAAUAUAAAUAACAUAAUCAACGGUAGAGUGAACACACCUCCCAAAUUCAACAUUCCAUUAUAUAUAUAUAUAAAAAAUACAUUAUAUUAAUUAAAAGUAAUAUGCAGAUCAUUGAAAAAUAAAUAAUUUUGAAUAAAGAUUGGUAAGCUAGUUUUAAAGUUAUGUUUCUUCUUGAGCUAUAUCAGAGUCUAUAUUGUCAUUAUUAUUGAUAUUGCAAUAGAUAGUUGGUAAAGUUGACAGAAGCUAAAUCUCAUGAUUUGUUAUAUUCAUUGCGAAAUAUGAAAUUUAAAACCUUAUUAAUAUGAAAAAUUUGUAUAAUUUUAAAUAUUUUCACCUCAAUAACUAACUUUCAAAUAUAAUUUUUCGCAAGUUAUAUUAUUAAUUUGUCCAUAACUUAAAAUAUGAAUGAAUUUCAGUUUAUUAUACUUAUCAAAGUUAAUUUUAAAUAAUUCCACCUCAAUAACUAACUUUCUUAAAUAUAAUUUUUCGCAAGUUAUAUUAUUAAUUUGUCCAUAACUUAAAAUAUGAAUGAAUUUCGGUUUAUUAUACUUAUCAAAGUUAGCGACAAUUCAAUCAAAUAAAUAAUAAAUAUGAAAAAGUCAAAAAUAAGUAUUGAGUCCAUUUUCUAAAGCAAAUGAAUUGCAACAAGAUAAAAACAUUUAUUCUCAAAUUUACCAAAUUUUCAAUAAAAGCCUUUUAUUUUCUUCUAAAUGAUGAAAGUUUUAUUUUAUAUAAGGUUUCCUAAAUUGUUAAUUUAUGCCCAUUAUCUUUUCUUAACAUGAAAAUUAUUUUUAUUUUUGUAUGGUCAUUCGAUUAAUAUUUGAAAUUUAUUUGACUCGAGUGAUUGAAAAAAAAUUAUUUCAAAAAAUUAAUUGAAUUAUAAUGUCCAUGAAAGAAUUCAAUUCUUCCAAAUCUUAGUGAUGAAAAUAAAGGGGUAAUAGAAUUUAAAUUUAAAUUUAAAAUUUAUGAUCUAAUUUAAAAUUCUAUUGUAAACUUGUAACUCAUUUAAUUUGAAAUCAAUUAUUUAUAACUAUUUAACUCUAAUAUUUCACACAUAUAUAAAGUCUGAUUUAAAGUUUGUAGUUUGCAUCUCCCAAUUACACCAAUUUUAAAUUCAGUAUUCCAUUAUUUUUACUUCUUGCUAAAAUAUUUCCCUACUCGUUUUCCUUUUCAAAAUUUUUCAAAAGUUUUUUUUUUUAAAAAAAAAAGAUAAUUAAUUUUUCAAAAAAAAAAAAACAUUCAAAAAUUAAAUAGGAGUGAUAAUGAGCCACCAAAAUGAGUGGAUUUGUUCCGCCCCCUAUAUAUUUAAAGAAAACCUAACUUCAUUUUUAAGUUUUUUGAAUUAGUUUAGUUCGGUAUAAUCAUUUAUAUAGAUUGUUCGAGUCAAAAUUUUAAUUUUAUGAGUUUUAAAUUUUAAAAGAAUAAUUUAAUUUACAUGUUAAUAACUAAAUUUUAAAUUUAGUAUUUACACUCAUUUGAUAAAAAAUUAAAAUAUAAAUAUAUUAUUAAAGUAAAAGAUACUGAUUUUAACUGAUUUAUAUUCAAAUUUUUAUCUCCGCUCUAUUGUAUAUAUAAAUAAAUAGAGAUAGACACUUAUUUAUUAUAUAUGUCUCUAUCAGAAAACCAAAAACCAAAAAUAAAAAUAAAAUGACAAAGUAACUUUAGCUUUUUAUAGUUUUUUUUUUUGAAAGUAUUAUUAUGAUCAUGAUUAUAAGCUAAAUAGGAUCACGUAACAUUUUAGUGGCACUAUAAUCAUGAUUAGUUAAAAAAAACACGGGCACGUAAUUUAGGAUUAGGACCAGUUUGAUAAUUUAUCAUAAAUGCUUUUUGUUUUUCACGUCAAUUUACGAUUUAGCAUUAAAGUUCUGAUUAAUUUGAAUUGUACACUAUAGGGUUCAUUUAGAGUGACAAUUCCAAUAUAAUUUUUUUUUCAUACUCAAGAUUUGAGCUCGAGACGGUUUUGGAUUGACUAAUCUUUUUUCUGAUAGGAAAAAAUUUAGAAUUCUAUAAAUAGAGACAUGUUCCUUCUAACUUAUUCAGCAUUCACAAUGUAGUCUUAAAAACUUUGAGAGUUUUGGUUAGAGGGAGAAUUUGUGGGUCACAAGAUACGUUAUUAUUUGUGUGAACCUCCCAUGUAUUCCGAGUGAAUUGGUUGAGGUUGUUUCUAUAUGUAUUUUGUACUCUCAUAUUUAUAGUGGAUUGUUCAUCUCCUUUGUGGAUAUAGGUCGAUUGACCAAACCACGUUAAAUCUUUGUGUCUUUUGGUAUAUUUCUCGUUGUCUUCUUACUCGUGAUCUUUCGAAAUUUACUUUGCUAACUUCCAUAUUUACAUAUGCUUAUUUUCGAUCCUAACUAAACAGUGACCAAUAAAAUACUAAAUACCAACCAUGGUAUAAGCCUCCUUUAAUUUUUUCCGUUUCAUUGUUUCUUAAAUUGAUAUAAUUAUAUUACAGCUAUAUAGUUUUUUUCCUUUUAAUUCUUUUCCUCAAUUAAAUUUAGAAGUACAAAAGUAAAUAACUUAGCAACAGGAAGUCAAACUUAUUAAAUUCAAAUGGUGAUUGAAUUAAUAUAUCCAACAAUUCAUAGGGGUAAUUUAGGCAAACUUAUUUAAUAUGCCAUUAAUAAUGUGACUUGAAUAAAUUUAUGGUGUUUAAUUAAUUACCAAUAUGUUAAACAAUUAUUGCAAAGAAUUAAUAGUAAUUUUAUAGUAGUUGUAAUUAUUUAGAAGGGAAAACAGUGCAUACAUGUUGAUCACAAUGUUAAUAUUAAAAUUUGAAUUUAUUGUAGAAAAAAAAACUAUGUCCUUAAAAUAAUUCAAUUUGUUCCACUAUUUGUUAAUGUUUAGAGAAUAUUAGAGACUAAUUAAGACAAUGAAUUUUUUAACUAAACCUAACGCUUAUCAUUUUGGCCAAAAAUUAACAAAGCAUUACUAAUUUGGCAAUUUCAAGAUUUGGUAUCAAUAAUUCUCUAGCAAAACAAAUCAAUUGGAUUUAUCAUGCAAUAAUUUCAACAUUUAAAGUUUAAUCCAAACACAUAAUUACAUAUUUAGAAAUCAAGUUCAACAUGAAGUGCUUCAAAUAGGAAAAAUCCCCAUUAAAAAUACUUUUUAUUACUCUUAGCCUUGUUGGACAUAAUUACAUGGUACAUGUUGUCAGUGACAAAUAUCUCGUCCAACUAGUCGAAAAGUACAAAAGUUAAAUCCAGAUAUCACAAUUAUAAAAAAUGUAUUUUUUAUUUUAAUGAUCUUAUGCAAUACAAAUCAAAAUUCAUCGAAAUUAGUCGCGGUCAAAGCAAAUUUGGAAUACCAAAUCCACUCGUAUUAUCACAAGUCAUUGUCAAAUAAAGAGGUUACAAAAUGCAACUCAAAUUGUUUAAACUUCUAAGUAAAGACAAUUUGAAACUAAUGUUUUUCCACAAAAAAAUUCAGCAAGAAUGUUGUAUUAGUUGACCUCCAAAAAUGGACUUAUAUGCUAUGAAUGAAAAGUUAGUUCAACCAACGUGAGUCGUGGGGCGCCAUCGUAGAAUAGUUGAAAUUUCUUUAUUUAUAACUAGGGCUUUCGUAUUUGAUUUUCUAGUAAUGAAAACAAUCUAGUUGGAAGCGUAACUCCCCAAAAAUAAAUUUUGCAAUACAUAUCAAAUAUUAGAGAGAAUUUUCGACGUUGUAUCUGAAGCUCGCAUUGAAAUCCUAAUUAAAUUUGGAUCGUCCAUUGCAUGGCCCAUUAGGAGUGGUGUUUUCAAUAGAAUUUUCUUCAUCCCUAAGUCUGAAACGCGAUACAUCUUAAUUUUUACCAUAUAUAUGAUAUGACCAUAGGAUAGAGAUAGACAUAUUUCUAACAUACUUGUAACGCUUCAAUUCAAGUGGUGGAACCUACAUUUAGACAGUCAUAAGAAGAUUCAUGUUUGAAGAUCCAAGUUGUUGAUAAAUUUAUUACUAGUUUUUAUUAAAUCAGUUGGUAAUGGUCCAUCCUUUUUUCUCUUUAUUUAGAAAUAAUAGGAGUAUCCAUCUCUAACUAUAGAGUUAAUAACUUUGAUGGUCACUUAAUUAUUAAUUAUUUUUAUAAAAAGUGAUUUAAUUUUCAAUUUUAACUCAAAAGUCACUUAACUAUGAUAUCUUUAUACAAAAAGUCACUCAAUUUUCAUUUUCAACUAAAAAAUCAUUCAACUAUGAUUUAUUUGCACAGAAAGUCACUCAACCUAUUUAAUUGUUUUUUCAUUAAAAUUUAGUGACAUGAAAUUUUAAUUAUUAACAUAAAUUUUAAAAUUGAAUAUAUAUCCAUUUAAUGACCCGUACCCGACCCCUAAAAAUAUAAUUCACCAUUCGACAUUUACCAUUAAUUCACUAAAAGAAUAUGGGGGAGACAAGGGAGAAUGAUUUAGGCAAUUAAUAGUAAAAUGAAAUGUUCAAUGUUAUAUUUUUUGCGGGUCGGGUUAAAUGGGCGUAUCAUUAAAUGGUUAAAAUGGGUAUAUAUUCGAUUCUUAAAAUUUUGGUUAAUAAUUAAAAUUCUAUUUCACUAAAUUUUAAUGAAAAUAACAAUUAAAUAGGUUGAGUAACUUUCUAUGCAAAGAAGUCAUAGUUGAGUCACUUUUGAGUUGAAAAUGAAAAUUGAGUGACUUUCUAUGCAAAGAAGUCGUAGUUGAGUGACUUUUGAAUUGAAAAUGAAAGUUGAGUAACUUUCUGUGAAAACAAUUGAUAGAUAGUUGAGUGAACAUCAAAGUCAUUAACUCCUCAAUUAUAAAUACUAGCUAGUUAGUAGCUAUCAUGUUCACGAUAAACGUUGGAUCUUCAACUAAACAAAGAUAAAAGUGAACAAAAUUUCAUAUGAAAAUUAAAAAACGAAAAAAGAAAUUACUGAUGAAAUGUUGAAUAUUCUUAAUGGUUUGAAGCUUUCGGUGAAAAAACUGCAUGCAGACUUGAUCAAAAUAAAUAUGAUCAUAUCUUGUUAUGAAUAUUUUUUAGUUAUUUUACCGUAAUUUAAUAACUAUAUUUGAGCCAAUGGUUCGUCAAGACGGUGCAAAAAUAUUCUUAAUGAUGUGAGACAUUUACAAAAAAUCGUACAUGUUUUAUUUAACGUGAAAAAUAUAAUAUCAUAUUAAAAAUAUCUUUUAAAAUUUUGUUUGAUUUGAUAUUAUAAAUAAAUAAUAAUUUACAUACUGUAUACACAAAUUAUUAUGUUUUUUAUUCAUAAAUGUUGCCCGAGUUACUGGGAAAAUGAAAUUGCAAACUUAAUGCAAAGCAUUAUUUAAAACUAUUUUUUUUUACUGAUUUAAAGGAAAAGGUCCACAUGACUUGCUUCUGUCUUAUCCCAAAUUGUUCAUUUUUUGCAAUUAAUUAAUUUUAAUAUGAUUCACGUGUAUUUGAGAUAAAUAGACAAAUCUUGCUCGUCUUUCUUUUUUCUUUGCUCGUCUCUCUUUCUCUAUUUCAGUAUAUUUGAUAAAAAAUAAUUUAUAUAUCUAAGUAUAUUUAAUUUGAAAUAUGAUAUGACAUUAUUAAAUAGUAAAAUAAAUAUAAUAAUUUUAAAUGAUAAAAUUAAUUAAUAAAUAUAAUAGAAAUAUUUGUGAUUAAGUAAUUUUUCCUUAUUUAAUUAGGAGACUAGUUCAUGCAGGAAGGCCCAAUUCAAAAUUUAAUGUAUAAAAUGUGGCUUUCAUUAACAGGCUAGCCUAUGCUGUAAAGCCCAAUGAUUAGUCCUUUUUGUGGAGCCCAAAGUAGAAAGAGAUGUUUCACUUUCCGUACUACUUCCUCCGUCUUAAAAUACUUGAUUCGUUUCAUUUUUUGGAAAUUAAUUUAACUAGUCUACAAAGCUAUACGAAAAAAAUUAUAAAUUGUGAUUCUUUUAUAGUGAAAAAAAUAAUAUUAAAAUAUUAAUCAAGAUUCAUUUAAUCUGAUCUUUAAAAAUUAUAAAUUUCAUUGCGUUCACUUACUUAACAUUUGUGAAUAAUAUUUCCCAUACUCAUCUAUAAAAAGAGCUAAUGUUAUAAGUUGUAAAGUAUUUUAAAAUUUUUAUUUUAUUUAUUUUGAUUAUAUUUUUUUACCAGUUAUUUUUACCCAACUAUUUUAACUUUAUAAACUGUACCAUGAAAAUUAAAAAUUAUUUAUUGACUUGAUUGUUUAAAAAGGUCCAAACUACAUAGUAUCCAAUGAUUUUGACAGUCUUAAAAGUGUUAAUUUUGACACACAAAAAAUGUAAUAUUGUUUCUUUAUCCUUGGAAUUGGAACAAAUUUUAAUUUAUUUGCAUCAAAAUGUACUUUAUGAACUUUAGACCAUCAAUAUUUGGCCCAAUUAUCAUCUCAUAUGUAUGGUCCAGCCCAAUUUUUGGAUCGAGUUUGAUAUAUCAAUUGUUAUUUUUCUUUCUCUUAUUUUAAUUUCAUAAUUUAAAGGAAAAAUCAAAAAAAUUUAAGUCAUGCUUAAUAGUUUUCAUCGGUUUUGUUUUUUUUAGUAAUUCAAAAUUUCUUACUCACAAUUAAGUUAGAUGUGGAAGAUUUGUACAACAAAUUCCUUUUAUUAAUGUAGUAUGAAUGACUAUAAGAUAAUUUUUGUAUCAAUGUUUCCCAUUUAUGUUAAGUUCAAUAAAAAUGUAUUUUAUAUAUUGCAGUCUAUGUGUUUUGCUUUUUUUUUUUUAAUAUAACAUUAUGUAAAAGGAUUGUUUCUAUUCUUUUCAAUCACUUUUUAAUUUUAACUUUCCACUUAACAUGUUUAAAAUCAUAAGAUUUUAUAUAUAUAUAUAUAUAUAUAUAUAUAUAUUAUUUUGAUAUAUUCUACGUAUGUUUAGUUUUACCACAUAGUCCUCGAUUUAUGUGGUAAUUAUUCAUUCUUACUUCUUUCCUUCUUUUAUGUCAAUAUGGAUGAUUAGAGAUUGCGCUCUUCAAUUGUUCUUGAGAUAAAUUUAGAGAGAGGAGUUUCAAUUUUAUAUCUGUUAAUUCGUUUUUUAUUUAUAAAACUUCAAACAAAUUAAAUAGCUAUGAAACUCAUACUGAAUAGAUAAUUUUAAAUUAGCUUUUAAAAUUUGAAUUGUUUUACAGUAAAAUUAAAUAUAUAUAUAUAUAUAUAUAUACUACUUAGUUAUCAUCAAAGUAGCCUAAUUAUACCAAAUAAUAAUUAACAAAAAGCUUAUGUAAUUGAUAAGCAAGCUAACAGUCAAUGUCAACAUGUUUGACACUUUAAACCUAAUUUUCUUUGUUUAAGUUUGUUGUGCGGAAUUUGAUAUAAUACGAGAAAAUAUAAACGCGAAAAAUAAGAUAAUAGAUUUACGUGGUUCACCAAUAAAUUGGUUACGUCCACGGAAAGAGGGGGAGCUGUUUUAUUAUGGAGAGGCAAAAACAGAAUUACGGAAUAGGGUUUGCCAUAGCGUCUAUAUAUAGUGCUAAGCUACGCCCUAACAGGCUUGGGCGCCCAAAAUACAAAAUUGACAGAUAAUUAAGGGCCCAAUACAACAACAUUGUAUACCAUCGGGUUGUAACGGAUUUGAUUCAAGGCAUUCAACAAAGUUGACGUUAUUUUGUUAGUUCAACAGAUUGGAUUGCCAAAAUUAAUUAUUUUCCCCAAGAAUUACAAGACAGGCGACAUGUUAGACUACUCUUUUAAGAUUCAUAUGAAUUCGAUAUUGCGACGUAUUAUAUUUGUCCCUAAUUAUAAUUAUCGCGUAGAAAUAUGUUACUUAUAAUAUUUAUUAUUAUGUAUUAAUAUUUUUGUUUUAUGUCCAAUAUUAAUAUGAAAAUCUUAAUUAAAUUGAAUUUAUCUAAAACUAACUAAAUUGAGAAGUACUUCUGAUAAAAAUACCCUCUCAGGACUUUAAUCUGAGGUCCCUAACUAGCCUCUAGUUAAAAAUGAAAGAAUUUAAUCCAUUUCAUUAAAACUUGUUAUGGAAUUACAAUUUCUUAUUAACUACUUAUUUUACCUAUAUGUCAUGAGUAAUAACAUAAUUAUAAAUGAAAAUUGAACCCUUCACAAUUUUUCAUUUUAUUUAUAGAUCUUGAAUAAUUUAUUCUAACGUAUGUUAAUAAUAAUUAUUAAUUCAGUUUCUGACUUAUUUUUCUUGGGUAAAAUUACUCAAUAUCUACAAUGGAUUUACAAUGUCCAUUUUAAAUGAAAAAAUUAUCUAGAUAUAUAACUUAUUUGAUCAUAUUAUCUAAAAAAAAUUAUCAGUUGAAAAAGUUACUAAAAUUGGAUAGAUACAUCAUUUUAUGCUAUGAAUCGAUUGGAUACAUCACUUUAAGCGAUGUAUCGAUCGGAUAUAUCACUUUACAUGAUAUAUCGAUCUAAUACAUCACUUUAAGCAACAUAUCAUUUGAUACAUAAAUUUACGCAAUGUAUCAGGACGUUGUGUGAUAUAUUCCAAAUCGAGAUGUGAUGUAUUAAAAUGUUGAUGUAUGGGUGGAUCUGCAGUUAGAAAAUGAUAUACCAAAACGUUUUGAGAUGUACCUAAAUUCCAUCAAAUUUAAAGAAAUUUUUGUUAUUUUUAGAAAAUAGGAAUAUGAUGUAAAUUCUUUAACACUAUAAGAUUAUUGUAAAAUUAAAAUUUAUACUUCUUAUAUUUAAAAAUGCAUAUCGUGGGUUAAAAGACUAAAAACCACACAAUUAUACUACUAAAAUCAACUUUAUUCUAAAAGUUUGACACUCCUACAUUAAUACUCUAUGGUAACAUUUCACCCUCCAUGGUUAAAUUAGUUGAACAAAUGAUUUUCCAAAUAAAAAAUCUUAAAGUUAAAUUAUUUUUUUUCAAGUAUUCUCGAUCAAACUCACUUAAGUCUUACACUAAGCGAGUUUAAACUUAUGUGAACACAUUUAAAAAAAAUAUAAAUUAGGAAUUCAUUUGUCAAACAAAACAAUAAAAGUAAUAUUUCAUGAAAUUGGAAUCUAAUACUUUUCUAGUGUAUCGACGUUGAAUGGAUUAUUAUAUUAUAAAUUAUAAUAUAUGAAUGAAAAAAUAAAAGAAAAUCAUGUUGUGCAUGGAUUGUGUUUCUUAUUUAUAGACCAUUCAAAAUCAAACCAAACAUCUCAAAGUAUAAGAUAUAAUAAAAUAAUCAAAUUACAACUACUAAUAUAAUAGGUUUGGCCGGUCUAUGUAUGCAACAGCCUACACUUAAUUAGAAUGUUUGGCUAUUUAAUUAGUCUAUUACCUCAUCUUCCAUAAUAUUUUUUUCAAAUUCAAUAUUUAAACUUGAAAAAAUUAGGUACUAGUUUGUACCACCUUGUUAAUUAUAUAUGUAACAAAGUGGGUUACUUUAUAUUGCAUUCAAACUAUAUGUGAUAUAAAUAUUAUUAUUAUUAUUUAUAUUACAUCAUCUAGUUUGAAUGCAAUAUAAUAACCAUGUUAUUAUAUUGCAUUAUCAUUUACGUGAACACAUAUUAUUGGUUAAUUCUGAUUCAUAUACAUAAAUUUUUUGAAUCGAUCUCUAUUAAUCGACAAAUACAAAUAAAUUUAAAAUUUUGAAUCGAUCACUAUUAAUCGAUAAGUACAAAUAAGUUUACUUUGUUUUAUGGUUAUCCCAACAAGAGGUUUAGGGAAAUUCUCACCCCUAUUAAAUUAUUUGUAUCAUAUAAAUCGGGAUCUCGAUUUAUCAAUUCAUCAAUGUCUCGAUUAAAAUUUAUCAAAAUAAGAAACUUAGACCGUUUCUUCUAACUCUUUAUCAAAUUCGAUCAGUUUUGUAUAUUUCAAUUUUCAUUAUAGUUAUAUGCUUUGGAAUAUUCUUUUUUAUAUAUUUCCUUUGAUUAAAUUUCAUAUUAAAAAUCCACAAGUAGUUGUCAUUUUCAAUUCGAACUCUUUGAUAUUAUAAGGUUUGAAAUUGUUAGUGAACUAUUGACACAUAAUUAUUUGGCAUGAAUAAGGAGAAGUAGUGGACUUAGGUGUCAAUGAUCUUGGCUUAUUUUGUUUGAUUGAAGAGACAAAAUAAUAUAAAGAUACGUAUCUAAGAAACAAAAAAUAGACAAAGACAAUAAGACGUGAGGUGUUUGUAUAAAAAUUAUUUAUGUGGAAGGAAAAAGCAAAAAAAAAAAAAAAAGUUAACAAAUAUGUGAUCAUUAUUUACAAUCAUCCAAAGUGGACACCCUUUUAGUUUUUGUUUUCUAGGUAUUAUUACUACUACCUUUGCUAUCCUUUUCAUCACUAAAAAGGGGAAAAAAAUUAUGAGUCAAAAACACAUAAAAAAUAUCUCAUUUUCUUGUGUUUCAAACCUUUUUGUUUGGUUUCUUACUCUUCGUAGCAUACAUUAUUGAUUCGAAUUGCGCUCUUAUUUUCUUGUGUUUCAAAGCUUUUUUUGAAUGGUUUUUCACUAUUUGUAGCACAAUUAAAGCUCUGACUUGUUUCGAAUUAUACUCUGCAAGAUUUAUUGGGAUUAACACUUCCAACAAGGUUUAAAAUAAAUUUUAGAGCUUUGACUAAAUUUGAAUUUGCUUUGCAGAAUUCAUUAGGAGGUGAAGCUUCCAAUAGAAUUCGAAGCCCACAUUAGAAGUCCAACUGAAUUCGAAUUGGGCUAUGCAGGACCCACUCGAUGAUGACGCUCCCAACUCCAUAUGCAGGGCUCAAACACGAAAUUCAUAAUUAAAAAUAAAACACUCCUAUCAAUGCACCACAAUUCAUUUCCAGACUCAACUACACAAAACUAUAAACAAAUAGAGUAUCUCAUUUUUUUCGAGUUUCAUACUUCACUAUGAGGUGUUGUUGUAUACAUGAACUAUUAGAUAUAUAAGUUUCAUUUUUUUCGUCCCAUUUUAUAAGUCACCUUUUUACUUUACAAAGAAAUGAUAUAACUUUACCUUUCUAUCCUUAUUUAAUAUUUUCUUAAGUCAACUUUAAUAAUAAAUGAUAAAUAUAUUUCAAGAUGAAUUACUACUCUGUCAAGAGUAUAUAAUUUAUAUAUAAAUUUUAUAAAAUAACAAAUAUUGUGAAUCAAUUACUUAUCAAAAUAAAUGACGAUUUAAAUACAUGAACUAUUAGAUAUGUGAGUAUUCAACAUUCACUAUUGUCAAUCCUUUAUUGUGUAGUAGUUAUCACUCCACGACAAUCCAAUUGAUCAAACAAAGGUGUAAUUUCUCGAGACACUUAUCACUCCACGACAAUCCAAUUGGUCAAACAAACAUUGUCAUUUAAUUUGUUCUAAAGCAAAAAAACAAAAAGUGAGCUGUGAUUUACACUUUCACAUGAUCAUCUCAUCAAAGUAAUUAAUGGAAACAAAAAAAAUAAAGAGAGAUAAUUUUUUCCUUAAUCAGUUUUCAUAACUUUGUUAAUAAUCUAAUUAUACAACUUCUGCAUCCUAAUAGAAAAAGACCUAUCAACAAUUUGUAUCAAAAGCUUCAAUCAGAUAUCUAUCUAUACUUUUGAAAUUAAGAGAUUCAGAUUUUUUUUAGAUCUAUGAUAAAUUUCACCGUCUAUCGGCGGUUCCUGUACACAAAAACUGAAUCAACGGCGCCGGUUCAUGAUAAAACGGCGCCGCUGGAUGUUGCCACUUCUUAAACACCGGUAGCUCUUUCUUCACUUCCUCUUUCUUACUAUUACUCGAAUUAGAAUUAGAAUUAGAAUUAGAGAGACGAUUAAUCACCGAUUUCAGAUUUCCGGCAUCAGGAGAAACCGGAGAAGUAAUCAACGGUGAUAAAAGAGGUAUAGCCACAUUCCAAUCGGUCGGUCGGUUGAUUUGAAUCGAUGCCGGUGCUCGACGCUGUAAACGACUAGGAUUCCGACGGUCUCCGGUGGAAGUCCGGUGGUUAAUUGACAUGAUUGGAUCGGAGAUUUGUAUUUGGGAGAGAGAAAUUAGGGCUCGAAAGAGGGGAAAUGUGAAUGCGAUGAAGAAGAAGAGAUUUGGGGGUUUAUAUAGGGGGUCAUGUGGAGGACACGUGGCAGAUUUUCAGUCAAAGGUCAAAGAAAGAGCCAGAAUAUUUAUGUUGCACAGCUUGGCUUUGAGCUGGAUUACUGUGAGUAAUUAAUCUCCGAGUCUUGUCCGUUUCAAUUUAUGUGAAAAUAUUUGAAUAAAUAUAAAAUUUUAAGACCAUAAUUAUAAAUUAUGUUUGUCUCUAAAUUAAAGUUUUAUUAAACAUGCAAAUUGAACUAGAGAGAAAUAUCGAAAACACACUUAGAUUUGAUAAAAAUAUAAUUUCAUUCCAAACUGUUAAGUCGUCUUAAAAACGCCUCUUAAUUUGACUAAUUGAACUUAAUACCCUCCCUCCGAAUCUUGCAAUAUGAGUGAAGUACACUCCUAAAUUCUCGUCAUUUCUAGAGUGUUUUUUUUAAUCACUUCUUGCAACUACAUUUAAGAGUCUUGUACUCCUAUAAGAGUUUGAAAUUACUUGUUAUAUUAUAUUGUAGAUCAAGCAUAUAUAUCUAAAUUUAAUUAAUUAAGUAUACAAUGUUUUUAAGACUGACAACAAUUUGGAGACAAAACUAAUAUUAUCUUCAUAAUUUAAUCAUUAAAAUUUUAUAUUUCAUAAAACUAAGUUAAUUGUUAAAACUAAUAUUAUCUUUAUAAUUUGAACAUUAAAAUUCCAUAUUUUAUAAAACUAAGUUUAAUUGUUAUGAUAAAAUUUGACUUAUUACUUAAUUUUUCAUUGGAUUGUCUUUUCAUUUUUUAUAGGAAAAUGUCAAAUAUAUAUUGCCUUAAAAAGUUGAUUACUUGAGGAUAAGUUACGUAUUAAAAGGAUACUUUGUCAUUAUAUACUAUUAUAAUAGGAUAGCAGGAAAUUGUGUACCAAAAAAGAUAAUUAGCAUAAUAGGAAAAAGGAGUUUGUUGAUACCACGAGCACAUGAAUAGAUGAUAUAAAUUGAGAACAUGAAUAGAUAGAUAUAAAUUAUAAUGGACAGUUUGGUGAAUAAAAUAUUUGACGUUCACGUAAAAUUUUGAAAAAAUCAAAUAUUAAAAUGAUAUGAUACAUUUUAUUUUAAUGUUUGAAUAAAUAAAGGGUUACAAUUUAAAUAUAUAAGUUUUAAUUUAUAAAUAUCUUAAUUCAAAUAUAUUAAGAUGUACCUUUUGAAGUAUUACAAAAUGUUCUCUUAUAUUUCAUAAAUUUAAUAUUUGAUUAAAAUAUAUCACAUAAAUUAAGACACGAAAUUAAUCAUUCACAUUCUGAGCCGAGCUCAUGUCUAAGCAGCUUAAGCAAAAAGACUGAUAUUUUUAUAGUAUAUACUUUAUAGUAUAUUAUAAAAAAGAAGAAAAAAAGCUCAUCACUUGGUCAAAAGCGUUUCAUAGCUGACUGGAUCCUUCAACCUAACGUCACUCUUUCUAUUCUAGGCAAAUUCUAUACCAAUUUGUCCAUAAAAUAUGUGAAAACACUUUUACAAGUUAAAACUAAAAAUACAAUUUAAUUGUAAUUAGUUAAUAAUAAUAAUUUAAUUAACAUUAAAUAUACUUUUUAAUAACAAUAUCCCUCUUUGUAAUUGUCUUGAAAAUUUAUAGUGGCACUAAAUUCAAUGACAAUAAAUUAAUAUCGAAAAGAUAUACAUAUUAAUUAUUAUUAAAAGUUACCCGCUGAGUAGCUGAGAGCAUAGGCGGAUCUAGGUGUGGAUCCGACGGUUCAAACGAAUUCACUAGCUGUCCCGUUAAACCUCCUAACAGAAUGAUUGAUAGUUCAACGAUAAGAAAGAGUGGUGAAAAUAUUUCACACAUUUAUUAUGGGUUCGAAUACCUUUCUCUUGUAUUCUAAUAUUUAAAACUAUAAGCACUUAAUUUUAAUUACGAUAAAAAAAGUGGGCAAGAAACUUUGAAUAGAACCCAACUGUCAUUGACUACUCAGUUAUAACCUCAUAACCUCAUAACAUGAAGCUUGUAAUACGAUUCACUUUUUCUACGUGAUUUAUCGAACACAAAUAUUAUAUUACAGUAAAUCAAUUAUUAUAAAGUGUUCUUUUUAUCCAGCCGUUAAGUAAUGGGUUAUUACCCGCACGUGAAACUAUAUCAUCAUCGUAUAUUUUCUGACAAAUGAUGAAACAAUCAACGGCUAUGAUUACACCUACGUGGCUAUAUUUAAUCCUUAAAAAGGACAAUGCACGUUUGGGUCGGAGUUAUCGAGUUAUCUUCAUUGUCUGAUUGUGCUGUCACGCAUUUCAAACUUUGGAUCGUUUUAACGUUCCUUUUCGAUGGUAUCGCCCACGAGUACGGUAGGAUGAAUAAGACUUUUAAGUUUUUAAUUAUAAAUAGAAUGGAAUAUUACAAUAAAUGGUGUCGAGAUAAUUUGACAUAAUGUGUUUUUUAUAAUUAUUUUAAAUUAAUUUGAAUAUUUUCGAAUAUAUAGUUUUAAGUUAUGAGUUUCUGUAAGUUCGUAAAUAAAAAGAUUGAGAAUAUAAAUUAUGUUUUAGAGAUUGUUUGAUUUAGAGACAAUUAAUACUAAUAAAGAUUAUAUUGUAAAGCAAUAUGGGAACAAUGAUAUAAAUGUAUAUUCAGAGUAUCGAUCAAUUAAGAACUCUCACUGAAAAUGAGGAUUUGAACUGAAUCACUUGGUAUAUUAGCUAGUCGAAAAAAGAUAAGAAAUUAUGAAGAUAUUAAAAAAUCUUUUUCUUUUCUUAAACUCUAUUCCUAGUCAAAUUAGGUCAUCGUUUUUGAAACAGAGUAAGUAAUAGACUUUAAUUAAAAAUCAAAAAAAUAUUAAUACUACCAUUUAUGAGUGACACUCUAUAGCACAAUCAUUAACCUGCUCUUGAUCCCGAAAUCUCUAUAUUUUUUCAUUUAGAGUCUGUGUUACAUGUGUUUUAAGUUAUGUCUAAUCAUUUUAUCUUGAUAUAUAUUUGGUCUUUCUCUACCUCUCAUCAGACCCACCAAACUCAACAUCUCACAUCUCUAAAUGAAUCAUUUAAUUAUGUCCUCGUCACACGUGUGAAUUAUGUCAAAUUCAACUUCAUUUUUCUUAGUUUAUCCUUCAUAUAGGCAAUAUCCAUCUCGUUCUUGUUGGCGCUAUUUAAUUUUUUUUUUCUGAAAUAUUCUCUUUUCCUUCUUAUUUUUUUUUAUUUUAUAUGGAUUAGGGAUUUGUUGGUGCUAUUUAAUUUUUUCCCUGAAGUAUUUUUUUUCCUUUCUUAUUUUAUUAUGUUUUAUUUGAGCCAGGAAUUUAUAUAUAAAAAAAAACCUCUCAAUAUACACUACCAUAAGGUCGGGAUAAGACUUGUACUAACCAUCUUCAUGUUGAUUUUGAUCUUUUAAUCUGUGUUUACUAAUUCAUUUAUUCUUAAUUCAUACUAUAUAUCAUGGGAUACGAUAUAAUUAAUGUUGAUAUUUUAAUACGUGUUUACUAAGUACUUCUUUUAUUCUUAUUUCCUACUAUAUAUCAUGAAAUAAAUUUUUACCUAUUUUAUACAAAUAUUUUGUAUGCAGGCAGAAAAAGAAAUAAUAAUCCAAACUAAAUGUUUUAAAUCUGUAUUUACCAAUCCUUUUAUUUUUAUUUCAUACUUAUAAUUCUAAUAACCUAACUUUAUACAAAUAUUUUGUAGGAAGACAAUAGAGUGCUAAAUUUUAUGCUUUCCUAUAUGAAAAGGUACCCAAAAUAUGGUAUACCAUUAAUGUGAUCUUUUUCCCAAAUAUUAUCUUAUGCAACCAAAGAAUCUUUGUUCAGCUGACUAAGGGCCUGUUUGGAUGGGCUUAAUAAAAGCAGCUUUAAAAAAGUAUUUUUAAAAGUAUUGAAACUUAAUUUUAAAAUAAGCAGUUAUGCGUUUGAAUAAAAGUGCUGAAGUUGUUAUGCCAAACGUGAAAAGGAAAAAAUGGAAGAAAGAGAUGUUAGGGUUAUAUGGGUAAUUUGGACAUUGUAUAAAAAUAUUAAGGGCAAAAAGAUAAAAAUAUGGUCAACUUAAAUCAGCUUAUAAGCUAAAAAAAAAACAUCCCUACCCAAGCUUUUAACUUUUGGCUUAAAAUAAUUUUUUUUUAACUUAAAAUAAGUUAUUUUGAGUAUUGCCAAACAGUUAAAUAAGUCAAAAACCAGCUUUUAAGUCAGUUUGACCAGCUUUUAAGCUGAGCCAAACAGGCUCUAAGUUAUUUCGAAUGAAAUUACGACCGUUGAACUAAUUUAUUUCACAAGCAACUAAGAACAAAAAAGAGGGGGCUUAAUAUCGGUGUUAAGCUGAAGAAAGAUGGAGAAUUAAGAAAUUAAAAUAAAAAGAAGAUGUUAGCAGGGUAUCACUGUUUUCGAUAAGAAAUCUUUAAUCAAACAAAAUAUAAAUUUAAUCUCGAAGAUAUUCAACCUUAUCUAGGAACAAAAAGAUCACUUAAUUAGUACAUCAGUUAAGAACAAACAUAAUUUCUAAAUAUUCUUUAUGUGCCCUAGUCAAAGUGUCCAUGGUGGGUCAUAUUUAAACCACCUUUGACACAAAAAAAAAGAAAAGAAAAAAGAAUAUACAGAAAUGAAUGGACUCAAGCAAAGACCCAAUCCAAAAGCAUAGACAAAAGUAGGAAUCAAUUAACCCCUAACACUAGUUUUUAUAACUUUACAAGAUAUUGAAGAACAUUUUUGACUAUACUAAAAUAAUUUAUCCACACCCUUUAAUCUUUAUAGCAUAUUUUCUUCUACUUUUAUCUUUUUCCUUUCUUAAUUUAUGUAAUAAGCAAUUCAAAUUAAUCAACCAAAUAGGGCAAAAAAAAAAAAAAAGAACGAACUUAAGAAUUUAUUGCACAUAAUCUUACUCUAAUUUCUAAUGGAAGUUGUUUCAUUUGAAUUCAUAACCUUCUAAUCACAUAACAAUAACUUAACCAGUGACUCAAGAGCUUCCUUAACACUCUACUAAAUGAAAUAUCACAAUUUAAUCUUCAAUGGACAAGCUUACGUAAUCUAUCCUAAUUUUUACUGCAAGUUGUUUCGUGAUUUGAAUCCAUAACCUCUUAAUCACAUAACAACAGAGUCUUUAACACUUUACUAAAUAAAAUAUCACAAUUUAAUCUAUAAUUGACAAGCUGUCUUCCAUAAUAAUUAAAUUAAAGAGAAGUAGAAUUUUAUUGAUUCUUGAUUAAUUUGUUACCAUUUUGUUUUUGGUGCACCAACUAAUGUUUUGAAAACAUUAAUCCAUAAUUUUUUUUAAGUAAUGAAGAAAUUAUCAAAAGUAUUAGAGAAGUGUGUAGUACAUGAAAUAGAAAUUAGUAAUCGUUUCUCAAAUGACCAUUUUAACCCUCACAUACCACUUUCACUAUUUAAAAGUCACUAGUUUUCCAUUGAAAUUUACUACUAAAAAAUGUUUAAUAGUUAUUCCUAUCGAUAUUUUAAUUGAAUGAGAGAGGAAAAUAAUAGCAUCUUCCUACGGAAAUAAUAGGAAGCUUUGAUGAGUAUCUACACUAUUGAAAAGAAUCGCUAUUUUCCCUCUAAAAUUUCCCCGGAAAAAUAUAAAUAUUCACUAGCUAUUCUCACGAAUAUGAUCAGUGUGAAACAAAAAAUAAUAGUAAUAUAUUGUAUAUGAAAAAGUUAACAAGCUUCCGACCAUUUCAGUGAGAAUGGUUAUACCAAGUCAUAUUUAAAUUAAUCCAACGAAAAGGUCAUCGAAUUGUUUAGCUUUUGACUAAUGCGCCGAAUUUUGAUGACUACUUGGCUUUUCCUGCAUGGUUUAAUAUUUUUGAAUAUAACACGAUUAUCAUAUUUAUUUGACUAAUUAAAUUACUCCCAAGUUAAUUAUUCACAUAGAGGGUCAGCUAGCAAAUCAACCCUAUGAAAAUUCCACAAUCUUGAGAAUGAAAUCGUCUUAAAUAAGUUUGAAUACCAAGAUUAGUAUAACUCUAUACUGUGACUUAAGUUUCCUAGAAAUUAGGAUGUACUCCAGAUUGGCCUUGCUCAGUGAUAAUUCUUGAAUAAUUUUUCAGGUUUCAGGAUUAUCGAAUCGUUGUUCACAAAGGCUACCAUAUGAGUCCAGAGAGAGGAGGGAGGCUUACAGUUCUUUCGUCUUCAAGAUAAGCUAGCAAGCUCCAGUUUCGAUCUUUAUCAAAUCUCAUAACCCUGCAGAAAGCUGAACAACAAAGGAGUUGAAAGAGAAAUGUUAAUAGCAAUAGUGUUGCACGACCUAUGGACCAGCACUAUAACAAUAACAAGAAAUCAGAACGCAAGGACGAGAAUUAUGUCUUGACAGGACGAAAAGGAAAGAUAAUAAUCGUAACCGUUCAAUUCCCUCGUCAGUUAGAUUAAUCCCCCAACUCAUCCCUUACCCUUCCCACUUAUCUGAAGCAAAAAUAAAAUCAAACGUAUAAAACCUGAGUUGAAAAUGAAUAUAGAUAAAUUAGAGCAACAUUUAUUUGUACCUCUUAUGAAUUCAGGUAGCACAUUGCCUGAGCUUGAAGAUAACAUGAAUCCUUGUACUUUCUCCCACUGCCAAUGUGAAUUCCAUUUUUAAUCCAGUCCUCACGAUGAAUCCAGGCCUCCCUACUAAUAUCAAGAAUUCCGAGGAUCUGCAGUGCAUAGAAGUGAUACUAACUCUAUAGAGUCUCAUACAAACUUAAAAGUGAAGCAUGGUACAAGAUAUGGUUGAACAGGUAUCACCUUAUGCAUCAUUAAAAGAAUAUUGUCUCAACAAGAUAAGUACAUUUAGCAUCCUGGAUAUAGCAAUCUCAAAUUGAGCUGGUGGAUAUUCGAAUAGAAGAAUUCUACCAACUGUAAAAGUGUACCACUUAGGAUUCUACAAAAACUAAGAUUAUUAAACAAAAAGCACGACACAAUACAAUGAUUGUCCCUCUUAAGGCUCCUGAUCUUUAAUUGAGAUGUUAUUCAUAAAUUAUGCACCAAAAUAGGUUCAGUGCAACAAUACUCUGUAGCAUCAACUGUUCAUUAAGCACUGUAGUGGAGUCUUACAGGUCAGUUGAUGCGAUUAGCAGCCCCAUUACGCUGUUCAGACUCGUCAGUGCCAUUUAUUUCAUUAGUGACAGAAACACACUUCAGCUAAUGCUAUAAUAGAUAGUUAUUAUUUAUCAACUCCUUUUAUUCCUUUUAUAAUUGUGGUGUGAGAGCUACCUUGCCUGAUUAUUUACCACCUCCUUAGAAUUACUUAUAAUACAAAGCCCUAAAUUGUAUCAAAGCCAUAUUACCACCAGAAUGUAGGAUAUAGCCGUUAAAAAAUAGUGUGACGGAAACUAAGCAGAACGUCUAAUAAAAAUAGUGUCUACUUACUGCUCCGCCUUUCCAUGACACAAAUGCUGGAUUUGUUCUCGAUUGCAAGACCUAAGAUAUGUACAUACAAACGUAAAUGUAAAUACAGCAACUUACUAAAUAAAAACAGAAUAAAAGAUGAGAAGAAAACGAAAUGAUGUAAGUCUGCAAGGACAGUAAGGGCUGCAAAAAAGGAUGGGUACCCAAUCACAAUAGUUUCUAUUGCACCUAUUUGAGCCAAAGAUUUUUCAAAGUCCAUUCCAAAUAUUUACCCACACAUGGUCCAUUUUACAUAUGUAUUUCAACAAGUUGGAUUAGUUGGGGAAGGAAUCUACAUACAGGGAAAAAAUGGCAACAACAACAAUCACUACGCUUCAUAUUUGUGCAAGUUGGUGUCCUACAUGAAUCCGAAACAGAACAAAAGAACACUUAAGAAUUUGUCUUUAUCCAUUCAUUCCAUACACAAAUCUUAAAUAGAUUGCUCUAUCGUGACAACAUCCCUAAUACCUUUUAAACUUCCAAAUACCCCUUUCAUAGAAAACGCCUAACACCCUCUUCAUUCCAUUUUCACCAUUUGUUCUUCUCUCUUUUGUGCUUAGGUCUAUUGCAUUUAUCACAAAAUAAUUUACAUUUAUUAAAAAUAAUCCUAUCAAACCAAUCUAGAGUAAUUGAUACAUAAGUUAAUUUGUAGUUGAAUCAAUUAGAAUUAAGAAUCUUGCAAUAAUCAGCUCCUUUUUUUCAAGGUGCCAAAAUAAUGGAACUCCUUUUUAGUGUGAACUACUUCAAAAGCAUUUAAGUCAUUUUAUAUGAUAAAAGUCAUUAUCAAUAUUCUUCACCAAACAUAUCAACUGCUUAUUAUCUGUUUCGGUACUUGAUAUCAACAUCUACAUCCAGAAAGCCGUAUACUUUGGAAGAAGCUUGUACAGUUUGUGAAGGGGUUUUGAUGGAACAAAAGAAGAAUCUACUUUAACCGAUAUUGCCCUCUCCAACACACAAUUACUUAUUUAUAAAAUAAACUUUAAAACUUAAAAGGCAUCAUUAGUAUGUGAUGCUUAUCAACUAAUUUGUACUCAUCAACAAGCGAGAGCAAAAGACGUGUAUCUUCCUAAGGAACAAAGGAACUCUCAUAUAUUUAUUUUUGGGUUCUCCUUUCCCUUUUCAAUUUGUUUUCCCCAUUUAUGGUCUUCAGCAUGCUGAAAACAAUCUAAGCAUCUGAAGGAUAUAUUUGAGAAGGCCAAACACAUAGAAACCUUAGGAUGAUAAUGGGGGCAGGACUGAUAUAAAUUUAUUUGAUUAAAUCAAGCGCCAGAUUAUGCAUCUGGCAAAGAGAAGAUAUAAGGUACACGAGAUUGUCUGCACAUGUAUAUUGAAGAAUGACAUAACAACUAGAAUAGAAAGAAAUCAAAAGCUCAAAACUUACCUCCACAGUGUCAAUUGCUUCAUGUGAAGGGAUUGCAUGUAAAACUCUGGAUACGAAAGUGAGCAGUUAGAUAAAAGCAUACUAUUUUGUUAGAAACAAAAAACAUCAAAGCAUACUAGACUACUGGUGAUCUCCUAAACCAUUUCUAUAGCUUGGAAAAUUUUGAACAUUCUACUUAUCAGCACUUACCUGAUAACAUGCCAAAUGCAGUCACCUAGUUAUGCUUUAAAAAAUUUCUAAACAGAGGGUGGAAUAUUCAUUGAUGAUAUGUAUAUAUAAUUAUGUCCAACUUCUUUUAGCAACAGGGCCAUUGUUUUCUUUUUCUGUUUAAAUUCCGGCAAAACUAGACUCAAAACAAACCUUUCCUCCACAGCAGGAAUGAGACCAUAAAUCGAUGCAGCUCCACCAAUCUGAAGAGUUGAAAAAUAUCACGCUUCAAACCACAUGACAAUAACUAUAGGUUUAAUGCCUCAAACAACUAACCAGUUGCAUGCUGCAAAACAACUUUCUCUGUAGCUCAAUACGCCCUGUCAAUUGUAUGAAACAAGGCUCAGAAAGAGUAUCCAAAUUCUACCACAUUAUAGAAUACAUUACUAUUAUCACCUGUCAAAAGAAUGCUCUUUGUAAUAGCUUCAGCAAGUCCAAUAAUAUCUUCUUUCUUUGGCUUUGUUUGGAAAACUGGGUAGCUCUCCCACAUCGGAUAUGCACCACCACCAGGGAAGUCCAUGUGCCAUGUGUCCUCAAGCAUAUCAUCAUAAUCGUUAAACCUAUUUAGAUGCAAUAACUGAGCACAGAAGGAGGAGAAAGGAUUUAGUGAAAUCAUAUAUACUUGACUUACCAAGAGCGAGGUGGCGGAGGAUAGACAUCUGGAACCAAAAGCAUUGGGUAAAAUAAACCCAUUGGGGGAACCUGUAUUAUCAAACUAUCAGGCACUAAUAUCAACCCUUGUGAAUUCAAGGUUUCAUCUUUAUCAGCAAGUACCAAAUCUGCCUCUUUCUUUUGAAAUACAGAUGGAACUUGAUACUGUAAAUUUUUUUGUCCAACUGUUAACAUGGAAUCUCAUGUUCAACAAAUCAUGUCGCAAUUGCUCACAUGAUAUCUCAGCUUCAAUUGCAAAAGCAUGUCAUAAUUUAAUUUUGGAUUUUCAUUGAAUCAUGAUCAAAGAAUAACUUUUCUGGAUUAGACAAUUCAAGUUGUCUCCCUUGUAAAGCAGUAACCUUGUCAUAUAUUGCAUUGAAAAUGUUGCCCCAGAAAGUUACGAGGCAUAAGCAGAAUUUAUCUUCGAAGAGUUAGAAUGUGAAAGUUAAACAAAUGGCAUUAAUCACACGUCCUCUUCAAAAAAAGCAAAAUAAAUACAAGAAGAUUUUGAGGUUAAGAGGUAUACAUUAAGAGCAGUCAGCCUAGUCUUAUGAGAUCCAGGUUGCAUUCCAUCUUCAUAUGAAUGUACCAUAGCAACAGCUUCUACUUCCCCCUCCUGGACAGUGGAAUAAAUUAAACAUGCAUUUAGGUAUUCAUGUAAGGAUGCAUCCUAUAUAACUAGAGUUAAUAUAAACAGUGUGGUAGAUUACAAUAGAAGGUGAUAAAUCGAACAAUUAAACUGAACAUCAUCCACUAAUUGUCUCCAUUCAUACCAAGGACACUUUGGAUAUACAUUCCCAGGUUCAUAUAUUGAUAACCAAACCGAGGAAUAUCCAGUAAUGGGCUAUACGUGUUUCUAGCAUAUAAAGUUAAAAACCUUAAAUUUGUAUUUUCCUGAAUAUUAGGAAACUUACUUUGAUCUGACAGUAGGACUCCUUAAGUCUGUUAAGCAUCAGCAAAUCUACAGGCUUCGACAGGGCAUCAGUCCGAAUAGGUGGCCAUGUUUGAUGAUGCCUCUGAGUCCAGAGAAGGCAUCUUGAUAUAUCCUGUUAGAAUUUUUUAAAAAAACAGACAGGUUGGCUAAGAAAGACGAAAGACAAUUAAAAAAUCAUUGAGGGAAGACUACAGGAGAAGCCGAGAACUUAAUAAACUGCUUCAAGCUUGAUGCUGAAGUGUGUAAUCAUCUCAUCUAAAAGCUUAAGCCAUUAGUGAGAGUACAUUUUUAAUUAUUUAAUUAUAUUAUGUAUCAACACUUGAAGACAAAGAAAACCUAUGUUUUUCCAAAAAAAUCCUAGAACUUUGCAUUAUUUAUAAAUUAUAAAGAAAAGGAGAAGAAAAGUUUGUUCCGGUAUUAUAAGAACAAGGGAUAGUUAAGUUUGUGCUAAUUAUCAUAUAUUGAACUUUGCAUCAUAUGAUAGAUCUUUGGAAUAAAGUUAUCGAAUAUAGACUUGGGGAUAUUACAAAGGUGAAAUCAGUUUGGAUUCACGAGCAAUAGAUCUAAGGCAUAAGCAGCCUAUUGACUGCAAAACUAUUCAAUUGAAACAUCCGAUUAAAGAAGUUCCCAGUUUAUUAUAUGUCUCACCCUAUUUAAAAAAGCUCCAAGAAAUAAAAAUGAAAAUAACCCCUGCUAUAAGCAAAGCAUAAAAAAAAUUGAGCUUCUCAACUUUUUCAUUCCGCAAACUAAAAUCCAUAGUUUUACUGAAUGCUCACCUCUCCACCAAACCGUAAAGAUAUCUGUGUUGUGGGUAGAACCACUCCAUCCUGUCCAAUAGCAUUAACAAUUAGCAUAUGAACUCAUGGAGGAUCAGCAUAAAGGUCAAAUAGCAAUUUUCAGAUGUUCUUGUUAAAAAGCAUAAGAAUAUCACAGAAUUUUUUUUACUUCCAGAUUUAAGUAACAACAUAUGUAUAGACUGUAGGUCAUCUACAUAGAUAACAAGGCACUGACAGAGCAAUUGGGGAGAUCAAGGUGAAGCAGUAAUCACAGUGAAGUAAUGACAAUGAAAGAUAUCAUGCCAGUGAUAGAAUAGCACUCUCAGAAUCCCAAUUUUCUUGUAUAAUUUUACCUAGAAUUGAGACUAUGGGUAAUGAGAAAUUUUCUUGUACUUGGGUGUGCAUCAAUAGCACUGAUGGUACUGGAUGUACUAAUCAUGAUUCAUGGCCUUUCACAAUAGGUGGCGAGAGCCGCUCGGAAAAUCUAUUUAAGAAAUAAAGAGGAUAGAUGCCAUUACUGUGAGUCUGUGAAGACUGAUGCCUCAGUAACAUGAAUUACUUUCGGAACGUUAUCAUGAUUCAUGUCCAGUUAUAACCACCCACUUCCGCAACACACAAGGAAAAACGCUUGCAGUAUGCCAGUAUCAAAGUUACUUAGAAUCCUUAUCCUGGGUCCCAUUCUAAUGCUGGGGUGCUAUAAACAAAGCUGUAACAAAAAAGGGACUUAAUUGUUACUUUCCAACCAUAUAGAAUGUAGAAACAAAGCCACCAUACCUCAACACAGAUAACAGAUGUCACUUGAGCUCCCAUGUUGACAAUGCAUGCUGUUGAUAAACCAUUUCCAAAAACUGCAGCAAGACCUUCCUGGUUUAACCAAUUGAAACAGAACAUGAGUAACAAAGAUGAUUUCAUACAUUUGCCCCCAAGGCCUAGCUCGAGUGGCAAAAGGUGGAGGAUUUGUGGCUUAGGUCACAGGUUCAAGCCCCACACCAUGUAAAGCGAAGCCUGGCAUUUAAGUGGAGAAGGGUAGAGGGGUGGCCUAUUAUUCACCGAGUUUAGAUGGUUGUGAUUGGUCCAAAGGACGGUCAGACAAAUUUCCCGGUAGUCAAAAGAAAAAGAUUAUCUCAUCCAUUUUUAUCCCUACUGUUGAUUACAAGGUACAGUUAGCACUUCCAGUUAGUUGUUGACAGUCAUCUGCAUUUCCAAGAACAGGCAAUUGCAUAUUCAAGAGUAAAGUUUUUCUAUUUCAGCAAACUUCUUGACAUCCUUAAUGUUUCUUCCUUAGCCCUCCUAAGGUAACUAAUGGCACAAAGAAGGGAGACUUUUAAAGCUUGUAGCAUUAAACAUGCCAUAACAUUCGUGUCACGAUAAAAGUUUGUCAUUAAGGAUAAAUAGAAGGUUUGUGUUAAUAUUUCCGAACUUAUAAAACUGCCGGGUUUUUUUAAACCGAACUAAAAAAUUGUCACAGGAACUGGAACCGAGGGGAGUAAAUAAUUUAGAUCUUGGAUUAUCAUAAGAGACAACUAGGAUGGAGAAAACAAAACAUUGAUGAGACACCCUAAACAUAGGAUUUCGGGGAGCCGAAUUAUUAAUUUAAAAAGAACAGAGAUUUAUUCACCGUUCCACACCUCCUCCCACUGAGUGCAACUUCAAAUAAAUAAGUGUUUUUAAUAGAUUCUGACCCUUCUUUUUUAAUUUCAUCAAGAAGUAGGUGCUCCAUAAGAAAGAAAGUGGGCCAAUCGUUGGGCAAGUUAUUGCUAAACGUACUGGUGUACAAGAUAAAUCUUCCUAUUCUCCUUAAGUAACUGAAAAUGAAAUGUAUUAAGUUUGAUCUACAUCAAAAUAGCCUUAAACCAACUUUCAAGAAGUAAGCUUAAAAUUCCUGGAAAACUAAACGUGAUCCCCUUUUAGAAAGUGCAGCAAGUCUAUCAAGAAACUUGCAAUGAGGGUAGUAAUAUGUAAGUUCUUCUAUGAUCAUACUUAACAAAUACAUACCUUACACACAAGCUUUAUUGGUAUUAUUGUUGAUUAGAAAGCAUGGGACAAGCAAUUAUCAGAUCUUCAAAAAAAUAGAAUGAAGCAAUCUAUAUAUUUCAAAGUUAAUGCUGUCAUGUAUGUCGGUAGUUGGAAAAUUAUAUGAACAGGUUAAUAAGAAUGAAGGCUUAGGUCCAACUUGUGUGCAUACAUACAAUCACUUCAUAAUGCCUAAAAAGUUCAGCAACAUAAUAUCACCUGGUGGACUACUGCUGAACCAAACCGUAAGUCACGCAACACGAUAGAUAGCAUUUCCUUGAUUUCUGCUUUGCAUAAACAGCAAGAAGUGUUACAUUUUCUAUAAGGAACAAAAGUUCUAUAUCAACGACGGAAAGGGUGAUCAUAUGGUAAAUAUGAGUCAAUCUAUAUUGUCCACUUAAGAUUUGGUAAUUUAAAGGGCAAAGUAGAUUAAACUACAGGCUACAUCAUAUACUUUUUUUUAAACAUAGGCUACAGUCAUAUAGUACUAUGUUAUUUCCUAGAAUUUAGAAAGAAAGGAAAGAAGCAGGUUAUAAAUACUUUUAUUUGCGAGGAAGCACAAUGCCUUGCUAAAUUCAUUUCUUUUGGAAAUUUGUGAAUGUGGUUUGACAUAAUAACUGAACUAUAAGCAUAUUAACAUUGUUGGAUUGUUCAAAGGAAAUAGUUGAUAUUCUCUUGGUUCCCCCACAAAAUAAUGUGGUAGAGUAGUACAUAAAACUAGUAAAAUGAGCUCUCUUGGUUCUAUGUUAUAGUAGGUAUUGUCUUGAUACUAUGAUAAUGAUAAUUUUGAUCAGCUUUGGUGGGGUAAUUUAGACCCACCAUAUUCCACAAUGAUAAUAUCGACAAUAAGGAUGUCCAUAUUUUUUUUGAUAAAAGAAUAAGGAUGUCCAUAUUAUCCAGUGAGUAACCUAUCUUCCAUUCGUGUUAAAUAUGAUUGGUCAGGUAUUUUAUCCAUUUUUGUUUAACUCGUUUUUGACUUGUCCAUAUCCUACUCAAUCCGCCUGUUUCCCACUCCUAAUCAGAAGAUUAGUCACUUAACAGCAAUCUCUUAGACAUUAACAAAAACAACAUAUCCAAUGUCAUCCCACAAGUGUGGUUUAGGUAGGUUAGGAUGUACGCGGACUUUACCCUUACCUUUGUGGGGUAGAAAGGUUGUUUCCAGUAUAUACAAAAGAAAUUAAAAUGACAAUCUGAAGAAACCAUAGGGAAAUUUUCCUCUUCACCAAACUGUUGGGCUUCUCCAUGGACAACAAGACCCUAUUUCAAAGUUCUUGCUCUGAAUUCCGAUAUUCCUAAUUCCAAAUCCAAGUAAUUGAUGAGUAGAGAAAUUCUCUGAGAGACCAUUUUAUGAUGGAUCACUAUCUUCAGCAUUUGGAGAGGCAAGGAGAACUUCAAUGCUUGGAAAACUAGUCAAGAUCAGGGAAGCAGAGGAAAAGUACUGAUCUUUCCUUUUCAUCAUUUGGUGUUAGCAGUAGGAAGAGGAGGGAACAUGGGGAUAUAAUUUCCUUUUGGGCCUACAAAUUUUAAUUUCCCUUUUCUCUUCAAUUUACCCACUUACUAUACUUCUGCUCUCUUUUGCCUUACCUUCCAGUUCCCAAAAUCAGUGGAAACGAGACCAGAACAGCUCUUUGGAUUCGUCUCAAUAUAUUGUCAAUUAAAUUCAUUAUUCUCAUUUCAGUCUGCAGGACAGCACAUAUGUAAGAUAACACACUAUCACAAUUUUUUUUAAAUGAUAGUGGUGUUUGGCGCCAAUUUGCGCAACCCUGAGCUAGUCCACCUACUGUAGCACACAAGCACAAAUGUUGGUAACCUGCCCAUCAAGGAUGGAGCAGCUGGGGAUUCCUACUGUCACACACACAUCUCUCUGUCUUGAUAGUCCAACUAGUGGAGUAUUUACUUUCUCUAGAACACUGGAACUUCACAUUGCUUCUUCAAUUAAAACAGGUGUCCCGUGGAUGACAGUAUGUCAUUUUUACAAACCAACUAAGAGAAACACAUAAGAGACCUUAUGCAGACGUGAAUUAGCGAAGCUAGCUAGACCAUGAGCAGCUAAAUUCCAGGAUCUAGUGGUGCAUGCACCUUAUAAUAUUUAUUUCAAAAAUUGCAGAUUUGACCAAAAUAACAAGAUUCUAGCCUAAACAUAAAUUUACCAGAUUCUGGUUUCAGACAGAAAAAAUGAGAAGGAAAAAAUAGAGUAUAUAUACCACGAUUGUCAAAUGUCUCUGGAAUAACAAGGAUUGCAGAAUACAUGCUUCUCUCACGAUGAGAAAUAUGCAAUUUCUCAUCCAAAAUCCACUCCCAUAUAGUAUGCAGGUCUUCGAGAACCUAAAAUUCCCCAAGUAUUAUAAAAUAAUGGCCACUGUAACUCUAGUUAAUCUGAAAGAAGUUACAUUUAUACACCUUUCGAAAAAUCAACAGAAAAGUUUUCAGAAAAUCAUGCCAAUGCUCAAUGAAAAAAUUGGAAAGAGAAAUCCAACAUUGAUGUCAAAAGUAUAGUUACUAAUGUGUGAGUCACAACUGGAAGAAGCAGAUGCACAUCAAAUUUUCCAUGCAUCUAAAGAAAUCUUGAAACAAAAUGUUACCUGCUGCGUCGGAUAAUAUUGAGAUACAUUCAGAUGACCUCGGCGUAUAGGACGCCGCAAGCAAUAUGGUUCAGUUGGGGAAAUUCUUAAAGCUUCCUCUCCACAUAUGUACUCUCUAUAUUUACGUUCACUGGAAUUAGGUUCAACCUUAAUCUUGCUUUCCUUCAGAGUGGGUGACUCGCUGGUAUCGUCCUCGUUGGGUACAUCUUCUGCUAUUGCAAAACAUACUUACUCAUUCUUGAAAUAAAGGUGUAAAUAGCAAAAUAAACAAACUAAGCAUGUUCUAGUACCAACUACUACUGAAAAUCAAACAAAAGCUAAGCCAAUCAGAAAAUAUAUUCUCUCCGAACAAAGUGUCCUUAAUGUAAAAUUUUGAGAACAGAAAAAUAUUUUCAAGUCCAAAAUUUAAGAUCGGGUCAUCAACUAUGGAAGAGUUGCCGCAAAAUAUCCUUGUCAUAAUGCUCAUUGGUCAUCUGAGAAGCUUGACACGGGAUAUCAGAUGAUAUCUAAUCGCUAAAAGAUCUCCCAGAAAAUAUGAAUUAGACCAUCCACAGAAGCACUAAUAGAAUUAUAGAUGGGGAACCAUUCGGCUGCUUUAGGCAUUGAUAGCAGAAAAUAUUUUCAUGCCAGCUGGAACAUAGGGCUACUUGCCAACCAACUAACUGGCUAGGGCAUCACUUGCGGACAAAGAAGAAUGAGUUGUAGACUAAAAGAGUAUUCAAACUCCAUACAAAAUAUUGUGUAUCUGUACAUAUAACUGGUUUACAAGAAAACUAUACACCACCUAUAACUUUCAGCAUAGAGAAUGCAACAGCCAAACCUGAACGAAUAAAUGCUUAAUUCAAAGAAUGAACAUGUUACAGUACUUACCUGUUGUUGAAGAAUGAGGGACAUUUCUCUCAAAAACAUCAGUCCAAGUGAACACUGGCUCUUUCAUGUUAUUUUGCGGAGGAUAUGCGUCUACACGCCCCAUCUGCACAGAUAAACACAAAAUACACACAAAAGAUUGUCGAUAGAGGUAUUCCAGAAAGCAUGGCUAUAGAUACUUUGUAGUUCAACUAGUUUCGAUUCCAUUAAAAUCUUCCUGAUAAAAUCUAGCUUCAAUAGCUCCAAUAACCACUCCUUACCACACAUGUACUUGAAAAUCCCGCAGAACCAAAGAAAAAAAAAUUCAUAUUAUACUUUAAAAAGCAUAGAGAAUUAUCCCUGGUACCUUGCGUGGAUAAGAACUGUUAGCUACCUCCUCAUCCAAAAAUGGAAUUCUCAAUAAUGACGCAACCUGAUUAAAAAAAAAGUGAAACAUCGAAAAUAUUACAAUGUAUUGAUGUCAUCGACCUAUAUAGUUUCAUAUUCGUGCUUAUAUGAUUAAACAUCUUUUUUUUUUCAAGCUCAAAUAUAUAAUUUAAACAUUGUUUACCAUAUUUCAUCAUACUUACAAUGUCAUAAGCUCUUUCCCUUUCCAUAUGCUGUGCAGUCGUAACCUGAGAAUUCAGCAUCUAAUCCACCAAAAAAAGAAAAGGAUAUCAUCAAAAUACAUAAACAUACACACUUGCAAUAUGAUCAACAAACUAAAGAUGACUUAGAACUUCAAAACUAAAAUUUGCGAAAAAUCACAUAAAACUGCAAACUUAACUACAAAAAUUCAAAAAAAUUGGCCUUACUUGAUCUUGAGCAUUUCGUUUCGGUAACUGACUAGUGCGACGGGAUAUGCAAUGAGGUAUAUUCAAUGGAGUGUCAUGUUGAGCCAAUCCUAUUCUAAUAUUUGCGGAACCUAAAUUACAGUACAGUAUUUCACUUAAUUAGUUAAUAGAAAAAGCAAAAAAAAAUGGAAAUCGAGGAGAAUUUAGGGUUUAGUACCUGGAUUGAUGACGACGAUAUUGGACCCGCGUUCAGUGAAGAUGUUAGUAGGAACUGCUGUUUUAGGGUAAUCCUGUGUAUAGAAACAAAAAUUGUUAAGAUUGAGAAGAAGAUUAUAGUGUGUAGCAAUGGAGAAGAUGAGCACCAUGGCUAAAAGCUUGAGCUGGUGCUGAGGCCUGAGGGAGCAGAAAACGGUACUGAUGAAGAAGGGGGGUUAGCUUAUAUACUGUUUGGAAUUGUCCCGAAAAUUGAAUUUGCUCAAUUUUGUGUACAAAUUAACGUGACUCUUUAGAUUAGCUUAGUUGAGGUUCCGUUAGUUAAUUCAUGAUUUAUAUUUUUUCUUUAAGAAAAAACUACUUUUCAUUGUUACUCUUUAGAUUAUUUUGAAACUUUUCACUUAAAAAUGAAAAAUAGUUAAACAUUUUAUUUUAAAAAAAAGUGAAACUAAAAAUAAAAGUUGAUAAUUUUAUUGAAUUUUGAAAACAAUAAUAAUAUACUCGAUGAAAUUUCACGAAGGAGGCAGAGAGACUAUUAUGAAAGAUCCUGAGCUCAAGUGCAAUAAAUUUCGCUAUGAAGAUGAAAGAGAUAAUGAAGAGAAUAUAACAAAUAAUAAGAAAACAAUGCAAAGUCUACAAAAGAAUAGCCAAAACAACAAUAAAACAUUUGAUAAUCGAAACUUCGUAACAACAUGCUAGGGUAGAUUAGUAUAAAGUUAAAAAAUAAUAAUGAUAAAAAAAGUUACAAUAAUACAACUAGUUCCAUCACAAACAUCAACCACCAUAAGCAAGACAACAUUAUAUUAUCUAUUAACCCUCGCAUCUUCGUGUCUAAGGUUAUAUCGUCAUUCCUCUGAAUUUUAGACCCAAAAUACUUAAAUUUAUCUCUCUUGAAGAUAUUUGUGUGUCAAACCUCACUUCCAAGCAUAUCUCAUGCAUCGUAUUAUUUAAUUUUUACCAAACAUAUACUAUCUUGAUUCGGCUCAACAUAAACCUUUUAGCAUCUAAAGUUUUUCUCUACGCCUACUUAGCACCAAUUUUCUUGCGCGUCUCAUCAUGUCAUCCACAAAUAACAUAUAUCACGGCAUUUUAUCUUGAAUGUCAAGCGUUAAAGCAUUCUUCGCAAAGACAAACAGAAACACACCAAGAUUCGACCCUUGGUGUAAGCUGAUCUCCCCAUGAAGGUGCUCUAGAAUCUCCUCCCCUUGUCUUAUCCACAUUUUAGCCUUUUCGUACAUGUCCUUUAUCGCUCUAAUGUAGGUCAUUGAUAUACCUCUUGCCUCAUGCAUCGCUACCAAACUUCCCUCUGAACUUUAUCAUAAGUCUUCUCAAGGUCAAUGAACACCAUAUAUAUAUUCCUCUUUCUUUUUCAAUACAAUUCUAUCGUUUCUUCACAAAAUGAAUGACUUCUACCAUAAAUCACCCUAACAUAAAUCUAAAUUAAUUCUCUAAAAUAAACACACUAUUUCUCACUUUCUACUUCACCAUUCUCUCCCAAACUUUUAUAAUAUAACUUAACACCGCUAUAGAUAUUACAAUUGAAUAUGAUUAGAGGGAAUACUAUUUUUUGAGUGUGGGACCAAAAUGAAAGGAACAAAAGUCAUAAAGGAGUUCAACAAGAAACUACUCUUAAAACCAAGGGACAUAUUUGAGAAGACCACAAAAAUAAUUCUUCCAUACUCACCUACUUAAAGAAUGAAACUACUCGCUUACUCAAGCUGCCACGUUUCUCAAUGCUAUUGGUUCUAAAACGUGUCUCCUUCAAUCAACCGUACAUUUCAAAGAUGGCCAAACAAAAAAGCGAGUACACUAUUUUUAUCUUACUCCCGAGCGUUUGCCAUUUGCAUAGAGAAAUUUAUAGUAGGUAUGGAGGAAAUUUAAAUUUUACAAAUAUAAAUAAGCCGUCGAGAAGGAAAAAAAGGUAAGUGGACAUAUUUGAGAAGAGUUGUUAUUUGUGUUUGAUACGAAGAAAAAUAUCAUUUUAAAAAAAUUUUAAGUAAUUAAAUUGCAAGUUUGUAACUUACAAUGAGCUUUUUGAGGUAAAUUUGAAUUAAUGAGAUUUUAAUAUUGAUAUUAAAUAUCUUAUGAUAAAUAAAAACAAAUAUAAUAUCUUCUAUAGUGAUAGAAUCACAUUUCGUUAUAUUAUUCGUACUCUAGAAAUAAUUUUAAUAAUUUUUAAUUGAAAAAAGUUUGGAUGAACUCAUGGCCCUUAUUAGGUUCAAAGUAUUUCUUAAAAGCCUCACGAUAAUAUUAUUUUUUCUUCUUCAAAUAUAAAACUCAAUCGAUUCAUUUGUGUAUUUCUAAGAAUAAUAAUAAAAUCUCUUAAUUCUCCAUCCCAAACUUCUUCAACUAUAUUUCUUAAAAGAAAUAUAUUAUUGUAUGAAAAUUCAUAACUAUUGUGCAUAUUUUAGUUAUUAAUAUUCUUACUUUUUAACGUGAAUACAAAUAUAAUGUAAAUAAAUAUCAAAAUCAAACAUAACAAAUAAAAUUAAAAAAGUGACUUCAAAUACUAAAGUUUGAAUUCCCCGAUACUAAGGGGACCAAAGAACAAUUUUUUUUACUCUAACAAGUAUUACUACUACCUAUAAAUUAAAGGAAAACAAAGACCAACAAGAUCCCUGUUUUUUCUCUCUGUUUGAAUUCAUCUCUGUUUUCUCUUUUAUAGAGAGAAAUUUGAAUCCCCAUUUGCAUUGUAAUGGCGACCAUGUCAUUCGUUGGAAGACUUCUCUUCGUAUCCGUCUUUGUUCUCUCCGCUUAUCAAGAGUAAGUUCUUCAUUUUUCAUAUUCAGAUCUGCUCUGUUUUUAGUUUUUUUUUUUUCAAAAUAUGAAAAAGUAAACACACGAAUAAGUUGAAGAACCCAAAGGGGUUCAAUAUUUACUAUUUAUGUAUAACUAAUAAAUUUAGUUUUGUACAAAUAGUGUAAUUUUUCGCCGGAGUGGUAGGAUGUGUAUAGUGAGGAAAGCUAGGGUUUUGUUCUUUGCUUUAGGAGAUAGAUCCAACAUUUUAAUGUAAUUGACUGUACACGUUGACCUUAUGCAUAUUAUGUAAUUGAUGACAGUAUGAGUUGCACUUUGCAAUUCUUUUGGUUAGUUUCUACUGGCCAGCAUGCAGAUCCGCUUAUUUGUUUUGGUGAGGUGUUGGAAUAUUAUUGUUGUUUCGUGGUAAGUUAGCUUUUGGAGUUGAGUUUAAGCUUAAAGUUCAAUUUUUUAGCAUGGUGUCUUUGUUAGUUUGUGUGCUUAUAGCUUAUAUUGAGUAAAGGAGUGUUGUAAUUGAGAUUCAAAUCUGGGAUCUUUAGGUUGUUAGUUGUUACUACUAUGCCUUGAAUACUCCGCCAUUGGGGAGUAGAUCCUUCUCGUGUUUGUACUUGGUUUGAGUUGAUUUGUUAACAGAGUUGGAUGACUAAGUUUUGGAUGAAUUAGUGUAAUGAUUUGGAAUCAGCUCAAUUGGUUGUGAUUGGAGAUCUCUCAAUGUUUUUGAAGUUGAUUUUCUUGACUUUGAUGUUGAAGUUGGAACUUUUUGGUUGGAAUUGUGUUUUUUUGCUCUUGUGUGUUGAUCCAUUCAAGAUGUAGAUUUACAACUAUAUGACUGGAUAUAUGGUGCAAAGAUUACAUAGCUUGAGUCAAGGUUUGUGUUCUUUGUACUUGUGGCAUGCUUAUAAAGCUGGCACUUGAUGUGUUGUUAACACUACCCGGUAAAGUAGAUCUGUUAUUGGAGUUUUAUAUUGCUAGAGGAAAUUACAUUACGAAGUUUAAAUGUGAGGCCCAAUCUAGAUUCUUGAAUUUGGUAUUGGUGUUAAGGCUGUCAAUGGUACAGUAUGUGUGUUCUAUGGUGUAAACUAUUACCACUCUCUCUACUGAGUCUGUUAUGGAAUACUUGCCAAUACUCAUUUUCAAAUUGAUUGAACAAGUAUACCCUUUUAUAUAAUACUUGUUAGUAUGGAAGCUAAUUCUGAAGGACAUAAUGAUGACUUGCAUAAUGUUUCUUUUGCUCCAUUUCAUGUGCAUAUAUCUGACCUUCCUCAAGCCUUUAAAAAGUCAAUAACUUGCAUUUUCCUCUUUGGUUUGUGUGGCCCGAUAUAGAAAAUACAGCCUACUUCCUUGACUCUCUUUCUUGAGUCCUGUACUACCAAAUGGCUAUAGAUGAAGCAAAAAGGAAUAUGUUAGAGGUCAAUAACACAACUGAAAUGGUGUUAAACAUAAAACAUGUACCAGAGUGCCAACUGCGUGGCACUUCUAUCUACUGAGCUUCGAUGAUUAGUUCAUUGAUUGAUAUUACAUUAGAAUGUUUGGGCUGAAGAAUUUAUGAAAAGUUAAACUAUUGACUGUCUUGGACUGCAACAUUGGGAUGUAGUCUGCGUACAUAAUGUAGUCCGCGUACAUAAUGCUAGGAGUAGGGGAACUUUCUAAAUUAUUUUAUAAUUUCUUUGCCCUUAUAUUUUAUUCGUAAACUGAUCAUUAUUCAUCAACUGCUCUGGUUAUAGGUUCAGUGAAUUUGGGUCUGAUGGCGGGCCAGCAGCAAAGGCUUUAGCACCAAAGUUCAAUGUUUUGUCAAAGCAUGUGGCAACACACAUCGGAUUUGAAUUACCCCAUGUAGAGGUAUCACUUUGGCUCAACUUAUUUGACCUUCUUUCUUAGUUGUACCUAACUUAACAUGAUAUGUUAUUUACAGAUGAAACAUCUUAUUUUGGGGGCCAUAGUUUUGAAGGGUCUUGGAAGCCUUUUAUUCGUCUUCGGCAGCACUCUUGGAGCUCUUCUUCUGGUUUGUAUCUUACUAUGCGUCAUUUUCUUGUUGGACUUACAUUGUAUAGUAGCUUUCGUGGGGUUUUUUUUUGGGAAACUAUUUUGUUUGAACCUUUUUGUCUCAUACCUCACUUAUCCUUAUCUUUGUUUGUUUACACAGCUGAUACAUCAGGCCGUUGCUUCCCCAGUUUUGUACGACUUCUACAACUAUGAUGUUGACAAGAAGGAAUUCGUUCAACUCUUUUUCAAAUUUUCUCAGGUUAGCCAUUGGUUUGCUCUUCAAACUUUACGUUCAUCUGGUAUUCGUAUCUGCAAUGUAUUGAUAAAAAGUACGUCUCUUCACUCGUUUGAACAGAACUUGGCGUUGCUAGGUGCACUAUUGUUUUUCAUUGGCAUGAAGAACUCAAUGCCCAGGAGAUCAUCCUCCUCAUCUUCAAAGAAGAAGGGUCCAAAGGCAAAAGCAAAUUAAGAAGGGAAGGUGCAUUUUUGUUGCAACGGUUUCGCGAUUUCAUAUUUUUCCUGCAGGUUUACGAUGUAUUUUUCUAUUUACGGUUGAACUUUCCCAACCCUUUUUAGCAUAUUCAUCUUUGUUUUUUUUUUUUCCUUUAGCCGGCAAUUUUAAACGUUUGAACCAACACUAUUUAGAUAUCAACAGUGCAAUAUGAGAAAAAUGUAGUUGAUAUUUACAUUGUUAUCAUCUGUAGCCAUGUUGGUUCUUUUUGCAGCAGUUGUACUAUUUCAUGUACUGACUGAAAAUGUUGCUCGUACUAAUAUAUUUUUAUAGUAUAAUGAAUGAGUAAAAAUAAUCAUUUGCCAAAUGUAAAGUACCUACAACAGUAAUGGAGGUGCGCACUAAAUAAAAACACAUAGUAGGUAUGCUGCAGUAAAUUUUGUUGGUGUACCAACCUGGAUUAUAAUGUGGGAUUUGAGUUUCGUGUUUGAGCUCGAGGUCUUAGUAUGAAAAAAAAACUAUUGAAAGCGUCAUUAGUUUGGCGAUGUACAGUUCAACUUUAAUUAAUGUUGUUGGAGUUCUUAUCGGCUCAUUUAACUUAUUUUCGCCAUCUGUGUUAUUUAAUUAUAAUUACUUGCUAUUAUUAUCGUGAUAUUUUCUAUGAUAUUAUUUUAAACAUUAAACAGCAAUUUACAUGGUAAGCGGAGACUUUAUAAAUUAUUGCUCAUACACGUGAAAUACACCAUUUAAAAUUUUAAAUAAUAUAAACUCAUUGCACCACUAGUCCACUAGGAUUUAACUGAAAUAUUUGCUGCUUAAAGUCAAUUUUUUUGCCAAACAAGUGGCUAUUAAUUAAUAUGUUUGAAAUGAAUCUUAUUCUUAUCAUCUAUCUAACCUUUUAUAAAACUUGCAUCAAAUAGGAUUUUUUUUUUUCAAAAGAGAUUUGAAUUUAUCGGUGAAACUUUUGAUUCCGUCACCGUACAAAAUGAUACAACAAAUUCAAGACACGUCCUCAUCAAACUAUGAUAAAAAUAUAGAGCUAAAAGCCUUUGAUGACACGAAAGCCGGUGUUAAAGGCCUUGUUGAUGCUGGAAUUACUCAAGUACCUCGGAUAUUCAUCCAUCCAGAGGUUUCAGGCUCGGGGCCUUCCCCGAGCCUGGAGGAAACACGUUUUGUUUUUCCAAUAAUAGAUCUCGAAAACAUCAAUAAAGAUCCUAUCAAGCACAAAGAGAUUGUUAAAAAAGUUGGUGAUGCUUCAGAGACAUGGGGAUUCUUCCAAGUGAUCAAUCAUGGUAUUCCGAUGUCAGUCCUGGAUGAAAUGCUACGAGGAGCACGAGGUUUCUUCGAGCAAGAUAUUGACGUUAAGAAGAAAUAUUAUCAUCGCGAUUAUACACGGAGAGUGGUGUAUAAUAGCAAUUUUGAUUUGUAUAACCCUAAGGCUUUAGCAGUAAAUUGGAGAGACUCACUUUAUUCUACUAUGGGUCCUGAGCCUUUUAAUCCUGAGGAAUUGCCUGAGGCUUGCAGGUAUGUAUUUUCGGAAAAUUACUCUGUCUUCAUUUUAUAUCACGCUCUUUUCAUUUUGGGAUGUUUUAAAAUGUUUGAUACCAUUCGAUGAUGAUGUGUUGGUUGUUUCAAUGAACCUAAAUUUUCAAUUAUUGCUUUAGUAUUUUCUUUCAUGUCUAUCAAUAAUAUGCGCCGUCCAUUUCAUUUUAUGUGAUAUUAUUAUAUGUUACUUUUUGAAAAGUCAAAGAGUUUCAUUAACCAUAUUUUAUAUGUAGAUUAUUUUGAAUUAUUAACUAUUGUGAGUUAGUACUUUUUGUAAGCAUGAUUUUCAAAUAUGUAAGUCUAAUUUUAGAAAAAUUCAAGAAUUUGUCUGAAUUCACAAUGAAAGUUAAGUUGGUUGACCCUCGUACUCCAAUGAAAAUCAAUUUAUAUCUUAAACUCUAUUUUCAGUCAGAUACUAUAUCAUAUUAAAUAAAAGACAUAAUACAUAUAAACAUUAUUUUUAACUUGGUGUCAGUUGACAACUAUGACCCUUAACUUUAUAUGUACACAAGUAGACACUCAAACUUGUAUAAAAUUGAACAAAUUGACACAUUCGUCCUACAUGGCACCCUACAUGAAAAUUUUGUGUCCUUCGUGUAGUAUGCCAUGUAAGACACGGGUGUCUACUUGUUCAAUUUUAUACAAAUUUAAGUGUCUACUUGUACACUUCCAAAGUUAAGAGUCAUAAUUGUCAACUGACGCCAAGUUAAGGGUCAUAUUUAUAUAUUAUGCCUAAACUAAAAUACACAUGGAAUAACUAAACUAAUAAGAAAUGAUGCAUAUUGUAUACCUUUCUUUUCAAAACUUAUUAUUUGUAUAAACUUUAUUACUUACAUUCUUGAAGGGAAAUAGUAAUGGAGUACUCACACCAUGUAAUGAAAAUGGGAUGCACUCUGCUUGAGUUACUCUCAGAGUCUCUUGGUCUAAAAACAAGUCAUCUCAAAGAAAUGGAAUGUUCAGAGGGUCUUAGCAUUUUGUGCAAUUACUAUCCAUCAUGUCCACAGCCAGAUUUAACCAUAGGUCUUAGCAAACAUACAGACAAUGAUUUCUUCACAAUCCUUCUACAAGAUGAUAUUGGAGGUCUCCAAGUUCUUCAUCACAAUCAUUGGGUUGAUGUUCCUCCUACACCUGGAGCUUUAGUUAUCAAUAUCGGAGAUGUUCUCCAGGCAAGUCUCUUACUUCUUAAUAAUCAUUCGGAUUGAGGAUCUAGAGUCAGUACAUAUGUGAUGAACGAGUAUGAUAUAUAGUAUCACAUGUAUUUAUAAGACAAGUCUUUUUCUUAUUCUUACUUCCUAGCUAGUCGAAUUCAGGAUCUAGAGUCAGUACAUUUGUGAUGAACGAGUAUGAUAUAUAUAUAGUAUCACAUGUAUUUAUAAACAAGUCUUUUUCUUAUCCUUACUUCCUAGCUAGUCGAAUUUAGGAUCAAGAGUCAGUAGGUGAAGGAGUAUGAUAGUAUCGUAUAUAUGUAUAAGACAAGUCUUUUUUCUUAUUCUUACUUCCUAGCCAGUCGAAUUCAGGAUCUAGAGUCAGUAGGUGAAGAAGGAAUAUGAUAGUAUCACAUGUAUGUAUAAGACUAGUCUUUUUCUUAUUCUUACUUCCUAGCUAGUAGAAUUCAGGAUCUAGAGACAGUAGGCGAAAGAAGGAGUAUGAUAGUAUCACGUGUAUGUAUUAAACAAGUAUUUUUCUUAUUCUUACUUCUUAACCAAUCGAAUUCAGGAUCUAUAAUCAGUAGGUGAAGGAGGAGUAUAAAUAGGGUCAUAAUCAACUUUUAUUAUAUUUGUGUGAAUUUUGUAUUUUUCAGCUCAUAUCAAAUGACAAGUACAAAAGUGUAGAUCAUAGAGCAUUGUCAAACAAAAUAGGUCCAAGAAUAUCAAUAGCAAGCUUUUUUAGCUCAGGGCCAUUGCCAUCUUCCAAACUCUAUGGACCAAUUGAGGAGUUACUAUCAGAAAACAAUCCUCCAAAGUAUCGUGCAACGACACUGAAGGACUUCUAUGAUCAUUUCAGCCAGAAAGGACUUGAUGGAACUUCAAAUCUAUCUCACUACAAAAUCUAAACGUUAGGGUUCGUUUGGUUCACAUUCUAGUUAUGUGGGGAUUGUAAUGCAAGAACUUCUAUUUAAUGGAUAAUAAAUAUACUGAAAUACCAUGACACAUGAUUUAUUUAUGCUUAAUAUUACUUCUGGAGUAUACUGUUCGGAGAAAUCUUAGUAGCUCAAUUGAUUGACUAUCUGAAAUUGAAAAAGAUUGGAUCCAUGAGAGCAAUUAAGCAUACUCCAUUGUUAAAUAGUCAACCAACUGAGCUACUAAGAAAUGAAAAUAUUUAUCCGCAUGGAGUUGGAAAUUCUUGUAGACUGGGAGGAUUCGGAGCCAUGAAACAUAAAAUUGUCUCUCCAACUUGCAGCUGGAACACAAGGUUUAUACAAAUCAAGAUUGCUAGUAUAAAACACUUUUCUCUCCUAAGUUUUAUUCUCUUUUUAAAAUCUGAAAUGACGUCUGAUUAAGGACAGAGGAAUUUCAACCAUCUCAACAUAAUCUAUAUUCGUCAUUUUGAAUUUUUCUUAUUGAUGUAGUGGACGUUUGGCCUUAACAACCAAAAAAAUUGUUGAGGAACAAUUAAAAUUUCACAAUAUAUUAAUAUAGUACUCAACUUUUUAUUUAGCAAAAUAAUAAUCCUAAAAAUUAGAUAAAUAUUAGUAUGAUGAUAAAUAAAUGUUAAUAUUAAACAUAAAUACUUGGACAAGUGAUAAGGAGGGUGUAAAAGAAUAACAUACACUGCCAAAUGCUUCAUUGUUGCAAUUUCUCCAAAAAAGAUGACUCUUUGACAACUAUAUUUCUUUUAGAGAAAAUAACAUAAAAAGCAUCUUUAAAUUUGAUCGAAUAACUUAUUUUAAUAUUUAAAUUACACGAGCGCUUAAAUAUCCUUUUAUAAUUUUUAAAGUGAAUUAAAUGCACCACAAAAGAAUGAUGUGGUAAAUAGAUUGAGUUCACUCACCUGUCAUUUUUUAUAAAAACAUACACAUGCCUUUUUUUUUAUAGAUUAAAAUAUAAUUAAUAUUUUAAAUAUUCAUAUAUAUUUAAAAUUGAAUUAUUUAUAUUUCGUAUUAUUAUUUUUGAUAUUAUAUUUUCCAACAACAGAACAUAGAAGAGAAAAUCAAAGUAAAACAAGAAAUAGGGAAUUGAAUUAAUUAACCUUUCUUUUUAUGAAAUAAGUUGCGCACAAAUUUUAUCAUCAAAUCAAAGAAAGAAAGAGGAAAUAUAUAUAGAAGGACCACAAAAAGAUAUGGUUUAGUGAAUAAUGCUCCGUAUGUCUUAUUAUCAUGACAUAUUUUCUUUUUAAUUUAUCUGAAAAAAUGUCAAUCUUUGUUUUGUUAGAAAUAAUUUAACUUUAAAUUUUCUUUCUCAUCUUCAUGAGAUAAUUUAUAUUGUACAAACCUUUAAAAUUUAUUUUAAAUCAAAAAUUUUAAAAGCUUUUCUUUCUUUGUUAAAUUUUGUGUUAAGUCAAACGAUAGCACAUAAAUUUGGACAAAAAGAGAACUAUAUGUGGUGUUUACUUACCUUUUAGGGCGUGUUUAGAAAUAUAUUUUCUUAAAUAAUAAGUGUGCUCUUUAUUUAUUUUUUUACUAUUUAAUAAAUAAACAAUUACGAAUCUAGCCACAAUACAAGAUCCAAUUGAUAUACUGUCAAAUUAUAUUUGGAACACCUGGAUUAAAAGUAUAAGUCUGUGCACUAAAGAUGCCUAUAUAUAGAACAUAAACUAUCUCAUUACUAUUAUGCUAGGAGUUAUGUUAUUUUCUUUUAAAUAGCUAUUUUGUAAUAGCACUCUAAAAUCUCCCUUUUCUAAUUUCCUUUUUUUUUUUUAAGUUCUUUUACAAUCAAUACAAACCUUACUUUGUUACAUAACACAAAAAUAUAUUAUUCCAAAAACAUCUAAGCAAGCAUAAAGAAAUAAGAGGCUUCUUUAUUUUUAGAAGAACCAAUUAAUUUCUUAUUCCACGUCUCAAUAAUUGGAGCUAAAGACACACACAAAAAGAGUAUUGGUCCCUUUUUUUUAAAAAAAAUAAAUAAAUUUAUAGAUGUACAUUCUUAUAUUUUUUAAAGGGAUAAUGCACAAGUACCCCUCAACCUAUGCCCGAAAUCCCAGAGACACACUUAUAUUAUACUAAGGUCCUAUUACCCCUGAACUUAUUUUAUAAGUAAUUUUCUACCCUUUUUUGCCAACGUGGCACUAGUUAGAAAAAAAAAGUCAACCAUCGUUGGGUCCACGAGAUAGUGCCACGUAAGUCGAAAAGGGGUAAAAAAUUAUUAAUAAAAUAAGUUCAGGGGUAAUAGGACCGUAGUAUAGUAUAAGUGUGUCUCUGAGAUUUCCGGCAUAGGUUGAGGAGUACUUGGCAUUAUCCCUUUUUUUAAAUAAAAACUUAUCUUAGCUUUAUUUAGGUGUUUUCCAGCUAUAUGAUGCGUCCUUUAUCUUUCCAAAAGAGUGGACAUAAUUCUCUCAAGAUAGGGGCGGAGCUAGAUGGGCUCGAAGAGUAAUGUAUAUACAAUAUUAGUUGAAUUUUUUUUAUAUUUAUUUUUUCAUAUUCGAAUCUCGUUAUUUUAGUGAAAAUCUUGACUUUGCCAUUUGCCGUUCAGAUUUGUCCAUCUUAUAAUCUCACAAGUGAAGUAACUUUGUAUUUACAAUAGUAAUGAAAAAGUAGAAGAAAAGAUGGUUUUCUCCAUGAAUGAAGAAUUUCAGGCUACAUUACAGCCAAAUUAUGAUAAACAUAGUGAAUUAAAAGCCUUUGAUGACACAAAAGCUGGUGUCAAAGGACUUGUUGAUGCUUGCAAUAGUACUGAAGUGCCUCGAAUAUUCGUUCAUCCACGAGAAAGCAUACAAAACUCCCCAGGCUAUACUGAGGAGGAGUUUGUUUUUCCUGUAAUAGAUCUUGAAGGCAUUGAUCAUCCAAUAAGGCAUAAAGAUAUAGUUGACAAAGUUCGAGAUGCAUCAGAGACAUGGGGAUUUUUUCAAGUAGUCAAUCAUGACAUUCCAUUACCUGUCCUUGAAGAAAUGUUGCAAGGAGCACGAAGAUUUUUCGAGCAAGAUGUGGAGAUAAAGAAACGAUAUUACACUCGAGAUACUACGAAGAAAGUAGCACAUGUUAGCAACUUUGAUUUGUUUAGCCCCUCUGUUCCAGCAGCUAGCUGGAGAGACUCACUUUACUGUUUUAUGUGUCCUAAUCCUCCUAGUCCAGAGGAAUUUCCCACAGUAUGUAGGUAUGUUCUUACUCACACUUGAAAGAACACAUUAUUUUCACAAAAACACUCAAAUUUGGCCAAUAAGUAAGCACUUCAACUUUGAAUAUGCACGUCUAGACACCUCAACUCGUCUAGCCAAUUGAGCAGACUAAUUUGCAUUCUGCAGGGAGAUUUUGAUUGAAUUCUCUAAGAAGAUGAUGAAAUUAGGCUGCUCAUUAUUUGAGUUAUUGUCCGAGGGUCUCGGUCUCAAUCCUUGUCAUCUUAAAGAUAUGAACUGUGCUGAAGGGCUAUCUAUUGCCCAACAUUACUAUCCAGCAUGUCCUCAGCCGGAACUCACCAUAGGCACCAGACAGCAUUCGGACUGUGUUUUCAUUACCGUGCUUCUUCAAGAUGAUAUAGGAGGUCUCCAAGUCCGUCACCAAAAUCAGUGGAUUGAUGUUCCUCCUACACGUGGUGCUCUAGUCGUGAAUAUUGGAGAUCUGUUACAGGUUAGCGUUCGUUUCCUAAAAACUUAAGCUGUGAAAAAGAGUUGUACUUUUACUUACUUAACUAUGUCUUCAACAUAUCCUUUCAUGUGCAAUCCCGAUUAGUCCAAUCACGUGAAAGUUCUUUUUGUUUUGUAAUUGGUGGUGGCGAGAUGUUGAACUGUGUGAUCAUAUCAUGUGAAAGCUCAACGGUCACACAAUUGAACUCACAUUCUUAAUUAGACUGAUUCGUAUAGUGUGUUUUGGUACUGAUAUAAAAUUUUGCUUUAACUUUUUCUGAUUUCAGCUCAUAUCGAAUGACAAGUAUAUAAGUGUUGAGCAUAGAGUAUUGUCGAACAAAGUAGGUCCAAGAAUAUCAGUGCCGUGUUUCUUCAGCACUGGUGCAUUUCCCUCUCCAAGGAUUUAUGGACCAAUUAAGGAAUUGUUAUCAGAAUGUAAUCCUCCAAAGUAUCGUGCAACCACAGUGAAGGAAUAUACAGACUAUUUCCGCAAGAAAGGCUUCGAUGGAACUUCUACACUGCUGGAUUACAAGAUCCCGUCCUAAAAUUUAAGUUAUUUCGUGUAAGUCAUAUCAAAGCUGUAAACUGAACAUGUGAUGUACAAUUAGCUAAUAAGAUAUUCUGUAGCAAGUGGAAUCACAUCAGGCUUUGAUGAUCACCUGAUAUUGGAUUCCAUCUAUUUCUUUCGAGAUUGAAUUCAGUGUUAGGCAUGUCGAUAACCUUUAAAAGUGCAAAGGAUGACUUUAAUUUCAUAGUCAAUGUAUUGAGAAAACAAACUCAUUUAAUCAUAUGUGCUACAGCCUAUCUUCUUAAAUAUUUUGGUUAUUCGUAGUCGUUAACGUGUUGUGCAUACUAUCAAUGGGAACUAGUUCCAUGACCACAAUUAGCUUAGAGUGAUGACUUUUUUUCUUUGGCUUAUCUACCUUACAUAAGCUAUCGCUAUAUCUUCUAAUAUCCCCAUAAGGGUAGGGAUGGCAAGGGGAAGGGCGGGAGCAAAUAGGGCAGGCUUAAACAUAGGCGGGGCAGGGAGGGUUUCGAUAUGUGUGUGUGUGUGUGGGGGGGGGGGGGGUUAAAACUAAUUUUUCUAAGCCCAAAGAGGUGCAGGGUGGGGGUGGGUUGAAAGAACCCUGUCCAUUUAUCUUUUUGACUUCUCAUUUCUAUCUCUCUUGAGUCCCAGAAAUGAGAAGCUUACUAUUUAAUUUAGGGAAUAUACCCCUCGUUAUAAAAGUGACUCAUAUAUAGCGAGUUCCGUCAUUUUUAGUCCCUUAUGCAGGGUGGGGUGGGGCGGGUUAAACUCAACUCCCGCCCCAUUGCCAUCCCUACAUAAGGGACUAAAAAUGACGGAACUUCUCUAUUGUGGUCUGAAUUGCAAGUAUCCAAUAGUCUAUGUUAAUAGCUCUUUGACAAAUCAACUCUAACUACUAUGUGCUACGAAGAGACUUGUGGUCCGAAGGUUGAGAAAUCCUUCACCUUUUAGAUAUUUUUGCAGUAAAAAUUAAUUAAACUCUAGUCCAUGCUUCCUAUAAGAUUCUAAUGAACCUCGGGAAUCCUACUUGUUUAACACUCUAGCAAAGAAGAUGGCAAUCUCUAGAACCAAUGAUUAUCAGGCCACAAUUCAGAAAAGUUAUGACAAAAUGAGUGAGUUAAAAGCCUUUGAUGAUACUAAGGCAGGUGUUAAAGGGCUUGUUGAUGCUGGAAUCUCUAAGGCUCAAAUAUUCAUUCUACCACCAAAAAACAGACCGGAAUCCUCAAAUACAUGUGAAACUCAGUUCAGUUUUCCAGUGAUAGAUCUUGAAGGAAUGAACGAGGACCCAAUCAAGCAUAAAGAGAUUGUGGAAAAAGUUAGAAAUGCAUCGGAGACAUGGGGUUUCUUCCAAGUGGUAAAUCAUGGCAUUCCAAAAUCUGUCCUGGAAGGAAUGCUGCAAGGAACACGUGAGUUUUUUGAGCAAGAUAUCGAGGUUAAGAAGCAGUAUUACACUCGAGAUAUGACGAGGAAGGUGGUUCAUAGUAGCAAUUUUGAUUUGUAUAGCCCUUCUGUCACAGCUGCAAAUUGGAGAGACUCCGUUUUAUUUUCAAUGGCUCCUAAUCCUCCCAGUCCACAAGAACUUCCAAAACCAUGCAGGUAAUUUAAUAUGUAUUAUGUUGUGAUAAAAAUCAAGAAUUAACCAAGGAAAUGUUGGCAUCGUUAUUUCUUUACUUAUAAUCAAUUUAUGCUUGAUGUAAGUUUUAAAGGAUUGUGUUCGGGAAAAUUAGAAAAUUUAACUGUGAAAUUGCUGCAGGGAAAUACUAAUGGACUACUCGAAUCAUGUCAUGAAGUUGGGAAAAUCCUUGUUUGAAUUAUUGUCGGAGGGUCUAGGUCUUAAUCCAUCUCAUCUGAAUGAUAUUGAUUGCGCUGAGGGGCUCCGCCUUUUGGGCCAUUAUUAUCCAGCAUGACCUCAGCCAGAACUCACCAUGGGCACCAGUCAACA
rnacentral:lncRNA from 1 species